AGACUUUGCUACAAAGCUACCUUUUGCGAGAGAUAGAUUGGUGGAAGGCUACUUUUGGAUACUUGGGGUGUACUUUGAGCCUCAAUAUGUCCGGGCUAGACGAAUUCUAACCAAAACAAUUUCCAUGACAUCCAUUAUAGAUGAUAUAUAUGACGCAUAUGGCACAUUUGAAGAACUCGAGCUCUUCACCGAGGCCAUUGAGAGGUUUGAUUGAUGCAAAUUACCAACCUUCAUCAUUUAUACUGUAUGUGAUACUUAAAUCAAGCCUGGUUUUAUUUUCAGGUGGGAUAUUAAUAGCAUAGAUCACCUUCCAGAAUACAUGAAACACUGCUAUGUGGCACUCUUAGAUGUGUACAAAGAAAUUGAGGAAGAGAUGGAGAAAAAAGGAAACCAAUAUCGGGUUCAAUAUGCGAUAGAAGCGGUAGGACAUUCUGCAUCGACUUUGUUUUGUAUAGUAACAUAUCGUAAGGAUAUAGAUGUAACCUGAUUGAAUGUUUGACAGAUGAAAAACCUAGUUAGAGCUUAUUUUCAUGAGGCUAAAUGGUUCCAUGAAGGACGCAUACCAACAAUGGAAGAGUAUAUGAGGAUAGCACUGGUAACCUCAGGUUACUACAUGCUUACAACCAUUCUUUCAUUGGUAUGGGAGAAAUUGUAACAAAGGAGGCCUUUGAUUGGGUGAUCAGUGACCCUAAGAUUAUCACAGCAUCAGCUGUAAUUUGUAGGCUCAUGGAUGACAUCAGUUCACAUAAGGUAUUGUGAAUAUAGUAUUACUUGUUAAGCUAUAAUUUGACCUUGACCUUAAAGCUCAAUCAAUUAAACAUAUUUACUGUACUCUUCUUCUUAAACUAUAUAUGCAGUUUGAGCAAAAGAGAGGGCAUGUUGCCUCAGGCAUUGAAUGUUACAUGAAGCAAUAUGGUGCCUCUGAGGAAGAGGUAUACGAUGAGUGUGGACCCGCAUUUUUCACGUGCGUCCCCACUCGAUCAGCGAGACUCGCUUUUUAUUUAUGAAAAAUUAAUUUUAAAAAAAAGUUGGAGUCGCCACUUAUUUUAUUUUUAUUUUAAAGGGAAAAUAAAACAAGAAAGAAAAACCCUAAAAAAGUGACUCCAUAAUUUUUGGAAAAAGCAUGUCUUUGAAAAACCCGAGUCUAAGUCCGGGGAUCAGGUUACCUAUUGGGAAGGUACCUUUAAAAGGUAGCACCCCUCUAAGCCCUCUAAAGGUCUCUACUAACAAAGUUAAGGGAAGUGUGGCCAUUAAUCAGUUAAUUAUGGAUACCUAAGUAGGCUAGGUGAUUUCAAAUAUUGCAUGCCUAAAGAGAAAACAAACCAUAAGAGAGAGUCGAAGUGCGUACCUAAAUGGCUUCUCAAGCGCUAUCAUGAAACAUAAGAGAUUAGUUUGGAAAUAUGACACAACAUUUGUUUUAUCUAAGCAAAUCAAGCAUAUAUCAAAACACCCAAAAAUCACAUCAUGUAUGGAUAUAGUCAUCAAUAACGCAUGUGUCCAUGGAAUUCUCAAAAAUAGGUGUGAAGGAGCGUACCUGGAUGGCGAGCUAAAACGCUACUAUGGGAAACAAGAUUGCUUAAUAAUAGGUGCAUAAUAAUCUCACGUAUCUCAAAGAGAAAGCACAAUUAAUCAAAUGUCAAACAAACACUAUUGAAGAGGAUAUCAUGAAUGUCGGGCCCCCACCAAAGCCCUAAUUAAUUUCGCACGAGUUGAUUCCAUAAAUUCCAUGACUUGGAAUUAUGGAGUUUGUUCGUGCUUGAGAAAAUCGGAAAAAUCAAGAAAAUGGUUGAAAAUAAAAAUAAAUAAUAAAAUAAAAAAAAUAGUGAAAACUUGUGCCAGAAGGAAAAUGGCAGCAAAAGGGUGUUGAAAUCUGGAUUUUAUUGCCUAGAGAAGGUCUAAAGAUGAUUCUCUAAAAUCAGGAUUAUUUGGAUGAAAACGAUUUUGAAAACACAAUUCAAAACACGUAAAAUCAUGAGGAAAACAAGAGGGGUGAGAAGGGAAGAGAGUAGUGUGCACCGAACUGGUCAUGGCGAGUGGGGUUUGGGGGUUUGGCUGUGACUGCGUUGCUGGUGGUUAUAGGCGCUGCUGUCAUUUUCUCUGAAUUUUUCCCUCUACUCUCUCGUAUGCAUUUAAGUGCUUUACAUCACUGUGUUCUUGAGCUUUUCCCCAUUUCUUCUUAUACCUUGACCUGCCACCUCUGCUGGUGUGUUCUGUUGAACUAAGUAAACUUGCUGGCGCGUUCUGUUGAACUGAGUGACACUAUGUCUGCUCUCAAAUUUAAAUCCUUUAACCUUAUCCAUCAAUAGGGAUGCCUGAAUUUCAGGAGCCCGCAACUCAUUCGGCAAUGCUGAGGGAAAUGGCGUUGUAAAUGUUGCUUGAGGAGAAGGCUGCUGUGGAGGAUGUUUUAUUAUAUCCUUGCUGACAUAUUGACAUGGCGUGAGAUGAUACACCAGCAAUUUGAGUAGUUUGUGGUCAGCCCAAUUGAGGUUGCUUUCAAACUUUCGCUACAAAAAAAGAAGAUCGAAGAUGACGAAACCCAUGUGAAUCGCUCUACGGUUCUGGCAGCGAAUGAGGAUUGGACAUGCAGAUUCUGGAGACAGUGACUUGAAGCUUCUUGCGAAUCUGUAGCAAGUUUAAUCAGACCACUCUUGAGGGCAACUUCUUUCUUCAAACAAAGUCAUGCAUUCCAGAGUACGCAGCUUUCCUCUUUCUGAAGUACAGAGCAUGCCUAAGAUCUAUGUUUGGGGGCAAAAUGUUUUCGUAAUCUGCAUGGGAUUGCGCUUUAUUGCUUACAAAAACAUCAUUGAAUCUCACCGUUCCAGAAUGGCACAUAAACAGUAGCGGACUUUGAUGUUAUCUUCAUUCAGCUGUUAAGUGACCAUCAUUAGUCUUGUUUCUAUCUUUUAGAACAUAUACAGGGAUGUGCCUUAGGAAGUCCUGCAUUGCUUGCAUCUCGCUUGACCUUUUGCUCAAUAAUUCAACCUGAGUACGGGGUUGAGACAUCUGGGUUGCAAAGGUGACUAUGGACUGUACAUUCGCUUGUUUCUCUUCCCACUAUUUUCUGAAUCAAAUUACCUGCUGCUGUAUCUAUUGAAGCUGUAGCCUCAUCUAACAAUCUCUCAAAAGGCAUAAAUAUCAGAUUCUUCAACUAUGCUAUUCUCAGAUCACCUCAGCAGUAUAAGGGGUUCUAUGCAUUUAGGAACCAUCAGCAAUGCUUGGAUUUUUGGGAUAUUAUACAGAACAAAGCAAAGUUGUGCGACAUUUCCCUUUGAUUAUGAAGAUGAAGUCGAAGAUGGCAAAAUUUUGUAAAGACUUUCAAGGGGAUUCCCUCCACGUUUGUCAUCAAAGAUGCUUUUUGACGAAUUUCCCAUAGUCAACUUGAUUAAGGCAACAAGAACAACUUUUUGCUUACUCUAUGAUGCAGUAUUAAGCAUGUCAAACAAUGAGUGAGCCACCUGCUUAGCUGACUUAAAAUCUCUGAUAUUCUCAACAUCGAGAGGCUCAAGUGAAGCUCUACUGAAUAUAACAUUUCUUGACUCCAAAUGUAACACAGUUAUCAGUUGAUUCACGGAAUUGAUUGAUGCUUCGCAAUGAAGAAAAUCAGGACUGCUAAAUAGUAUUUUCAACAAUUCAGACACUAUGGCCUUAGAAGGGUCUUGAGGGCUUAAAGACAAGUACUUGGUUAGAGCACCCAAUGCUCCAGCUUCAGCCAUGAUCAGUUUGUUCGCAUCAGACAUUAGUUCAAGGGGUUUGGCACCUUCCCUCACAUGCAUCUCAGAAUGAGCUUUCAUACACUCCCAGUAGAAAUAGUUUCAGAAUCUGCAUUUAUUAUAGUGGCUUUAGUUUCGAUGUCGUCUUUUGAGAGAGUCAUUUUCUACCAAAAUCACAAUCUAAGCAAUCGUCAAGCAUUAGGUUGGAAUUUCCGUCACAAAUGAAUUUCUUGUUAGCAUCAUUAGUAAUCUUCAGCAAUCAAGCUCACUGAAUCGUCUCCUGAGUACCCAUGACAGAAGAAAGCUGAUCAUUCAUGGCACCCAAGACUGAGCCAUGGUGAUAACUAUUUAAAGUAGUGUUUGAAUUAGCUGAUCCGUCAAGACUUUGAUGGGAUGAUACAUUCCUGAUGGGUUAAGUGUCAUCAGUUGACAUGGUACUAUUGCUUACAAAAAAUUAUGAGCCCAGGUUCUUCUUCCUGCUAUUGUCCAAUUCUGUAGGAGUAAUCUGGUCUUUUCCAGUUUAUUAAGCUCCAUCAUGCCUGCCUCAAGAAGGGCCUUUGGCGUAUAUGUCAGUAAGUUCAAGUCUGGACAGUGUCCUAGUAAACAGAUGCCUUCCCUGAUCUCUAUCAGUAUGCAUCCUCUGAUUAGGAUUGAUUUCUGGACUGAUCUGAUCAAAGAUCCUCGAACUGUUUAAAGUCCCAUGAUUCUUUUGGCUUUGAGAGUCUUCUCUGGUUUUCCGUGCUCAAGUAAUCAAGCAAAUUGUCCCACAUGAAUAGAAGAUGCCACAAGUUUAGCAGUGCAUUUUUCAUCAGUAUUCAAAUCAAACAUUGGAAUUUUCUGUAGGUUGGCGGAAUUGUUGGCAAUUUCGACAUCAUAUAUUGCAGCAAGGCCGAAAUUCUGACUUACACUUCUAAGUGUUCCAGAGAACUUAGUCAUGUCUGCCUCCUAUGUCAUCUCUUGAUAAAUCUGGUUCUCUUCAAAUGCUUCCGAAGGUUGAAAUUAGUACCCUUGUUCGUCUCAAGGAAACAAACCGAGAGGUUUGGACAGUAGGAUCUGCACUUUCUCCACAGAACUGGAGCACCUUUUCAGAAGUCCCUUCUUUGGUCUCAGCAAAAGACUUUAGAGCUUCAACAAGAAAAGUAANNNNNNNNNNNNNNNNNNNNNNNNNNNNNNNNNNNNNNNNNNNNNNNNNNNNNNNNNNNNNNNNNNNNNNNNNNNNNNNNNNNNNNNNNNNNNNNNNNNNNNNNNNNNNNNNNNNNNNNNNNNNNNNNNNNNNNNNNNNNNNNNNNNNNNNNNNNNNNNNNNNNNNNNNNNNNNNNNNNNNNNNNNNNNNNNNNNNNNNNNNNNNNNNNNNNNNNNNNNNNNNNNNNNNNNNNNNNNNNNNNNNNNNNNNNNNNNNNNNNNNNNNNNNNNNNNNNNNNNNNNNNNNNNNNNNNNNNNNNNNNNNNNNNNNNNNNNNNNNNNNNNNNNNNNNNNNNNNNNNNNNNNNNNNNNNNNNNNNNNNNNNNNNNNNNNNNNNNNNNNNNNNNNNNNNNNNNNNNNNNNNNNNNNNNNNNNNNNNNNNNNNNNNNNNNNNNNNNNNNNNNNNNNNNNNNNNNNNNNNNNNNNNNNNNNNNNNNNNNNNNNNNNNNNNNNNNNNNNNNNNNNNNNNNNNNNNNNNNNNNNNNNNNNNNNNNNNNNNNNNNNNNNNNNNNNNNNNNNNNNNNNNNNNNNNNNNNNNNNNNNNNNNNNNNNNNNNNNNNNNNNNNNNNNNNNNNNNNNNNNNNNNNNNNNNNNNNNNNNNNNNNNNNNNNNNNNNNNNNNNNNNNNNNNNNNNNNNNNNNNNNNNNNNNNNNNNNNNNNNNNNNNNNNNNNNNNNNNNNNNNNNNNNNNNNNNNNNNNNNNNNNNNNNNNNNNNNNNNNNNNNNNNNNNNNNNNNNNNNNNNNNNNNNNNNNNNNNNNNNNNNNNNNNNNNNNNNNNNNNNNNNNNNNNNNNNNNNNNNNNNNNNNNNNNNNNNNNNNNNNNNNNNNNNNNNNNNNNNNNNNNNNNNNNNNNNNNNNNNNNNNNNNNNNNNNNNNNNNNNNNNNNNNNNNNNNNNNNNNNNNNNNNNNNNNNNNNNNNNNNNNNNNNNNNNNNNNNNNNNNNNNNNNNNNNNNNNNNNNNNNNNNNNNNNNNNNNNNNNNNNNNNNNNNNNNNNNNNNNNNNNNNNNNNNNNNNNNNNNNNNNNNNNNNNNNNNNNNNNNNNNNNNNNNNNNNNNNNNNNNNNNNNACAGAUCAUCAGCCAUAGGAAUACCAUCGGUGGUUGACGUGGAGAGCUUCUCUGCAAUACCCUGAACCUUACCAUGAAUUUUAAGCCUUUUAGUCAUGACUUUCCACAAUUGAUCCCAACUCAUCAGCACAAAUUUGAAAACCUGCAGCUGUUACUUCCUCAGGUGCAAUGUAGUCACUGGACAAACCAUGAAUAAACUGAAGUGCGGCCUGUGAAACUAGAACUGCUACUCUAAACUUCUCCUCAUUGGAACGUCGAAUAGUUUGAGCUUCGAAUCACUUGCUGAGAUUAGCAGUGAAACGGGACCUUCGCUUAGGUUUUUAACAACCCAGCGAAGCUUUCUCCGUGUGAGCUUUAGGUGGACUUGAAGCCUGAGCUUCCAGAAUUGCUUGGUUAGCUGUCUCAUAAUAACCAGCUGAGCAGCAGAGCUUUGCAUAUUGAAGCCAGCAAUCACCAACUUGAGCACCAAGACCGCUUGCACCAAGAACCAAUCUUUGUAAAGCCAGAAGUGACUCUCUUGCCCAAAGGGAUGGCUGUGUAAAUCUGAGCUGAUCUCCCCAAUUUUCCAUCAUUUUUGUGAAUCUCAGAUCAGCCAAAUCGAUUGAUUUCAGCAACAGCUAGAAGAGCAAUCAGAGCUCGUUUGGACAGAGCAAUUUUCUCAGCAACUGAGAAUUGGUCUUUCUUUAUCAGGGCCUGAGGAAUUUUCACAACAUCCAUGUCAAAGGAAGCAUUAUUCUCAGAGCUGCUGCAAAGUAAACCUUCCUUGUCAGUCCCAUCAAGGUACUCAUCCAUCAAUUCCCACUUGCUAAGCCUCCAUGCUGCCUAAACACCUUGUAUGCACCAAGUUUUCUUGUAUUUAUGAAUUUUAGCUAUUAAACCAUCCACGUGAAUAACCAUAGUCUGAAAGUGGCACAUGUCAGUAAACAAUUAAGAACAUCUGAAUGCCUCUGUACUGAGGUAGGCUCCAUCUGCAAAGCCUGCUCUGAAGAAGUUAAAACUUCUGCCCAGUUUCCUGCUUUCUUGUUGAUUAGAAAGCUGGUCUUGCAAACUUAAUGACGUGUGCAAACANNNNNNNNNNNNNNNNNNNNNNNNNNNNNNNNNNNNNNNNNNNNNNNNNNNNNNNNNNNNNNNNNNNNNNNNNNNNNNNNNNNNNNNNNNNNNNNNNNNNNNNNNNNNNNNNNNNNNNNNNNNNNNNNNNNNNNNNNNNNNNNNNNNNNNNNNNNNNNNNNNNNNNNNNNNNNNNNNNNNNNNNNNNNNNNNNNNNNNNNNNNNNNNNNNNNNNNNNNNNNNNNNNNNNNNNNNNNNNNNNNNNNNNNNNNNNNNNNNNNNNNNNNNNNNNNNNNNNNNNNNNNNNNNNNNNNNNNNNNNNNNNNNNNNNNNNNNNNNNNNNNNNNNNNNNNNNNNNNNNNNNNNNNNNNNNNNNNNNNNNNNNNNNNNNNNNNNNNNNNNNNNNNNNNNNNNNNNNNNNNNNNNNNNNNNNNNNNNNNNNNNNNNNNNNNNNNNNNNNNNNNNNNNNNNNNNNNNNNNNNNNNNNNNNNNNNNNNNNNNNNNNNNNNNNNNNNNNNNNNNNNNNNNNNNNNNNNNNNNNNNNNNNNNNNNNNNNNNNNNNNNNNNNNNNNNNNNNNNNNNNNNNNNNNNNNNNNNNNNNNNNNNNNNNNNNNNNNNNNNNNNNNNNNNNNNNNNNNNNNNNNNNNNNNNNNNNNNNNNNNNNNNNNNNNNNNNNNNNNNNNNNNNNNNNNNNNNNNNNNNNNNNNNNNNNNNNNNNNNNNNNNNNNNNNNNNNNNNNNNNNNNNNNNNNNNNNNNNNNNNNNNNNNNNNNNNNNNNNNNNNNNNNNNNNNNNNNNNNNNNNNNNNNNNNNNNNNNNNNNNNNNNNNNNNNNNNNNNNNNNNNNNNNNNNNNNNNNNNNNNNNNNNNNNNNNNNNNNNNNNNNNNNNNNNNNNNNNNNNNNNNNNNNNNNNNNNNNNNNNNNNNNNNNNNNNNNNNNNNNNNNNNNNNNNNNNNNNNNNNNNNNNNNNNNNNNNNNNNNNNNNNNNNNNNNNNNNNNNNNNNNNNNNNNNNNNNNNNNNNNNNNNNNNNNNNNNNNNNNNNNNNNNNNNNNNNNNNNNNNNNNNNNNNNNNNNNNNNNNNNNNNNNNNNNNNNNNNNNNNNNNNNNNNNNNNNNNNNNNNNNNNNNNNNNNNNNNNNNNNNNNNNNNNNNNNNNNNNNNNNNNNNNNNNNNNNNNNNNNNNNNNNNNNNNNNNNNNNNNNNNNNNNNNNNNNNNNNNNNNNNNNNNNNNNNNNNNNNNNNNNNNNNNNNNNNNNNNNNNNNNNNNNNNNNNNNNNNNNNNNNNNNNNNNNNNNNNNNNNNNNNNNNNNNNNNNNNNNNNNNNNNNNNNNNNNNNNNNNNNNNNNNNNNNNNNNNNNNNNNNNNNNNNNNNNNNNNNNNNNNNNNNNNNNNNNNNNNNNNNNNNNNNNNNNNNNNNNNNNNNNNNNNNNNNNNNNNNNNNNNNNNNNNNNNNNNNNNNNNNNNNNNNNNNNNNNNNNNNNNNNNNNNNNNNNNNNNNNNNNNNNNNNNNNNNNNNNNNNNNNNNNNNNNNNNNNNNNNNNNNNNNNNNNNNNNNNNNNNNNNNNNNNNNNNNNNNNNNNNNNNNNNNNNNNNNNNNNNNNNNNNNNNNNNNNNNNNNNNNNNNNNNNNNNNNNNNNNNNNNNNNNNNNNNNNNNNNNNNNNNNNNNNNNNNNNNNNNNNNNNNNNNNNNNNNNNNNNNNNNNNAAAGACCAAAUAACCAGCAGAAAGAUCCUCUAUUUCCAGAACCAUGCUUCUCAAUCUGUCCUUAAUCUGCAUAUCCUUAACAAGCGAAUAAACAGCCGACAAGCUAGAAUUUUGAAACGUUUGUUCUCUUUGCUGAAUCUCAUGACUGCAUGCCCAAGCUUUGGAAUCACCCCCAUAUAAAGAAUUGAUGGCCAUAGGACGGAUAGGAAGAAAAGCAAAAACAAGUAUGGUAGAGAAUAGCGGAAACGAUGGGAAAACGGACAUGGGAGAUUAAAAGAAAAUAAAGCCACAUCUCAUAAUUUUUCAAUAGGCUCUGGUUAGUGGGAAUAGGCACAGAGAUAUAUGCUUCCGAAGGCAUUAAUGACAUCCAAAAUCAAAACAAGGCAAACAGGCAAGUAACCAAUCUCAACAAAGCAAAUUGUGGCCCUUUUCAUCCACACAAAAAUCAACAAAACAAUUAUAUAUUCAGGAAUCGAACUCACGGAAAAAAAUCAAAUAUAGGUAAGAAUUCCGAAAGCAACGAGGUGCAUACCUGGACAGCUUUGGUUGCAAUGGCUCGGCUUCUGGCUAUCUUUUCUCUUCCUUCUGAGGACAAUUCCCAGAUAAAAAUCCUCUUUUUUGCUUGUUCUUUCUUCCUCCUCCUCCCUCUCUAGACUCCAAUACGUGCUCUGCCCCCAAGAAAAAUCCUCCCUUAAUAAAAAAAAGCUCCCCUUUUUCUCCUUCCUCUCUCACGUAUAUAUACGCCUUUCCCUAAAACUAAAUCUCCCUAAAAAAAGGCCAAAUCCCCUAUUUUCUCUCUUCUUUUCUCCUUAUCCUUUUUUAAAUCUUCCAAUUCAAAAGCAAUCUUCCCAACUUCAAAUUCUCCUCCAAAACCUUCCAAGGAGAGUCCCACUUUCCUUAAACUCCAAUGGUAAGUUUCCUUGCAAAAACAUGAAAUUUUAGAAGUUAAAUAAUUGCAUGAAUAGAUAAAUAAGUAAAUAAAUUAGAAAAUGGUAAAAAUAAUAAAUAAAUAAAUAAGUUGAGGAAAAUAAUAUAAAGAGGAAAACGAAAUAAAAUAAAAUAAAAUUAAACAAAUUAACAAAAAAAAUGGACCCUACAAGCCAUGCAAACACGCAAGUCAAAUAAGUCACGCUAAAAAUGUCCAAAUGGGUCAAGUGUGCCUAAACGGGCCUAUGAUGAGACUAAGCGGGCCUAGGGUGGUGCCUAAUGGGCCAAGUGUAUCUAAAGGCUAUCCUAAAAAAACAAGAAAAGCCUAAGUCUAAAUUAGGGCUGCCAAGGGUCACGAUAAGGGAUCAAAUAAUCCUUUAACCAAAGUCUCCAAGGUGACUCAGAAAAAGGUAAGUCGUACGAGUAGUAAUGGGCCACCAAGGAACUACCGUGGAGCACUGGAAGUGGAUUUAAAGACAUGUGCUAAAAGGGCAAAAUUGAGGGUCUACAAUGAGUUUCAGAAGCAAGUUGUGGAUGCAUGGAGGGAUAUUAACGAGGAGUUCCUACGACCUACAGUUGUUCCGAUGCCUCUCCUAAUGUGUGUGCUUAAUCUUUCUCGAGUGAUGGAUGUGAUCUACACGGGGGGAGAUGGGUACACUCAUGUUGGAAAAGUGAUGAAGAAUAAUGUUGCAUCACUGCUCAUUCACUCUAUUGUAUGACCAAAUGGAUCAAGUUGAUCACCAUCUACAUAUUCUGCCUUACCUAGGGAGUAGGAUGAAUAAAAAUUAUUGUAAUAGUAUGGGAGAGACCUAUAAUGUUUGCUACUCUAUCUCGGUUUGGUGGUGUUUUACAUCAUACUAUCAUUUGGGCCAAAGGUAUUAAUGUUAUUGCGUUCUAAAAACUCCAUCCUAAGAUGCAAACAUAAGCAGGUUUUUUUUUAUUGAUUUUCGUUUUCUAUUUCUUGCAUCCAUUUUAAUAUAUGUUUAAAACACAUGGAUCAAGUUUGAAACUUUUUUGUUAUUCAAAAAUCGUGUCAUGGAGAAAAUUCUCCAUGGCAAAUCACUUGAUGGAGAAAAUUCAAAAUACAUCAUCAUCAUGAUGUAGAAAAUCACUUGACCGAGAAAAUUCAAGUAUAAAAAUCACAUGGUGUAGAAAAUUCUCCAUAGAAAAUCACAAGAAAAUUCAAAAUACAUCAGCAUCAUGAUGUAGAAAAUUACUUGACGGAGAAAAUUCAAGUAUAAAAAUCACAUGGUGUAGAAAAUUCUCCAUAGAAAAUCACGAGAAAAUUCAAAAAACAUCGUCAUCGUUGUCAUCAUCCUCCUCCUCCUCCUCCUCCUCCUCCUCCUCAUCAUCAUCAUCAUCAUCACUAGACAUGCUAAAAGUUUUGUUUCAUCAUCAUCAUCACCAGACAUGCUAAAAUGCUAAAAGUUUUGUUAUAUACCAUGUAAAAAAUAUAAGUUAUGAUCUUAUAUAAGGUACCAUGCAAAGUUUAAAUUUUUGCAAAACGAAAAGAGAAAAAAAAGGAAGUUAUGAAGAAUCAAAUCAAUCAACUCAUCAUUUUCCAAGCAAGGAUUAAGAUAUUAAAAAUUACAUAAAGAUGAUGAUUAUAUUUUUAAAAACAUUAGAAAAAAAAAAUAAUAAAUAUAUUGAAGUUGUUUUUUUACAUAAAACAAUAUAUGUAUAAUAACAUAAAUACAUUUAAUUAUAAAAUAUAUAUGAUUCCAUGUAAUUUGAAAAUAUUCAAGGAUGUAAAAGAAAUAAUAAAUAUUUUUUUUACAAACAAAUAUUUAUAAUUUCAUUUACAACUUUAUUUCUUCCUUUUAUUUAAUUAAUAUAGACAAGGAAUAACAAAAGACUUACUAAAAGAACUAUCAUGAGCACGUUUUAUAUUUUUAACAAUAAGUUCAAAUAAAUUUUAAAAAUAAGACAAUUAAAUUAAUAUAUUUUUUAACAUUUUAUUUAAUAUUUAAUUUUGUGCAUAGAUAUGUCAUAAAAUUAGGUUAAAUAUAGUACAUGUAAUUAUAAACAAUAAGGGCAAGCAGCUCAGGUGGCAAAGUAGCCACCUCCCUUCCAACAUGCACCUUCAAGUUUUUUUAGCAUACUGAUGUAGCGAAUUACGGGAGAAAGUCACCAUAUAUUGCCAAAAUUAGUGAUUAAUCGAAAAAAUAAGAAAAGAACAUGAUUAAUCGAGGUAGAUUAUGAAAAUUUGAUAAAAAUUCAUUAAGUGAAAUUCCUCCAUAAUUUUCUAUAUCGGUGAUAUUUCAUGAACACUAAUCAUGAUUUCCAAGUUCAUGAGUUUACCGUAUCUACAAAUUGGUAUGUCAAAGAAGUUCAAGAAUAAUUUUUAGAUGAUUAUAAGUGUUUUUUAAUAAUUAAAUUCAUUUUACAAAUAACUACAUGUUUAAUUAAGAUUAUAUCCUAAUGGUGCUGAAAACAAAUUAAGACAGACGUCAAAUCACAUUUACUUUGCAUUGAAACAAAUUAUGCUUAAUAGACAUAUUUAUGUUUUUGAAGAUGAUGGAUGUUAAUUUCAGAUUUUGCUCUCAAAUUAAGCCACCUAACACAGUUGUCUUUUAAACACUUAAGCGAACACAACUUCAAAUCACCAAUAAUUCACGGUAGCACAACUUCAAAUUAAGCCAAAAACCCAUCAACCCUCACCACCGUCGAUAGCAUCGCCGGCAAGCCGUUACCGGUUGGCAACCCCCUCCUCCCCUCUCAUUCUCCCCUUCCACCCACCUCUCCUCUCACUACUUUCUCUCUCUUUCCUUUUCAUUUCUUUCUCCUCAACUCCAUUGCCACCCUUCAACAACCCUUCAUCCAUGGUCUCAAAAAAAAAUAAUAAAAAAUAUCCCCAUGUCGAUAGCCCUAGUUUAAACUUUCCAAGUGAAUCACUAAAAUACAACACAAUUAGCUAUCACAAAACAAAAUAAAUUCAAUUAGGCCUAAAUUUAAUAUCUUAUAAUCCAAACUUAAUUUAAUACACAAAUUCAAAUUCACAAUCAAAAUCAAGUCCAAUUUAAUAUAUAAAGCUCAAAUGUAACAAAAUUAUACUAUAAUAUUAAUUCAUGUCCAAAUUAAACUAUUCAAAUGGGCAAAAUUCAUUCACCAACGACAAAUAGGCCCAAAUUUCAUAUUAAUUAACAUCCCCAAAACAAAAUUUAUUGGACCAAUUUGAAGUUUGGAUUUGAGUUUGAAUAAUUAUUUUGGACUUUACAUAUUUUUGGAUAUUUACCUUUGGGCUAUUUUUGUUUUUUCAUGAGCCCAUUUUACAAUUCUGUUGACUGAGCACAAAUUUGUGAUGCGUAGAGGGUUAAAUUUCAUGAAAAAAAAUGUGGCUCAUGAAGGCUGUAAAUUGAGCAUUAAGCUUGCUAUAGCCUUGUUUGGAUAUAUUUUAUUUCCCCACUUUUAUUUAGUUCUAUUUUUAUUGUCCUGUAAAUAUUCUUUCUUAUAUAUUUCUUGGGUGUAUACAAAGUUGAACAAUUGAUAACUCAUGAACUUUGUUUUAAUAAAAUAAAUAGUUCAGUAAUCUUUUUUUUUUUUAAUAAAAACAAUUGCUUAGAAAUUAUUUUUUUUUAAUAAAAAAAGGUUUUUUUUAUAAAAAUUCAAAAAAAUGUUUUUAAGAAAAUCCGAAAAAUCAUUUAAAUAAGAAUAUGUAUCACUUAAAUCACCUGAAUAUAUUAUUUAUUAUAUUAUAUUCUUUAAUACAUAUGUAUUAUUGUCAUUCAACUUGAGGAGUAUUGAUACUGAGUCUUAAAAUACAUAUGUAUGUAGAAUACAUGCCUACAACAAAUCUGGAUCUCCUUGUUAAUAUGUAAUGGUGUUUUGGAGUACUACAAUACUCACCAAAUAACUUCUUUACACUUUAUAAUGGACACUGACUGGUGAGUUUAUAGUUAAUUAAAUAUUUAACUCUAUAGCAAAUUAUUAUUAUUAUAAUUAUUGUUGCUAGCGUUAUUAUUAUUUAAUUCAUUAUUAUGAAAAUUAUUAGUAUUAUUACUAUUUAAUUAUUAUUAUUAGCUAUUAAUUUUAGUUUUUUCUUUUUCAUCUUUUCUUUUUUGUUGUUUCUUAUAUACUUCAUAAAAUUAUAAGUUAUGAUCUUUUAUUAGGUUGAAAUUGGAAGUUCAAGUUCACUAAAGUAUGACACAGUUAACUUAGGUUCACUAAUUUUGUAAAAAAUUCAAUGCAUUUAUAGGAUAAUUAAAUAAUUCAACGAACUUAUCAUUUUAUUAAUUAAGGUUUUUUUUUUUUUUAACCUUUUUUACAUGUAAGAAUACAAAAAUUUAUGGUUCAAUGUGAAACUUUGGAAUUGCAUGAAUAAGAAAGUGAAAUUUGUUGGUGUCGUUCCCAACGAGAGUUAGGUUCAUCCAACUUCAUUGGAGUCAGGUGGGUUGCUUCCCUUGUUCGUGCUUCUUAAGAAGUCCGUCCAGUUGUAUUGGAAUUAGAUAGACUUCUUCCCUGCACAAAAGAAUGUCCAGACAGGUGGUUCGAACAUGCCCCUCCCAAACUUAAGUUAGUUAAGGAUAACUCUAACUUAUUUUUAUGGUAGAAAAUGAGCGUAUGUGCAUGCCUACCUUGUUUGUGCCUUUUGAGGGGUUUAUAUAGAGCUUAUGACACUGUCACUAUAGUGCUGACUAUACACUCUAGUCUUUCUUGUGAUGAUGAUUACCCUUACGGCGGUUGGGCAAUCAUAUCAGAUAAGGGAGGUUGAUUGGUGCCAUCUACUGACAUGCCAAAUCUCGGACCAUGCAACUGAUUGUCCAUUUAGCUUGCCAAUGUCUGGGAUUGUGUGUAACAAUUAAUUGACAUUGACUUUUGGGUGUAAAUGGAGUCCCGUCCACCGCUUAGAUGUCAGACGUCUAAUCCAUAGCUCAAAUGUCAUGUGUCUAGGCCAACGCUCAAACAUCAAGCAUGGUUGAUCAUGCAUGCCAGAAAUCCUGAGGACUUGAUUUGACUAAUUUUUUCGUCGGAGAGUCUAGCGAUCCCAGCUUGUCGAUUCUGUCUGACCUUGUGGAAGAAGAGAAACCUCUCACUUUUGGUGUCAGAUAGAACUUAUCUUGGUCUAGAUGGAUUGAUCCUAGACGGGUUACAAGUUUGUCCUGGUCGGCCAAGGGGUCUUGAGCUUGAAAAUGACAAGUGAAGGGAAAUCCCCCACAAUGCCCCCUUAAUCUGUCUACCUCUAUCCAGAUGAAGAGGAGAUGUUUUUGGAGCGUCCAGUUAGUCUCCUAUCUAAACAAGAAUUCCGGGAUCGUUUCCAUAUUCCGGAUAAUAUCCCUAUCCUUCUAAUAGACGACGAGGCGUUAUCUUCCGUUGACCUGCCCAACAACAUGAUGUAUUUUACUAAGGAACAAUUCGUUGCGGGGCUCCGUCUACCUAUCCCCUCUCUCUUCAAGCAGUUCUUUCAUUUUAUGUAAAUCCCUUCAACUUUUCUUCAUCCGAACGUUGUCCGGUUAUUGAUGGGAUGUAGUGUUCUGGACAUGCUCUUUCAGUUGGAUCUCUCCUUACUGGAAGUCUUAUUUGUUUACACUAUCAAAAUGAGCUGGAAGGAAAGGUUAAGAUUUUCUUCCCAUAUUCCUUCCUUACAGCCGGUGACUGGCCUUCCAGAUUCAUGCAAAUGCUAGGUGAAGGGGCAUGUCCUAGUCUCCAGUCCUUGGAGUGGUUCAUCUAAGAAACUAGACGAGGUCUUUUCUCCACAACAUUUGUUGGGGAUUCCGAGUAAGAUACGCUUUCGUCACUUUCUCUACAUUUUUCAAUUAUUUCUUCCUCGUUGUGAAUUUACUGCUGAUCCUUUUGUUUAUGUGAUACAAGCAAGGAGAGGCGGGGACGCCUUGUAGAGUGGGUAGACAAGGCUUCUUUCACCCGACUCAACAAGUUGUUCGAAAUAGACGCGUUCGAAUGGGCCCCCAAAGUUUUUCUGCCAAACAAUAACUUACUAGCACUGAUCGAUAAUCCAAAGUCGUUCAUCAUCCCCGUAUUUUCUCGUCUGGCUCCCCCAUCUUUGGUGCUUGGUGAACAUUUCGUGCUAAAGGAUUUGUAUUUCUAUGAGGUUGCCUGUCUAGCAGAUUCUAAGGCACGCUAGGCCCGUUUAGAGGAGCGUGAGGAAAAACAUCAGGAAGGGACAUUGAGGCAAGCUUCGACUGUUGGUGGUCUAUCCUUUAGAUCCGUUGUUUGUCUUCUCACUAAAAAGAGGAAGAAACCUACUACUCUGCCUAUCCAGAGAUAAGGACUCCGCCUCCUUUAUUUUUUUUCUUCUCCAUCAGCUUCAUCAUCUUCAUCAUCUCCAUCUUCUUCAUCUUCCAAUGGCGAGCCAGAAGCAUGGGUUGACCAGGUAGUGUCCCCUAUUAUUUGCGAUGAGUAAAAAGAAGAGGAUAUGGCUUCAAACUUGAGGGCCGAAUUUCGUGAGAGACAGUGCAAGCACCUGUCCAAAUCCAUUGCUGUCAAUCCUACUCCCUCCAAGAAAGCUUGUUCAAAACCUGCUUUUGCUCCUACACUCAUGUCGGUUCCUCCUACUAUUGCUACAGUCUUGACCCCUGAGCUAGAUAAGAAAUUUCCUUCUACUAAUGAACAUACUUAUCAUGAGAUGAGGAGAUCCUUCAUCAACUCGGACAACUUCAGCAAAGAAUCGUUCAAAUACAUGACUUCUUUUUCUCCUCAUUCGAAGUCAACCUAUGUCCACAAUCGGGAGGAGGUAUCUGAGCUUUUGAAGCGAAUCCCUUUCUUCACCGAGGAGAGUCCUCGGUACAAAACAUGGGAGUACUCUUUCCACCUACUCAGCAAAUCCCAAUUGAGAUAGACAAUGAUCCCAGUCGAUCUUUCAUGGCAUGGCUUUUGUACGGCACUCCGAACACCGCCAUUUCUCACAUUAUUCCCAUGCAAGACUAUAAGGCUUUUGAAACGACAAAAAUGGUAAGCCACCUAUCCUUUUCUGCUCAUUUUGCCUUAGCCUCUUGUUUCACAACGAUUUCUCUAUUGCCUCUUCAGAUGAUAGUCGGAGUCUAAAACCUCAUGUGGCAGCACGCUCCCCUUUUCUACCGAUUGGAAACAGUCGAGACCAUGAGGGCAUACUUUGCCCAUAAUAUGAACAAGAAUGAGGAUCUUUUUGCCAACUUGGAGACAACGUAGAGUGAAGCCGUUGCUGCCCAAAAGCUUGUUGAAGAAGAAGCCAAUCUAUUGAGGAAAGCCGAGGAAGAAAAGGAGACAGUUCAAAUUGAAGCUCGUCGGCUGGCUGAAAAGAAGAAAACCAUGGCGGUCGACAAAAAUAAGCCUGAAAAAAAGGCUGCCUGAUUCGUGCCCAAUUGGUGUCUCAGCUGAUUCGUGUCCAGCUGGUGCUCCUUGAUUGAGGGAGUAAUCAACAAAAUUUAUAACCUAUUACACCAUAUACUAGGGUAGCAAAGACAAAGCUACUAUAGCAUAGUGGCUCUAGGAUCGUCCAUUGGGAUGGGUUUUCACUUCACAAUUGAUAUUAAUUCAAAGAUGAAUUGGUGCCUUUUCAUUUCAAGGUUAGCUUUAAAAGAAAACAUAAACUUGUUUGAAAGAAAAAGGUUUGGUUUUAAACUAACCACAAAUAGUAACUAAUUUUACUUACAAAGAAAAGAUGUUUCUUGGAGUUCAGAUCACUAGGCUCAGAUUCCUCAUACAAAAAGGGAGUUCCGGUCACUUGUUUCUUUUCCUCGUAUUAGAGAAUUAACAUAUAGUUAAUUCUCCAACCGGUGUUGUACAGAUGCUCCCCAUUAAUGGGUUCAAACACUAAAUCCCUCUCACUGAUGCAUCUUGCAAUGACUCAUACCUCUCACCUAGCACUUGCCAUUCAAGGUGAUCUUUAACCUUGGAUUACCCGUCAAAAGCUCGCAAGAGAUAACUAAUGGAUGUCUCCUUGGAGUCCAAAAGCUUACCAAGUGUUGGCUAUUCUAGAAAAUCCUACCUUCAAGUCACCUCCCAAAGGCUCGCAAGGGGUAAACUAGUGCAUUUCCAUGGUUGGAAAUCACUUGUCUUACCAAGUGUUGGCCCAGGUGACCCUAAGGUGUUUUAAGUUAACUAAAAACAUAGAAAUCACUAACGGGUUACACUUUCUCUUCAUUAAAAACUAAAACAACAAAACUUCCAAAUUAUGCAUGUGGAAACUUACCCGGCUUUCCUCACUCCAAGAGACAAAAAGCUUAGCCUCUCAUCCUCUGUGGAAAAAUCCUCAGAGUUUGGUUGGCUAGAAAAUGAAAAUGAAAGAGAAGACAAGAAUAUAUAUCAAAAACAGAGCAAGUGCUCUGUUCGUUGAUUCUAUAUAUUGGAUUACAUGAUAUCACAUACUUCCCCCCAGCGUCUCCUGAGAGUGUUUACAAGAGAGUUUAUAUAAGAAGGUAAUUUACCCUUCCUUGGAUACUUCCUAGCUAAGGAAUUACAUGAGUGGUUGAAUACAAGGAGAAAAUGGAAAUUUAGACACAAAAAUCUGAAGAAAAAUAUCUAAAAGAGUCGGUGCAAAAAUAUCGGGAUGCUUCGGGAACCAUUUCGCAAGAGAAAAUGGUGUCUGCGAGAUUUCGCAGACACUCAAGAGGGGCUGCGAAAUCACUUCGCAACAUCAAGCUAUUCUCACAGGGCUACGAAAUUGGCUUCCUCCUUGAGGUUCUCAGCGUUCCAGCUUGCGUCAUGUAUCGGGUAGCUUCAGGAGGAAUUUCAUAGCACUGUACAAAAAGGCUGCGGAAUUCUCGCAACAAAAGGCUGAUUUCGCAACACUUUGGAGUGAUCUGCUUUCAAUGGCUGUAACUCCUUCGUUUCAACUCCGAAUCGCGCACCGUUUGAAGCAUUGGAUUCUUGACUUCCUGAGCUUUGAAAUGGUAUAUAGAAUGUAGAAAAUGGACUUCGGAAAGUGCUCCAAAAGUGCAAAAGAAUACUGCAGCUAGCUUUCCUCUGUUUUCUUCACUCUGUUUUUCCUCUCUCCUUGCUUCUCUCCUUGCAUACUUUGAACGACUUUGGCAAAGGGAUAUGGGGCUCCAAAGCUUGGUUUCUUCAUGAAUUUGAGCUCUUCAUUGCUUUGCCAUGAAUUCCAAAUAACUCUCCUCAAUCUUGGAUUGUUUUGGUGAUCAAAUUACUAACAAAAACACCAAAACUUACACAAUUUGAUUAGAAUUGAUUGCAAGGGUCCUUAACAUGUUAAUUGGGUUAAAAGACAAUAACUACUACUCAAAAGUGUUUAAAAGGAUUAAUUACAAGCUACAAAAUAGCACUUUUUGAGUAGUAAUCACUGCCCAGCUGAGGCAUGAGCUACAAGAUCUCCGAGUGGGGUUUGCCGCUUGAAAAGAAGACUUGGAGGUUGACUACCAAAAGCAAGUGGAUGAUAUAUUCCUGUACGAAUAUCGUUGUUAUAUAAAGAAGCAUGGCAUCAUCCAUGAUGCUCCCACCUUUCCUUCGGAUGACGAGAAUGAGUUUUUAGGCGACCCUUCCCAAAAAGGAGGAGAUGUUUUCGAAGGCGGUCCCUUUGGCGAGUAGGCUUGAUAUUUUGUUUGUAUUUAUUUAUUAUGGUUGGAUGUGGCUUGGACUGCUACAUCUAUAAAGACAAUGGAUGCUUUAUUUAUUUGAAUAUAUUUACUUUAGUCAUUUGUCUCUCAUACAUUGUUUUCAUAAGCAAACUUUAUUGAAAUUACUACUUUAAAUUGGAUACAUUCAAAGAGUAGAGCAGGGGUACGACGUCCAAUAUUUGAAGAUGGUAUGUCCCUGAGUCUCUAGCCUUAGUUACAAUAUAUGACCCUUCUCAGUUAGCUUGUAGAACUAUAAUACUUUGGUUUAUACAUUUAAGGUUAUAUAAAGUGUUAAUUCAAAUUAGUGAUGUUAUGUUGUUCACCCGUUUCCUUGAUAAUUUAAACAAAUAAAACUCAAAUGCAUCCUAAAGUCUAAAUGAAAGAAAUUCUAACUAAACAAAUUAUUACAACCAUUACCUAUUUUUCUUUCAUAUAAUUAAAAAAUUAUACAUUUUAACCAAGACAUAAGUUCAAAUCACACUUAAUAAGAAAUAACCUAAAAUCAUAAUCAUUGGCAUUAAUUUUCAUAUGAAAAUAUAAAUUUUUAAAAUAAUAUAAACAAUUUCUUUAGUUAUUUUAAAAUUUUAAAAUACUAUAAAUAAAUAAUUUUCUUUAGUUCAUAUGUGAAAAUAUUCAUAAAACAAAUAAAUAUUUUAUUUAUCAUAAAUAUAUAAAUUUUUAUGGGAAUGCAUGUAGACCAAAUUAUUUUCUCAAAAUUUUAAGGAAAAUAUGAAAAAAUAAAGAUAAAAUAUAUAUAUUUGUAAUAGAACUUUCGCAUGCACAUUGUUUUCACGAUUAGGAAUUAGAGAUAGAAGAUUUUUAUAGAUUUGAAAAGAAUCAUGGAAGAAACUCAACUUAAUUUCCAAUUUUGAAAAGAAUUGUGGAAGAAAUUAAACUUAAUUUCUAAUUUUAAAAAAGAAUUGUGAAAUAAAAUCAAUUUAAUUUCCAAAAUUAAAAAGAAUUGUGGAAGAAAUUCAAAUUAAUUUCUAAUUUUAAAAAAGAAUUGUGAAAUAAAAUCAAAUUAAUUUCAAAUUUUAAAAUGAAUUGUGGAAGAAAUUCGAACAAUUAACACACCUUUGUGGCAAGGGAAUCUACCGCAUUCGUUGAACAGACUUAGUCCCAUUUUCCCAAUCAACUUAGCACGUUGUUUGAAUUAAAUACCUACGGAUUGAUAUUGUUUGAAACUCAAGCAAACCAAUAUUUUAUAGUCUAUUCUGAGCACGACUAUUUCACACCUUGGGCCCCAAAACUAAACCAAAUCCCACAUACCAUUCAACUUAACACAACCUUAGCCGCCCCUAACGGUUUGGGCUUUUGCGUGAAUUUAGGCAAGGGGUUUCUCUUUCAUGUCAUCAAUCUCUUUCAUACAUUAUAUUCAACAACAUACAGCUUCUGGAGGCCAUUGCUGCCCUAUAAAUGCAAUGGAGCUUCCCAAGCUUUUGCACUCAUACUUUCCAAGUCAGUUUUCAAAGAAGUGUUCUACUACCAUUCCAAAAAAUUAACAUGUCGGGUCAAGUCUUAGCAAGCCCUCUAGGCCAAUUUCCGGAACUGGAAAAUCGUCCGGUGGUCCAGUAUCACCCUAGCAUUUGGGGUGACCAGUUCUUAUCCUACACUCCCGAGGACGAGGUAAUCGAAUGAAAAUCUGUGUUAAAUACCUGUAUAUUCGAAAGUUGUUUUUCUUGAUGUGUUGUUUAGUAAAAUUACUUGGUUGCCAUAGGUAACACGUGCCUGCAAAGAGAAGCAGCUUGAAGAUCUGAAAGAGGAAAUUCGAAGGAAGCUAAUGAAUACAGCUGGUAACACUUCCCAACAACUAAAAUUUAUCGAUGCUGUGCAACGUCUUGGGGUGGCAUACCACUUUGAAAGAGAGAUAGAAGAAGUGUUACAACAUAUUUAUGAUAGCUAUCCUAAUGGCGAUGAUAUGGAAGGUGAUAUCUAUAAUGUUGCUCUUCAAUUUCGGUUACUAAGACAAGCUGGGUUCAAUAUUUCAUGUGGUAAGAGCCCAAAGAAUUAUCAUGUAUAAGCUAAAAUGUAUCCUUCUCAUAAGUCCAAUCUUAUGUAUGUUUAAAUUACGGUAUUUAUGUAGGCUUGUUCAAUGAGUUCAAGGAUGAAAAGGGUAACUUCAAGAAAGCUUUAGUCAGUGAUGUAAGAGGCAUGCUAGGCUUGUAUGAGGCUGCACAUCUCAGAGUUCAUGGAGAGGACAUACUUGCAAAAGCACUUGCUUUCACCACCACUCACCUCAAGGCCAUGGUAGAAAGUUUAGGAUAUCAUCUUGCAGAACAAGUUGCUCAUGCCCUGAACCGGCCCAUUAGAAAAGGUUUGGAGAGGCUAGAGGCAAGAUGGUAUAUAUCUGUCUACCAAGAUGAAGCUUUCCAUGAUAAAACUUUACUAGAGCUAGCAAAAUUAGAUUUCAAUCUAGUGCAGUCACUGCACAAGGAAGAGCUAAGCAAUCUUGCAAGGUUGGUUUUAGAUCACCCCACAUGUACUUGGCCAUUGUUAUCACUUUCCUGUAUGCUGAUCAUAUUAAUGUCUUUUAGGUGGUGGAAAGAACUAGACUUUGCUACAAAGUUACCUUUUGCACGAGACAGAUUGGUUGAAUGCUACUUUUGGAUGCUUGGGGUGUAUUUUGAGCCUCAAUACUUACGGGCUAGACGAAUUCUAACCAAAGUAAUUGCCAUGAUAUCCAUUCUAGAUGAUAUCCAUGAUGCAUAUGGCACACCUGAAGAACUCAAGCUCUUCAUAGAAGCCAUUGAGAGGUUUGCUCCUUGCACAUUACCAACCUUGAUUGUGUAUAAUAGAUGUAUUUAUAUAUACUUAAAUCAAGGAUCAUUAUUUUAUUUUCAGGUGGGAUAUUAACAGCAUAGAUCAGCUUCCAGAAUACAUGAAACUCUGCUAUGCGGCACUCUUAGAUGUGUACAAAGAAAUCGAGGAAGAGAUGGAGAAAGAAGGAAACCAAUAUCGGGUUCACUAUGCCAAAGAAGUAGUAGGACAUCUUUAACUCUGGAUCCCCACCUUUUUCAUUGAUGAUAUUUUAUAUGGUCUCAUAUAUACAUAGAUAUAACUUGGAUGAAUGUUCUUUAGAUGAAGAAUCAAGUUCGAGCUUACUUUGCUGAGGCCAAAUGGUUACAUGAAGAACACGUACCAACAUUUGAAGAGUACAUGCGUGUUGCACUAGUAAGCUCUGGAUACUGCAUACUUGCAACCACGUCCUUUGUGGGAAUGGGAGAAAUAGCAACAAAGGAGGCCUUUGAUUGGGUGACCAGCAAUCCUAAGAUUAUGUCAUCUUCAAAUUUCAUUGCGAGGCUCAUGGAUGACAUCAAAUCACAUAAGGUAUGAAGAAUAUAUGAUUCAAAUGGGGAGAAUAUAACACACUGGUUUUUUCUCAACUUUUGUAUUAUACAUGCAGUUUGAGCAAAAGAGAGGGCAUGUGGCCUCAGCUGUUGAAUGUUACAUGAAGCAAUAUGGUGUCUCUGAGGAACAAGUAUACAAAGAAUUUCAAAAGCAAAUUGAGAAUGCAUGGCUGGAUAUUAACCAGGAAUGCCUCAAACCUACUGCUGUUUCAAUGCCUCUCCUUGCUCGUAUUCUCAAUCUUACACGAGCCGCGGAUGUCGUUUACAAAGAGCAAGAUUCGUACACACAUGUUGGGAAAGUGAUGAGGGAUAACAUUGCGUCUGUCUUGAUCAACGCUGUAAUAUAACCAAAUGGAGUAGUUGAUUGCCUUGUGGAAGCCGUAAUAUCUAAUAAAUCACUAUAAAAGGAAAAAAGAAAAGAAAAAAGGUCCAAUUCAUACCUUAGCCGCCCCUAAUGGUUUGGGCUUUUGCGUGAAUAAAAACUAUUGUAAUAAUAUGGGAGAGACAUAUAAUGUUUCCUACUAGUUUCUCUCUCGGUUUGGUAGUGCUUUACAUCAUACUAUCACUUGGCUAAAUGUAUUAAUGUUGCUGCGUUGUAAAAACUCCAUCCUAAGAUGCAAACAUAACCAGGUUUGAUAUUGAUUUUCCUUUUCUAUUUCUUGCAUCCAUUUUAAUAUAUGUUUAAAACACUUUGAUCAAGUUUGACACUUUUCUAUUAUUCAAAGAUCACGUGAUGGAGAAAAUUCUCCAUAGAAAAUCACUUCUUGUAGAAAUGGUCUAGAACAUACAAAAGAGAUAAAAAAAUCUUAAGAAUUCAUCCUAACGGGUAAAAUAUUAUUAUUAUUAUUAUUAUUAGACAUGCUAAAAGUUUUAUUAUAUACCUGUUAAAAAUAAAAGUUAUGAUAUUAUAUGAGGUUGGAAUUUGAAGUUCAUUUGCAACUUUUUUUCUUCCUCGUUAUUUUUUUAAUAUACGUAAAGUAUUUUUUUUUAAAAAAAAGACUUACUAAAAGAAUUGUCAUGAGAAGGUUUUAUUUUUAUUUUUUAAUAAUAAGUUAAAAUAAAUUUGAAAAAAAAAAUAAAUUAAUAUUUUUUAACAUUUUAUUUUAAUAUUUAAUUUUGUGCAUGGAUAUGUCAUAAGAUUAGGUUACGUACAUAUAGUACAUGUAAUUAUAAACACUAAGGGAAAGUAGCUCAGGUGCAAAGUUGUCACCUCCCUUCCUACAUGCACUUUCAAGUUUUUUUCAGCAAGCUGAUGUAGCCACUUACGAGAUAAGAUUACCAUAAAUUGCAAAAAAUUAGUGAUGAAUAAAAAAAAAAUAACAAAAUGUCAUGAUUAAUCAAGAUAGAUUAUCAAAAUUUCAACAAAAAAUCAUUGAGUGAAAUUCUUUCAUAAUUUCCUAUACCAGUAAUAUUUCGAAUAUAUUAAUCACGAUUUCCAAGUUUACAAGUUUACCAUAUCUACAAAUUAACAUGUUGAAGAAGUUCGAGAAUAAUUUUUAGAGGAUUAUAAAUGUCUUUUAUUAUUAAAUUUACUUUACAAAUAGCCACAUGUUUAAUUAAGAGUAUAUUCUAAUGGUGCUGAAAACAAAUUAAGACAGGCUUCAAAUCAAAUGUACUUUGCAAUAAAGACUUUAGUGAAUGCAACUUCAAAUGACCAAUAAUGCACGGUAGCAGUACAUUAAUUUUGACUUCAAGGCAUUAAUUCGUAUUUUAUCCAUUACACAACAGAAUAUAUAUAAAUAUCCUUAUAAAAAAUAUAUAUGAUAUUUAUAGGUAACAGCUUUCUUCUUAAGCAAAGCAGCCAAGUAAGACUACAAAAUCUAUACCAAACAGAAUAUCUACUAGGACAAAUUUGGAUAAUUAUUUCCAACACUUAAAUUGAUUGGGCUUAGGUUAAAGUAUUCUUCAACUCCUAGUCAGUUUUAGUUGGGCUCUUACCAAGGUUGUGACAUCUCGAAUCUAACCAAAAGUUUAUAUAAUAUUUAUAUAAUAAUUAUAAUUUAUAUUAUUAUGGACUCAUGCACAUUUUUCACAUGUGCCUACUCAAUGAGGAUACUCAUUUAUUAUGAAAAAUGAUUAUUUGAAAACCCUUUUUAGGUUUUUUAGAGUGAACAUUUAUUUAAAAAAAAAAAAAAAACACAAUAAGAAAAAAAGAAGAGAAAAACCUUAUAUAACUCCUUAUUUGAAAAAAAGAAAAAGAAAAAAGACAAGUUCAUAAACCAAGAUUGAGUUAAAAGUCAAAUUACCUACUGAGAAAAUACGACGAUAAGUCAUACAAAACAACCCUCUAAGCUUAUAUACCUAUAAUCUUUACUAAGCAAAUGAACUGAAUUAUGACGAUUAAAUAAUUGAUUAUGGAUACUCAAGAAAAGAAAAACACAAUUAUAAAACAAGUCAUGGUGUUUGUUAUGUUACAAAAAUGUAAAAAAACAAAUGAUAAGAGAAUUUGCAUAAGUUGAUUUACGAAACUAAUUAAAAACAUGGGUUUAAUUAUUUCUAAAUUCAAAGGAUUAAAAAAGUUAUUUCAAUUUGAUGAUUUCAAUCGAUUUUAAGUACAAAAGAAAGUUUUGAUUUCAUUUUUUUUUUAAAGAAAAAAAUGCUUCAAAUUAUUCUAUUUAUAAAGAAAUGAUUUUUAUUUACUUUUUCUUAAAAAAAAAAAAUAUAAUUUACACAAAUUUUAUUUACCUUAACAUUCCUUUUUGAUUUUUAUGCAAAAGAGAAUACUUUUAUAAUUUUUGCUACAACAUGAUUUUUACAAUUUUAUUUUAAAAGAAAGUAUCCAAAUCUAAUCUUAUGUGCAAGAGAAUCUUUUUACAAAUUAUUUAGGAAAAGGAUUUUUAAAAAUUUAUUUACAAUUUUAUUUAAAAAAAUAUUUACAAAUUACUUUAAAAAAGAUUUGUACAAAUUUAUUAACAAAAAAUAAAUAUUCAGAUCCAAUUUUAUUUACAGAAAAAAAAAGAUUUUUUUUUAUAGUUUUUAUUGAAAAUAAGACUUUUACAAUUUUAUUUAAUUAGUAUGAAAAUCCAAUGUCAUUUUAUUAAUACUAGAAAAAAUUUAUUAUUAUUUUUAUUAAGACAUGAUUUUUAAAAUGUCAUUUACAAAAAAAAAAAAAAAAAAAAAAAGUUUACAAUUUUAUUUUAAAAAAUAUUUUGCAAUUUUUUUAAAAAAAAUGGUUUCAAUGUUUUAUUUAAAACAAAUUGCUUUUUAGAUUUUAUUUUAAAAAAUGAUUUUCACAAGUUAAAAAAAAAUUAUAGUUUUAUUUUUUUACAAAAAAUAAUGAAUUUCCAAAUGUAUUUAAAAUUUAUUUAAAAAUGGAUUUUAUAGUUUUAUUUAGAAAAACACUUUAUUGUUUUAUUUCAAUCUUAUUGUUUAUUUUUUUCUUUAAAAAAAAAAGUUCAAAUUUCUCUCUCUUUCUCCCUCUCUCUGUCCAUACGCUCAUUAAUUUUGAUGUUAAGGUAUCAGCCCAAUUGACAUGAUUUAUACUGACUUAGUCUUUUGGUCUAAUAGGUAACUUAAUGUAAUAUAGGAGGUCAUGAAGGUGAACUGUGAACCUUACUGAUAUUACGCAAACCCUACCAUUUAUUUAUAAUAUUGUUGUCAUAAUAUUGAAAUAUGGGAAAUUUUAAUAGACCAGACAGACACCAAUAGACCAAAGCCACCAAGCAAGAAUUGAAGAAACCAGAAAGCGUUUGUUCCAAACAUAGUAUACUGUAGAACAUGAAACAGAAGCUAGAGUAUACUAUCUUUAUUUGUGUCACAUAUAUCUCCACUCUCAUAUUGGCACAAGGUCUAUGAGCAGCAUUGAAAUAUUAUUUUUUGUCACUUCUCCAGGAUGUGUGAAUAUAUCAUUGUGGCUCUUGUACAUCACAUCUCCUGAUCGAGCAAAAUUGAGAAGACGACUAAGGAGAAGCAUUGGAACUGCAGUAGGUCUGAGGCACUCUUCAUUUAUAUCCUUCCAUGCAUUCUCGAUUUGUUUGUGAAACUCAUCAUAUGCUUGCUGCUCCGACACACCAUGUUGCUUCAUGUAACAUUCGAUGCUUGAUGCAAUAUGCUCUCCCUCUUGCUCAAAUUGCAGAAAUAGAUAGUAAUAGAAGGUGUUAAAAAGAAAUUGAUAUACAUUAGAUUUUCUUUAUCUUUAAGGGAUUGAUAUCCAAGUAUCAGUAGAAAGUGUUGUUUCAUUGUACCUUGUGGGAAGCCAUGUCAUCCAUGAGCCUAAUGAUUAUGUAGGUAGCUCUAACAAUCUUAGGGUUUUGUAGCAGCCAAUCAAAGACUUCCUUGGUUGCAGUCUCUCUCAUGCCAAUAAAAGACAUGAUUGUUAAUCUUCAAAUUGAUAAAUGGUAGUUUUUUCAUUCAUUCUUUCAUUCAUUCAUGUACAGAAUAUAUAUAGAGGGUAAUCACCAUUCUAAGAAUGUGAAAGAAUGAUACAAGGAAAUAAUGAUAUAAGGAAAUAACAACUAAUAUCCUAAUAUCUCAACAUUCUUAAUAUCUCUACUUUCCUAAUAUCUAAACAUUCCUAAUAUCUCAACACUGAAUGAUAUAAGAAAAGAAUGAUAUAAGGAAAACAUUCAUAAUAUCUCAACACUCCCCCUCAAGUUGGUGCAUAGAUGUCACACAUGCCCAACUUGUCUAAAAAAUUUGAGAACACUUGAUUUGAGACAGCUUUGGUGAGGACAUCGGCCAAUUGAUCUUUUGAUCAAAUCUUACGCAAUUCCACAAUCUUAUCAUCCAACUUUUCCUUAAUGAAAAAUCUAUCCACAUCGACAUGCUUUAUACGAUCAUGUUGUACUGGAUUAUGAGCAAUGUCACAUGCGACUUUAUUGUCACAAAACAAUCGGAUUGGUUGCCUAGAUAGGUAACCUAAAUCUUGUAAGAGGAGUCUUAGCCAUAAUGCCUCACAAAGUCCUAGAGCCAUACCUUUAAAUUCCGUUUCUACACUUAAACAAGCGACGACAUUCUGUUUCUUACUUUUCCAUGUCACAAGAUUACCACCUACAAAGGUAAAGUAACCAGAUAUAGAUCGCCUAUCAUCCACUGCACCGGCCCAAUCAGCAUUAAUAUAUACUUCUAUACUCUGAUGAUCAACAUUUUUAGCGAACAAAAUUCCCCUCCUAGGAGCAUUCUUCAAAUACCUCAAAAUACGCAUGACUGCAUUCAUAUGUUGCUCUCCAGGAUUAUGCAUGUAUUGACUCACUACACUCAAUGCAUAAGCAAGAUCUAGUAUUGUAUGAGCUAAGUACAUUAAUCUCCCCACAAGUCUCUGGUAUCUUCCCUUAUCGGUUGAUACUUGAUUAGGCUCAACACAUAAUUUCAGACCUUCUUCUAUUGGUGUAUUAAUAAGUUGACAUCCCGACAUUCUAGUCUCCUGUAAAAGAUCUAAAACAUACUUUCUUUGAGACAGAAAAAUUCCUUCACUUAAUCGAGAAACUUCAAUCCCAAGAAAGUAUUUCAGAGAACCUAAAUCUUUCAUUUCGAAUUCUAUAGAUAGAUAAUUUUGCAGAGCUUUUCUUUCUUUAGGAUCAUUUCCUUUAACUACCAUGUCAUCCACAUAUACAAUGAGUGUCAUAAUCUUACCAUGUUGCUUUUUCAGGAACAAAGUGUGAUUUGAAUUACUUUGACGAUAGCUAAAAGCUCUCAUUAACUUUGUGAACCUUCCAAACCAUGCUCUCGGGGAUUGCUUCAACCCAUACAAUAACUUCUUCAAUUUGCACACCUUCUGACAUUGCUUUUCUGACACCAUGCAUCCUGGUGGAAGAUCCAUAUAUACUUCUUCAGAUCACUCGCCAUACAGAAAGGCAUUUUUGAUAUCGAACUGUUGUAAUGGCCAAUCUAGGUUUGCAGCUAAAGACAGUAAUACUCGAACUGUGUUGAUCUUAGCUACAGGUGCAAAUGCCUCUGUGUAGUCAAUUCCAUAAAUUUGAGUGUACCCUUUUGCUACUAAUCUUGCUUUAUCGUUCAAUACUACCAUCUGCCUUGUACUUCACAGUAUAGAUCCAACGACACCUAACUGGUUUCUUUCCUGGUGGACAUUCUACAAGGUCCCUUGUUUCAUUCUUCUGCAAUGAUUUCAUCUCUUCAUUCAUGACUGCUUUCCACCUUGGAUUAGCUAAGGCUUCCUGCACACUGUUAGGAAUAGCUACAGUAGAUAAUUGAUUUACAAAUGACUUAUUUGAUUCAGACAAAUGAUGGUUAGACACAUAGUUGCUCAUGGGAUAUUUGACUUUGGUAGACAAUUUAGGUUCAUAUGUGGGUUUAGGAAUACCUCUAUUAUGACGGUAUGGUAACCGUUUCAUGAAUAGAUCAGGUUCCAAAUUAAGAACACCCUCAACAGACGAUGAUUGGUUUGGUAUUUCAGUGAAGACAUCUUCGGACCCAAAUUGUUGACCACUCAUAUCCAACUCACCCGCUUCCUGGUUCACUAGUUCAGAUUGUCCAGAUUCAUCCUCCUCAGAGAUAUGAUAAUCAUAAUUGAGAGUUUGAAUUUCCUUAUGGUACUCCCCCUGAAGUUCAGACUCAGAUGAAAAAUGCAUCAAAUCUUCAUGAAACACCGCAUCCAUUGUAAUAUACAUUCAUUGAGUUGGAGGAUGAUAACAUCAAUAUCCCUUUUUGUGUAAUGCAUAUCCAACAAACACACAUUGCAAUGCAUGGGAAGUUAACUUGGUGCAUUGGUGUUUGUGUAGAUGCACAAAUGCCACGCAACCAAAAACACGAGGAGGUAGAUUUGGGGUAGUUGGGACAACUACGACAUUAGUAAGAGCUUGGAGAGGUGUUUGGAAGUUAAUUGAGCUGGAAGGAAGUCGAUUGAUCAACUAUGCAGCAGAUGUGAUUGCUUCUCCCCAAUAAGAUAUCGAUGUUUUUGCUGCUAUCAAGUAAGCACAGACAACCUCUAACAAGUGCCGAUUUUUUCGUUCAGCACAACCUAAGCCUUACUCUUUCAAGGGAAUGUUCCUAAGUCCUAUUGGGGAGAAGUUGUUCUUACUACCACAUACAUGAUAAAUAGAAUUCCGUCACGAGUUUUAGACAACAAAAGCCUCGUAGAGAUACUUAAGAGUUUCUAUCCACACUUCAGAACCUCAAAUGGGCUCACUCCUAGGGUAUUUGGGUGCACUGCAUUUGUUCAUGUCCACAGCCAACAUAGAGACAAGCUAGACCCCCGAGUCAUAAAAAUUGUCUUUCUUGGUUACUCAUCCACUCAAAAAGGAUACAAGUGUUACAAUCCCACAACAAAAAUUUUUUACAUCUCUGCAGAUGUCACCUUCACAGAAAAUAAACCUUUUUUCCCAAAGUCCUAUUUUUAGGGGGAGAUUUCAAUGAUAGAAGAUAGUCCUGAGUCCUUUGAACCUCUUGACCUUCCUCAUGUCUCAACCCAUGGUGAUGAAAUACCUAAGUCAUCCGAGUCAAUCACACUUGAGUCACCCAAUUUUACCACUAAACCCGUGUCAUCUAAUGUUCCAGCCAGUGUCACUCACAAUUUUCCAUAGUUUCCUAAGGUGUAUUCAAGGGAAAAGGCCAUUCCAGAACAAAAGUAUGUCCAAAAAUCCAACUUAGACCCUGGGAAUGAAAUCACGCUAAGAUCAGACCCACCUUUACAUACACAACCUGGUGAAACUUCUACUAACUCAACCUAGACCUAGACCUUCCCAUUGCUAUCAGAAAAGGCACCAGAGAAUGCACUAAUUGACCACUCUAUCCACUAUCACACUAUGUGUCUCUUAAGCACCUAUCACUAGCCCACAAAAAUUUAAUUGUGAGUCUAAACACCACUAUCAUCCCUAACACUGUUUCUAAGGCAUUGACAAAAAGGGAAUGAAAUGAUGCUAUGAGAGAGGAGAUGAGUGCCUUAGAAAAGAAUAAAACAUGGGAGAUUGUUGAAAGACCGAAAGGGAAAAACAUUGUUGAUUGCAAGUGGAUUUUCACACUGAAAUAUAAGACUGAUGGAUCUCUUGAGAGACAUAAAGCAAGAUUAGUAGCCAAAGGGUACACUCAAACUUAUGGAGUAGAUUAUCAGGAGACUUUUGCUCCAGUUGCAAAAAUAAAUGCUAUAAGAAUCCUACUGUCAUUGGCUGCCCACUACAAUUUGGAACUCCUAUAGUAUGAUGUUAAGAAUGCAUUUCUUCAUGAUGAUUUAGAUGAAGAGAUUUACAUGAACAUCCCCCCGAGAUUUGAGGGAAACACGGGUAAUAAGGUGUGCAAGCUAAAAAAGGCCCUUUAUGGGCUAAAACAAUCUCCUAGGGCUUGGUUUGGGAGAUUUGCAAAAGUCAUGAAAGAGUCUGGGUACAAACAAAGCCAAGGUGACCACACUCUCUUCAUUAAGCACUCGGUUGCAGGGGGAGUAACUGCUCUUCUAGUCUAUGUUGAUGACAUCAUAGUGACUGGAAAUGAUGAGAGAGAAAAACAUGAAGUGAAGCAGAGAUUAGCAAUAAAGUUUGAAAUAAAGGAACUAGGGAAACUAAAGUACUUCCUUGGUAUUGAGGUGGCAUAUUCCACACAAGGGAUCUUCAUCUCUCAACAAAAAGUAUGUGAAUGAUUUAUUGGCAGAAACAGGGAAGAUUGGGUGUAAACCAGUGUCUACCCCAAUGGAUCCAAACCACAAGUUGGGAGAAGCUAAAGAAGAACUAGUGGUGGAUAAAGAAUGUACCAGAGGCUGGUUGGUAGGCUCAUAUACCUUGUUCACACUUGGCCAGACAUCGCCUACUCGGUGAGCAUGAUCAGUCAAUUCAUGCAUGCUACAAGAGAACCUCAUCUUCAAGCUGCUUAUAGGGUGCUGCAUUACUUGAAAGGCAACCUCGGGAAAGGAAUUUUGUUCAAGAAGAACAAUACUCUUGCUCUAGAGUAUACACUGACGCUGACUAUGCAAGUUCCUUAGUGGAUCGAAGAUCAACUACAGGGUAUUGUACUUUUCUUGGAGGUAAUUAGGUAACAUGGAGAAGUAAAAAGUAGAAUGUGGUAGCAAAAUCGUCUGUAGAAUCAAAGUUUAGGGUCAUUGCUCAAGGGUUGUGUGAACUACUUUGGCUGAAGAUUAUUCUAGAUGAUUUGAGAAUCAAGUGGGAUGGUCCUAUGAAACUCUAUUGUGAUAACAAGUCAACUAUCAAUAUUGCUCAUAACCCUAUACUACACGAUAGGACAAAACAAAAUAAGAUCGAUAGGCAUUUCAUCAAAGAAAAAUUGGAGAAAGGAGUAGUGUGUAUGUCCUAUGUUGCAUCAGAACAUCAAUUAGUUGAUAUCCUAACAAAAGGGCUGAACAGUUCAAUGUUUCACAGUCUUGUAUUCAAGCUGGGAAUGGAAGACAUCUAUUCCUCAGCUUGAGGGGGAGUGUUGAGCUAUAAAUAGAUAGGAGAAUUAUUUUCCUAUUAUGUUAGUUUCCUAUUUAUGUAAAUAGAUAGUUUUAUUAGUUUCCUAAUUCUGUAAAUAGAUAGUUUUAUUAGUUUUCUAUUUCUAUAAAUAGAUAGUUUUAUGAUUUAGGAAUAAAUUAGUUUUCUAUUAUGUCUCUUGUUUUCUAUUUCUUCUCUUGUAAUCUUCUAUAUAAACUGUGUGUAUGGUCAAUCUAAGAGACAAAAAUUAUUAUUUUCCAUCCCAUAUUUCGUAUCAAGAUGCAUGCCAUAAAAAUGGUAAGAUGAACAACAACAAGCCAAGCAACAAAAAAAAAAAAAAAAUGGAGUUUUUCCACCUUGUCCUCAUUGCAAGAAGACAAAUCAUUCUCCACAAAAAUGUUGGUGGAGACCAGAUGUGAAAUGCAACAAGUGUGGUAAACAAGGACAUGUGAAGAGGAUUUGCAAAAAUCAACAACAAAAAGAAACUAGUGCAACAAUUGACUAUUGUCAAGAGGAGCAAUUAUUUGCAGCAACGUGUUUUGCUAAUAAAAGCACCUCUGAAAGCUAGCUUGUGGAUAGUAGUUGUACAAACCACAUGACAAAUAAUCAAGAUCUCUUUAGAGAACUUGAUAGAACAACUAUUUCCAAAGUCAGAAUUGGAAAUGGUGAGUAUAUUCCAGUUAAGGGCAAAUGAACGGUUGCUAUCAAAAGCCAAAUAGGUUUGAAACUCAUUUAUGAUGUUUUGUUUAUGCUUGACGUUGACCAAAACUUACUCAGUGUUGGACAGCUCGUUGAGAAAUGAUUUAAAGUUUAUUUUGAAGAUAGGAAUUGCAUUAUCAAGGAUGUUGAAGGCAAAGAGGUGUUUAACAUAAAAAUGAAGGGCACGAGUUUUGCCUUGAAUUUACUAUAAGAUGAGCAUGCUGCUAUUUUACAACAAUAUAGCACAACAAUGCUUUGGCACAGAAGGCUUGGGCACUUUCAUCAUGAUGUUGUGCUCUACAUGAAGAAAAAUAAAAUAGCUGAAAGACUUCCCGACUUAGAAAAAGAUCUUCCUAUAACUGCUACUUGUCAAUAUGGGAAGCAAACUAAACUUUCCUUUCCAAAGAAAACAUCCUAGAGAGCAACCCAAAAAUUGCAACUAGUGCAUACUGAUAUUGGUGGACCUCAAAAGACGUCAUCCUUGAAAGGGAAUGUAGGCAUUGUUCACCAGCUCACUGCACCAUAUAAUCCACAACAAAAUGGAGUCGUAAAGAGAAAAAAUAGAACGAUUUUGGAGAUAACAAAAUGCCUUCUGCAUGAAAAAGAUCUACCUAAAGUUUUUUGGGCUGAAGCUACAAGUACAGUAGUAUAUUUGCUUAACAAAUUGCCAACAAAAACGUUAAAGAAGCAGACCCCUUUUGAAGUUUGGUUUGAGUUUCUACGUGGAAGACUUGGAGUUUGCAUCUACUAAGUCAAGAAGGAGUGUUGAAUUUUGACCUAGUAUCUACUAGAAUUUGAAUUUUGAAGUUAAAUAUUGCAGUUGGAGUCUUGCACAAAAUCUAUAACAUCCAAAUAUUUUCUUGUUUUUAUUUGGUCAAGAUUUGGUUUCUAUUUUAUAGGAAGUAGUUGUUCAUCAUCUAGUAGCUUGAUUUUAUGCUAUUCUAAUGUCAUUUCAGUUACAAGCUCAUGUAUAAAUUCAACACUCUUCAUCAAUAAAAUGUGUGUUCCAGCAACCCAAAAUAUAUAUUCUGCAUAAGUGUUUAAAUCUUAGACCAACACAUCCUCGUCACUAGUAGUUGUGCCUCUCAGGUUACCUUUUUUAUCUCUCAGCUCAGCUCCACCUUUGCUCUUCAUGAUCUUGGUUCCCUUUACUAUUUCUUUGGCAUUGGGGUUUCUCAUAGUACUGAUUCUCUUCAUCUCUGCCAACAAAAAUAUGUGAAUGACCUGCUCACUCGUACUGCCAUAACUGAUGCUAAACUUGUUCUUACAUUGGGUUCCUUGGCCAAACCUCUCUCUCUCACUGACGGUGAUCUACUUCAUAUCAUAACAUUGUUGGCGCAUUACAGUAUGUUACUGUUACAUGUCCAAACCUUUCUUUUGCAGUUAACAAGGUAUGCCAGUUUAUGGCUUCCCAACGACUACCCACUAGCUAGCUUUCAAGAAUAUAAAAAGUAGUUAAAAAUAAAAUAAAAAUAUAGACUUAAAAUAAAAAAUAAAUUAAAAAUGAAUAAUUAAAAAUUUUAAAAAUGAUAAAUAUUUUUUUUUUUUUUAAAGUUUUCAAAAAAAUCUCAGAUAUUUUCAGAUAUAUCGGCAAUGUAUCCGAUAUAUCUCUAAUAUUUUGAUAGACUUCCUCUAUUGCUUUGUGCGUCACUUCACACUCGAUUUUUUCGCCGAUUUAUCGAUUUCAAAUUAACCGAAAUAUCAACAUAUUUCGGGGAUUUUUCUGAUAUUCCUCCGUUCAAUAAUGUUGCUUAAUAUCCUUUUAGGGUAGUCCGAUAUCCGAUAUAUUGGCGAAAUAUCACCGAUAAAAACCGAUUUUUCAAUCCAUGCUUAAUAGUGGGUUUCCCUUUUGUUUGGCCUCUUGUAGACCCCCAUUUUGGGGCUCGGUUUUUUUUAUCUCUAUUUUCUUUGUAGGUGUCACCACCCCAGGGAGCCAUGCGUCGCCUCUUUGGUGGUUGAUAGGGAAUCAACAUUGCUUUUCGGGGACCUAUGGUAGGUUGACACGUGGAAGAAUAUUCUGGAGAGCUAAUUUCCGUUAUGGGGGAGCAUAUGAGAGAGGAUAUUCUGCAGGCAUUUUGAUUCUCACAUGUGCAUGAUCACUUUGAGUAUUCAUUGAUUUCCGCAUCAAUUGUCACAUCAGCUUCAUUUUAUUUGUAGAGACCCGACUUUAGGGACUUAGAGGGGUGCUACGGUCUUUACCGUACCUUCCCGAUAAGUAAUCUGACCCCCGAGCUCAAUCCAGUUUUUCACGGACCACCUUUUCCAAAUAAGGAGUCACACUUAGGGUUUUCUUUCUUAUUUUAUUUACCCUUUAAAAAUAAAACAAAAUUAAGUGGCGACUCCAAGUCAUUUUUCUUAAUCAGUAAAAUCAUUUUCAAAAUAAAAAUUGAGCUCGCCAUCGAGUGAAAAACGCAUUAGCUGAAAUGCGGGGUCCACACCUCUGUUUUUUUUAUAAAAAAAAAAAAAAAUCCUUUCCCAUUCUAUGGCCUUGAGUGAGCAUUACGUAUUUCAACUAUUUUGACAUGUUCAAAAUAAAAUACUAAGAAUUUAAAGGGAAUUUGUUCGACAAGUACUUUUUUUUUAACAUAUUUAUUUAUACAUUAUUUAGUUUAGGUUGCAUUAUUCUAUGUAAAUAAUUUAUUGGGUAUGGGAAUUAUUUUUAUAAAUGGCUGAGUAGAUUCAAUUUUAGAUAUUUAUUUAUUGAUCAUGAAAAAUAUUUAUUAAAACAUGGUUUAACAACCAUGCGAUGGAAUCAACCUAUUAAAAAAAAUAAACUAAUACUAUAUUAUUUUAACUUAAAUUAUUUCUUGAUGGUAGCAAUGUUGAAAAAACAAAUAUCAAUAAAGACUAAUCUUAACGAGAAAAUAGUAAUUAACAUAAUUUUAUAUUAACUUGUAAAAUUGGGUCAACAUAUAAAUAUAUUAAUUGUAACAAGAAGACCUACAUUGAUAAUGAAACGUCAAUAUUAGUCUAUAUUGCCAACUUUGAAAUAUUAAUAUAUGUAUAUAGCAUAUGUUUUCAUGAUUAGGAAUUAGAGAAAAUUUUGUAGAAGAUUUUUCCAAAUUUGAAAAUAACUAUGGAAGAAAUUCAACUUAAACACGUUUCUUUGUGGAAGAGUUGCAUGUCUACUCAAGUCUCAGCAUGUUCCCUAGCCCAAAUUUCUAAACCCAAAAAUCACCCUGUGGCAAGCUUGAAGGUAAUUCAAUGAAAAUAUGCUUAAAGCUCAACGGCUAAUUUACUUAUUUGGAAGUCAUUUUUCUCUAUGUGUUGGAUGAUAAAAUUUGUUGGUCUAGGUUACACGUUCCUGCAAAGAAGAGCAGACGGAGGAUCUGAAAAAUGAAUUGAAACUGGAAUUAAUACGUAGUGUUAUUAUAUAUCGAUGGAAAUUAGUUUAAAGUUGGAUAUAUUAAUACUUAGGAUGUUUGGUAAAACUUAAUACUUAUUAUUUAAUUAUUUGAGUUGACUUUAAAUUAAAUUAUACUUAAAUUACUUACUUAAAACUUAUUACUUUAAGUAUUAAGAUAUAAAAUUAACUUAAAGUUUAUUUAAAAUCAUUAAGUUGACAUAUUUAUUCUUAUAAAUUAUAAUUAGAAUAGAAAAAGUUGAGUUUAUAGAGUUGUAAAAGAGAUCAUGAAGGUAAUUAAGACAAAUAAAGAUAAAAAGAUAAAAUGAAAAUAUAAAAUUAAAAAUAAAUUAAUUAUUUUUACUUAUUAUUUAAAGUUAUUUUUUUUACUUUAAAUCAUAUUAUCAAGUUAUUUUAUUAAAUAUGCUUAAUUUACUUAAUGACUUAAAUUAAGUUAUUAAAUUAUUUUAAGUUAUUAAGUUGAUUUAUCAAAUUUCUACUUAUUGAAUACAAAUAUAGAAGGAAAUUAGGAAAGCAAAGUAGAUGGGUUAUUAGGUGAAAGCUUAUCAAAUCCGCCUAUCAACAUAUCACACUUUUACCAAAAACCCACCUCAUGCCAAGCCUAUAAGUUGUCAAGUCCUUAUGAUCCAACAACUUUCUUAUGGUUCCCACACGGAUUUCUAUUGUUAUCAAAACAAAAAGUUUAUAAUAAAAUAUAUAUAUAUAUAUAUAUAUAUAUAUAUAUAUAUAUAUAUAUUAUAAUUCAUAAAUAAUCUGACAAUUAAAUAAAAAGAUAAACUCAUUUGUGGAAUAUAAUUAAUAAAAAAAAAAGAGAAGUGUUAAGAGUUUUAAAUUAUUAUUAUUUUAUAUUUUUUAUAUUUUAAAUAAAUAUAAUUAAAAUAAUGGAUAAAAAAUGUGCACUUUGUACCUUCAACCUAUAAGAGUUGUAAUAUUUUCAAGUUGGUAUUCUUUAACAUAAGUCAAAUUCUAACUUAUUCAACUUUGACAAUUUUAACCUAAUCCUCAUAUUGGUACAAAUUAGACUAUUCUACCUUAUUUAAGUUUUAGUCCUAAAAAAAUCAUGAGAAUUAUGGACCGAAUGAUGUAUAUUAAAUUUCUAAGAUUCAUAUUUUAAAAUUAAUAAAAUUGAAGUAUUUUCCUUCUGGAGAUUAUUUAUUAUGAUUUAUCUUUACUUUAAUUAAUUAAUUAAUAUAUAUAUAUAUAUAUAUAUAUAUAUUUCAUUGGUAGAAUUGUCCUUAAUGGCCUUUGUACAUAGAGUACAUUCCUGGUCAUAAGAAUACGUGUCAAAUAUAAAUAUGCUUUUCAAAUUUAAUCAUUCUUAUUAUAAGUUUAUUAUUAUUAUUAUUAUUUUAUUAUAUACCUUGUAAAAAUAAAAGUUAUGAUCUUACGUAAGGUCGCAAUUUGAAGUUCAAGUUCAUUAAACUGUGCAGAGUUUAGCUUUCUAUAUAUAUAUAUAAAGAAUCAAUUCCAUCAAUUCAUUAUUUUUUAAGAAUUGAAAAUUACAUAAAUAUUGAUGGUUAUAUUUUACAAAAACAUUGAAACAAAACAAUAAUAUAUUAUUAAAGUUGUUUUACUAAAUAAAAUAAUAUAAUCAUCGUUAUAUAUAUUCUUGUACUUUGUUUAUUAACAAUUUUAUUAUAUUUUCAUUUUAACUUAAGAUAAAGACAAAGGGUUGAAUUGAAAAUUUUAAUUUGCAUAAUUUAAUUAAUUUGAAAAGAAUUUUAAAUUGAGAAUUUGAAAAACAAAUUCCAAAUAAUAAAAAUAAUUUGGAAAUGAAUUUUAAAUUAAGGAUUUAAAAUUUAAAAUUUGCAAAAGGAAAUUUUUUAUAAAUCUUUUCUAAUUUUAAAUAUGAAAUAUUUCCAAAUCUUUUUAAAACUCUUAAGUUUCUAAAUUGUUUUUCAUAAAAUAUAAUCUUUAAAUUAAUUGCAACUAUAUAAAGUUUUCUCCUAUAUAUAUCCUACCUAAAUGUAUAUUUGAUGACGGUCUGACUUGUUUUUCUAUUCUUAAUCUCUAAAGAAAGAAUUCAUUACAAGUACCUACAUCCCCUCAGAAGCUUAGAGGAGUUAGAGCAUUUGGAGGUACUACAUUGUGGAUGUGGAUUAAGGUGUAGGUUCUAGCUAGUGAAUCAUUAAGGUAAAACGGUUAUUAAAUAUGUGUACUUUAAUUUCAAAUAGUGGAUUAUAAAUUAGAGGUUUUAAAUCUUGUGAUUUUUUAUGCCCACAAUUAGCAUUGAUAUUUUCAAAUUAAAAUUUCUUGUGUCCCUUAUUUGAUUAUUUUUAUUAUUUUGAUUAUCCCUAUUAUCUCUUAGUUUAAAUUGAGUUAAUAUUAUUUAACUCUUAUAUUAUUUUCUUUAAAAAUCACCCCACUCUCAAUGUCAUCCUCUUGGACAAAAGCGUGUAUAUAUAUAUAUAUAAUUCACAAAUCUUGAAAAUAUAUUUAAUAUUAAAAUAUCAUUCCAUGUAAUUUGGAAGUAUUCAAAGAUGUAAAAGAUAUGAUAAUAUAUGUAUAAUUAUUUUUUAUUUAAAAAUAUUAAUAAUUACAUUUGCAACUUUAUUUUGUCCUCAUUAUUUAAUUAAUAUACAAAAAGAUAUGGGAAUAGAAUUAUCAAAAGAAUUGUCAUAAUAAAGCUUUAUAUUCUUCAUAAUAAGUUAAAUUAAGGUGAUAUUUAUUUAUUUUACUUAAAUCUAAAUAAAAAUUAAUUUAACUUAAUUGUAAAUAUAACUUAAUAGAAUUAAUUAUUAUAUUUUUUUGUUUUUUAUAAUUUUAUUUUUGUUAAGCGUUAAAUAUUAAUUGGGUGAGAGUCCUACUAAGGUUGUGCUUUGACUUAUUCAAAAAAUUAUUUUUAGUAAUGAGCAAAAAGUUAAAUAUUUUACUUUUAUCUAUUCAUUAAAAAAAUCUUAAAAAUUAAUUUUUUUUUUGUUUUAUUUAAAAUAGUGAAUGGAGUUUGAGUCGAAUUUUAAUUAUUUGGUAAAAUAAUAAAAUUAGUUUUUUAUUUAAAAGAAAAAAUAAAGGUAAGUCAAAGAUAUAAAGAUAAUUAUUUUAUUUUAAAUAAGAAAGAUUCAAAUAAAUAAAAAAAGAAAAAGUUAAUGAGCUACAAAUUUUAGGAUUAAUUGAUUAAAAUGGGUGAAAAUAUCUCAAAUUUGUAAAACUAAUCUCUUCCAUUUUUUAACUUAAAGAGUAACACUUGUUUGACAUAAAUACCCUUCAACAUUUUCAUUAUUUACAUAUGUAUUUUAAAAGAAAAUGUAAUUUUUGUAAGAAAAAAGUGAGAGUAUUCUUAUGUAUUUUUUGGAUGAAAAAAAAUGGUUUGCAAUUUGAUAUUUCUUUUGUCCUUUUUAAUCGGUUAUCCCCAAAUUUUUUUUACGGAAAAUACAAAUUCUAAAAAUAUUUGGUUUUAUUGCUAUUUUUAAAUUUAAAUAUAUUUUUACCUUAAUUAUAUUUUUAUUUCAAAAUAAUUGAUGAUGAUUUAGUUGAAUUCUAACAUUUAAUGGAGUUUUAGUUGAAUUCUAACACUAUAAUAUAAAGUGACCCGAUAAAAUUAUAAAAUCAAUUUUAUUUAAAAAUAAAUAAAGUUGAGUUAAAAAUAGUAUUAAAUAAAUUAAAUUUUAAAAAUAAAAUUUAAUAGUUUUACCUUAAAUAAAAAAUAUUAAAAGAAAAAAUAAUUAGAUAGAUAGGCUUUAAAUUUUAUUAAGAGAAACAUAAAUUUUUUUUUUUAAAAUUGUUUUUAUUUAUUUUCAAUUUUAAAAUUUUAUUUCUAUUUUUUAUUUAAAUGUAUUUUCAAAUUUUAUCUAAAAAUAGUUAAUAGAGUUUUGGUUGAAUUUUAAGACUAUAAGAUAAGCGAAUAGUUGAAAUUAUAAAAUGAAAUUUUUUAUUAAAAUGAAAAGAAAGUUAAGUUAAAGAUACUAUAAAUUAUGAUUAGAAGAAUGAAAAUCAAUAUAAAAAAAAAAAUGGUUUUAUCUUAAAUUAGAAAUAUUUAAAAAAAAAAAGAAUAAUGUAUUGAAAAAUAUAACUUUGUGGUAGAAGAGCAAUGACUAUGCUCUUUUGAAUACCCUAGUUUAUGUUCAUUUUUUAAAAUUUAAAAAGAAUAAACAUCUUUUAGAUAUUAACAAAAAUAAAUUUAAAUAGAUUCUUUAACAUAAAACCUAAAAAACAUUUGUUGUUGGCCAAAAAAUCCAACUAUGAGCCCUUUUAUGACAAGUGAAACUUCCAAAUCUUCUGAAGAGUUUUUUAUCUUAGUAUUAAAAUCUAAAAGCAGAAUAUUUAUACUAUGAGUUGUCUUUUUAACAACUAAUUUAUUUUAUUAAAUGUAAUAAUAUACAUUAAUAUGUUGUAAAUGAAAAGUAAUGAAUGACCACAUUGAUGGCCAUUAUGAACUCCAUUUACUCAUCUUUAAGAUGAGUAAUGGGAGUUCAUAUUAUGAAGCCUAUAAAAGGCUUCUUACCCCCCCAUGUAAAAGGAUCCCGAGAAAAGAAAGAAAGUUCUUCCUCUCAUUCUCUCUCUCUCUCUUUCUUUCACUUUCUCGAUUCUCUUAUUUGAUUCCUUCUUCCAUAUUAUAUAUCAAAGUAAGAUAUAUUUUAUCUCUACUACUUUGAUUUGCAUUAUAUUUGUCCUUGUUUUACAACACGUUAUCAGCACGAAUUGCUCUGAAGGUAAUUCUCGUAUCUUAAACUUGAAGUUAUUUAUAUAAAAUAAAAUUUUACAUAUUUAUAUUAUUGUUGAUUUGUUUUGUUACAUAUUGUUAAAAGUUAUAAACAAAUUAUUUGAUUUUGUUUAUAAUCAAAGUUAUACCAAUGCUAUCAAGUUAUUAUAACUGAUUUUAAUAAUAUUGUUUUGUCAUAUAUAUGAAGUUAUUUGACAAUGUCGAAUAUUACAAAACUCGAAUUUGUGGCACUUGACAUUUCGGGAAAGAACUAUCUAUCUUGGAUCCUUGAUGCUGAAUUACAUCUUGAUGCAAUGAACCUUGGAGCUACGAUCAAACAAGGAAAUCAAGCAUCCCUGCAGGAUCGCGCAAAAGCAUUGAUUUUCCUUCAUCAUCACCUCCAUGAAGGUUUAAAAAAUGAGUAUCUUACGGUAAAGGACCCUUUUACUCUAUGGAGUAAUUUGAAAGAAAGAUAUGACCACUAGAAAACUGUGAUUCUCCCAAAAGCUCGAUAUGAUUGGAUGCACCUAAGGUUGCAAGAUUUUAAAACUGUUAGUGAAUACAACUCUGCACUUUUCAAAAUCAGCUCUCAAUUAAAGCUGUGUGGAGAAAAAAUCACAGAGGAAGACAUGUUAGAGAAAACUUUUACUACGUUUCAUGCCUCGAAUGUGCUCCUGCAGCAGUAAUAUCGAGAGCGUAGAUUUACAAAAUAUUCUGAAUUAAUAUCAUGUCUUCUUGUUGCUGAACAAAAUAAUGAGCUUUUGAUGAGAAAUCACCAGUCUCGUCCAACUGGAUCUGAACCAUUCCCUGAAGUGAAUGCAAUAUCGUCCCAAACUCGUGGACGUGGACGAGGACGAGGACGUGGUCGUGGUCAUGGAAGAAAUCCUCGAUACCAUGGUUCUUAUAGUAAUAAUUCUCAUAAAAUGAAAGCCUCAUUGCACCACCAGAAGUGGAACAAUACUGAGACAAUACAAGAAAAUGGGAAGCGUUUACAAGAUAAACCUCCUAAGAACCAUGAGAAUAAUUGUUAUAUAUGUGGUAUGAAGGGGCAUUGGUCGCGUACCUGUCGUACGCCCAAACAUUUGGUCGACCUUUACCAAGCAUCAAUAAAAGCUAAAGGAAAAGAGAUAGAGAUGAACUUUACCGAUGGUGAUGGAUUGGACCUAACCUACUAUGACAUUGAUUUCUUUGGAGGUCCCAAUGAAAAACCAGACCAUUUGAUAAAUGAUGAAAAAAUUAACAUUGAUUGAUGUUACUCUAUAUAUACAAUAAUAUAUUAUUAUGUCUUAUAUUUACAUCUGAUUUACUUUGUUAUUUACAUUAUGCCUUUUUUUUUGUUAUAUCUGAAAUCCAUGUGUUAUUUGGUCUCAAGAUGAAUGAGGAUGAUGUAUGUCUCGCAGACUGUGCGACCACGCACACAAUUCUUCAAGAUAAAAGAUAUUUCCUUGAAUUGACAUUAAUAAAAGCUAAUGUAAGUACCAUAUCUGGUACUACAAACUUAGUUGAAGGCUCUGGAAGAGCAAACAUAACAUUGCCAAAUGGAACUAGAUUCCAUAUAAAUGACGCGUUAUAUUCUAGCAAAUCCAGAAGAAAUUUGCUCAGUUUUAAAGAUAUCCGCAGAAAUGGAUAUCAUAUUGAAACUAUGAAUGAAGAUAAUGUAGAAUAUCUUUACAUUACUUCCAUUAUAUCUGGCCAGAAGCUUAUAAUGGAAAAAUUGCCGGCUUUUUCCUCUGGGUUGUAUCAUACAACUAUAAAGCCUAUUGAAUCAUAUGUUGUCGUGAACCAGAAGUUCAACGACCCAAAAGUUUUUGUCCUUUGNNNNNNNNNNNNNNNNNNNNNNNUGGUCACAUGUUUGUCUCCUUUCUACACGUAACGUAGCCUUUGCUAGACUCCUUGCACAAAUAAUCAGAUUACGAGCACAAUUUCCAGAUUAUCCAAUUAAGACAAUACGUCUUGAUAAUGCUGGCGAAUUUACUUCUCAAACAUUCAUUAACUAUUGCAUGUCAGUAGGGAUAAAUAUUGAGCAUCCUGUUGCUCAUACUCAUACCCAGAAUGGUUUAGCAGAAUCCUUCAUCAAACGUCUCCAAUUAAUAGCUCGACCAUUACUAAUGAAAACCAAAUUACCUACUUCCGCCUAGGGACAUGCUAUUAUGCAUGCUGCAGCUUUAGUCCGUAUUCGACCUUCAACUUACCAUGAAUACUCCCCUUCACAACUUGUGCUUGGAAAACAACCAAAUAUCUCUCACUUACGAAUCUUUGGUUGUGCAGUAUAUGUACCAAUUGCACCUACACAACGCACUAAAAUGGGUCCCCAACGAAGACUUGGGGUUUAUGUAGGUUUUGAUUCUCCAUCUAUCAUAAGAUAUCUUGAACCUUUGACUGGAGAUGUUUUUACAGCCCGCUUUGCAGAUUGUCAUUUUAAUGAGAGUGUUUUCCCAUCAUUAGGGAGAGAAAAGUCGAUUCUUGAAGAACGACGAGAAAUUAGUUGGAAGACAUCUACUAUGACCCAUCUUGAUUCUCGUACAAAUCAAUGUGAACUAGAAGUUCAAAGGAUCAUUCAUUUGCAAAAUCUUGCAAAUCAAUUACCAGAUGCAUUCAUUGAUACAAAGAAAGUGACAAAGUCACAUAUCCCGGCUGCAAAUACUCCAGCACAGAUUGAUGUCCCUGUAGGACAGUUAACAAAUGAAUCUAAGAUACGCCUGAAGCGUGGUAGACCUGUCGGCUCAAAGGAUGUAACUCCCCGGAAGAGGAGAACCCAAGAAAAACUUGGCACUCUAGAAGAUGCCAUCAAAAUGACUGAUCAGUUUAAAAUUGAUAAAUCUAUAGCCCUAGAAGAGGCACAAAUAAUGCAGAAAGCCCCUGAAGAGGUAAAUAUUGAACAAGAAGCCCCCGAAGAGGCACAUAUUGAACAAGAAACCCCUGAAGAUCCACAUAUUGAACGAGAAGCCCCUGAAGAGGCACAGGUACCUGAAAAUUGUGAGAUCUCAGUAAGUUAUGUACAAACGGGAGAAAAAUGGGAUUGAAAUAAUAUUGUUAUUAACAAUAUUUUUGCUUUCCAAGUGACCUUUGAUAUCAUAAGAAAUGAUGAAGAUCCCGAACCACGAAAUGUGGAAGAAUGUCGACAUAGAAAUGAUUGGCCAAAAUGGAAAGAAGCUAUACAGGCAGAAUUAAACUCAUUAACAAAACGAGAAGUUUUUGGACCUGUAGUCCAAACACCUGAAGAUGUAAAGCCUGUUGGGUACAAAUGGGUAUUUGUACGAAAGCGCAAUGAGAAUAAUGAGAUCAUAAGAUAUAAAGCGCGAUUAGUGGCACAAGGUUUCUCGCAGAGACCUGGUAUUGACUACGAGGAAACAUAUUCUCCCGUCAUGGACGUAAUCACAUUUCGUUUCUUAAUUAGUUUGGCAGUCUCAAAAGGACUGGAUAUGCGUCUCAUGGAUGUUAUUACAUCAUAUUUAUACGGAUCCAUGGAUAAUGAUAUAUACAUGAAAAUCCCCAAAGGAUUUAAAUUGCCUGAUGCAAAUAAUACAAAGCCUCGUAGCAUGUACUCAAUCAAGUUACAACGAUCCUUGUAUGGAUUAAAGCAAUCUGGACGCAUGUGGUACAAUCGCCUUAGUGAAUACUUGCUAAAAGAAGGGUAUGUGAAUAACCCUAUAUGCCCAUGCAUCUUCAUUAAGAAAUCAGAAACCGGAUUUGCAAUUAUUGCAGUGUAUGUGGAUAACUUAAAUCUUGUUGGAACUCCUGAAGAGCUCACAAGAACAACAAAUUACUUGAAAAAGGAAUUUGAGAUGAAAGAUCUUGGAAAAACAAAAUUUUGUCUCGGCCUGCAGAUCGAGCAUUUUCCAAAUGGAAUUUUAGUACAUCAAUCAACAUACAUUAAGAAAGUUUUGAAGCGUUUUUAUAUGGAUAAAGCGCAUCCUUUAAGUUCUCCAAUGGUUGUCUGAUCACUUGAUGUGAAAAAAGACCCAUUUCGUCCUUGCGAAAAGGAUGAAGAGUUGCUUGGUCCUGAAGUACCAUAUCUUAGUGCUAUUGGUGCACUUAUGUAUCUUGCCAAUUGUACACGUCCAGACAUUGCUUUUUCUGUCAAUUUAUUAGCAAGAUACAGUUCCGCUCCAACUCGAAGACAUUGGAAUGGUAUCAAACAUAUAUUACGUUAUCUUCGCGGAACUACUGAUAUGGGUUUAUUUUACUCAAGGGAAUCAAAGCAACAAUUGCUUGGAUAUGCAGAUGCAGGAUAUCUUUCAGAUCCACAUAAAGGCAGGUCACAAACAGGGUAUGUGUUUAAUUGUAAUGGUACUGCUAUUUCAUGGAGAUCUGUCAAACAAACAAUGGUAGCCACAUCAUCAAAUCAUUCAGAAAUACUGGCAAUUCAUGAAGCAAGUCGUGAAUGUAUAUGGCUAAGAUCUAUGAUCCAACAUAUUCGGGAAUCAUGUGGACUCUCCUCUAUCAAAGGUGACCCGACAACAUUAUUUGAAGAUAAUGUUGCAUGCAUUGCACAAAUAACAGGGGGUUAUAUUAAAGGAGAUAGAACAAAACACAUUUCACCAAAAUUCUUUUAUACACAUGAACUCCAGAAGAGUGGUGAAAUUGAUGUGCAACAAAUACGCUCAAGUGAUAAUCUAGCAGAUUUAUUCACAAAAUCAUUGCCAACUUCAACAUUCAAGAAGUUAAUACACAGGAUUGGAAUGCGUCAACUCAAGGAUAUCGACAUGAGGGGGAGUAUGCUUGUAAAAGGGUGUUAGUGUACUAUACUCUUUUUUUCCUUCGUCCAGGUUUUGUCCUACUGAGUUUUACUGGCAAGGUUUUUAACGAGGCAGUCCUAAUAUGCCAAGAAAAGAAUAUUGUACUCUUUUUCCUUCGCUAGGUUUUUCCUAUAGGGUUUUUUACUAGCAAGGUUUUAAUGAGGCAUAUUCUUUUAAUAUGGUGGUCAUCCAAGGGGGAGUGUUGUAAAUGAAAAGUAAUGAAUGACCACAUUGAUGGCCAUUAUGAACUCCAUUUACUCAUCUUUAAGAUGAGUAAUGGGAGUUCAUAUUAUGAAGCCUAUAAAAGGCUUCUUACCCCCCAUGUAAAAGGAUCCCGAGAAAAGAAAGAAAACUCUUCCUCUCAUUCUCUCUCUCUCUCUUUCUUUCACUUUCUCAAUUCUCUUAUUUGAUUCCUUCUUCCAUAUUAUAUAUCAAAGUAAGAUAUAUUUUAUCUCUACUACUUUGAUUUGCAUUAUAUUUGUCCUUGUUUUACAACAAUAAAUUAUAGUUGAGUUUUUUUUUAAAAAAAAAUUGGCAUAUGCUUGUAUUACUUUGUUAGCUUGGAGGACGAAAAGCCUAUACAAAUAAUGAGUUGAAUGAAAUAAGAAGCGAGUAAAUUACAUGUAUCAAUGAAAUUGUAAUUUUUAGAUUACAGAAAUGAGUACAUGCAUUAAUAUAUAUGAAAAUAUAUAGUGAUUAUGAGAUUUGAGAAUCUAUUUAUUUUGAAUGAUGGGAAUUAAACUUCGUAAAAUUUCAAUGUAGAUCGGAAGUAAAUUUUUUUGUUACUUGAAAUAUUCACAACUUCUUUCCUGUAGUGAUGUUAUUUUGUAAUAGAACUUCCCUGGACAAUCGUUUUCAUGACUGGGAAUUGAAUUAGAGAAAAUUUUGUAGAAGAUUUUUUCAAAUUUGGAAAAAUCGCAUGUAGAAGAGUUGAAUUGGCAAGGAAAUCUACACACUCGUUGAACAGUCUAGGCCCACUUUUCCAAUCAGCCUAGCACGUUUUUUUGAAUUGAAUAACCACGGAUUGAUAUUGAUUGGAUCCAUUAUCAGUCAUUCAAUCCUAAAGCAUUCAUUUGUCAAACUCCAAGGAAUAUAGGUUUGGCCGAGUGAACAUUUCAAUACUAAACUUGUCCAAAUACAUUAAUUUGAUAUUUUUAGUAAAUAUGAUGCGCAAAAUGAAACCUACUUGGUCGAUAAUGACCUAGUGGUUAGGGCAAUCCCUCAAAAUUCAUAAAAAAAGAAGAUGCAAAUAGAAUCAAAUAGUAGUUCUUAUGUUAUUUUUUCAAAAAAUAGUUAUCGAGUCUGGAAAUGGGUAUUUUUCAUUUACGAAGCUUAAUCCUAUGGGAUUUAAUUUUCAUCGACUAGGAGAAUAAUUUGAUCCUAGCCACACCUAAUGUUAACGACUUGUUUAGGUAUUUUGAGUGAAGAGGACAACGGUUCCACACCGUGGGCCCCAAAACUGAACCAAAUCCCUCAUACUAUUCAACUACAUACUACCACUGCAUGCCAAGCCGUCUCUCUCAUACUUACCAAUUCUUUCUCUAGUCCAGAUUCUUAAACCCCAACAUUUGGGGUGACCAAUUUAUUACCUACACUCCCGAAGAAAGUUAAUUCAAUGAAAUUAUGUUUAUAUACUUAUUUGGAAGUUAUUUUUCUUAGGAUGAUAAAAUUUGCUGGUCUAGGUUACAAGUGCCUACAAAGAGGAGCAGAUUGAGGAUCUGAAAAAUGAAUUGAAAAUGGAAUUAUACAUGGUGUUGACUAUAAGAAUUUCAGUGGAUUCAAAAAGCCCCAAUUUAUACCUUAGCCGCCCCUAAUAGUUUCGGCUCUUGCUUCAUAAAUUUAGCCAAGGGACUCAUGAAAAAACUUUUUCUUUCACGUCAUCAAUCCCUUUCAUACACUACUUUCAACGUUUUUAUUUUACAUUAUCUUCAACAAUAGAACAUUUAGAAUAUCCUCUUGCGGAACAAGUUGCUCAUGCACUAAAGCAGCCCAUUAGAAAAGGUUUAGAGAGGCUAGAGGCAAGGUGGUAUAUGUCUAUCUACCAGGAUGAAACUUCGCAUGACACAACUUUACUAAAGCUGGCCAAGUUAGAUUUCAAUCUAGUGCAGUCCCUACACAAGGAGGAGCUAAGCAAUAUUGCUAGGUUUGCUUUCAAAUCACUAGCAGAUAUACCUAGUCACCUUCUCAUUUUACCAUGAGCUAAUUGUUUUAAUGAAUUUUAGGUGGUGGAAAGAAUUAGACUUUGCUACAAAGCUACCUUUUGCGAGAGAUAGAUUGGUGGAAGGCUACUUUUGGAUACUUGGGGUGUACUUUGAGCCUCAAUAUGUCCGGGCUAGACGAAUUCUAACCAAAACAAUUUCCAUGACAUCCAUUAUAGAUGAUAUAUAUGACGCAUAUGGCACAUUUGAAGAACUCGAGCUCUUCACCGAGGCCAUUGAGAGGUUUGAUUGAUGCAAAUUACCAACCUUCAUCAUUUAUACUGUAUGUGAUACUUAAAUCAAGCCUGGUUUUAUUUUCAGGUGGGAUAUUAAUAGCAUAGAUCACCUUCCAGAAUACAUGAAACACUGCUAUGUGGCACUCUUAGAUGUGUACAAAGAAAUUGAGGAAGAGAUGGAGAAAAAAGGAAACCAAUAUCGGGUUCAAUAUGCGAUAGAAGCGGUAGGACAUUCUGCAUCGACUUUGUUUUGUAUAGUAACAUAUCGUAAGGAUAUAGAUGUAACCUGAUUGAAUGUUUGACAGAUGAAAAACCUAGUUAGAGCUUAAUUUCAUGAGGCUAAAUGGUUCCAUGAAGGACGCAUACCAACAAUGGAAGAGUAUAUGAUAAUAAUAGGUUUAUCUUAGGGAAUCAAUAAUUAUUUUUGUAUGUUAUAAAGAUUACAUUUAUACUUGAAUUAUUUUUAAUUUAUUAUAUCAUAUAAAUUUUUUAUCUUAUAAUAUUGUAAAUUUUAAUUAUAUUAGGAAAUCAAUGAAUGCUUUUAUAACUAUUUAAAUGAUGUUAGUUAUGAGAUAAUUUUAUUUUAUUAUUGUUUUUUUACCUUAUUUACUUGUACCUAUUUUUUAAUAAUUUACAUAAUAUUUUUAUAAUUUUUAAAAUUUUCUAAUUAUCAUAUUUUUUUGUAUAUGACACUUAAAUCAAGCCUGGUUUUAUUUUCUGGUGGGAUGUUAACAGCAUAGAUCACCUUCCAGAAUACAUGAAACACUGCUAUGUGGCACUCUUAGAUGUGUACAAAGAAAUUGAGGAAGAGAUGGAGAAAGAAGGAAACCAAUAUCGGGUUCAAAAUGCGAUAGAAGCAGUAGGACAUUCUGCAUUGACUUUGUUUUGUAUAGUAACAUAUCGUAAGGAGAUAGAUGUAACUUGAUUGAAUGUUUGACAGAUGAAAAACCUAGUUAGAGCUUAUUUUCAUGAGGCUAAAUGGUUCCAUGAAGGAAGCAUACCAACAAUGGAAGAGUAUAUGGGGAUAGCACUGGUAACCUCAGGUUACUACAUGCUUACAACCAUGUCUUUCAUUGGUAUGGGAGAAAUUGUAACAAAGGAGGCCUUUGAUUGGGUGAUUAGUGACCCUAAGAUUAUCACAGCAUCAGCUGUAAUUUGCAGGCUCACGGAUGACAUCAGUUCAUAUAAGGUAUUGUGAAUAUAGUAUUUCUUGUUAAGCUAUAAUUUGACCUUGACCUUAAAGCUCAAUCAAUUAAACAUAUUUAUUGUACUCAUUUGUGCGAUUCUUUUUCUUGGUAUCCAUGAUUAAUUAACAAAGGUAUUGUUUUUUUUUUUUUGGAAAAAAAAAAAGAGAAGUUCAAAUUUAUUUUUUUCCUCUCUCUCUCUCUCUCUCCCUCCACACGCUCAUUAAUUUUAAUGUUAAGAUAUCAGCCCAAUUGACUUGAUUUAUAUUAACUUAAAACUUUUGUUCUAAUAGGUACCUUCAUAUAACGGUAAAGCCUUGAUUUUUAUAGGAGGUCAUGGAGGUGAACUGUGAACCUUACUGAUGUGUACCCAAACCAUACCAUUUAUUUAUAAUAUUGUCAUCAUAAUAUUUAAAUAUGGGACAUUUUAUGCAUUCAUUAUGUAGAUAUCCCUUUGUAAUAUACAUUCGUUGAGUUGGAGGAUGGUAACAUCGAUAUCCCUUUUUGUGUAAUGCAUAUCCAACAAACACACAUUGCAAUGCAUGGGAAGUUAACUUGGUGCGUUGGUGUUUAUGUAGAUGCACAAAUGCCACGCAACCAAAAACACGAGGAGGUAGAUUUGGGACAGUUGGGACAACUACGGCAUUAGUAAGAGUUUGGAGAGGUGUUUGGAAGUUAAUUGAGCUGGAAGGUACCCGAUUGAUCAAGUAUGCGGCAUGACUCGUGCCCAAUUGGUGUCUCAGCUGAUUUGUGUUCAGCUGGUGCUCCUUGAUUGAGGAAGUGAUCAACAAAAUUUAUACCUAUAACACCAUACACUAGGGUAGCAAAUACAAAGCUACUAUAGUAUAGUGGCUCUAAGGAUCGUUCACUGGGAAUGAUGAACAAGCAAUCAAGGAUACCAAUUCCAAGUGAAUUGGUUUUGUUUCAUUUCACGGUUAGCUUAAGGAAUAAAACACAAACUUUGAUUGGUAAAGGUUUAGACUUAAACUAACUAACUUAACAGAAGUUUGGAAUAAUUUAGGAAGAAAAGCAUUCCUUGGAGAAUUAGGUUCACUGGGGUGGUUCCUCAUGCAAAAGACAUAGCUCCGGUCAGAUGGUUCAUUUCCUCGCAUUAGAGAUUCAACUUAGAGUCAAUUCUCUAACCGGUGAUGUACAGAGACUCCUUCAAUUAGAUUUCACUUUAAUUCUCUCACUGAUACAACUUGCAAUGGUUCAUGCCUCUCACGAGCACUUACCAUUCAAGGUGAUCUUUAACCUUGGAUUCCCCUUCACAAACUCGCAAGAGAUAACUAAUGGAUGUCUCCUAGGAGUCCAAAAGCUUACCAAGUGUUGGUAAUUCCAGAAAAUCCUACCUUGAAGUCACCUACCAAAGGCUCGCAAGGGGUAAACUAGUGCAUUUCCACGGUUAGAAAUCACUUGCCUUACCAAGUGUUGGCCCAGGUGACUCCAAAGUGUUUUAAGUUAACUAAAAACAUUGAAAUCACUAAAGGAUUUCACUUCCUCUUCAUUACUAGCUAAAACCACAAAGCUUUGCAUUCUUGCACUUGGAACCUUCCCCGGCAACCUUAGCUCCAAGGAAUUGGAGGUUUAGUUACUCAUUCUCUGGGGAAAACUCCUCAGAGAAUUCAUAACUUAGAAAUAAAAUGAAAAUAUAAAGUGAGAAGGUAAGGCAGUAGAAAGAAAAGACUUUUACUUGCUUACCAAAAAACGAUUACAGAAGGAACUCCUCUCUGAGAACAUGCUCUCGAGAGGUAUUUAUAUUAAAGCAAUAUAAAACUAAUUCUUACACUGAUAUUUGGUCUUUUUACUAACUUAAAAACUAAGGAAUCAUGUAAUUGGUGGUUUACAAGGAGUAUUUUGGAAUUUAGACAACAAAAAUCUAAUGGAAAAUAUCUCCCAAUGUCGGUAGCAAGCUUCGGGAGGCUUCAGGAGCCAUUUCGCAGGAGAAAAGUGGUGCCUGCGAAAUUUCGCAGACACCCAAGAGGGCUGCGAAAUUAUUUCGCAAGACCAAGCUAUCUUCACCAGGCUGCAAAGUUGGCUUCCAUCUUGAAGUUUCCAGCUCCCUUCUCGCGGCAUGGUUCGUGCAUCGUCAGAAGGAGAAACACCUUACUGUACAAAAGCGUUGCGAAAAUCUCGCAACAAAAGGCUGAUUCCGCAGCACUUUAGAGUGACUGGCUUGUAAUGGCUGCAACUUCUUCGUUUCAACUCCAAAUCGCGCACCGUUUGAAGCAUUGGAUUGUUGACUUCCUGAGCUUUGAAAUGGUAUAUAGCUUGCAUCAUUUGGACUUCAGAAAGUGCUCCAAAAGUGGCUGCUACGACUGUCAUCAAGAAUAGGCUUCAUGACUGAUCCUCUUUGCUUUUUCUCCUUGCAAUCCGGAUUCACUCUUGGCAAUUGAAUUCUAAGCUUUUCCCAUGAUUCCUCAUAGCUCUCCUCAUUCUUGACUUGCUUUGGUGAUCAAAAUACUAACAAAAACACCAAAACUUGCACAAAGUGAUCAAAAUUGCUUUAAAGGAUCCUUAACAUGCCAAUUGAGUUAAAAGGCCUAAACUACUACUCAAAAGUGUUAAAAAGGAUUAAUUAAAGGCUAUCAAAUAGCACUUUUUGAGUAGUAAUCACGGCAGAUGUGAUUGCUUCUCCCCAAUAAGAUAUCGAUGUUUUUGCUGCUAUCAAGUAAGCACGAACAACCUCUAACAAGUGCCGAUUUUUUCGUUCAGCACAACCCGAGCCUUACUCUUUCAAGGGAAUGUUCCUAAGUCCUAUUGAGGAGAAGUUGUUCUUACUGCCACAUACAUGAUAAAUAGAAUUCCGUCACGAGUUUUAGAAAACAAAAGCCUCAUAGAGAUACUUAAGAGUUUCUAUCCACACUUCAGAACCUCAAAUGGGCUCACUCCUAGGGUAUUUGGGUGCACAACAUUUGUUCAUGUCCACAACCAACAUAGAGACAGCUAGACCCCCGAGUCAUAAAAUUUGUCUUUCUUGGUUACUUCAUCCACUAAAAAGGAAACAAAUGUACAUCCCNNNNNNNNNNNNNNNNNNNNNNNNNNNNNNNNNNNNNNNNNNNNNNNNNNNNNNNNNNNNNNNNNNNNNNNNNNNNNNNNNNNNNNNNNNNNNNNNNNNNUGUUACAAUCCCAUAACAAAAAUUUUUUACAUCUUUGCAGAUGUCACCUUCACAGAAAAUAAACCUUUUUUCCCAAAGUCCUCUUUUUAGGGGGAGAUUUCAAUGAUAGAAGAUAGUCCUGAGUCCUUUGAACCUCUUGACCUUCCUCAUGUCUCAACCCAUGGUGAUGAAAUACCUGAGUCAUCCGAGUCAAUCACACCUGAGUCACCCAAUUUUGCCACUAAACCCGUGUCAUCCCAUGUUCCAAGCAGUGUCACUCGCAAUUUUCCAUAGUUUCCUAAGGUGUAUUCAAGGGAAAAGGCCAUUCCAGAACAAAAGUAUGUCCAAGAAUCCAACUCAGACCCUGGGAAUGAAAUCACGCUAAGAUCAGACCCACCUUUACAUACACAACCUGGUGAAACUUCUACUAACUCAACAGACAACCUAGACCUAGACCUUCCCAUUGCUAUCAGAAGAGGCACCAAAGAAUGCACUAAUUGACCACUCUAUCCACUAUCACACUAUGUGUCUCUUAAGCACCUAUCACUAGCCCACAAAAAUUUCAUUGUGAGUCUAAACACCACUAUCAUCCCUAACACUGUUUCUAAGGCAUUGACAAAAAGGGAAUGAAAUGAUGCUAUGAGAGAGGAGAUGAGUGCAUUAGAAAAGAAUAAAACAUGGGAGAUUGUUGAAAGACCGAAAGGGAAAAACAUUGUUGAUUGCAAGUGGAUUUUCACACUGAAAUAUAAGACUGAUGGAUCUCUUGAGAGACAUAAAGCAAGAUUGGUAGCCAAAUGGUACACUCAAACUUAUGGAGUAGAUUAUCAGGAGACUUUUGCUCCAGUUGCAAAAAUAAAUACUAUGAGAAUCCUAGUCAUUGGCUGCCCACUACAAUUGGAAACUCCUAUAAUAUGAUGUUAAGAAUGCAUUUCUUCAUGAUGAUUUAGAUGAAGAGAUUUACAUGAACAUCCCCCCGGGAUUUGAGGGAAACACUGGUAAUAAGGUGUGCAAACUGAAAAAGGCCCUUUAUGGGCUAAAACAAUCUCUUAGGGCUUGGUUUGAGAGAUUUGCAAAAGUCAUGAAAGAGUCUGGGUACAAACAAAGCCAAGGUGACCACACUCUCUUCAUUAAGCACUCGGUUGCAGGGGGAGUAACUGCUCUUCUAGUCUAUGUUGAUGACAUCAUAGUGACUGGAAAUGAUGAGAGAGAAAAACAUGAAGUGAAGCAGAGAUUAGCAAUAAAGUUUGAGAUAAAGGAACUAGGGAAACUAAAGUACUUCCUUGGUAUUGAGGUGGCAUAUUCCACACAAGGGAUCUUCAUUUCUCAACAAAAGUAUGUGACUGAUUUAUUGGCAGAAACAGGGAAGAUUGGGUGUAAACCAGUCUCUACCCCCAAUGGAUCCAAACCACAAGUUGGGAAAAGCUAAAGAAAAACUAGUGUUGGAUAAAAGAAUGUACCAGAGGCUGGUUGGUAGGCUCAUAUACCUUGUUCACACUCGGCCAGACAUCGCCUACUCGGUGAGCAUGAUCAGUCAAUUCAUGCAUGAUACAAGAGAACCUCAUCUUCAAGCUGCUUAUAGGGUGCUACAUUACUUGAAAGGCAACCCCGGGAAAGGAAUUUUGUUCAGGAAGAACAAUACUCUUGCUCUAGAGCAUACACUAACACUGACUAUGCAAGUUCCUUAGUGGAUCGAAGAUCAACUACAGGGUAUUGUACUUUUCUUGGAGGUAAUCUGGUAACAUGGAGAAGUAAAAAGUAGAAUUUGGUAGCAAGAUCGUCUGUAGAAUCAAAGUUUAGGGUCAUUGCUCAAGGGUUGUGUGAACUACUUUGGCUGAAGAUUAUUCUAGAUGAUUUGAGAAUCAAGUGGGAUGGUCCUAUGAAACUCUAUUGUGAUAAUAAGUCAACUAUCAAUAUUGCUCAUAACCCUAUACUACACGAUAGGACAAAACAUAAUAAGAUCGAUAGGCAUUUCAUCAAAGAAAAAUUGGAGAAAGGAGUAGUGUGUAUGUCCUAUGUUGCAUCAGAACAUCAAUUAGUUGAUAUCCUAACAAAAGGGCUGAACAGUUCAAUGUUUCACAGUCUUGUAUUCAAGCUGGGAAUGGAAAACAUCUAUUCCUCAGCUUGAGGAGGAGUGUUGAGCUAUAAAUAGAUAGUAGAAUUAUUUUCCUAUUAUGUUAGUUUCCUAUUUAUGUAAAUAGAUAGUUUUAUUAGUUUCCUAAUUCUGUAAAUAGAUAGUUUUAUUACUUUCCUAUUUCUAUAAAUAGAUAGUUUUAUGAUUUAGGAAUAAAUUAGUUUUCUAUUAUGUCUCUUGUUUCCUAUUUCUUCUCUUGUAAUCUCCUAUAUAAACUGUGUAUGGUCAAUAUAAGAAACAAAAAUUAUUAUUUUCCAUCCCAUAUUUCGUAUCAAGAUGCAUGCCAUAAAAAUGGUAAGAUGAACAACAACAAGCCAAGCAACAAAAAAAAAAAAAAUGGAGUUUUUCCACCUUGUCCUCAUUGCAAGAAGACAAAUCAUUCUCCACAAAAAUGUUGGUGGAGACCAGAUGUGAAAUGCAACAAGUGUGGUAAACAAGGACAUGUGGAAAGGAUUUGCAAAAAUCAACAACAAAAAGAAACUAGUGCAGCAGUUGACUAUUGUCAGGAGGAGCAAUUAUUUGCAGCAACGUGUUUUGCUAAUAAAAGCACCUCUGAAAGCUAGCUUGUGGAUAGUAGUUGUACAAACCACAUGACAAAUAAUCAAGAUCUCUUUAGAGAACUUGAUAGAACAGCUAUUUCCUAAGUCAGAAUUGGAAAUGGUGAGUAUAUUCCAAUGAAGGGCAAAUGAACGGUUGCUAUCGAAAGCCAAAUAGGUUUGAAACUCAUUUAUGAUGUUUUGUUUGUGCCUGACGUUGACCAAAACUUACUCAGUGUUGGACAGCUCGUUGAGAAAUGAUUUAAAGUUUAUUUUGAAGAUAGGAAUUGCAUUAUCAAGGAAGCUGAAGGCAAAGAGGUGUUUAACAUAAAAAUGAAGGGCAAGAGUUUUGCCUUGAAUUUACUAGAAGAUGAGCAUGCUGUUGUUUUACAAUAAGAUAGAACAACAAUGCUUUGGCAUAGAAGGUUUGGGCACUUUCAUCAUGAUGUUGUGCUCUACAUGAAGAAAAAUCAAAUAGCUGAAAGACUUCCCGACUUAGAAAAAGAUCUUCCUAUAACUGCUACUUGUUAAUAUGGGAAGCAAACUAAACUUUCCUUUCCAAAGAAAACAUCCUAGAGAGCAACCCAAAAAUUGCAACUAGUGCAUACUGAUAUUGGUGGACCUCAAAAGACGUCAUCCUUGAAAGAGAAUGUAGGCAUUGUUCACCAACUCACUGCACCAUAUAAUCCACAACAAAAUAGAGUCGUGGAGAGGAAAAAUAGAACGAUUUUGGAGAUGACAAAAUGCCUUCUACAUGAAAAAGAUCUACCUAAAGUUUUUUGGGCUGAAGCUACAAGUACAGUAGUAUAUUUGCUGAACAAAUUGCCAACAAAAACGUUAAAGAAGCAGACCCCUUUCGAAGUUUGGUUUGAGUUUCUACGUGGAAGACUUGGAGUUUGCAUCUACUAAGUCAAGAAGGAGUGUUGAAUUUUGACCUAGUAUCUGCUAGAAUUUGAAUUUUGAAGUUAAAUAUUGCAGCUGGAGUCUUGCACAAAAUCUAUAACAUCCAAAUAUUUUUCUUGUUGUUAUUUGGUCAAGAUUUGGUUUCUAUUUUAUAGGAAGUAGUUGUUCAUCAUCUAGUAGCUUGAUUUUCUGCUAUUCUAAUGUCAUUUCAGUUACAAGCUCAUGUAUAAAUUCAACACUCUUCAUCAAUAAAAUGUGUGUUUCAGCAACCCAAAAUAUAUAUUCUGCAUAAGUGUUUAAAUCUUAGACCAACACAUCCUCGUCACUAGUAGUUGUGCCUCUCAGGUUACCUUUUUUAUCUCUCAGCUCAGCUCCACCUUUGCUCUUCGUGACCUUGGUUCCCUUUACUAUUUCUUUGGCAUUGGGGUUACUCAUAGUACUGAUUCUCUUCAUCUCUGCCAACAAAAAUAUGUGCAUGACUUGCUCACUCGUACUGCCAUAACUGAUGCUAAACUUGUUCUUACAUUGGGUUCCUUGGCCAAACCUCUCUCUCUCAUUGAUGGUGAUCUACUUAUAUCGCAACAUUGUUGGCGCAUUACAGUAUGUUACUGUUACAUGUCCAAACCUUUCUUUUGCCGUUAACAAGGUAUGCCAGUUUAUGGCUUCCCAACGACUACCCACUAACUAGAUGUCAAGAAUAUAAAAAGUAGUUAAAAAUAAAAUAAAAAUAUAGAUUUAAAAUAAAAAAUAAAAUAAAUAUGAAUAAUUAAAAAUUUUAAAAAUGAUAAAUAUUUUUUUUUAAAAAAAGUUUUCAAAAAAAUCUCAGAUAUUUUCAGAUAUAUCGGCAAUGUAUCCAAUAUAUCCGAUAUAUCGUCGAUAUAUCUCCAAUAUUUUGAUAGACUUCCUCUAUUGCUUCGCGCGUCGCUUCACACUCGAUUUUUUCGCUGAUUUAUCGAUUUCAAAUUAACCGAAAUGUCAACAUAUUUCGGGGAUUUUUUUGAUAUUCCUCUCGUUCGAUAAUGUUGCUUAAUAUCCUUUCAGGGUUGUCCGAUAUCCGAUAUAUUGGUGAAAUAUCAUCGAUAAAAACCGAUUUUUCAAUCCAUGCUUAAUAGUGGGUUUCCCUUUUGUUUGGCCUCUUGUAGACCCCCAUUUUGGGGCUCGGUUUUUUUUAUCUCUAUUUUCUUUGUAGGUGUCACCAUCCCAGAGAGCCAUGUGUCGCCUCUUUGGUGGUUGAUAGGGAAUCAACAUUGCUUUUCGGGGACUUAUGGUAGGUUGACACGUGGAAGAAUAUUCUGGAGAGCUGAUUUCCAUUAUGGGGGAGCAUAUGAGAGAGGAUAUUCUACAGGCAUUUUGAUUCUCACAUGUGCAUGAUCACCUUGAGUAUUCAUUGAUUUUGGCAUCAAUUGUCACAUAAACUUCAUUUUAUUAGUAGAGACCCGACUUUAAGGACUUAGAGGGGUGCUACGGUCUUUACCGUACCUUCCCGAUAAAUAAUUUGACCCCCGAACUCGAUCCGGUUUUUCACGGACCACCUUUUCCAAAUAAGGAGUCACACUUAGGAUUUUCUUUCUUAUUUUAUUUACCCUUUAAAAAUAAAACAAAAUUAAGUGGCGACUCCAAGUCAUUUUUUUUAAUCAGUAAAAUCAUUUUCAAAAUAAAAAUCGAGCUCACUAUCGAGUGAAAAACGCAUUAGCCGAAAUACGGGGUCCACACCUCUAUUUAUUUAAAAAAAAAAAAAAAAAUCCUUUCCCAUUCUAUGGCCUUGAGUGAGCAUUAUGUAUUUCAACUAUUUUGACAUGUUCAAAAUAAAUUACUAAGAAUUUAAAGGGAAUUUGUUCGACAAGUACUUUUUUUUUAACAUAUUUAUUUAUACAUUAUUUAGUUUAGGUUGCAUUAUUCUAUGUAAAUAAUUUAUUGGGUAUGGGAAUUACUUUUAUAAAUGGCUGAGUAGAUUCAAUUUUAGAUAUUUAUUUAUUGAGCAUGAAAAUUAUUUAUUAAAACAUGGUUUAACGACCAUGCGAUGGAAUCAACCUGUUAAAAAAAAUAAACUAAUACUAUAUUAUUUUAACUUAAAUUAUUUCUUGAUUGUAGCAAUGUUGAAAAAACAAAUAUCAAUAAAAGACUAACCUUAACGGGAAAAUAGUAAUUAACAUAAUUUUAUAUUGACUUGUAAAAUUGGGUCAACAUAUAAAUAUAUUAAUUGUAACAAGAAGACCUACAUUGAUAAUGAAACGUCAAUAUUAGUCUAUAUUGCCAACUUUGAAAUAUUAAUAUAUGUAUAUAGCAGAUGUUUUCAUGAUUAGGAAUUAGAGAAAAUUUUGUAGAAGAUUUUUCCAAAUUUGAAAAUAACUAUGGAAGAAAUUCAACUUAAACACGUUUCUUUGUGGAAGAGUUGCAUUGGCAAGGAAAGCUACACACAUUCAUUGAACAGUCUUAGGCCCAUUUUUCCAAGCAGCCUAGCAAGUUGUCUGAAUUAAACCCCUAUGGAUUGAAAUUGAUUGGAUCCAUUACCCGUCAUGCAUUCAAUCCCAAAGCGUUGAUUAUUCAAACUCUAUGAAAUAUAGGUUUCGCUGAGUAGAGGAGUUCAAAUACAUUAAAUCGAUAUUUUAAGUAAAUAUAAUGUGGAAAAUGAAACCUACUAGAUCGAUAAUGACCACAUUACAAACCGAUCUCCAGGCUAGUUAGGGCAAUCCCCUCAAAAUUCAAAAAAUAAUUAAGUAAAUAAAAUGUAAUUAUUAAUAUUUUUAAAAAGUAGUUAUGGACUCGAAAUGGGUAUUUUUUAUAUAUGAAGUUUAAUCAAGUAGUAGUUCUUAUCCUAGCCACACCUAAUAUUAACAACUUGUUAGGAUAUUCUGAUUGAAUUUAGCCAAAGAGACUCUAGAAGGCCAAUAUUUUUCUUAUCAUCACUCUCUUCCGAGCACAACUCUUCCACACCAUGGGCCCCAAAACUAAACCAAAUUCCACAUACUUUUUAACUACAUACAGCCACUGCAUUCCAGGCUGUCUCUCAUACUCACCAAUUCAUCACUGAAGGUAUAGGACUGUUCUAUCAUUGUUCCAAGUAAUUGGCAUCUCUACUCAAGUCUCAGCAUGUUCCCUAGCCCAAAUUUCUAAACCCAAAAAUCACCCUGUGGCAAGCUUGAAGGUAAUUCAAUGAAAAUAUGCUUAAAGCUCAACGGCUAAUUUACUUAUUUGGAAGUCAUUUUUCUUUAUGUGUUGGAUGAUAAAAUUUGUUGGUCUAGGUUACACGUUCCUGCAAAGAAGAGCAGACGGAGGAUCUGAAAAAUGAAUUGAAACUGGAAUUAAUACAUAGUGUUGAUUAUAUAUUGAUGGAAAUUAGUUUAAAGUUGGAUAUAUUAAUUACUUAGGGAUGUUUGGUAAAACUUAAUACUUAUUAUUUAAUUAUUUGAGUUGACUUUAAAUUAAAUUAUACUUAAAUUACUGACUUAAAACUUAUUAUUUUAAGUAUUAAGAUAUAAAAUUAACUUAAAGUUUAUUUAAAAUCAUUAAGUUGACAUAUUUAUUCUUAUAAAUUAUAAUUAGAAUAGAAAAGGUUGAGUAACAAUAGAACUUAUAGAAUUGUAAAAGAGAUCAUGAAGGUAAUUAAGACAAAUAAAGAUAAAAAGAUAAAAUAAAAAUAUAGAAUUAAAAAUAAAUUAAUUAUUUUUACUUAUUAUUUAAAGUUAUUUUUUACUUUAAAUCAUAUUAUUAAGUUAUUUUAUUAAAUAUACUUAAUUUACUUAAUGACUUAAAUUAAGUUAUUAAAUCAUUUUAAGUUAUUAAAUUGAUUAAUCAAAUUCCUACUUAUUGAAUACAAAUAUAGAAGGAAAUUAGGAAAGCAAAGUAGAUGGGUUAUUAGGUGAAAGCUUAUCAAAUCCGCCUAUCAACAUAUCACACUUUUACCAAAAACCCACCUCAUGCCAAGCCUAUAAGUUGUCAAGUCCUUAUGAUCCAACAACUUUCUUAUGGUUCCCACACGGGUUUCUAUUGUUAUCAAAACAAAAAGUUAUAAUAAAAUAUAUAUAUAUAUAUAUAUAUAUAUAUAUAUAUAUAUAUAUAUAUAUAUAUAUAUAUAUUAUAAUUCAUAGAUAAUCUGACAAUUAAAUAAAAAGAUAAACUCAUUUGUGGAAUAUAAUUAAUAAAAAAAAAAAGAGAAGUGUUAAGAGUUUUAAAUUAUUAUUAUUUUAUUAACAAUUUUAUUAUAUUUUCAUUUUAACUUAAGAAUCUAUUGAAAUAGUGACUUACUCUCUAUUAAAGAUUCAAAGUUAUUUUUCAAUCAAUCGAACUAUCAGGUAAGUAUGAAAAUGAUCGAGUAAAGACAAGUUAAUUGUCACAAAUAAGUGUGAAAAGGAUCGAGUAAAGACAAAGGGUUGAAUUGAAAAUUUUAAUUUGCAUAAAAUGUUUUAAUUAAUUUGAAAAGAAUUUUAAAUUGAGAAUUUGAAAAAAAAAAUUCCAAAUAAUAAAAAUAAUUUGGAAAUGAAUUUUAAAUUAAGGAUUGAAAAUUUAAAAUUUGUAAAAGGAAAAUUUUUAUAAAUCUUUUCUAAUUUUAAAUAUGAAAUAUUUCCAAAUCUUUUUAAAACUCUUAAGUUUCUAAAUUGUUUUCCAUAAAAUAUAAUCUUUAAAUUAAUUGCAACUAUAUAAAGUUUUCUCCUAUAUAUAUCCUACCUAAAUGUAUAUUUGAUGAGGGUCUGACUUGUUUUUCCAUUCUUAAUCUCUAAAGAAAGAAUUCAUUACAAGUACCUACAUCCCUUCAUAAGCUUAGAGGAGUUAGAGCAUUUGGAGGUACUACAUUGUGGAUGUGGAUUAAGGUGUAGGUGCUAGCUAGUUAAUCAUUAAGGUAAAACGGUUAUUAAAUAUGUGUACUUUAAUUUCAAAUAGUGGAUUAUAAAGGGAGAAUUAUGUUUUGGGGGUAGAUGGGCCCCCAAAUUAACAAAAGGUCCAUGUAACUCUUUAAAUUGAGCCCAAGACCCAAUAAAAGUAUGAAAAUUGAGUUGAAGGAUAUCAUCCUUCAGUAUUUCCAAAAAUGUCAUUUGUUGAUUUUGAGAAAAAAAAAUUAAUAUUUUUGAAAAAUACUUUUAUAUAAUUUAAUAUUUUUUAUUUAAUUUAAUAUUUUUAAAAAAAUACUUUUAUGUAAUUUAAUAUUUUUUUAAAUACUUUUAUUUAAUUAAAUAUUUUUUAAAAAUAAAUUUAUUUAAUUUAAUAUUUUAAAAAAAUAUUUAAUUUAAUAUUUUUUAAAAUACUUUAAUUUAAUUUAAUAUUUUUGAAAAAAAAUUAUUUAAUUUAAUAUUUUUGAAAACUACUUUUAUUUAAUUUAGUAUUUUUGAAAAAAAAUUAUUGAAAAAAAAAUAUUUAACUUAAUUUUAUAAAAUAUUUUAUAUGUGUUCUUAAAGGGUAUACUUGUCCGUUACUAUUUCAUAUCCUUCAACUCAAUUUGAAGAGUUAUAUGGACCUUUUGUUAAUUUGGGGACCCAUCUACCCCCAAAACAUAAUUCUCCCGAUUAUAAAUUAGAGGUUUUAAAUCUUGUGAUUUUUUAUGCCCACAAUUAGCAUUGAUAUUUUCAAAUUAAAAUUUCUUGUGUCCCUUAUUUGAUUAUUUUUAUUAUUUUGAUCUUUAAUUAUUUUGAUUAUCCCUAUUAUCUCUUAGUUUAAAUUGAGUUAAUAUUAUUUAACUCUUAUAUUAUUAUCUUUAAAAAUCACCCCACUCUCAAUGUCAUCCUCUUGGACAAAAGCGUAUAUAUAUAUAUAUAUAUAUAUAUAUAUAUAUAUAUAUAUAUAUAUAUAUAUAUAUAUAUAUAUAUAUAUAUAUAAUUCACAAAUCUUGAAAAUAUAUUUAAUAUUAAAAUAUCAUUCCAUGUAAUUUGGAAGUAUUCAAAGAUGUAAAAGAUAUGAUAAUAUAUGUAUAAUUAUUUUUUAUUUAAAAAUCUUAAUAAUUACAUUUGCAACUUUAUUUUGUCCUCAUUAUUUAAUUAAUAUACAAAAAGAUAUGGGAAUAGAAUUAUCAAAAGAAUUGUCAUAAUAAAGCUUUAUAUUCUUAAUAAUAAGUUAAAUUAAGGUGGCAUUUAUUUAUUUUUACUUAAAUCUAAAUGAAAAUUAAUUUAACUUAAUUGUAAAUAUAACUUAAUAGAAUUAAUUAUUAUAUUUUUUUGUUUUUUAUAAUUUUAUUUUUGUUAAGCGUUAAAUAUUAAUUGGGUGAGAGUCCUACUAAGGUUGUGCUUUGACUGAUUCAAAAAAUUAUUUUUAGUAAUGAGCAAAAAGUUAAAUAUUUUACUUUUAUCUAUUCAUUAAAAAAAUCUUAAAAAUUAAAUUUUUUUUUUGUUUUAUUCAAAAUAGUGAAUGGAGUUUGAGUCGAAUUUUAAUUAUUUGGUAAAAUAAUAAAAUUAGUUUUUUAUUUAAAAGAAAAAAUAAAGGUAAGUCAAAGAUAUAAAGAUAAUUAUUUUAUUUUAAAUAAGAAAGAUUCAAAAAAAAAAAAAAAGAUAAAUGAGCUACAAAUUUUAGGAUUAAUUGAUUAAAAUGGAUGAAAAGAUUUCAAAUUUGUAAAACUAAUCUCUUCCAUUUUUUAACUUGAAAGUAACACUUGUUUGACAUAAAUACCCUUUAACAUUUUCAUUAUUUACAUAUGUAUUUUAAAAGAAAAUGUUAUUUUUGUAAGAAAAAAGUGAGAGUAUUCUUAUGUAUUUUUUGGAUGAAAAAAAAUGGUUUGCAAUUUGAUAUUUCUUUCGUCCUUUUUAAUCGGUUAUCCCCAAAUUUUUUUUACGGAAAAUACAAAUUCUAAAAAUAUUUGGUUUUAUUGCUAUUUUUAAAUUUAAAUAUAUUUUUACCUUAAUUAUAUUUUUAUUUCAAAAUAAUUGAUGAUGAUUUAGUUGAAUUCUAACAUUUAAUGGAGUUUUAGUUGAAUUCUAACACUAUAAUAUAAAGUGACCCGAUAAAAUUAUAAAAUCAAUUUUAUUUAAAAAUAAAUAAAGUUGAGUUAAAAAUAGUAUUAAAUGAAUUAAAAUUUAAAAAUAAAAAUGAAUAGUUUUACCUUAAAUAAAAAAUAUUAAAAGAAAAAAUAAUUAGAUAGAUAGGCUUUAAAUUUUAUUAAGAGAAACAUAAUUUUUUUUAAAAAAAUUGUUUUUAUUUAUUUUCAAUUUUAAAAUUUUAUUUCUAUUUUUUAUUUAAAUGUAUUGUCAAAUUUUAUCUAAAAAUAGUUAAUAGAGUUUUGGUUGAAUUUUAAGACUAUAAGAUAAGCGAAUAGUUGAAAUUAUAAAAUGAAAUUUUUUAUUAAAAUGAAAAGAAAGUUAAGUUAAAGAUACUAUAAAUUAUGAUUAGAAGAAUGAAAAUCAAUAUAAAAAAAAAGUGGUUUUAUCUUAAAUUAGAAAUACUAAAAAAAAAAAAAAGGAAUAAUGUAUUGAAAAAUAUAACUGUGGUAGAAGAGCAAUGACUAUGCUCUUUUGAAUACCCUAGUUUAUGUUCAUUUUUUAAAAUUUAAAAAGAAUAAACAUCUUUUAGAUAUUAACAAAAAUAAAUUUAAAUAGAUUCUUAACAUAAAACCUAAAAAACAUUUGUUGUUGGCCAAAAAAUCCAACUAUGAGCCCUUUUAUGACAAGUGAAACUUCCAAAUCUUCUGAAGAGUUUUUUAUCUUAGUAUUAAAAUCUAAAAGCAGAAUAUUUAUACUAUGAGUUGCCUUUUUAACAACUAAUUUAUUUUAUUUAAUGUAAUAAUAUACAUUAAUAUAAAUUAUAGUUGAGUUUUUUUAUAAAAAAAAAUUGGCAUAUGCUUGUAUUACUUUGUUAGCUUGGAGGACGAAAAGCCUAUACAAAUAAUGAGUUGAAUGAAAUAAGAAGCGAGUAAAUUACAUGUAUCAAUGAAAUUGUAAUUUUUAGAUUACAGAAAUGAGUACAUGCAUUAAUAUAUAUGAAAAUAUAUAGUGAUUAUGAGAUUUGAGAAUCUAUUUAUUUUGAAUGAUGGGAAUUAAACUUCGUAAAAUUUCAAUGUAGAUCGGAAGUAAAUUUUUUUGUUACUUGAAAUAUUUACAACUUCUUUCCAGUAGUGAUGUUAUUUUGUAAUAGAACUUCCCUGGACAAUCGUUUUCAUGACUGGGAAUUGAAAUAGAGAAAAUUUUGUAGAAGAUUUUUUCAAAUUUGGAAAAAUCGCAUGUAGAAGAGUUGAAUUGGCAAGGAAAUCUACACUCAUUGAACAGUCUAUGCCCACUUUUCCAAUCAGCCUAGCACGUUUUUUUGAAUUGAAUAACCACGGAUUGAUAUUGAUUGGAUCCAUUAUCAGUCAUUCAAUCCUAAAACAUUCAUUUGUCAAACUCCAUGGAAUAUAGGUUUGGCCGAGUGGACAUUUCAAUACUAAACUUGUCCAAAUACAUUAAAUUGAUAUUUUUAGUAAAUAUGAUGCGCAAAAUGAAACCCACUAGGUCGAUAAUGACCUAGUGGUUAGGGCAAUCCCUCAAAAUUCAUAAAAAAAGAAGAAGCAAAUAGAAUCAAAUAGUAGUUCUUAUGUUAUUUUUUCAAAAAAUAGUUAUCGAGUCUGGAAAUGGGUAUUUUUCAUUUACGAAGCUUAAUCCUAUGGGAUUUAAUUUUCAUCGACUAGGAGAAUAAUUUGAUCCUAGCCACACCUAAUGUUAACGACUUGUUUAGGUAUUCUGAGUGAAGAGGACAACGGUUCCACACCGUGGGCCCCAAAACUAAACCAAAUCCCUCAUACUAUUCAACUACAUACUACCACUGCAUGCCAAGCCGUCUCUCUCAUACUUACCAAUUCUUUCUCUAGUCCAGAUUCUUAAACCCCAACAUUUGGGGUGACCAAUUUAUUACCUACACUCCCGAAGAAAGUUAAUUCAAUGAAAUUAUGUUUAUAUACUUAUUUGGAAGUUAUUUUUCUUAGGAUGAUAAAAUUUGCUGGUCUAGGUUACAAGUGCCUACAAAGAGGAGCAGAUUGAGGAUCUGAAAAAUGAAUUGAAAAUGGAAUUAUACAUUUUCAUGGACAAGGGAAAGGAACAAGGGAAAGUUGUGUUUUCAUGGACCAAUAUGGUAAUAAUAUUGUUUUUGGAACCCAGGUUUGUGAAAGUAGAAAAACAUCUGUUAAUGUGAAACUUAUAUCAGAUUCAUGCACUUUGAGCCGGUUAUAUUUUUUCUACAUAAAAAAUAAAAAUAAAUAAAAUACAAAAUAAAUCUAUUAGAAGGCGUCUGUCUAUUCUCUGCACCCUCACCGCCAAAGAGUAGAUGAGUUGGCGAGUGUGUUCGCUCCGGAGUCUUUACGCGCCGAAGAUGCCUCUUCUCCGAUCACCUCUGUUCUUCUUUGUUUGAAGCCGCCGACUGUUCGGUACCACGUGCUCCGUUUCGGGCACUAAGAAGAAGAACAAGGAGAAGGUGAUAGUGAUAUCCGGUCCCACCGGCGUCGGAAAGAGUAGGCUUGCAUUGGAGCUGGCGAAGCGCGUCAAUGGAGAAAUUAUCAGUGCGGACUCGGUCCAGGUAAGGCACCGAGUUCUUUUACCGUUUUCCUCUUGGAUUGCCCUCUGUUUGGUUGCCGAGAAAGAAAGGGAAGGACAAUGGGAAGGGAAUUAUGUCUUGUGUUGUUGAUUUGGGUGUUUAGGUUUUGUUUUUUGUUUUCUUGUUUGUUUUUUUUUUUUUCUCUUUCAUUUGUUUGGUUGCUGAGAAAAUAGAGGAUUCAGUCUUCUUUAGAAUGUUCUAUGCUUCUGUUUUUCAAUAGGAAGCUAAUGUUUAUGAAAAUUGUGACGAGGGGCUCAUGGAGAUAUGAUAAUGUUGGAGAAAAGUAGAUAAUCUAUAUAGAAAGUUCAAAACUUCAAGCAAAGUUACUCAAGGGACUAAACCUUUAGCAACAAUUUCUCCCAAGUAUUUUGUUGGUUAGUUACUCAAAAAGGUAAUUUUUUUAAGGGGGAAGAAAAUGACAAUUUGCAUUUUAUUUUUUGGUGAUAGGCAAAUGAGAAAAUAUUUAAAAGCUCCUAAAAGGAGCUGCAACAACUUACAGAUGAUGUAUACAGUAGUCACAUAGUUUAGUCAAGAAGAAGAUAAACAAAAGAAAAAUCCUCUCCUUACUCAAAACUUAUCCAAUCUACAAAGUCUAUCAUAGAUAUUGAGUGGUCCACCUUGUACAUUCUAACCCAAUUUACAAAGUAUAUAUAAAGUCGGAUUUGAUUGCUUGGUUUGACUGCUUAGCUUCAUUCAAAGCUCUCCCUUUUUUUUUUCUUCCAAAGAGUAGAAAAAAAGCAUAAGGGUAUAGUCCUCCAGCAUUUUUUUCAUUGCUUCCCCAUGGAAGAGCCAUGCAAACCCAAAAGGAUCCUUCUACUGAAAAACACAUCCCCAAAACCACUCCAAAGAGAAAAGGAUCAACUACCAAACAUAAUUGCUUUGGCACAGUAGAGAAGCAAGUAAUCUGUCAUUUCUUCCUCGCAUUUGCACAAAUAAACUUAUUAAGCAGAGUCCAUACCAUCUUUUUGGUGCCCAUGUGCUCCACACUACACCUGUUGGGAAAGCUCUCUAUCUCCCUUGGCCAAGGAAGAUUAAAGGGAUCUAAUUGAAAAAUUGCUGCUCUUGGACUCAUUUCAUCUCAAUUCGCCCUCCUUUUCCUUUUUAAUUGACAAUGAUUGCAAAUUCAAUUGGAAAAUCUCCACUUCAUCAAGCUCUCAAUCAUUAAACUGUCUUGAAAAGUGGUGGCUCCAUCCACCCUCUUUCCCAACUUGGUCCCACUCCUCCGCUACCCAUCCAUCUCUGUUGGAUGCAAUAGAGAAUAAGUUAGAGAAGACUUGCUUUUUAUUCCCUUCCACUCAUUUUUUAUGGUUUUCCACACCUCCACUCCAUACCCUUCUCUCAUCCUUCUUGAAGACCACCUGCUUCCUCUUCUCCGAACUUUCCUAUUAUGAUUUGUUUUGAUAAGGACUCCUUGUUAGUAACAAAUCUUCAAUCCUACUUACCAAGCAAGGCCUUGUUAAAGGUUGAAAGAUUGUGAAUACCAAGAUCCCCUUCCUUCCUUGCCAAGUAGACUGUAGUCUAAUCAAUAAAAUGAGGUCUUUUCUCUAGUGCACCUCCUCCUCAUAAAAUGUUUCUUUGGAUCUUCCUGAGUCUUGAAUUGACCUUUCUUGAAAUGACAAAAAGGAUAUAUAAAUUGGAAGGCUUAAUAAUGUGCUUUUAUCAAGGUAAGUCUCCCUUCGAAAUGUAUGGGUGGUAUGGAGUUAUCAUUAAGGUAUGCCUAGCAAUUUUUUUUUUUAAACCAUGUACAGACUCCAGCUACUGCUGCAACUAGUGCUCAAUGAACGCAACAGUGUCAGAGAUACAAUUCUGGCCGCAUGCCAUUUGUGACUUCAUAGUUCAUGAUAAGUUUCUUCCUAUCUGCUGCUACAUACCAAAAUGACCAAGGGUUGAUUCUAGUUUGUCCAAAAUUUAUUAAUUCAUAUCAUGUUGUGUGCUGAUGUGAUUUGUUCCAAUUGUAAAACCAUUAUUUAUGUUCUAUAUGUGAUGUAUCUGAUGAAGUAUUCCACUUCCCAUUGUAACAGUGGCAGUUGGGUUAUGCUGAAUAUGAGGACUUUAUGUACAAGAAUGACCAACAUGUAAGGGAAAGGAAGAGUACCUGGUGAUGCUGCUGCUGGAGCAUAUGGGACGCAGUAACAACAGUGUAAUAGGGCUGUUCAUUUUUCCUUCAAUAUUGUAAAGGAAGGGAGUAGGAACAUGGACAACACUCAGUAUUUGUUCUUUUAUUAUAGUUAAGGGUGCUGGUUAGUGUUGUAUUGGCGAUUGAUUGGACAACAACUAUGAUUGUAAGAUGUGAUCCAAAGUGAUAGGUUUAUUAUGGGGUAUGGUACUAAUUUCAUAAGAGAACAACAAACAUAGACUGUAACUUAUUUGUUUGUACACUGAUGCAGUUUCAGUUUAUCCUUCUAUACUCACAUUAGUAAAUUGUUUGACGGCUUUCCUUUCAUAUUUAGUUAUUGUGUAAGCUUUUACAUAGCAUCUUCUAUUAAUGUUAUUGGUAAGUUGGGAGGUUUGUUUGGUUUGAUUUACUACAUUAGAAACAGUUUGCUGGUAUACCAAUAGUUUGCAAUGGCGCCCUUCAAAUCCUGAUCUACCGGGGUUCAGGACUAUUGCUCAUCCUCAUUGGCAAGGGCUACUCAGGGUUCCUAAAUGAUUGUGCAUUUUGCUAAUUUUGUGUUUCAAACCAUGUACAGGUUGUUAUAGAAAAAAUAAAUGUGGUAGAAAACCAAUAAAUAUUUGCUUCGCAUGAUCACCUUCCAUAUCCAACCAAAACCAUCAUAACUUGACAUAACCAGAAAAAUGAGAAAACAACAGUAUGAUUAAAUAAAUACUGAGGGUGAAAAAUUGUCGGGAGAGCAAAAUUUAUCGAAUAUGGUUUAAGAUAGUGUCAUGCUGCAAUAAGUAAUGAAAUUAACUAAUAAAAAUCUGAAGCCACAGAAUGGCUACAUUUCUCGCAGGUGCGUUAAGGUAAUACUUGAGGUACAUUAAGGUAGUACCUGAAGACCAUUAAGGUAGUACCUUAUGUGCAUUAACGCAGUACCUGACAUUUCUUAUGAUUACAUAAGGUAUAGUUGGAGUAACCUAUAAGAACAUAACAAUGUCAUGCUGUAAUAGGUAAUGAAAUUAACUAAUAAAAAUCUGAAGCCACAGAAUGGCUACAUUUCUCGCAGGUGCGUUAAGGUAGUACCUGAGGUACAUUAAGGUAGUACUUGAAGACCAUUAAGGUAGUACCUUAUGUGCAUUAAGGUAGUACCUGAAAUUUCUUAUGAUUACAUCAGGUCGAUGGAGUCACCUAUGACAACAUAACAACGUCAUGCUACAAUAGGUAAUGAAAUGAACUAAUAAAAAUCUGAAGUCACAUAAUAGCUACAUUUCUCGCAGGUGCGUUAAGGUAGUACUUGAGGUACAUUAAGGUAGUACUUGAAGACCAUUACGGUAGUACCUUAAGUGCAUUAAGGUAGUACCUGAAAUUUCUUAUGAUUACAUAAGCUACCGAUGGAGUCGCCUAUGACAACAUAACAACGUCAUGCUACAAUAGGUAAUGAAAUGAACUAAUUGUGUUUGAAGUCAUAGAAGAGCUACAUUUCUCGCAGGUGCAUUAAGGUAGUACCAGAUGUACAUUAAUGUAGUACCUCAGGACCAUUAAGGUAGUACCUGAGGUGCAUUAAGGUAGUACAUGAAAUUUGUUAUGAUUACAUACGCCACCGAUGGAGUAACCUAUGAGAACAUAACAAUGUCAUGCUGCAAUGUGUAAUGAAAUGAACUAAUUGUGUCUUAAGUCACACAACAACAACAUUUCUCAAAUAUGCACUAAGAUAGUACCUGAUGUACAUUAAUAUAGUACCUCAAGACCAUUAAGGUGGUACAUGUUUUGCAUUAAGGUAGUACCUGAUGCGAUGAAACAAUUAUGUCUUCGUUGACAAAAGAUGUACACUACAAAUUCCAACAAACAUUACAAAUUCACAAACACUAACAACAAUUUCUACUAACCAACACAUAAUUUAUGCAUUUUAAUUUUUAUUAUUAUUAUAAUUUUUAUUUUUAUUCUCAAUAUAUAUGAUUGAAUUAUCAAGUUUUUCGUCAAUAUAUGAUAUUGCCUAAUUAUAUUCAUCAAUCUGAAUAAAUACAUAAGUUUUCCACCCAAUUUCUAAAUAUGUCCACAACAUUUUUCCAUUUCAUGAGUCUCCAAUACACAAAAAUAUUGAGAUCGAACAACCGCUCAUGCUAUCCAAAAUCGACAUUUGCCUCAACCUAUGCCCUCACCAAUGGAGGAAAAAUUGCAAAUACAACAACCACUCGAAAAUCACUCUUCUGCUCCAUUUUAAACAAAAAAAUUAUUAAAAAAACAACCCUAAAUACAAAUUAAUUACCUUCACAUUUGAUGUGAAGGUUACAGAAAAAUGUGAUCCAAUGAGAAGAACACGAGAUUUCUUCUUCAUGAACCCAAUAUAUCAGAGUUGUCGUUUCCAUUCUGAUUCGCUAUCCUAAACCAGAUUUUCAGUCAACACGUACCCGCCUCAAGCCGUCUUCUUAACUCGACCUUGUUUCAAUGAAGUGCUCCAUUUGGUUCUUCACAAUUACCACAGGCAACAAAAAUUUUGAUUCAGGUUUUCAAGUAAAGGUUUAUACUUUCAAAUGUGUGAAAUUUUGCAAAUUUUCACACCCUCUUCGAUCCGGAGGGGUGACGAAAUUGGGAUGAUCGGGUCCAAAUGGUUAGGACUUUGAGAGGAGAAGGGGCUGAAGAUAGAAAACUAGAUUGGAGUUUGGGAUUAAAGGCUUCAGAAAUUAAAUGAGAGAAAUUGUUGAAAUAUACAAGAUUCUCUGCUUUGCCUCGGUGACGGAGUGAAGACAGAUGAGAGGAAUGGCUGACAAAAUGAGAGAGAGGGAAGAAAGAACGGCUGAACGCUAGGGUUUUCUUGUGGGAACCUCUGCUUCGCCUCCAUGACAGAGUGUAGAAAGAUGAGAGGAAUGGGUACCAAAUGAGACAGAGGGAGGAACAACGGUCAGUCGCCUAGGGUGUUUUUUGGUGAGAUGGGCUGCUGACGUGGAUACCUGGAGGGGCAAGCUCGGUAGAAAAAACACAGCCGACUCAGAGUGCAUGAAUCUGAUAUAAGUUUCCACAUUAACAUAUGUUUUUCAUCUUUCACAAACCUGGGUUCCAAAAACAAUAUUAUUACCAUAUUGGCCCAUGAAAACACAACUUUCCCUUUUUUAUAUUAGUAUUAAAAUCUAAAAGCAAAAUAUAUAUAUAUAUAUAUAUAUAUAUAUAUAUAUCAUGAGUUACCUUUUUAAUAACUUAUUUAUUUUAUUUAAUGUAAUAAUAUACAUUAAUAUAAAUUAUAGUUGACUUGAGUUUUUUUUUUCUUUUUCUUUUUUAAUUUGGCAUAUGCGUGUAUUACUUUGUUAGCUUAGAGGACGAAAAACCUAUACAAAUAAUUAGUUGAAUGAAAUAAGAAGAAUGAAAUUGUAAUUUUUAGAUUACAAAAAUGAGUACAUACAUUAAUAUAUAUGAAAAUAUAUAGUGAUUAUGACAUUUGAGAACCUAUUUAUUGGAUCCAUUAUCAGUCAUUCAAUCCUAAGGCAUUCAUUUGUCGAACUCCAUGAAAUAUAGGUUUGGCCGAGUGGACAUUUCAAUACUAAACUUGUCCAAAUACAUUAAAUUGAUAUUUUUAGUAAAUGUGAUGCGCAAAAUGAAACCCACUAGGUCGAUAAUUGCCACAUUACAAACUGAUCUGCAGGCUAGUUAGGGCAAUCCCUCAAAAUUCAAAAAAAAAAAAAAAAAAAAAAAAAGAAAUAAAAAAGUGAAGCAAAUGUUAUUUUUUCAAAAAAUAAUUAUCGAGUCUGGAAAUGGUUAUUUUUCAUUUACGAAGUUUAAUCCUAUGGAAUUUAAUUUUCAUCGACUAGGAGAAUUAUUUGAUCGUAGCCACACCUAAUCUUAACGACUGUUCCACACUGUGGGCCCCAAAACUAAACCAAAUCCCUCCUGCUAUUCAACUACAUACAACCACUGCAUGCCAAGCUGUGUCUCUCAUACUUACCAAUUCUUUCUCUAGUCCAAAUUCCUAAACCCCAACAUUUGGGAUGACCAAUUUAUUACCUACACUCCUGAAGACAAGGUAAUUCAAUGAAAAUAUUUGGAAGUUAUUUUUCUUAAUUUGUUGGAUGAUAAAAUUUGUUGGUCUAGGUUACAAGUGCCUACAAAGAGGAGCAGAUUGAGAUCUGAAAAAUGAAUUGAAAAUGGAAUUAUACAUAGUGUUGACUAUAAGAAUUAGGUAUGCACAAAAUGACAAGGGACUCAAAAUUGGAUACAUUAAAUAAAAGGAAAAAGAAAGAAAAAACCCCAAUUUAUACCUUUUCCUUUCACGUCAUCAAUCCCUUUCCCUUUCACGUCAUCAAUCCCUUUCAUACAUUACUUUCAACAUUAUUGUUUUACAUUAUUUUCAACAAUAUACAAUUUCUGAAGGCCAUUGCUACCCUAUUAAUGCAAUGGAGCUUCCCAAGCUUUUGCACUCAUACUUACCAAGUCAGCUUUCAAAGUAGUGUUCUACUACCGUUCCAAAAAAUUAUCAUGGCGAGUCAAGUCUUAUCAAGCCCUCUAGGCCAAUUUUCUAAACUGGAAAAUCGUCCAGUGGCCAAUUAUCACCCUACCAUUUGGGGUGACCAGUUCAUAUCCUACACUCCUGAAGACGAGGUAAUUGAAUUAAAAUAUGUGUUAAAUCUUAUAUGGCUUAUAAAUGCCUAUAUAUUCGAAAGUUGCUUUUCUUAAUGUGUUGUUUAGUAAAAUUACUUGGUUGCCACAGGCAACACGUGCCUGCAAAGAGAAGCAGGUUGAAGAUCUGAAAGAGGAAAUUUGAAGGAAGCUAAUGAAUGCAGCUGGUAACACUUUCCAACAGCUGAAAUUUAUCGAUGCUGUGCAACGUCUUGGGGUGGCAUACCACUUUGAAAGAGAGAUAGAAGAAGUGUUACAACAUAUUUAUGAUAGCUAUCCUGAUGGUGAUGAUAUGGAAGGUGAUAUCUAUAAUGUUGCUCUUCAAUUUCGGUAACUAAGGCAAGCUGGGUUCAAUAUUUCAUGUGGUAAGAGCCCAAAGAAUGAUCAUGUGUGAGCUAAAAUCCAUCCUUCUCAUAAUUCCAAUCUUAUGUUUAAAUUAUGGUAUUUAUGUAGGCAUGUUCAAUGAGUUCAAGGAUGAAAAGGGUAACUUCAAGAAAGCUUUGGUCAGCGACGUAAGAGGCAUGCUGGGCUUGUAUGAGGCUGUGCAUCUCAGAGUUAAUGGAGAAGACAUACUGGAUGAAGCACUUGCUUUCACCACCACCCAUCUAAGGUCCAUGGUAGAACAUUUAGAAUAUCCUCUUGCGGAAGAAGUUGCUCAUGCACUAAAGCAGCCCAUUAGAAAAGGUUUAGAGAGGCUAGAGGCAAGGUGGUUUAUGUCUAUCUACUAGGAUGCACAACUCUACUAAAGCUGGCCAAGCUAGAUUUCAAUCUAGUGCAGUCCCUACACAAGGAGGAGCUAAGCAAUAUUGCUAGGUUUGCUUUCAAAUCACUAGCAGAUAUACCUAGUCACCUUCUCAUUUUACCAUGAGCUAAUUGUUUUAAUGAAUUUUAGGUGGUGGAAAGAAUUAGACUUUGCUACAAAGCUACCUUUUGCGCGAGAUAGAUUCGUGGAAGGCUACUUUUGGAUAUUUGGGGUGUACCAGGGUUCAAAGUAUUAGCCGAGUCCCAUACGACUCGACCGAGUCGUAUCUGCCUCGACACUUACCACGAUGAGUCCGAUACCAGGUACAAUCCUAUGCACUAACUCAACAUUAAAUCAGUAGGACUCAAUUGGCUUGGCUCAAAUUCCGAGUUAACUUGGUUGAAUCGGUUAAAUUACAAAAUUUUUUCUGAUUCAAAUCAGUGAUUUUUUUUCCCUUUCAAAUUAGAACAUAAAGAUCAUAAAAUUUUCCAAAAAAAUCAAAGGAAGAAGAAACAUUGAAAUUUAAUCGAGCCGUGACUUCUUUUUAAGUCUAGAAGAGGAGAGAUCAGGCAGAUGAGGGCUCACUUACCUCACCACAAUCGACGGAGCAUGAGAGUUUUGGGACCGAUGGAUCACUCCUCAGCGUCGAUUUCAGUGAACUAAGCAUUGGAUACCUUUUCCGGUGACGACGACCAUUCGGGGAGAGCUUUUAUCGCAAGUUUGCAAACUUGUAGUCAAAACAAUAUUUGGGAAAGUAAAUUAAAACUAGAAUGUUAUGAUUUAUAUGCACUAUGAGAUUUAAUGAGAAUAACUUGGAUGGCAUUUUAAUAUUUUUAAUUUAUUAUAUAAUCUAAAUUUUUUGUCUUAUAACAUUCCAAAUUAAAGUAGAAAAUCAAUAAUUAUUUAAAAAAUAUAUUUUUAAAAGAAUCAUAAUUAUAAAAACAACAUUUUAAUAAUAGGUUUAUAUUAGGGAAUCAAUAAUUAUUUUUGUAUGUUAUAAAGAUUACAUUUAUACUUGAAUUAUUUUUAAUUUUUUAUAUCAUAUAAAUUUUUUAUCUUAUAAUAUUGUAAAUUUUAAUUAUAUUAGGAAAUCAAUGAAUGAUUUUAUAACUAUUUAAAUGAUGUUAGUUAUGAGAUAAUUUUUUUUUAUAUUAUUUUUUACCUUAUUUACUUACUUGUACCUAUUUUUUUAAAAUAAUUUACAUAAUAUUUUUAAAAUUUUUAAAAUUUUCUAAUUAUCAUAUUUUGCGUAUCUUCCGAUACCAAACCGAUACACUGAGAUCGAUGUGCCUCAAGAUCGUCCGAGUCAAUGAUCGAUACUGCGACUUUGAAUCAUGAGGUGUACUUUGAGCCUCAAUAUGUCCGGGCUAGAUGAAUUCUAACCAAAACAAUUUCCAUGACAUCCAUUAUAGAUGAUAUAUAUGACACAUAUGGCACAUUUGAAAAACUCGAGCUCUUCACCGAGGCCAUUGAGAGGUUUGAUUGAUGCAAAUUACCAACCUUCAUCAUUUAUAUUGUAUGUGAUACUUAAAUCAAGCCUGGUUUUAUUUUCAGGUGGGAUAUUAACAGCAUAGAUCACCUUCCAGAAUACAUGAAACACUGCUAUGUGGCACUCUUAGAUGUGUACAAGAGAUGGAGAAAAAAGGAAACCAAUAUCGGGUUCAAAAUGCGAUAGAAGCAGUAGGACAUUCUGCAUUGACUUUGUUUUGUAUAGUAACAUAUCGUAAGGAUAUGGAUGUAACUUGAUUGAAUGUUUGACAGAUGAAAAACCUAGUUAGAGCUUAUUUUCAUGAGGCUAAUUGGUUCCAUGAAGGAAGCAUACCAACAAUGGAAGAGUAUAUGAGGAUAGCACUGGUAACCUCAGGUUACUACAUGCUUACAACCAUGUCUUUCAUUGGUAUGGGAGAAAUUGUAACAAAGGAGGCCUUUGAUUGGGUGAUCAGUGACCCUAAGAUUAUCACAGCAUCAGCUGUAAUUUGUAGGCUCAUGGAUGACAUCAGUUCACAUAAGGUAUUGUGAAUAUAGUAUUUCUUGUUAAGCUAUAAUUUGACCUUGACCUUAAAGCUCAAUCAAUUAAACAUAUUUACUGUACUCUUCUUCUAAACUAUAUAUGCAGUUUGAGCAAAAGAGAGGGCAUGUUGCCUCAGGCAUUGAAUGUUACAUGAAGCAAUAUGGUGCCUCUGAGGAAGAGGCAUACGAUGAGUUUCAGAAGCAAGUUGUGGAUGCAUGGAGGGAUAUUAACGAGGAGUUCCUACGACCUACAGUUGUUCCGAUGCCUCUCCUAAUGCGUGUGCUUAAUCUUUCUCGAGUGAUGGAUGUGAUCUACACGGGGGGAGAUGGGUACACUCAUGUUGGAAAAGUGAUGAAGAACAAUGUUGCAUCACUGCUCAUUCACCCUAUUGUAUGACCAAAUGGAUCAAGUUGAUCACCAUCUACAUAUUCUGCCUUACCUAGGGAGUAGGAUGAAUAAAAAUUAUUGUAAUAGUAUGGGAGAGACCUAUAAUGCUGUGACCCUAAGAUUAUCACAGCAUCAGCUGUAAUUUGUAGGCUCAUGGAUGACAUCAGUUCAUAUAAGGUAUUGUGAACAUAGUAUUUCUUGUUAAGCUAUAAUUUGACCUUGACCUUAAAGCUCAAUCAAUUAAACAUAUUUACUGCACUCAUUUGUGCGAUUCUUUUUCUUGGUAUCCAUGAUUAAUUAAUUAAUUGUCAUAAUUCUCUUAAUUCGUUUUGUAGAGAUCAUAUGUAUACGGACUUCAAAGGGUGCUACGGCUCACCAUUGUACAUUCCCAAGUAACCUGAUAAUCGGAUCUAGAUUCGAUUUUUGUAAACAUGUAUUUUUCAAAUAAGAAGUCACACAUGAUUUUCUUUUUAUUUUGUUUUUCCUUAAAAAAAAACUAAAAUAAAUAGCGACUAACUUUUCAAAAAUCAAUUUUUCACAAUGAAAAAGCGAGUCUCGCCAUUUUAAGUGGGGACACACAUGAAAAAUGCGGGUCCAUAAUGAGUUUAAUUAUUUCUAAAUUCAAAGGAUUAUAAAAAUUUAUUUAUAUAAAAAAAGGAUAUUCCAUUUUGAUGAUUCCAAUCUAUUUUAAGUACCAAAGAAAGUUUUGAUUUUUUUUCUUAUUUACAAAAAAAUGCUUCAAAGUUCUUAAUUUUCACAAAUUUUAUUUACCAACAUUCCAAUUUGAUUUUCAUACAGAAAGAAACUAUUUUUAUAAUUUUUAUUAAAAUAUGAUUUUUUUUUCAAUUUUUUUAAAAAAGUAUCUAAAUCUAAUCUUAUGUCCAUGAGAAUACUUUUACAAAUUCUUUAAGAAACGGAUUUUAAAAAUUUAUUUUUAAAAAAAAUUACAAUUUUAUUUAGAAAAUAAUAAAUAUUCGGAUCCAAUUUUAAUUACAUAAAAAAAUUAUUUUUUUAGUUUUUAUUGAAAAUAAGAUUUUUACAAUUUUAUUUACAUAAGUAUGAAAAUCCAAUUCCAUAUUAUUUACUAAAAUGCAUUUUUUUUUUUACUAUUUUUAAUAAGACAUGAUUUUUACAAUUUUUUUUUAAAGUUUACGAUUUUUAUUAAAAAAAAAAAAGUCUUUGCAAUUUUUUUUAACAAAUUUUUUAAUGUUUUAUUAAAACAAAAUGAUUUCUAGAUUUUAUUUUUUUUUAAAAUGAUUUUCAAAAGUUUAAAAAAAAAAAAAAACCUUUACAGUUUUAUUUAAAAAAAAAAAAACGAUUUUCCAACUGUAUUUACAAUUUAUUUAAAAACGGAUUUUACAGUUUAAAAAAAAAUACAUUUUAUUGUUUUAUUUCAAUCUUACUGUUGUUUUUAUUUUUUUGGAAAAAAAAAAAAAAAAAGAGAAGCUCAAAUUUAUUUUUCUCCUCUCUCUCUCUCUCCCUCCACACGCUCAUUAACUUUAAUGUCAAGGUAUCAGCCCAAUUGACUUGAUUUAUAUUAACUUAAAACUUUUGUUCUAAUAGGUACCUUCAUAUAACGGCAAAGCCUUUGAUUUAUAUAGGAAGUCAUGGAGGUGAACUGUGAACCUUAGUGAUGCGUACCCAAACCCUACCAUUUAUUUGUAAUAUAGUCAUCAUAAUAUUUAAAUUAAACAUUUAAAAUAUGUUUUUUGUUCUCUUAGAAAUACGAAAAGUGUAUCUUAUUCCCUUAAUAAUUCUCAACAUUCAACCAGCCGCCAAACAGUGAUUAAGACUUUUUCACGUGAAGAUAAAACUUAUGAUUGAUCUUAUUUUUAUAAAAACACUAAAAAACGAUUUUUUUUAUCUUUAACUUAAAAAUGGUUUUUAAAAAUAAUUUUUAGAAAACAUAAAUUAAACAGACUCUUAGGGUUUCAUUUGAGAAAUAAAUGAAGAAGAUUACAAAAAAAUUGAAAAUAAAUAAAGAAGAUGAUAUUUUAAUUUUUAUUUAAUAUCUUAAUUUUUAUUAUCUAAAAUUAUUUAAUUAUUCUAAUUAAUGAUAUUUUGAGUUUAAUUAUGAUUAAAAUAUAUAAAAGUCUUAAAUUGAGAUAAGUUGCUUAAAUGAUUGAUUGUGGAUUGAAAUUUUACUCACAAAAUAUGCAUGUGGCUUUCGCUUGAAAAGGCAUAUGUUGGGAAGCAGUUAUGCUUGGUUACGAGUUCUAUAAGCUUACGAUUUUAGAUUUGCAUGAUUAUCUUAAUUUGGAUUAGACAGCUACGGAGAAGGGGCCUUUAUUCAAACUGUUUGUCUUAUUCUCAACAAAGGAAGCAUUUUAUUUAAAACAGAACACUCUAAGAAAAACUAACAGCCAAAUUAAAACAAUUAGGCCAUGUUUGGUACGAAGCCAAAGCAAUUAGGUCAUGUUUAGCAUGAAGCCAAAUCACGACCAUGUUUGGUAUAUAGAAAUGAAGAGUAAGAAUAGAUAUGUUAUUUAUUUUCUCAUUCAUUUUCAUAUUUGGAUGAUUUAAGUAUAGUAAAAAUAAAAUAAAAAAUAAUUUCAAAGAAAUGAAACAAGUUAUUCUUAAAAACACUUUUUAAAAGUUAAAAAUCAAAAACUUUUUUAGAUAAGUCCGUUUUAAAAAUAAUUUUUUAUUUUGAUUUUGUAAAAAAGAAAUUAUAAAUUCAAUUUAUAUAAUAUAAAAUUAAUUUAAUUCAAGUCUUAUAAAAAAUAAAAAUAACUUUGUAAUUAUAAAUACAUUUUUAAAUUAAAUAUUUUUUAAUAAAAUAUGAAUAGGAUUAUCAUAAUAUAAUCAUAAAUUAUAUUUUUAAUAAAUAUUAUAAAAAAUAUGGAUAUUAACCUCUUAUAAAAGCAUAAUUGAUUUAUUUUGUUAAAAAUAAAUAAUAAUGAUUUAAAAUUAAUAAUUACUAAUACUAUUUUUUAAAAUUAUUAUACUUACUACUUUGUUUUAAAAAAUUAUUUCUCAAGAACAAUAAUCGAUAGUGGUAUUAAUUUUUAAAAACAAUUUUAUUUUUAAAUGAAAAGCCUAAACAGGUUUUUAUUAUUUAGCAAAAAAAAAAAAAAAAAACACUGUCAAACAUUUUUUUAAAAUGAAAAUAAAAAAAUUAUUUAAAAUGAUGUAUUGUGUAAGAGAUUUUUUUUAAAAUAAAAAUAAAAGAUUAAAGAUACUAUAAAUUAUGAUUAAAAUAAUGAAAAUUAAUAAAAUGAUAUUGGCUUUUUUUUUUAAAUACAUUCGAAAUAUUAAUCUAAAAAAAGAAGAUAAAUGAAUAAUAUAUUGAAAAAUAUAACUUUGUCUUUUUUCUUACAAUAAUUUUCAUAGCUUUAAAAAUAGUGAUCUUUAAUUUUCUUGCUAUUAUUUAUUAUUAGCUGAGUUGUAUAAAUUACAUUGUUAUAGUUUCCUUUAAAACCAAAAUAAAAAUCAAUCCAUGUGGUUCAAUGACAAUAUUGGCUGAAAAAAAAAAAUCACUUAAUUUUCAUCUACUAGAUCCUAGCCGCCACCUAAUAUUUAUGACUUGUUUGGAUAUUUUGAGUGAAUUUAACCAAAGAGACACUAGAAGGCCAAUAGUUUUCUUGCCAUCAGUCUCUUCCAUGCACUACCCUUUCAAAUCAUGGGCCCCAAAACCAAACCAAAUUCCACAUACUUUUCAACUACAUACAACCAAUGAAUGCCAAUGCUGCCCUAUAAAUAUGGAGCUUGCCAAGCUAUUUCUCUCAUACUUACUGUAACGCCGAAGUAUUUUUUUAAGGGUAAUUUAGGAAAUUACUAAUAAUAAUUCAAUUAGUUAAUUAAUUAAUUUAAUAAAGUGGAAGAUGGGUAAAAGUGUAAUUUUAUGAAUAAAUACCCUAGGUAUAAAUUAGAAAUUCUAUUUCUUCCUGUUCUUUUCUGAAUAGAAUUCCUGUUCGCAGAAUUUCAGAGAACGUAGAUUGAAGUUAGAUUUCAGGGUUGAAGAACAGAUCUCUAUAGGUAAGAUUCAGUUUAAUAUUUUAGAUUCAUUGAUUAAUUUCAAACACAUUAGAUAUCUUUUGGAAAACCCAAAUCUAGAUUAGGGUUAGUUUAUUUUAUUUUUUUUAAUUCGUUUUCAUAUCAAUAGUAAAAAAAUAAAAAAAAUAAAAAAAUAAAAAUAAAAAUUUAAGAUUUUGAUUUAUUGUUGGUAUUUAGGAGAUCUUAAGUUUUAUUAGAUGAAAAACAAAAAAAAGGUUCCUUGGAAGGUUUCGAUUUUAUAUUAGGGUUAAUUUUAUUAAAAAAAGAAAAAGGGCGUGCGCCAAAUGAAAGGAAGCCUUAUAUAUAUAUAUAAUGAAUCAUGAUGAUGGCAAUGGAAAAAAAAAAACUUGCUUUUUGGUUUGGUGUACCCGAGACAACUAGGUAAUGGUUGAGUGACUUUUGAAUUGGUUAAUUAAAAUAAUAAUAUUUAGUUUAAGAUUCAUAAUUAAGAUAAUAGUAAUAAUAGUCUUCUUUUUUUUGUAAUAAAUAGAAUGAGAGAUUUAGCAAAAUAUAUAUAUAUAUAUAUAUAUAUAUAUAUAGAAUUUUAUAAUGAAAUAAAAUUGUAAUUUAAUUAAAUUAGUAAUGUGUUAUUAGAAACAAAUUGAGAAUUUAUUAAUUUUAUUUAAAUAAGGAAUAGAUUAGUUAAAUUAUAGAUAAAUAGUAAUAAUUAUUUAUCUUAUGUUAUAUUAGGAGAAGAGUAGAUUUUUCCAGAAUUAUUUUUCUCCCAAGCUUUCAAGGUCUUUGCAUAAUUUGAGGUAAGGGAAGUUAAUGCAAUAUUUAUAAAAUUUAAAUUAUUUUAUAUGUUAUUUUGAAUUGUGGAAAAGAAAAUGAUAUUUUGUUACCAUGCAUGGAUCAAAUUGUUUUGCACUAAAUAUUAUGUUGGAAUAUUUUGUUUUAUUUAUGACACAAAAUAUGGAGAUAUUAUGUUGUGUAAAUUUGAAUACUUGAACAAAAACAUCACUCUGGUUUAUUUGACCCUUGUCAACGAGAUAUAAUAGUUGACUAUUCGGCCCUGUCAACAGGAUAUAAUAGUUGACCUUUACAUUUCAUGGUAAGAAUGUAAUUGAUUUGGACCCCAGCCUCUAGGGGUUUGGUUAGAGGUUACUAGUAGUAGUAGUGUUUGGUUCCGUCCACCAGGAACAACUUGAGGCUAGCCACCCAUUUGAAAAGUCCCACCUAACUGGGCAUUUGAUAUUUGAUAACCAGAGUAAUGAAAAUUGAAUGGAUUUGAUUGAAUCUUAUGUGAAAGUGUUUGAAUUUGAUAUGAAAAUGGUUGGUUGAAUUUUGAAUAUAUUGGUAUUUUUGAAACUCUGAUAUUUGAUGAGAAAAAAAAAUGAUAUCUCCUAUUUGAAAUGAAAAUAUUUUUCCAUGAACUGCAUUAAUAUUCCUUACUGGGCUGUGAGCUCAUUCCCAAUUGUUGAAAACUUUUCAGGUACUCUUAGUUCGGGUGAGGAGUGAUGGCUAGGAUGAGGAAUGGUCAUCAUUAGGAUUUGACUUAGGAUUUUAUGUUGGAUUUUGUUUAACUGUUAGUUAUGUUCAUUUGGACCCUUUGGUAUUUGGAAGUUAUUUGGAUAUUGAUCCUUCAAAUUUUAUGUUAGAUCAAAGUUGAGUUUUGGAGAUUUUGAAAUUUGUUCUAGUACUUGAAUUGUUUAAGUUUGCAAAUAUUUGGAUAAUGGAUUUUGGAUAGUGGAUGUUUUAGUUUUGAAAUUGAAUUUUGAGGAUUUUAGAUUUUGUUCCGCUACUCUGAAUAGGUAUUUGGUAAUUAGUAACUUCCGAUUACAAGAUAAUUGUUUGGGUCGGGUUACACUGUAAGCCUUCGGGUUUGAAGUGUGAAAUGACCGUCACGCUCUUGGAGUGGGUCUUGGGGCGUGACAGAGUGGUAUCAGAGCACUAGGUUUUGAUCUUGAUGGGAAUUUGAAUUGGUUUAGAUUGGGGAUAGAUGAGUGACGCAUUUGUUUAAGUUUUAGUUUCAUUUAGUAUAAAUUCCAAUUCUUUCUUUAUUUGUAAAUUUUCUAAUUGGUUCUUUAGUGACUAAAUUAGUUAUGCCUUAUUAUUUUAGGACAUCAUGCCACCAAGAAGAGCAACUUCUUCACAAAAUAGUCAGAUUAAUGAUGAUGUACCUCCAGUUGAGGGUUUGCCUCCCGUGAGUGCAAAAGGGAUCUAUAGGUAUCUUGGGACACUAGCUGGUUUAGUUGAACGCCAAGCUCGAGCUGUUGGGACUAAUGUUCAGGGACAGACUUCAUCUUCUAGGGGUAACUCUUUUGAUGACUUCAAGAAAUUGGGUCCUCCUUACUUUUCUGGUGCUACAGAUCCCACAGAGGCAGAGGCUUGGAUCCUUAAGGUGGAGAAAUUCUUUGGUGUCAUAGAUUGCUCUGAGGAGCAAAAAGCCUCUUAUGCAGCUUUUAUGUUAGAUAAAGAGGCAGAUCAUUGGUGGCGUAUGACUAGGAGACUUUUGGAGGAUCAGGGACCCAUAACAUGGAGACAAUUUAAGGAGGCUUUCUACAAGAAGUAUUUCCCUGACAGUGUUAGGCGGCAGAAGGUGGGAGAGUUUAUUCAUUUGGAACGGGGAGAUAUGACUGUGGCUCAAUAUGAGGCCAAAUUUACAGAGUUAUCAUGUUUUUCCCCACAGUUGAUUGCUACAGAGGAGGAAAAGGCAUUAAAGUUUCAGGAUGGAUUGAAGCCUUAUUUGAAGAACAAGAUAUCUAUUCUGAAGCUUGGUGUCUAUUCAGAGGUUGUUGACAGAGCCCUUAUAGCAGAGAAAGAUAAUGAGGAGCUUCAUCAGUAUAGGGAACAACAAAGGAAGUGAAAUAGGAGUGAUAGUGCUCAUGGUAAUCAAGCACAGCGAAGGUCUACAUCAGGAAGAAAUCAGAAUAAAGGGAAUGCAACGCAUUAUUUAGAUGGGGCUUGUCCUACUUGUGGUAAGAAGCAUGGGGGUAGGCCAUGCUAUAGAGAGACUGGAGCUUGCUUUGGUUGUGGGAAGCAAGGACAUUUGAUCAGAGAUUGUCUAGAGAAUAGGAAGUUCAUCAAUGGGAAGCCUAAAGAGGAAAAUAAGGAGGAUAAACAGAAACCCAAAGCCCAAGAACGGGUGUUUUCUUUGACUCAUCGAGAUGCUCAGGCCACUUCUGAUGUGGUAACAGGUACUCUCCGAAUCCACACCUUAUUUGCUAGAGUCUUGAUUGAUCCUGGAUCAACACACUCUUUUGUUUCAGUAUCUUUUGCCAGUUUGUUGGGUUUGCCUGUUGCUAGCAUGGACUUUGAUUUGAUUGUUACUACUCUUGUGGGAGAUUCUGUUGUGGUCAGUAGAAUGCUUAGAAAUUGUAUUGUGAUGAUUGGUUAUAGGGAAAUGCCAGUUGACUUAGUACUCCUUGAUCUUUAGGAUUUUGAUGUGAUUUUGGGGAUGGAUUGGUUAGCUUCCUACCAUGCCUCUGUUGACUAUUUUGAGAAAAUGGUGACGUUUAGUAUUCCUGGUCAGCCUAAGUUUAGCUUUGAAGGGAAGCAUGUGGACAGACCACUGCGUAUGAUCUCAGCCUUGCGAGCUAGUAGCUUGCUCAAGAAGGGUUGCCAAGGAUUUUUGGCUAGUGUGAUGAGUAAUGAAAGUGAUUUGAAGUUGGAAAACAUACCCAUAGUAAGGGAGUAUGUUGAUGUCUUUCCAGAGGAUUUGCCUGGCUUGCCACCAGAGAGAGAGGUGGAGUUUACCAUCGAUUUGGUACCAGGAACAGGUCCUAUGUCUAAGGCCCCAUACAAGAUAGCACCUGUGGAGCUUAAGGAGUUGAAAGUUCAGCUUCAAGAGUUAUUAGACAAGGGUUUUAUCAGGCCUAGUGUUUCACCUUGGGGAGCUCCUGUUCUAUUUGUAAAAAAGAAGGAUGGCUCAAGGAGACUUUGCAUUGACUAUAGGGAGUUGAAUAAGGUGACAGUGAAGAACAAGUAUCCCCUUCCUCGGAUUGAUGAUUUGUUUGAUCAGCUAUAAGGUGCUUGUGUGUUCUCUAAGAUAGAUCUUCAAUCGGGUUAUCACCAGUUGAGGGUUAGAGGGGAAGAUGUACCCAAGACUGCUUUUCGAACUAGGUAUGGGCACUAUGAGUUUCUUGUUAUGCCUUUUGGUUUGACUAAUGCACCUGCUACUUUUAUGGACUUGAUGAAUAGGGUAUUCAAACCCUAUUUAGAUCAGUUUGUGGUGGUUUUUGUAGAUGACAUCUUGGUAUACUCAAGAAGUAGAGAGGAGCAUGAGGGCCAUUUGAGUAUUGUAUUACAGACCCUCAGAGAUAAGCAGUUGUAUGCUAAACUGAAGAAGUGUGAGUUUUGGUUAGACCGAAUUNNNNNNNNNNNNNNNNNNNNNNNNNNNNNNNNNNNNNNNNNNNNNNNNNNNNNNNNNNNNNNNNNNNNNNNNNNNNNNNNNNNNNNNNNNNNNNNNNNNNAACGAAGAAGUUGCAGCCAUUACAAGCCAGUCACUCUAAAGUGUUGCGGAAUCAGCCUUUUGUUGCGAGAAUUUCGCAGCACUUUUGUACAGUAAGGUGUUUCUCCUUCUGACGAUGCACGAACCAUGCCGCGAGAAGGGAGCUGGAAACUUCAAGAUGGAAGCCAACUUUGCAGCCUAGUGAAGAUAGCUCGGUCUUGCAAGAUAAUUUCGCAGCCCUCUUGGGUGUCUGCGAAAUUUCGCAGGCCCCACUUUUCACCUGCGAAAUGGCUCCUGAAGCCUCCCGAAGCUUGCUACCGACAUUGGGAGAUAUUUUCCAUUAGAUUUUUGUUGUCUAAAUCCCAAAAUACUCCUUGUAAACCACCAAUUACAUGAUUCCUUAGUUUUUAGGUUAGUAAAAAGACCAAAUAUCUUUGUAAGAAUUAGUUUUAUAUUAGUUUGAUAUAAAUACCUCUCGGGAGCCUGUUCUCGGGGAGGAGUUCCUUCUGUAAACAUUUGGUAAGGAAGUAAAGGUCUUUUCUUUCUACUGCCUUACCUUCUCACUUUGUAUUUUCAUUAUAUUUCUAAGUUAUGAAUUCUCUGAGGAGUUUUCCCCAGAGAAUGAGUAACUAAACCUCCAAUUCCUUGGAGCUAAGGUUGCCGGGGAAGGUUCCAAGUGCAAAAAUGCAAAGCUCUGUGGUUUUAGCUAGUAAUGAAGAGGAAGUGAAAUCCUUUAGUGAUUUCAAUGUUUUUAGUUAACUUAAAACACCUUGGAGUCACCUGGGCCAACACUUGGUAAGGCAAGUGAUUUCCAACCGUGGAAAUGCACUAGUUUACCCCUUGCGAGCCUCUGGUAGGUGACUUCAAGGUAGGAUUUUCCGGAAUUACCAACACUUGGUAAGCUUUUGGACUCCUAGGAGACAUCCAUUAGUUAUCUCUUGCGAGUUUGUGAAGGGAAGUCCAAGGUUAAAGAUCACCUUGAAUGGUAAGUGCUCGUGAGAGGCAUGAACCAUUGCAAGGUGCAUCAGUGAGAGAAUUAAAGUGAAAUCUAAUUGAAGGAGUCUCUGUACAUCACCGGUUAGAGACUUGACUCUAAGUUGAAUCUCUAAUGCGAGGAAAUGAACCAUCUGACCAGAGCUAUGUCUUUUGCAUGAGGAACCACCCCAGUGAACCUAAAUCUCCNNNNNNNNNNNNNNNNNNNNNNNNNNNNNNNNNNNNNNNNNNNNNNNNNNNNNNNNNNNNNNNNNNNNNNNNNNNNNNNNNNNNNNNNNNNNNNNNNNNNAAAUCAAAGUUUGUGUUUUAUUUCUUAAACUAACCGUGAAAUGAAACAAAACCAAUUCACUUGGAAUUGGUAUCCUUGAUUGCUUGCAAAUCAUUCCUAGUGAACGAUCCUUAGAGCCACUAUACUAUAGUAGCUUUGUAUUUGCUACCCUAGUGUAUGGUGUUAUAGGUAUAAAUUUUGUUGAUCACUUCCUCAAUCAAGGAGCACCAGCUGAACACAAAUCAGCUGAGACACCAAUUGGGCAUGAGUCAGAGAUCUUGAGAUUUGGGACUAGACUUUGUGUCCCAAAUGAUGAAGACUUAAGAAGGGAGCUUUUAGAGGAAGCUCAUUGUUCCAAGUUUGCAAUCCACCCAAGAGGGACAAAGAUGUACAAGGAUUUGAGGCAAAACUAUUGGUGGUCAGGUAUGAAGCAUGAUAUUGCACAAUUUGUGGCUCAGUGUUUAGUGUGUCAACAGGUGAAGGCUGAGCAUCAGCGACCAGCAGGGUCUUUGCAGCCACUUGCUAUUCCUGAGUGGAAGUGGGAGCAUAUUACCAUGGAUUUUGUGAUAGGAUUGCCAAGAACCUUAGGGAGUAAUAAUGCUAUUUGAGUGGUUGUUGAUCGGUUGACAAAGUCUGCUCACUUUUUGCCUAUGAAAGUCAACUUUUCUUUAGAUCGUUUAGCUUUUCUUUAUGUGAAGGAGAUUGUGAGAAUGCAUGGAGUACUAGUUUCUAUAGUGUCUGAUAGAGAUCCUCGUUUCACUUCUAGAUUCUGGCAUAGUCUAUAAAAAGCUUUGGGCACUAAGUUGAGUUUUAGUACUGCUUUCCAUCCUCAAACUGAUGGUCAAUCAGAAAGGGUAAUUCAGGUUUUAGAAGACUUGUUGAGAGCUUGUAUUUUGGACUUGCAAGGUAAUUGGGAUGAUCAUUUACCUUUAGUAGAGUUUGCCUAUAACAAUAGUUUUCAAGCUAGCAUUGGGAUGUUACCUUUUGAGGCAUUGUAUGGUAGGAAAUGUCGAUCUCCUAUCUGUUGGAAUGAUGUUGGAGAAAGGAAACUUUUGGGGCCUGAACUUGUGCAGUUGAUUGUUGAAAAAGUUGCUUUGAUUAAAGAAAGAUUAAAAGCAGCUCAAAGUAGACAUAAGAGUUAUGCUAAUCAUCGUAGGCGAGAUUUGGAGUUUGAGGUGGGUGAUAUGUGUUCUUGAAAGUUUCACCUAUGAAGUCUGUGAUGAGAUUUGGGAGAAAAGAAAAACUUAGUCCUCGUUUUGUGGGUUCGUUUGAAAUAUUAGAAAGAGUAGGCACUUUGGCAUAUAAAGUAGCCUUGCCCCCAAGUCUAUCUAAGAUUCAUAAUGUUUUCCAUGUUUCAACCUUGAGGAAGUAUAUUUAUAAUCCAUCUCAUGUUGUGGAGUUGGAGCCUAUUCAAAUUUCGGAGGACUUGACCUAUGAAGAGGUACCCGUUCAAAUUGUGGAUGUGAUGGAUAAGGUACUGCGACAUGUUGUUGUCAAGUUGGUAAAGGUCCAGUGGAGCAAUCAUAGUAUCCGAGAGGCCACUUGGGAGUUAGAAGAAGAGAUGAGAGAAAAACAUCCUCAAUUAUUUCAAGACUCAAGUAUGUCAAGUUUAGAAGACUAAACUUUUGUUAAGAAGGGGAGGAUGUAACGCCCAAGUAUUUUUUUAAGGGUAAUUUAGGAAAUUACUAAUAAUAAUUCAAUUAGUUAAUUAAUUAAUUUAAUAAAGUGGAAGAGGGGUAAAAGUGUAAUUUACAAAUAAAUACCCUAGGUAUAAAUUAGAAAUUCUAUUUCUUCUUGUUCUUUUCUGAAUAGAGUUCCUGUUCGCAUGAAUUUCAGAGAACAUAGGUUGGAGUCAGAUUUCAAGGUUGAAGAACAGAUCUCUAUACGUAAGAUUUUAACCCCUAGUUUAAUAUUUUAGAUUCAUUGAUUAAUUUCAAACACAUUAGAUAUCUUUUGGAAAACCCAAAUCUAGAUUAGGGUUAGUUUUUAUUUUUUUUUUAUUUUUUUUUUUUAAUUCGUUCUAAUAUCAAUAGUAAAAAUAAUAAUAAUAAUAAUAAAAAUUUAAAAAAAAUUUAAGAUUUUGAUUUAUUGUUGGUAUUUGGGAGAUCUUAAGUUUUAUUAGAUGAAAAAAAAAAAAGGUUCCUUGGAAGGUUUCAAUUUUAUAUUAGGGUUAAUUUUAUUAAAAAAAGAAAAGGGGCGUGUGCCAAAUGGAAGGAAGCCUUAUAUAUAUAUAUAUAUAUAUAUAUAAUGAAUCAUGAUGAUGGCAAUGGAAAAAAAAAAAAAAACUUGCUUUUUGGUUUGGUGUACCCAAGACAACUAGGUAAUGGUUGAGUGGCUUUUGAAUUGGUUAAUUAAAAUAAUAAUAUUUAGUUUUAGAUUAAUAAUUAAGAUAAUAGUAAUAAUAGUCUUUUUUUUUUUUGUAAUAAAUAGAAUGAGAGAUUUAGCAAUAUAUAUAUAGAAUUUUAUAAUGAAAUAAAAUUGUAAUUUAAUUAAAUUAGUACUGUGUUAUUAGAAACAAAUUGAGAAUUUAUUAAUUUUAUUUAAAUAAGGAAUAGAUUAGUUAAAUUAUAGAUAAAUAGUAAUAAUUAUUUCUCUUAUGUUAUAUUAGGAGAAGAAUAGAUUUUUCCUGAAUUAUUUUUCUCCCAAGCUUUCAAGGUCUUUGCAUAAUUUGAGGUAAGGGAAGUUAAUGCAAUAUUUAUAAAAUUUAAAUUAUUUUAUAUGUUAUUUUGAAUUGUGGAAAAGAAAAUGAUAUUUUGUUACCAUGCAUGGAUCAAAUUGUUUUGCACUAAAUAUUAUGUUGGAAUAUUUUGUUUUAUUUAUGACACAAAAUAUGAAGAUAUUAUGUUGUGUAAAUUUGAAUACUUGAACAAAAACAUCACUCUGGUUUAUUUGACCCUUGUCAACGAGAUAUAAUAGUUGACUAUUCGGCCCUGUCAACGGGAUAUAAUAGUUGACCUUUACAUUUCAUGGUAAGAAUGUAAUUGAUUUGGACCCCAACCUCUAGGGGUUUGGUUAGAGGUUACUAGUAGUAAUAGUAUUUGGUUCCGUCCACCAAGAACAAUUUGAGGCUAGCCACCCAUUUGAAAAGUCCCACCUAACUGGGCAUUUGAUAUUUGAUAACUAGAGUAAUGAAAAUUGAAUGGAUUUGAUUGAAUCUUAUGUGAAAGUGUUUGAAUUUGAUAUGAAAAUGGUUGGUUGAAUUUUGAAUAUAUUGGUAUUUUUGAAACUCUGAUAUUUGAUGAGAAAAAAAAAAUGAUAUCUCCUAUUUGAAAUGAAAAUAUUUGAUCCAUGAACUGCAUUAAUAUUCCUUAUUGGGUUGUGAGCUCAUUCCCAAUUGUUGAAAAAUUUUCAGGUACUCUUAGUUCGGGUGAGGAAUGAUGGCUAAGCUGAGGAAUGGUCAUCAUUAGGAUUUGACUUAGGAUUUUAUGUUGGAUUUUGUUUAACUGUUUGUUAUGUUCAUUUGGACCCUUUGGUAUUUGGAAGUUAUUUGGAUAUUGAUCCUUCAAAUUUUAUGUUAGACCAAAGGUGAGAUUUGGAGAUUUUGAAAUUUGUUCUAGUACUUGAAUUGUUUAAGUUUGCAAAUAUUUGGACAAUGGAUUUUGGAUAGUGGAUGUUUUAGUUUUGAAAUUGAAUUUUGAGGAUUUUAGAUUUUGUUCCGCUACUCUGAACAGGUAUUUGGUAAUUGGUAACUUCCGAUUACAAGAUAAUUGUUUGGGUCAGGUUACACUGUAAGCCUUCGGGUUUGAAGUGUGAAAUGACCGUCAUGCCCUUGGAGUGGGUCUUGAGGCGUGACACUUACCGAUUCAUCAUUCAAGGUAUAGAACUGUUCUAUCAUUGAUCCAAGGAAUUAACAUGUCUACUCAAGUCUCAGCAUCUUCUCUAGCCCAGAUUCCCAAACCCAAAAAUCGUCCUGGCAAACUUUCACCCCAACAUUUGGGGUGACCAAUUUAUCACCUGCACUCCUGAAGACUAUGCAUCAAUUAUAAAUUUGACAGUUAUUUUUCUUAAUAUGUUGGAUGAUAAAAUUUGUUGGUCAAGGUUACACGUGCUUGCAAAGAGGAGCAGAUUGAGGAUCUGAAAAAGGAAGUGAAAAGGGAAUUAACGGUUGUUGUUGUUGCUAACCCUUCCCAAUUGCUGAACUUCAUUGAUGCAUACCACUUUGAGCAAGAGAUAGAAGAAGCAUUACAACAAAUUUGUAAUAGUUUUCAUGAUUGCAAUGAUAUGGAUGGUGAUCUCUACAAUAUUGCUCUUGGAUUUCGACUACUAAGGCAACAAGGGUACAGUAUUUCAUGUUGUAAGAGACUAAGAAAAAAUUGUUAUGUUAAACCUUCUUAUCAUUCAAAAUCUUAUGUUCAAGUGGUGAUGUUUAUGUAGGUAUAUUGAACAAGUUUACGGAUGAAUGAGGUAGAUUCAAGGAAGCUUUGAUCAACGAUGUAAGAGGCAUGCUAGGCUUGUAUGAAGCUGCACAUCUGAGGGUUCAUGGUGAGGACAUACUUGCAGAAGCACUUACUUUCACCACCACUCACCUCGAGGCCAUGGUAGAAAGUUUAGGAUAUCCUCUUGCAGAACAAGUUGCCCAUGCCCUGAACCGACCAUUAGAAAAGGUUUGGAGAGGUUAGAGGCAAGAUGGUAUUUAUCUGUCUACCAAGUGUUGGUUUAAGGGUAUGGAAACAAAGGACUAACUCAAAAGACACAAACAAAAAACAUAAUGAAUAGUAAGAAAAACUUAUUAGUUGAGGCGUGACAAACACUGUUCUUGAAAUAGAUCCACCCUCUUCGAAAACGAACUGAAUGCACUAAGGUGCCAGUGGUCUACCUCCAGGAUUCAAUAGCCAGAUCUUGCCUUGGGUGCACUCUAUAAGUGAGACAUGUACAACUUGGUUUUGAAAAAAUUCCUCCAAAAAGAUGUAUGAAAGACUCUCUGAAAAAUUGGUAUUCAAAGAGUAAAAGGUGACCUGCUUUUAUAGGUCACCAACACAGUCCUAAUGGGACUCUACUUGUAAUCAGAGGACUCAAAGUGGAAUGAGAUUCUACUUAUAAGUGAAACAGGACUCUAUUAGCACAAUCCCAAUGGGAUUCUUCCCAAAGGUAAAAGACUAAGUCAAAUGGAAUAAAAAUUAAAUAAAAAAAAUUGAAUUUUGUAAAAAUUAGUCAAAUUCGCUAAAACACUUUUUCACAUUUACACUCUUCCUACACCAAGAUGAAGCUUUCCAUGAUAAAACUUUACCAGAGCUAGCCAAAUUAGAUUUCAAUCUAGUGCAGUCACUGCACAAGGAAGAGCUAAGCAAUCUUGUAAGGUUGGUUUUUAAAUCACCCCACAUGUACUUGGCCAUUCUUAUCACUUUCUUGUAUACUGAUCAUAUUAAUGUCUUUUAGGUGGUGGAAAGAAUUAGACUUUGUUACAAAGUUAUCUUUUGCAUGAGACAGAUUGGUUGAAUGCUACUUUUGUAUACAUGGGGUAUAUUUUGAGCCUCAAUACUUACGAGCUAAACGAAUUCUAACCAAAGUAAUUGCUAUGACAUCCAUUCUAGAUGAUAUCUAUGAUGCAUAUGGCACACCUGGUGAACUCAAGCUCUUCACAGAAGCCAUUGAGAGGUUUGCUACUUGCACAUUACCAACCUUGAUUGUGUAUAAUAUAUGUAUUUAUAUAUACCUAAAUCAAGGGUCAUUAUUUUAUUUUCAGGUGGGAUAUUAACAGCAUAGAUCAACUUCCAGAAUACAUGAAACCCUGCUAUGUGGCACUCUUUGAUGUGUACAAAGAAAUCGAGGAAGAGAUGGAGAAAGAAGGAAACCAAUAUAGGGUGCACUAUGCCAAAGAAGUAGUAGGACAUCUUUAACUCUGGAUUCCCACCUUUUGCAUUGAUGAUAUUUUAUAUGGUCUCAUAUAUACAUAGAUAUAACUUGGGUGAAUGUCCAUUAGAUGAAGAAUCAAGUUCGAGGUUACAUGAAGAACACGUACCAACACUUGAAGAGUACAUGUGUGUUGCACUAGUAAGCUUUGGAUACUACAUGCUUGCAACCACAUCCUUGGUGGGAAUGGGAGAAAUAGUAACAAAGGAGGCCUUUGAUUGGGUGACCAGCGAUCCUAAGAUUAUGCCAUCUUCAAAUUUCAUUGCGAGGCUCAUGGAUGACAUCACAUCACAUAAGGUAUGCAGAAUAUGUUAUUCAAGUGGGGAGAAUAUAACACACCGGUUUUUUUUUUUCUCAACUUUUGCAUUAUACAUGCAGUUUGAGCAAAAGAGAAGGCAUGUGGCCUCAGCCAUUGAAUGUUACAUGAAGUAAUAUGGUGUCUCUGAGGAACAAGUAUACAGCGAGCUUCAAAAUCAAAUUGAGAAUGCAUGGUUGGAUGUCAACCAGGAAUGCCUCAAACCUACUACUAUUCCAAUGCCUCUCCUUGCUCCUAUUCUAAAUCUUACACGAGUCUCGGAUGUCAUUUACAAAGAGCAAGAUGCGUACACACAUGUUGGGAAAGUGAUGAAGAAUAACAUUGCGUACACACAUGUAGUUGAUUAUCGUCCCCUAUGUAUUGCCUUGUGGAAGAAGUAAUAUCUAAUAAAUCAUUAUAAUAAGGUGAGGGAACAAUACGUAAUAAAUCAUUGUAAUAUGGAAAGGGGGACACAUCAUAUGUAGCACCUAGUUUCUCUGGGUUCAUAGUGUUUUACUUUUGAAUAUUCCCUGAAUAUUUAAAUAAGAAUAUGUAUUACUUAAAUCACCUGAAUAUAUUAUUUAUUAUAUUAUAUUCUUUAAUACAUAUGUAUUAUUGUGAUUCAACUUGAGGAGUAUUGAUACUGAGUCUUAAAAUACAUAUGUAUGUAGAAUAUAUGUCUACAAAAAAUCCGGAUCUCCUUGUUAAUGUGUAAUGGUGUUUUGGAGUACUACAAUACUCACCAAAUAACUUCUUUACACUUUAUAAUGGACACUGACUGGUGAGUUUAUAGUUAAUUAAAGAUUUCACUCGAUAGCAAAUUAUUAUUAUUAUUAUUAUUAUUGUUAUUGUUGUUGCUAGCGUUAUUAUUAUUUAAUUCAUUAUUAUGAAAAUUAUUAUUAUUAUUACUAUUUAAUUAUUAUUAUUAUUAGCUAUUAAUUUUAGUUUUUUCUUUUUCAUCUUUUCUUUUUUGUUGUUUGUUAUAUACUUCAUAAAAUUAUAAGUUAUGGUCUUUUAUUAGGUUGAAAUUGGAAGUUCAAGUUCAUUAAAGUAUGACACAGUUAACUUAGGUUCACUAAUUUUGUAAAAAAUUUGAUGCAUUUAUAGGAUAAUUAAAUAAUUCAACAAACUUAUCAUUUUACUAAUUAAGGUUUUUUAUUUUAUUUUAUUUUUUAAAAAACUUUUUUACAUGUAAGAAUACAGAAAUUAUGGUUCAAUGUGAAACUUUGGAAUUGCAUGAAUAUGAAAGUGAAAUUUGUUGGUGUCGUUCCCAACUAGAGUUAGGUUCAUCCAACUUCACUGGAGUCAGGUGGACUGCUUCCUUUCUCCAACUCGUGAACUUAGCCGAUACUAAGUUAUGUGAUAACACCCAAUUUUUCCGUUCGUGCUUCUUGAGAAGUCCGUCCAGUUGUAUUGGAAUCAGACAGACUUCUUCCAUGCACAAAAGGAUGUCCAGACAGGUGAUUCGAGCACGUCCCUCCUAAACUUAAGUCAGUUAAGGAUAGUUCUAACUUAUUUUUGUGGCAGAAAAUGAGUUUAUGUGCAUGCCUACCUUGUUCAUGCUUUUUGAGGGGUUUAUAUAGAGUUGAUGAUACUGUCCCUAUAGUGCUGACUAUACACUCUAGUCUUUCUUGUAAUGAUGAUUGCCCUUAGGGCGGUUGAUUGGUGCCAUCUAUUGACGUGCCAAAAUCUCGGACCAGCAACCGAUUGUCCAUUUAGCUUGCCAAUGUCUGGGAUUGUGUGUAACAAUUAAUUGACAUUGACUUUUGGGUGUAAAUGGAGUCCUGUCCACUGCUUAGAUGUCAGGCGUCUAAUCCACUGCUCAAAUGUCCUGUGUCUGGGCCAACGCUCAGACAUCAAGCAUAGUUGAUCAUGCAUGCCAGAAAUCCUGAGGACUUGAUUAGACUGAUUUUUUCGUCUGAGAGUCCAACGAGCCUAGCCUAUCGAUUCCGUUCAACCUUGUGGAAGAAGAGAAACCUCUCACUUCUUGUGUCAGACAUAACUUAUCUUGGUCCAAACGAAUUGAUCCCAGACGGGUUAUAAGUUUGUUCUGGUCGGCCAAGGGGUCUUAAGCUUGAAAAUGACACGUGAAGGGAAACCCCCCACAAUGCCCUUUUAAUCUGUCUACUUCUAUUCAGAUGAAGAGGAGAUGUUUUUGGAGCGUCCAGUUAGUUUCCUAUCUGAACAGGAAUUCUGGGAUCGUUUCCAUAUUCCAGAGAAUAUCCCUAUUCUUCUAAUAGACGACGAGGCGUUAUCCUCCGUUGACCUGCCCAACAACAUGAUGUAUUUUACUAAGGAACAAUUCGUUGCAGGGCUCCGUCUACCUAUCCCCUCUCUCUUCAAGCAGUUUCUUCAUUUUAUGUAAAUCCCUUCAGCUUUUCUUCAUCCGAAUUUUGUCCGGGUAUUGAUGGGAUGUAGUGUUCUAGACAUGCUCUUUCAGUUGAAUCUCUCAUUGUUGGAAGUUUUGCUUGUUUACAUUGUCAAAAUGAGCUGGAAAGAAAGGUUUAGCUUUUCUUCCCAUAUUCCUUACUUGCAGCCAGUGACUGGUCUUUUAGAUUCAUGCAAAGGCUAGGUAAAGGGGCAUGUCCUAGUCUCUGGUCCUUGGAGUGGUUCGUCUGAGGAACCAGAUGGAGUCUUUUAUCCACAACAUUCAUUGGAGAUUCCGAGUAGGAUACGCUUCCAUCACUUUCUCUAUAUUUUGCAAUUAUUUCUUCCUCGCUGUCAAUUUAUUGUUGAUCUUUUUGUUUGUGUGAUAUAGGCAAGGAGAGGUGGGGACGCCUUGUAGAGUGGGUAGACAAGGCUUCUUUCACCUAUUUAACAAGUUGUUCGAAAUAGACGCGUUCAAAUGGGCCCCUAAAGUUCUUUUGUAAGAUAAUAAGUUGCUAACGCUAAUUGAUAAUCCAAAGUCGUUCAUCAUCCCCGUAUUUCCUCGUCUGGCUCCCCCGUCUUUGGUGCCUGGUGAACAUUUCGUGCUAAAGGAUUUGCCAUUCUAUGAGGUUGCUCGUCUGGCAUAUUAUAAGGCAUGUUAGGCCCGUUUAGAGGAGUGAGAGAAAAAACAUCAGGAAGGGACAUUGAGGCAAGCUCUAACUGCUAGUCUUCUAUCCUCCAGUUUUGUUGUCCAUCCUCUCACUAAAAAGAGGACGAAACCUACUGCUUCGCCUAUCUGGAAGGUAAGGACUCUGCCUCCUUCAUCUUUAUCUUCUCCAUCAACUUCAUCAUCUUCGUCAUCUCCAUCUUCUAGUGGCAAGCCAAAAUCAUGGGUUGUCCAGGUAGUGUCCCUUAUUAUUUGCGAGGAGGAAAAAGAAGAGGAUAUGGCUUCAAACUUGAGGGUCGGAUUUCGUGAGAGACAGCGCAAGUGCUUGUCCAAAUCCAUUGUUGUCAAUCCUACCCCCUCUAAGAAAGCUUGUUCAAAACCUACUUCAGCUCUUGCGCUCGUGUCGGUUCCUCUAACUACUGCUACAGUCUUCACCCUUAAGCUAGAUGAGAAACUUCCUUCUGUUGAUGAACAUGUUUAUCAUGAGACGAGGAUACCCUUCAUCAGCACGAACAACUUCAACAAAGAAUCGUUCGAAUACAUGACUUUUUUUUCUCUUUGUUCGAAGUCAACCUAUGUCCCCAAUCGGGAGGAGGUAUCUGAGCUUUUGAAGUGAAUCCCUGUCUUCACCGAAAGAGAGUCCCUGGUACAAAACAUAGGGUACUCUUUCCAGCUACUUAGCAAAUCCCAAUCGAGAUAGACAACGAUCCUAGUCGAUCUUUCAUGACCUGGCUUUUGUAUGACACUCCGAAUAUCGCCAUUUCUCGCAUUAUUCCCAUGCAAGACUAUAAGGCUUUUGAAAUGACAAAUAUGGUAAGUCACCUACCCUUUUCUUCUCAUUUUUCCUUAGCCUCUUGUUUCACAACGAUUUCUUUAUUGCAUCUUCAGGUGAUAGUCGAAGUUUGAAACCUCAUGCGGCAACACACUCCUUUUUUCUACCGAUUGGAAACAAUCGAGACCAUGAGGCCAUACUUUGCCCAUAAUAUGGAUGGGAAUGAGGAUCUUCUUGCCAGCUUGGAGACAAUAAAGAGUGAAGCUGCUGUUGCCCAAAAGCUUGUUAAAGAAGAAAUCGGUCUAUUGAGGAAGGCCGAGGAAGAGAAGGAGACAGUUCAAACUGAAGCUUGCCAACUAGUUGAAAAGAAGGAAACCAUGGUGGUUGACAAAAAAAAAGGCUGAAGAAGAGGCUGCCUAGCUGAGGCAGGAGCUACAGGAUCUCCGAGCAGGGUUUGCCUCUCAGAAAGAAGACUUGGAGGUUCACUACCAAAAGCAAGUGGAUGACAUGUUCUUGUACGACUAUCGUUGUUGUAUGAAGAAGCAUGGCAUCAUCCAUGAUGCUCUGAGUUUUCCUUUGGAUGACGAUGAUGAGUUUUUAGGCGACCCUGCCCAGGGAGGAGGAGAUGUUUUCGGAGACGAUCCUUAUGGCGAGUAGGCUUGAUCUCUUUGUUUGUAUUUAUUUAUUAUGGUUGGACGUGGCCUAGACUGCUAUAUCUAUAAAGACAAUGGAUGCUUUAUUUUUUCAAAUAUAUUUACUUUAUCCGUUUGUCUCUCAUACAUUGUUUUCAUAAGCAAACUUUAUUGAAAGUAAUACUUUAAAUUGGAUACAUUCUAAGAGCAGAGCAGGGGUACGUUGUCUAGUGUUUGAAAAUGGUAUACCCCUAAGUCUCUAGCCUUAGUUACAACAUAUGGCCCUUCCCAGUUAGCUUGAAGCUUUUCGGCUCCUAUUUCAGCUGUGUUCUCAAAUAUUCUUCUGAGGACUAAAGUUCCUAGCCAGAAAAACCAUGGUCGUGUUUUUUUGUUGUAAUGGGUGAUCGUCUUUUGAUGGUAAGAAACCAUUCAGAUAGUUAUGUCUCCUAGCAUUUCAUCUGCCCAAUCCAACUGUCUUAUGAGUUCUUCAUCAUUGUUCCUCUGAUCUUAUACAACUGUUUUAGUGGUAGGCAUGUCAAUUUCAGUUGGAAUAAUGACCUUCAUCCCAUAAGCAAGGGCAAAAGGAGUAGUUCCUAUUGGCCGUUUGGAUGUCGUUUUGUAAGCCCAUAAGAUUCCGAGCAGUUCAUCCACCCAUUUUCCUUUAGCUCCUUCCAGCAUUUUUUUAAUGCAUUCAGUAGGGUUUUGUUUGUCGCCUCAGCUUGCCCGUUACUCUACGGAUAGCAAAGUGUUGAAUACAAAUUCUUGAUGUUUAACUUCAAAUAGAAAGUUCGGAAGACGGUAUUGUAUGAUUGCUCGCAAAACUCCAAAUCGACAUACGAUGUUUUUCUAGACGAACUUGAAGACAUCCUUAUCUUUGAUGCUAGCAUAGUGUCACGGACUUAGUCGUUCACUAAGCUCGUGCGGCACUUAGACAAGCCAAGACGCUUGAUCUUGCUAAGUCAGCCUUGCUCCCAAUACUUAGCUCACCCGGCUAAGACACUCGCGACUCAAAAGCUUAAGAAGCUUGGUAGGCAACUCCUUAAAGAAUGGAAGCUUUCUAUUACUCAAAGAAGCCUUUACAAGUGCUUGGAUGCUCACUUGCUUGGUUAGGAAGUGAUUUUGGGUGGUGCCUUGGCCAAAUGAGGCCCUCACCUAUUUAUAGGCACCAAGGGAACUCUCUAGAACCUUGGAGGGUUCCCUUACAAAUCAAGAAUAUUCUAGAACAUCCUACCCUAUUCUAUGUACAACCCUAUGUACAAGAAUAUACAAGAGAUUCCUAGAAGUCUCUAGAAAGCCUUGGACUCCUCCCAUGCCUUCCACCAUAGUGUAGAGAUGUGUGGACAUCUCUAGGCAUUUCUAGAACCUUCCACACUCUUCCCACCAAUGACUUNNNNNNNNNNNNNNNNNNNNNNNNNNNNNNNNNNNNNNNNNNNNNNNNNNNNNNNNNNNNNNNNNNNNNNNNNNNNNNNNNNNNNNNNNNNNNNNNNNNNNNNNNNNNNNNNNNNNNNNNNNNNNNNNNNNNNNNNNNNNNNNNNNNNNNNNNNNNNNNNNNNNNNNNNNNNNNNNNNNNNNNNNNNNNNNNNNNNNNNNNNNNNNNNNNNNNNNNNNNNNNNNNNNNNNNNNNNNNNNNNNNNNNNNNNNNNNNNNNNNNNNNNNNNNNNNNNNNNNNNNNNNNNNNNNNNNNNNNNNNNNNNNNNNNNNNNNNNNNNNNNNNNNNNNNNNNNNNNNNNNNNNNNNNNNNNNNNNNNNNNNNNNNNNNNNNNNNNNNNNNNNNNNNNNNNNNNNNNNNNNNNNNNNNNNNNNNNNNNNNNNNNNNNNNNNNNNNNNNNNNNNNNNNNNNNNNNNNNNNNNNNNNNNNNNNNNNNNNNNNNNNNNNNNNNNNNNNNNNNNNNNNNNNNNNNNNNNNNNNNNNNNNNNNNNNNNNNNNNNNNNNNNNNNNNNNNNNNNNNNNNNNNNNNNNNNNNNNNNNNNNNNNNNNNNNNNNNNNNNNNNNNNNNNNNNNNNNNNNNNNNNNNNNNNNNNNNNNNNNNNNNNNNNNNNNNNNNNNNNNNNNNNNNNNNNNNNNNNNNNNNNNNNNNNNNNNNNNNNNNNNNNNNNNNNNNNNNNNNNNNNNNNNNNNNNNNNNNNNNNNNNNNNNNNNNNNNNNNNNNNNNNNNNNNNNNNNNNNNNNNNNNNNNNNNNNNNNNNNNNNNNNNNNNNNNNNNNNNNNNNNNNNNNNNNNNNNNNNNNNNNNNNNNNNNNNNNNNNNNNNNNNNNNNNNNNNNNNNNNNNNNNNNNNNNNNNNNNNNNNNNNNNNNNNNNNNNNNNNNNNNNNNNNNNNNNNNNNNNNNNNNNNNNNNNNNNNNNNNNNNNNNNNNNNNNNNNNNNNNNNNNNNNNNNNNNNNNNNNNNNNNNNNNNNNNNNNNNNNNNNNNNNNNNNNNNNNNNNNAGCCGCCUCAUCCGUCAAUGCGAUAGCCUCAAAGUAUCGCUCCAUAUGCCAUAAGAAGUUAUCCAACUCCUUGGCAUCCCGAUUGCCACUAAACCUAUGUGGCUUCGGCACCUCCACCCUAGAUGCCUCUUGUGUGGCCAUGACCCGUGCCGACACAGCAGCCUUGUAGAUGGCCAACUCCUGCCUAACUUCCUGGUCUCGGGACUCCAUUCGAGUGGCCAAGGCCUCUAUCCUUGACUCCAUGCUAGCAAGCAUGCUCAAGACCUUUCCUUGGAAGGACACAAACUCCUCGUGCGACACUGGUUGAACCUGUGAGAUUAGCACCCCCUCGCGAAGGUCUUGGAUCUGCUCCCUUAGAUCCUCUAAGCCCUUCUCCAUGCCUUGCUCGAUCAAGUCCAACCCUUCCCGAGUGUCCGCCAUGGCUAGCUCCACCUUCGCUAACCUUGCCUCCAUGUUGGCAACGGCAUCACGAGAUUUAUCCUUCCUGCCCCUGCCCCGUGCAGUAGGCUCGGUCUCUCUCCCACGGGUUUGCUCACUAGUCUCCUCCACGUUAGAGCCCGACAUGCUUCCUUUGCUAUGCCCACCUCGUAACCGCGCUCUGAUACCACUUGUCACGGACUUAGUCGUUCACUAAGCUCGUGCGGCACUUAGACAAGCCAAGACGCUUGAUCUUGCUAAGUCAGCCUUGCUCCCAAUACUUAGCUCACCCGGCUAAGACACUCGCGACUCAAAAGCUUAAGAAGCUUGGUAGGCAACUCCUUAAAGAAUGGAAGCUUUCUAUUACUCAAAGAAGCCUUUACAAGUGCUUGGAUGCUCACUUGCUUGGUUAGGAAGUGAUUUUGGGUGGUGCCUUGGCCAAAUGAGGCCCUCACCUAUUUAUAGGCACCAAGGGAACUCUCUAGAACCUUGGAGGGUUCCCUUACAAAUCAAGAAUAUUCUAGAACAUCCUACCCUAUUCUAUGUACAACCCUAUGUACAAGAAUAUACAAGAGAUUCCUAGAAGUCUCUAGAAAGCCUUGGACUCCUCCCAUGCCUUCCACCAUAGUGUAGAGAUGUGUGGACAUCUCUAGGCAUUUCUAGAACCUUCCACACUCUUCCCACCAAUGACUUAGUGUAGAUGGCUCCAGGAGUCUCCAGAAGCUUCCCUCCUUCUAUAUAAGCCCAUGGGGAGGGUCAUUUGAAGCAUCCUGUGACAAUAGGCUUCUGUUUCCACCCACUUGCUAAAAUAGUCAGUUGCAACGAGUAAAACUUUUUUUGAGCUAUUGCAACAAGUAAGGGACAAAUUAUGUCGAUCCCCCACUGCGCAAACAACCAAGGGCUUGUGACCAGACUGAGAGCUUCAGAAUGUACACGGGAAAUGGGAGCAUGUCUUUGACACCAGUCACAUCUCUUAAAAUAGUUUUCAGUGUUUUGUUUCAUGGUGGGCCAAUAGUACCCUUGCAUGUAAGCACGAUGUGCCAAGGUUCGUUCGCCUGUAUGAUUUCUAUAUACGCUUUCAUAGAGUUCGGCCAGGACAUACUUGGCUUCUGGCUUGCUCAAACACCUUAGGUAUGGUUCUCUAAAUGAUCAUCUAUAAAGCAGGUCAUUGAUUAAAGUGAAGCGAGAUGUUUGCACGCAGAGUCUGUGCAAUUGCUUCCAAUCUUCUAGUAAUUCUCUCGUCUAAAGGUAUUUUACAAUGUCAUGCAUCCAGCCAAGGUUUGCUUCAUUGGUACUGCACACUAGUUCGGGUGUGGCCUGAAGGUAGAUAGACAACAUCAUUGCCUCUUUUAUAAGGAGAGUGGCAACUAUUCCGGCCAAUGCAUCCGCCUUCAUGUUCUCCUUUCGGGGUACCAGUCUAACAAUCCACUCAUCUAGAUUUUUCAAGUGAUCUUCCACCAUGGCGAGGUAGCGAGCCAUGCGUUCGUCCAUUACUUCAUACUCUCGUUGAAUUUUCCCAACAAUUAGUUAAAAGUCGCUUCUGAUUUUCAAGUUUGUUGCAGCCAGUGUUAAGGCAAGAUCUAGCCUAACUAGGACAAAUUCAUAUCCUACUUUCGUACAAUCUCUCACAAAAUUCAUACACUCUCUCACAAAGUUCCUACCAUCUCUCACAAAGUUCGUACCCUCUCUCACAAAGUUCAUACCACAUCUCACAAAAUUCGUACACUUUCUCACAAAGUUCAUACUAUUUCUCACAAAGUUGGUACCUCUUCUCACAAAGUUCAUACCCUCUAUCACAAAGUUCAUACACUCUCUCACAAAGUUCGUACCAUGUCUCACAAAGUUCGUACAAUCUCUCACAAAGUUCAUACCUCAUCUCACAAAGUCCGUACCACAUCUCACAAUGUUCGUACCCCCUCUCAUAAAGUCCAUACCCCUUCUCACAAGUUCAUACCCCUUCUCACAAAGUUCGUACCCCCUCUUACAAAGUUCGUACCCCCUCUUACAAAGUUAGUACCACCUCUCAUAAAGUUCAUACCCCCCUCUUACAAAGUUUGUACCCCAUCUCACAAAGUUCUUACCACCUCUCAAAAAGUUCGUACCAUCUCUCACAAAGUACGUACCAUCUCUCACAAAGUAAGUACCAUUUCUCACAAAGUUCGUACACUCUCUCACAAAGUUCAUACCCUCUCUCACAAAGUUCGUACCAUCUCUCACAAAGUUUGUACCCCCUCUGAAAAAGUUCGUACCCUCUCUCACAAAGUUCGUACUAUUCCUCACAAAGUUCAUAUCAUCUCUCACAAAGUUCGUACCAUCUCUCACAAAGUUCGUACCCCCUCUAACAAAGUUUGUACCCCCUCUCACAGAAUUUGUACUCUCUCUCACAAAGGUCAUACCCUCUCUCACAAUGUUUGUACCCCUUCUCACAUUGUUUGUAUCAUCUAUCACAAUUUUCGUACCCCCUCUCACAUUGUUCGUACCCCUUCUCACAGUGUUUUCCUUCAAGAUAUAUAAAACUUCAUCUUCAAAUUUAAUCUACAAAUAAACAAAAUAAUAAUAUAAAAAUAUUAAUGACAAUUUAAUAAUAAAUGACUAAAUUGUCUCAAUUUGAUUAAUAAUAACUCAUAAAAAAAAAUUCAAAAAUCUAAAUGUUAUAAAGCAUUACAUAUUGUUCAUACCCUUUCUCACAAUGUUUGUACCCCCUCUCACAUUGUUCGUACCCCUUCUCACAUUGUUUUCCUUCUUCAAGAUAUAUAAAACUUCAUCUUCAAAUUUAAUCUAUAAAUAAACAAAAUAAUAAUGUAAAAAUAUUAAUGACAAUUUCAUAACAAAUGACUAAAUUGUUUCAAUUUGAUUAAUAAUAACUCAUAAAAAAAAUUCAAAAAUCUAAAUGUUGUAAAGCAUUACAUAUUUAAAUGUCAUUUAACAUGACAUUUCUACCUACAAAAUUUAUAUUUAAAUAAAAAAUAUCAAAUAUUACCUUUGACACUUGUAAUCACUUGAAAUCUUUCAUCUUUUUCAUAUAAUAGAAAUUUUAAAUUUUCUCCCUCAAAAAGUUUCAAACUUGAUCUUCAAAUUUGAUUUAUCAAAACACAUCUCACAUAUUUUAUAAUAUGGUAGUUGAAACUAUUUAAUUUUUAUAUUAAAUUAGUAUCCCUUUUUGUAAAUAUGAAUAAUGAGAGUAUAAGGAUAGUUGUUAGAAUUUUCUUUUUUUAGAUAGAAUUAGGUAACAUUAAAUAAUAAAUUAUAUUUGAUAUUUAAUAAUAAAUUAUAAAAAAAUUGUAAUAUUUAGAUAUGUAUGAAUUGCAUGUAAUUAUUUCUCACAAGCAAGCCAUCUUUAUCGGUUUAAUAAGUUUUUAAUUUUUUUUUUUAAGUGGGUAGGUACCCAAAAUAAAGAGUGGGUACCAAAGAACGAUAUAUAUUUUGUCUAUAUUCUGUAAGUGACUGAAUGAUAGAUGCCUGUUGGUGAAAGAGAUGCCUGUACGUCGGCUUAAGAGAUGUUCUUUAUAUCAAACAAUAUAUAUUUAUCUAUAUUCUGUAAGGGGCUGAAUGAUAAGAUGCCUGUUGGUCAAAGAGAUGCCUGUACGUUUGUCUCAAAGAUGCUUGUUUAUAUCUAAGAAACAAAAGAUUCACAUAAAAAAAAAAAAUGAUGCUUAGAUUAUAAUAUUGAUCCUUGUUCUAUUUGGUUUAAGAGAAUAGUUUGACAUACAUGCAUAAGGUAAUUAAUAAAUUCCUGGUCAAGUGUCACGUUCAAACAAAUUCCUGGUCAAGUGUCACGUUCAAACAAGAAGAUUAAUUAAUAAAAAAGGUCAUUUCAAGGAGUAAAAAAAUUAUGAAAAAUAUAUCAGUUUUAACCACUAAUAUUAAUUAUUAGCAAAAGUCACUUUGAACCAUAAAAAAAUAAAAAAUAAAAAAAAUUAAUAACAAAAUAUCACGUUGAACCACAAAUAUUAACUCACAGCAAAAGGUCACCCUACGCCAUACCUACUAACAGAAACAUGUUCAUUAGUUAACAUGUACACCAAACCACCAAGAGAGACAACACCUCAUAAAACAGUUUUUAAGACCAAAUUUUAAGAACAGUUUUUUAUGUUUUUAGAAACAUAAUUGUGUUUGGGAAUUGAAUUUUGAAAAAUACUUUUUAUUUUCAAAAACAAAAAAAAAACAUGUUUAGUUGAGUUAAUAAAAAAAGUUUUUAGAACAAGUAAAACAAAAAAAUAUAUUUGAAAGUUGCUUUUUUUUUUAAUUGAGAAUUUUCUUUAAUUAACUUGAUAUUGUAAUUAUAUACAUAAUUUUUAGAUUUACAUUUCAUUUAAAUUAAAAACUAUUAUAUUAUGAUAUUUAUUUGCAUGAGUUAUAAUUUUUUCAACAAAGGAUUACUUUACCUAAUUGAUGAAGGGUAAUAAAGGGACUCAUAAAUCUGCUCAUCUACAUCAUUUAUUUCAUCUAAUGAAAAGGUAUCAACAACCAUUGAUAUAAUCUACUAGCUAAAACAAAAAUGUAACAACAGCAACAAUUCAAGUAUUGGUACAUUUCAGAUCACUACAAAUUAAAAGACCUUUUGGGUACUUACAGGCGAAGAAUAAAGUGCAAACCAGCAGGAGAUAGACUCAAUAAACGAAUACAACUCAAUGGUGUAUUUAAUACUUAGAUCAGGCCUCCUUCCCCUGGAAGUUGUAAACAUGGAAUGAGCACCUGCAAAUCAAAGCAAGGGAACAGACAAAAACCAUUUUUUGUUACACUACAAGAACUAGACCAAGAGUAGAACCUGUAAAAUCAUAGUAAUCAAACACCAAAGGUCCAAAACCAGUGAUCCAUUUGCUAGAAAAGAGAAAUCAAAUUAAUGAAACACAUAUCACAAUCAUUUUAAAUAGAGCAGAGGUCAUUCAAAACCUAUGAAACUCUAGACGAUGUGUUAAUGAACCAGGAAAUAUUUUAAGAAAUCACACAAAGUGAUCUAUCUUAACCUAGUGUUAAUAUAAAAGAUUCAUAAUCCCAAGAUAGGGAAAAAAACAAAUACGCAGCCGAGAAUCAAACCAAUUAGGUAGAAGACAAAAAAAAAAAAAAACAUUUCAAAUUAAAUAUAUACUCCAAUCCGAAUCUCAAAACCAUAAAUUAUUUUCAUGGAGAAGACAAAGAAAGGAAGAAAAAGACAAUACCUAAAACACUGAGUCUCCUUCUCAUUGAAUCCCCUUGAUGCAAAAGAUGCAAAGGUUAUUCUUAGCUCUUCAUUAGGCAAAGAGAUCCAUAUGUUGCGACAUCUGCAAAAGCCUAACUGUUAUCUCUCUUGCCAAUAUCCAGAGGGUAGAAUAGGCCACCAGCCUAAAAUUCAAAGCUUCAUAACACCAUCAAAUAGCGUACAUACAAGCACAUGAACACAUAGAGAGAGACUUUUUACACGAACAGCACCUUCUCUGGCGGCUAAUACAAGAAUAUCAGCACGUGAGGGUAGGUUGCUUCCAGCUCUUCCUUGAUGGAUUCAAUUAUAUCAAAGCCUUUUAGAGUUUCAUUAGAAAGCGAAUCUUUCUCUGAAUGGAUUCCAAUAUUUUUCUUGCCGUCAGUCUCUUCCGUGCACAACCCUUUCAAAUCAUGGGCCCCAAAAACAAACCAAAUUCCACAUACUUUUCAACUAAAUACAACCAUGAAUGCCAGUGCUGCCCUAUAAAUAAUAUGGAGCUUGCCAAGCUAUUUCUCUCAUACCUACCAAUUCAUCAUUCAAGGUAUAGUACUGUUCUAUCAUUGUUCCAAGGAAUUAACAUGUCUACUCAAGUCUCAGCAUCUUCUCUAGCCCAGAUUCCCAAACCUAAAAAUCGUCCUGUGGCAAACUAUCACCCCAACAUUUGGGGUGACCAGUUUAUCUCCUACAUUCCUGAAGACAAGGUAAUUGAAUGAAAAUAUGCAUCAAGUUUAAUGGCUUACAUACUUAUUUGGCAGUUAUUUUUCUUAAUGUGUUGGAUGAAAAAAAAUUUUGGUCCAGGUUACACGUGCCUGCAAAGAGGAGCAGUUUGUGGAUCUGAAAAAGGAAGUGAAAAGGAAAUUAACGGCUGCUGCUGUUGCUAACCCUUCCCAAUUGCUGAACUUCAUUGAUGCAGUGCAACGUCUUGGGGUGGCAUACCACUUUGAGCAAGAGAUAGAAGAAGCAUUGCAACAUAUUUGUAACAGUUUUCAUGACUGCAAUGAUAUGGAUGGUGAUCUCUACAAUAUUGCUCUUGGAUUUCGACUACUAAGGCAACAAGGGUACAGUAUUUCAUGUGGUAAGAGACUAAGAAAAAAAUGUUAUGUUCAACCUUCUUAUCAUUUAAAUCUUAUGUUCAAGUGGUGAUGUUUGUGUAGGCAUAUUCAACAAGUUUAUGGAUGAACGAGGUAGAUUCAAGGAAGCUUUGAUCAGCGAUGUAAGAGGCAUGCUAUGCUUGUAUGAAGCUGCACAUCUGAGGGUUCAUGGAGAGGACAUAAUUGCAAAAGCACUUGCUUUCACCACCACUCACCUCAAGGCCAUGGUAGAAAGUUUAGGAUACCAUCUUGCAGAACAAGUUGCUCAUGCCCUGAACCGGCCCAUUAGAAAAGGUUUGGAGAGGCUAGAGGCAAGAUGGUAUAUAUCUGUCUACCAAGAUGAAGCUUUCCAUGAUAAAACUUUACUAGAGCUAGCAAAAUUAGAUUUCAAUCUAGUGCAGUCACUGCACAAGGAAGAGCUAAGCAAAUCUUGCAAGGUUGGUUUUUAGAUCACCCCACAUGUACUUGGCCAUUCUUAUCACUUUCCUGUAUGCUGAUCAUAUUAAUGUCUUUUAGGUGGUGGAAAGAAUUAGACUUUGCUACAAAGUUACCUUUUGCACGAGACAGAUUGGUUGAAUGCUACUUUUGGAUACUUGGGGUGUAUUUUGAGCCUCAAUACUUACGGGGUAGACGAAUUCUAACCAAAGUAAUUGCCAUGACAUCCAUUCUAGAUGAUAUCCAUGAUGCAUAUGGCACACCUGAAGAACUCAAGCUCUUCAAGGAAGCCAUUGAGAGGUUUGCUCCUUGCACAUUACCAACCUUGAUUGUGUAUAAUAGAUGUAUUCAUAUAUACCUAAAUCAAGGGUCGUUAUUUUAUUUUCAGGUGGGAUAUUAACAGCAUAGAUCAGCUUCCAGAAUACAUGAAACUCUGCUAUGCGUCACUCUUAGAUGUGUACAAAGAAAUCGAGGAAGAGAUGGAGAAAGAAGGAAACCAAUAUCGGGUUCACUAUGCCAAAGAAGUAGUAGGACAUCUUUAACUCUGGAUCCCCACCUUUUGUAUUGAUGAUAUUUUAUAUGGUCUCAUAUAUACAUAGAUAUAACUUGGAUGAAUGUUCUUUAGAUGAAGAAUCAAGUUCGAGCUUACUUUGCUGAGGCCAAAUGGUUACAUGAAGAACACGUACCAACAAUUGAAGACUACAUGCGUGUUGCACUAGUAAGCUCUGGAUACUGCAUGCUUGUAACCACGUCCUUGGUGGGAAUGGGAGAAAUAGCAACAAAGGAGGCCUUUGAUUGGAUGACCAGCGAUCCUAAGAUUAUGUCAUCUUCAAAUUUCAUUGCGAGGCUCAUGGAUGACAUCAAAUCACAUAAGGUAUGCAGAAUAUGUGAUUCAAAUGGGGAGACUAAAACACUAUGGUUUUUCCUCAACUUUUGUAUUAUACAUGCAGUUUGAGCAAAAGAGACGACAUGUGGCCUCAGCUGUUGAAUGUUACAUGAAGCAAUAUGGUGUCUCUGAGGAACAAGUAUACAGUGAAUUUCAAAAGCAAAUUGAGAAUGCAUGGCUGGAUAUUAACCAGGAAUGCCUCAAACCUACUGCUGUUUCAAUGCCUCUCCUUGCUCGUAUUCUCAAUCUUACACGAACCGCGGAUGUCUUUUACAAAGAGCAAGAUUCGUUCACACAUGUUGGGAAAGUGAUGAGGGAUAACAUUGCGUCUGUCUUCAUUAACGCUGUAAUAUAACCAAAUAGAGUAGUUGAUUACCGUCCCCUAUGUAUUGCCUUGUGGAAGCAGUAAUAUCUAAUAAAUCACUAUAAUAAGGUGAACGAGUGAUAUGUAAUAAAUCAUUGUAAUACGGUAAGGGGACACAUUAUAUGUAGCACCUAGUUUCUCUGGAUUCAUAGUGUUUUACUUUGGAAUAUUACCUGAAUAUUUAAAUAAGAAGAUGUAUUACUUAAAUCACCUAAUAUAUAUAUAUAUAUAAUAAACUUUAUUAUAUUAUAUUCUUUAAUACAUAUGUAUUAUUGUCAUUCAAUAUGAGGAGUAUUGAUACUGAGUCUUAAAAUACAUAUGUAUGUAGAAUAUAUGCCUACAACAAAUCUGGAUCUCCUUGUUAAUGUGUAAUGGUGUUUUGGAGUACUACAAUACUCACCAAAUAUUUUCUUUUCACUUUAUAAUGGACACUAACUUGUGAGUUUAAAGUUAAUUAAAUAUUUAACUCUAUAGAGAAUUAUUAUUGUUGUUGUUGUUGCUAGCGUUAUUAUUAUUUAUUAAUUCAUUAUUAUGAAAAUUAUUAUUAUUAUUAUUAUUACUAUUUAAUUAUUAUUAUUAUUAUUAUUAUUAUUAGCUAUUAAUUUUAGUUUUUUCCUUUACAUCUUUUCUUUCUUGUUAUUUAUUAUAUACUUCAUAAAAUUACAAGUUAUGAUCUUUUAUUAGGUUGAAAUUGGAAGUUCAAGUUCAUUUAAGUAUGGCACAGUUUACUUAGCGGUUCACUAAUUUUGUAAAAACUUCGAUGCAUUUAUAGGAUAAUUAAAUAAUUCAACUAACUUAUCAUUUUACUAAUUAAGGUUUUUUUUAACCCUUUUACGUGUAAGAAUAUAUAAAUUUCUAGUUCAAUGUCGAAACUUUGGAAUUGCAUGAAUAUGAAAGUGAAAUUGAUAACAUUUUUUUUUUCUGAAGAAUUGUGCUUUGAAGUGAGAUGGGCCUGAAAAUUGAUAUAACAUCCUCUUAUCAUCCACAUUUAAGUUCAAGAUUCAAAUAAAGUGUAAAAAUUGAGUUAAAAGAUAUUAUCAUUCAUUAAUCCUUAAAAUGCCCUUAACCCUUGCAUAAACACACAAUGAAUGUAAAUUUCAAUUUCUUUGUAUUUUUUUUCCCAGUCUAUUCCCUAUUACCUAUUACCCAUUACCCAUUUCUACCUUUUUGUUUUCUUUUUCAUUUUUUCUUUUCUUCCCAUCUAUAGUUCUAUUUUAUGCCCAAUGUUAAUCUCUCAUAAUUAUAUUCCCAUUUUCAUUCGAUCCAUUAUUAUAUCAUUAACAACCAUAUUAAUUGCUAUUAAUUUUAUAUUUACCUUACAAUUCAUCCAAAUAUUUUUCAUUUGUAUUUAUCUUUUAGUUGAACUUUCAUUUUUUAUUUUAAAUUUACAUUACCUUUUUAUUUAUAUUUUUCCCUUAUUUUUAAUUAUUUUCUAUAGUUUCCACAUUAACCAUAUUUUUUAAAAUUUUAAAAUUGACUAUCACUUCACUCUUAAUUUUUUUUAUAUAGCUUUUUAAGUUUUAAUGUUUUUAUUUUAAAUUUAAAAAAAAAUUAUUGAGAAAAUAACUAAUAUAUAAAGUUCUAAUAUUAUAUUAAUAAUUUUUCUUAUCUAAAUAAACUAAUGAAAAGUAUUUUUACUAACAACAAGAAAAUUGUGAACACAAUUUUUUAGUGAAACUUUAGAAAUUAAAUUUCAAAUAAAGUAUGUUAUAUCAAAUUUUAUCUAAAAUAUGUUGAAAGUGGUAUUUAAUUUUUUUUAUUGACUUUCAAACUUAUUAAAUUUUUUACUUGAAAGAUAAUAGAACAUGUUUAAAGAAAAUUAGUUUUUCAUUUUUUUAAAUAAAUGAGUAUAAAUAUUUUUAAAAAAUUUAAGAUAAUCUUAGUAAAAAAUUUGAUAAAUGUGAUUACAAUUUUAAAUUAGAUUUUUAAAUAUAGAUUCAUUUGGAUAAAAUUUCACAAAAAAAAAAUGGUGGAAAAAAAGGAACAUUGCUAAAACUACAAAAACAAAAUAUGCAAUUACAAAAUUUUGAUAAUGAAAUUUAAAAAUAAGAGUCGAAACAAUUCUUAGGUGAGAUAAUUUGAUUGGGGAGAUUAUGCAAUUCUUGAGUGAAAAGAAAAAAGCGGGAGAGUUUUUGAGAAUAACUUAAAAUCCUUGACAAAAAAUAGUAUUGUACACUCUUGUAUAAUUAGUAAAUUUGUCUUGUACAAUUAGUGUAAUCAAUAAUUCAGAUUCCAUAUAUUUCCUUGUGAAUAUAUGUUAAUAGGUUAAUUAACCAUGUUUGCAUUGGUUUGGUUUAAGAGAACAGGAAAAGUUGUUGUACAAUUUUGUUCCAUGAUUAUCAUUAAUAGGGUAUAUAUUCAAAUGAUCAUAUACAAGUUAGAUAAAGUGCAUGAGAUGAGUAUAUGAUUAAUCGAUGUGUAUGAGGAAUGUCAUCCAUCCUUGACUGGCAGAAUCACUUAAAUUCUUCACAAAUGACAACCUUGUGCACCUUUGUACAGUUAGCAUAUUUGUCUUGUAUACUUAAUGUAAAUAUAUUGUAUAGUGAACCAAAUUUCAUAUACCCUUUACUCAAUGUGUGUCCAUAGAUAGGUAGGUUAAACAUGUUUCCACUAGUUUAAUUCACAAAAUAGUGGAAGACGUAAAAACAAAAUUUUUCCUCAAACAUCAUUAGUGAGAUAAGUAUUCGAAUUGUCAUGUACAAGUUAAAUAAAGUGCAUGACUUGGGUGUGUGAUAGAAGAAUGUGUGAUAUGAGAGUGUGCAAUCCUUAAAUGGCAAGACAAAAAAAAAAUUGCAAGAACAAAAAGUGAGAAAAUCUUUAGGUAAUUAAUCAUGUUUUUUGAGUGACUCUAAUUAAUAAAUUAGCUCUAAGUGACUCUAAUUAAUUAAUAGCACAUUCCAGAAAGUCAAUUUAUAAUAUCUAGUACAAGCUUGCAUUUUUACCAAGACGCUUUUAUGUAGACUUAUGAAUUACAAAUACCCAAAAUACUCUCAAAGCAUUCCAUCAUGAAAUAGGAGCUCAAGUAGAGACCAUUGAGACCUAUAGGAAAACACUAACUCCUUCAAAAUCUAAUGUUGAAUUUGACUUUACACUCUACUAAAGAGAGUCAACUACACCCUAAUAUCUUAUGAAAUUACAAUGAGCGAAGAUCAAGUCUAUGACCUACUAUUCAUUGCAUGUAAACUCUUCAUAAAUCGAUGUCUGUAAUUUAACAAGAUAGUGUUAUUACCUAUCAAACUUAUCUCUUUAAUCCUUAAAUUAUAGAUCUCACUUCUUAUGUGAUCAACUGACAUACUUUGCCUUAGAGAAGUAUUAUCUUUCGAUGUGAAAAUUUAGUGGGUGUUAAUUGACUUUUUGGUAGUUCUUAAAGAAUAAUUUCCUCAAAUAACAAAAGAAGCACAUAAAAAAAAUGCAAUAAAAAAUAAUUGUGGUGGUCUCAAAGUGACUUGGCCAAAAGUUAAAUAAUUGGAGGAUGACAACACGGAACAAGGACUUUUCAAACAGUUAUAUACAAACUUAAUAUAAUAAGGGUUUUUUUAAUGAUUAUUUUGGGAAAAAAAUUUUAAAUAGGGGAGGAUAUAAUUAUAUAAAAAUAUGUGUAUGCAUAUCAAUACAUGUGUAUAUUUAUACGUAUUUUUACAUAUUAAUUUAAUAAAGUAAAAUAAAAAUCAAUUGGUAUGACAAACAAAAUUAAAGUAAUAACAAUCCUAUAAGAAAAUAAAUAAAUAAAUAAAUGAACAAAAGUAAGUUUGUGUCAAAAAAAUAUAGUAAAAAAAUAAAAAUCCUUGUGGAAAAACUAAUUGCUAAUAUUUUUUAUUUUAAAAACAUUUCUAAUAUUAACCUAUAUCGAAACUAUUUAAUUUUAUUACAUUUCAUGGAAAUAAACUUCCUGUAAUAAAAAUAUUUUCUUUUAGGUAUCUAUAGACGAGAAAAAAAUAUUUGAUAUAUGAUUAGAAAAAUGUUAGUGUCCGAAAAUCGAAAAAUGUCCUUGGAAGAUUGUAUUUAUUUCCCCUGAAUUUUCGGUUUAUCCGGUACGCUCCAUGCCAAACACUGCCCGUGUUUUACGCGGUUUGCAACCCAUACUCCAUGCUCCAUGUCGUAAACCAAUGAGAUUAAAGAUUAGUCUGACAGCUUCAUUGGAAAAAUUCAAAACUAAUGGAAAGAAUGAAUAAAAAAAUGAAAGAAAAUGAAUUGGUCCACAUGUGAAAAGGAGAGAGCUGGUCGUUGAAUGGGAAAUGGAGGAAAAUAGAAGAAAAAUGACAAAGGAAGGAGCCAAGAAAAGGAAGGAGGAAAAUAUAGUAUUUCUUGUUAAGCUAUAAUUUGACCUUGACCAUAAAGCUCAAUCAAACAUAUUUACUGCACUGUUCUUCUAAACCAUAUAUGCAGUUUGAGCAAAAGAGAGGACAUGUUGCCUCAGGCGUUGAAUGUUACAUGAAGCAAUACGGUGCCUCUGAGGAAGAGGUAUACGAUAAGUUUCAGAAGCAAGUUGAGGAUGCAUGCAAGGAUAUUAAUGAGGAGUUCCUACGACCUACGGCUGUUCCGAUGCCUCUCCUUAUGCGUGUGCUUAAUCUUUCUCGAGUGAUGUAUGUGAUCUACACGGGGGGAGAUGGGUACACUCAUGUUGGAAAAGUGAUGAAGAAUAAUGUUGCAUCACUGCUCAUUCACCCUAUCGCAUGACCAAAUGGAUCAAGUUGAUGAGCAUCUACAUAUUCUGCCAUACCUAAUGCAUCACUGCUCAUUUGAAUAUAUGUUUAAAACACAUGGAUCAAGUUUGAUACUUUUCUGUCAUUUAAAGUUCACGUGAGGGAGAAAAUUCUCCAUAGAAAAUCACUUGGCGGAGAAGAUUCAAACAACACGUGUAUUCACUAUGGAAGUUACCAGGAAAAGGGUUUAGAACAUACAAAGACAUAAAACACUAAAAAAUUCAUCCUAACGGGUAAAAUAUGAUUAUGAUUAUUAUUAUUAUUAUAAUAUUAGACAUGCUAAAAGUUUUAUUAUAUACCAUGUAAAAAAUAAAUGUUAUGAUAUUACAUUAAACUAUGCAGAGUUUAAAUUUUUGCCAAAAAAAAAAAAAAAAGAAAAAAAAAAUUGGAGAAUCAAAUUCAAUCAACUCAUCAUUUUCCAAGCAAGGAUUACGAUAUUGAAAAUUAUAGAUAGAUCGAUGAUUAUAUUUUUAAAAAACAUUGGAAUGAAAUAAUAAUACAUGUAUAGAAGUUUUUUAAAUAAUAUAUAUAUAUAUAUAUAUAUAUAUAUAUAUAUAUAUAUAUAUAAUAACAUUUGUGUGAUAUUGAAUAAUAAUCCAUAGAGCUUGAAAAUGCAUUUAAUUAUAAAAUAUAUAUGAUUGCAUGUAAUUUGAAAAUAAGUAUUUAUAAUUUCAUUUACGACUUUAUUUCUUCCUCAUUAUUUAAUUAAUAUAGACAAGGUAUAUAUAAAAAAAAGACUUUAGUGAAUGCAACUUCAAAUGACGAAUAAUGCACGGUAGCAGUAAGCGAAGACUCAUUAUUUUGACUUCAAGGCAUUAAUUCAUAUUUUAUCCAUUACACAACAAAAUAUAUAUAAAUAUCCUUAUAAAAAAUAUAUACAAUAUUUAUAGGUAACAACUUUCUUCUUAAGCAAAGCAGCCAAGUAAGACUACAAAAUCUAUACCAAACAAAAUAUCUACUAGGAAUAAAAUUGAUUGGCUCGAACUCAAACUACCUAUGGACAAAUUUGGAUAAUUAUUUCCAACAUUUAAAUUGAUUGGGCUUAGGUUAAAGUAUUCUUCAACUCUUAAGUCAAUUUUAGUUGGGCUCUUACCAAGGUUGUGACAUCUCGAAUCUAACCAAAAGUUGAUAUAAUAUUUAUAUAAUAAUUAUAAUUUAUAUUAUUAUGGACUCAUGCACAUUUUUCAUUUAUUAUGAAAAAUGAUUAUUUGAAAACCCUUUUUAGGUUUUUUAGAGUGAUCAUUUAUUUUAUUUAUUUUUCAAAAAGGAAAACAAAAUAAGAAAAAAAAAAAAAAAAAGACAAGUUCAUAAACCAAGAUUGAGUAAGAAGUCAAAUUACCUAUUGGAAAAAUACAAAGAUAAGUCAUACAAAACAACCCUCUAAGCUUAUAUACUUACAAUCUUUAUUAAGCAAAUGAAAUGAAUUAUGACAAUUAAAUAAUUGAUUAUGGAUACUCAAGAAAAGAAAAACACAAAUAUAAAACAAGUCAUGGUGUUUAUCAUGUUAAAAUAAUGUAAAAAAAAAAAACAAAUGAUAAAAGAAUUUGCAUAAAUUGAUUUAUGAAACUAAUUAAAAACAUGGGUUUAAUUAUUUCUAAAUUCAAAGGAUUAAAAAAGUUAUUCCAAUUUGAUGAUUUCAAUUGAUUUUAAGUACAAAAGAAAGUUUUGAUUUCAAAUUUUUUUUUGAAGAAAAAAAUGCUUCAAAUCAUAGAGAUCAUCAUUUAUAUCAGCAAUGCCAUGAUAGUUAUCAUAGGUGCUUUGUAAUGCUUGUUCUAUCUCGUUUUCAAAGUGGUAUGCCACCCCAAGCCGUUGAAUUGCAUCGAUAAACUUCAGCUGUUUCGAAGGGUUACUAGCUGCAGCAAUCAGCUCUCUUCUAACUUCCUCCUUUAGAUCUUCCAACUGCUGCUCUUUAUGGGCCAGAGUUAUCUGUAUCAAUAAAUUGCAAGAACAAAAAGUGUGAAAAUCUUUAGAUAUUGUUAUGUAAACUGCAUAUAUGAUCAGAAAAUUACCUCAUCAUCAGGAAUGUUGCUCACGAUGAAACUAUUGGCCCAAAUGCUAGGCUGAUAAUUUGCAGUCCGGCGAUUAGUCUCUGGAUUAGCAACUGGGGCUGGAGAAGACAUGUUACUGGUAGCGAGAAUUAAGGGCAUGUGUAACUCACUGGAGCACUCCAUAUAUGAAUAAGAUAGCUUGCAAUCUUCGGUAUUUAUAGGAUGGGAAAUCGUUCAUUACAAUUAUUGAAUAUCAAUCCCAGAUCCCCAGUAGCAUGGAUUCAAUUAAUUCAAGGUCAUCUAUCAUAUUUAAACCACGUUUAUUAAAAAUUAAAUAUUUAAAAUAUGUUUUUAUUUCUCUUAGAAAUACGAAAAUUGUAGCUUAUUCCCUUAAUAAUUCUCAGUAUCCAAUCAGCCACCAAACAGUGACUAAGACUUUCACGUGAAGAUCGUUGGGAAGGUUAAUUUAAAAAUAUUUUAAAAUACACGUAAGUUUUCAAAAAUCAAAUAAUUAUUUCUUGAAAUAAAAUUAUAUAAAAAAUAAUAAUUUAUCACUUUAAGUUAAUAAAAGCAUCUUACAAAUAAGUAUAUUAAAAAAAUAUAUAAUAUAAUAUGGGAUACAAAUCAUUGUGAAAAAUGUUCUAUGAUAAAUAAAAUUCCUUCUAAUCUUGUAAUUAAUAAUAAUUUUAUAUUAUAUAUUAUAUAAAUCAUUUCAUCUUCCUAUCUUUUUUAAUAAAUUGAAUAAAAUUUUUGUUGGUUGGCAUCAAUAAUAAAAUAAAAUAAAAAUUAGAACUUAAAAGUUAAAAAUAUAACAAAUAAAAUAUUGACUUUUAUUUCACUCAUAACAUGUCUGUUAAAAAUAUAGAUAUCAAGAAAGAAAAAUAUAAUAUGGGUCAAUAUUUUAUUUAAUUUUUUUUAUUUUAAUUGUAUUUAAUUUUUAAGUAUUUUGGUUUUAAUUGUAUUUUUAAUUUUUAAAAUUUCUUAUUUUAUAGUUGUUCAAUAUUCUUAAGAAUGUUUGUUUAUAAAGAGAAAAAAAAAAGUCAUAAAUUCGUCUCACAACACCAUGACUAAAAGGGAGAUUGGUUCUUUACAAUUAAACAUCUACACGUUUAUUUGUUUAUUGAUAUUAUUGAUGUAAGAGAUAAAAUGAUCAUUUUAGGAAAUAAUUAUUUAACUUAUGAGAAAUGUAUGUGUUUUAAAAUAUAUUUAAAUGGAUGAAAAUAAAACUAAUUUAUAAAAUUUUGAAUUUCUUUUUCAAAUUAGUGAGUCAUAACCUAGUUUUCCCUUAAUAUUUCAUUGUACAAUAAAAUUAAUAUCAUGGUAAUAAAAGAAUUUGGAUAUAACUAGGGAACUAAGUUCUUUUAUAUACAACACAAAAAUUAGUGUCUAGAUGAAAAGAAAAUUGCAAAUAAUUUGUUUUUCAAUCACACCUAUUGUAAGAAUCAUAUUAUUAAUUAUUUUGAUUCUUAAUUAACAAUAAUUAAGAAUAAUAUAAAUAUAUAUUUUUUUUAAUUAAAAUGUGAUUUGAGUUAGGAUAACUCUUAAAUUUUUGGCAAAUUUUCAAUGCCAAUAUUUCAUUUAUAUAAAACCACAUAAUAUUUCCUUGAUAUAAAAAUUAGGUCUAAAUGAUGCUUGAUAUGUCAAAUGUCCUUUCAAACAUUGAAAAAGUUAAAAAAAAAAAAAAAAAACAUUGAAAGUUAUGUGAUUCAAUUAAACCACAAAUUCCUUAGAGGAGAUGUAUAUAACCAGCCAAUCACUUUAUCAUAUGAAAAUCAUUCCUCCACCUUAUCAUAAUAAUUGAUUCUUCACCUAUCAAUAAUUUUAAAUUCCCCUAAUAUGGCAAUUUACAUCUCCUCUUUCUAUCAAUUUCUAGACCCAACCUUAUAUUAAUUUCUAAAAAUUUCAUCCCUUAAAUCGGAGUGGCAUGACAUUAUUUAGUAAAUUCCAAUAAAACUAUAAGAGUUCUAAACAAUCAAUGAAUCCAAAAUAAUCAUUUAAGUUUUAUUAAAUCAUUAUAUUUAUUUAUUAAACAUCUUUUAAGUCAAACUUAUUAUAUAAUAAGGCUUAAUUAUUUUAUAAUUUAUUUAUUUUAAUAGUUAAGAAAAUUGGAGGAUGCAUUGAAUUGAGCAAAACUAAAUCUCAAUCAUAAAUGAGCAAGCCUAUUUUAUAAAGAGACAAUAAAGUUUGGAAGGACCAUCUAUGGUCGAAUUCAUACACCAAAAUCUCUAGAAAAUCCGAGUGGGCACCAUCACCAUUGAAUAACGGCCCUACUUGGUAUGUGGGGUGAUGUUGUGGGUUUUGGAUGUUAAUAUGAAAAAAAGAGUCGAGUGUUUUGCAAAUGGCCGGCCGCCCUACUUGGUAUUACUGAGUGUGGAUAUGUUGGAGUUGUUUUGGGGCUUAAAGUUUUAGUUUGACUUGUUUAAAUUUCCUUUUUUUCAUGUACAUUGUAUUGACUCUUCUCAUCAUUGUUGUCGCAUUCCUCGGUCCUUAUUUUAAUAAUUUAUUAUAUUUUUUAUAUGAAAUGCAAAAUAUUUGAGUACUUUUUGAGUGGUUGCUUAUAAUAUGCAGUGAAAUUUGUUCCUACUAUUAUUUGUUAAAAGGGUAAAUAUUUUAGUGGUUGCUAUUUCUAAAGAAAUUAAGAUUUGGUUCACUUUUUCAAAAAUUAAUUUUUGCUUCCAAUAACAAAUAUAUAUAUAUAUAUGAAAAAAAUAUGAAAAUGAAAACAUGUCUAUGUGUUAAUUGUUCCAAAAAUAGAUUUUUGAAAAUAGGGUAUUUUUUAGGAAAAGUUUUAAUUGUUUUUAGUUGUUUUUUUUUUUUUUGUGAAUGUUUAAAAAAUAAUAUAUAAAUAAAAAAAUGAUUAAAAAUAAGGUAGUAUAUAUAAAAGUUUUUUUUAUUGUAGAGAAAUUUGAAAAACACGCUUUUAAUGUUAGAAAAUGAUUUUUAUACAAUAAAAAAACUAUUACAAAACAGAGUAGUCAAAUAAGCAAUUCUAUGACACUUUCCUUUCAUCUUUAGAUUUUGUCAUGGUAAUCAAAUUACCAAUUAUGAUUAGAAUUCCUUUUCUAUUAAUUAAGUCUAUAAAUUCAUUGUUUUAGCUAUGAGUUUAGUAAAUUUUUAACUAAAAAUUUGAAAAAAAUAAAAAUAAAAUUACUAUUCAUAUAUAUUUUCUUUUUUUGCUUUUUUUUUUUUUUUUUUUUGAGAAUUUUGUUAACUCAUCCCUCUUGGUGUUCCUCAAUUGGAAUCAACAAGAAGGGUUUUUUUUUUUAAUACUACUUUUUUGUCUUUUGAGAAUUUGGUUCAAUAAAGGGUUUGAUUUUAAAUUUUUUUUAGAUACGUAUACUAAUUAUUAAUUAGGAUAUUUGAUUGAGACAUGAAUGAUCUUGGCUGAUUUGUAAACUCUAUUUGAAAGUAGUAAAAGAUUUGUGUAAUCAUUAUUUCGUUAUAAAAUUAUCUAAAGAAAAAUUAUUAGUGCUUUAGUGCAUUAGUCUAGUUAAAUUAAAUUUGUAAUUUUUUAGGACGUCAUAUAUAUAUAUAUAUAUAUAUAUAUAUAUAUAUAUAUAUAUAUAUAUNNNNNNNNNNNNNNNNNNNNNNNNNNNNNNNNNNNNNNNNNNNNNNNNNNNNNNNNNNNNNNNNNNNNNNNNNNNNNNNNNNNNNNNNNNNNNNNNNNNNUAUAUAUAUAUAUAUAUUAAUGAUUUAUACUCCCUUUAAAAAUUCAAGGUUGCUGCAUAAUUAAUUUGAAAUUAAACAGAUAAGUAUAACUAAAUUGAUUUAGAAUAAUGAGCAAAAGGGAUAAGUAUUUAUAUGGAAAUUGAAAAUAAAAAUUUGAAAAUGAAUUUAAAUUUAGAAUUUAAAAUAGAAAAACUUUCAAAUAUCUUUUAGUUUAAAAAAUAUUUUUAAAGUUUAAAAAAAUCUUUCCUUCCUAACUCUUUUUUUUUUUUUUUUGGUAAAAUAUCAUUUGAGAGUUUUCAAAGAUCACCCCCUAAGCUUAAAGUCAUUAUUCUUUGUGUUUAAUAAAAAAAGGUUUCAAAACAUUUUAAAUUUGUUUGUUGAGUUUGAGAUAGAAGAUCACAUCCUCUCAAGGUGUCGAGGAGUCCAGUAAGGAGAAUGAUACGUUUGCAUCGUGGACAUGAAAUUAGGUACAAUCAUUAGAUAACUUUAUGUACUUAUCCUUCAAAUUUAGUGGAUUUUAAAUUUAUGGUAUUUGACCUUGUGGUUCUUAUAUCAAAGUCUUUGGGAGGCUUUGUGAGUGAUUUCUAUGUAAUUGCUUGUAUUUUUAAGUGAUUUUUUAUUUUUAUUUAUUCUUUAUAUCCUAAUAAAAGAAAAUAUAGAAACUAAAGAUUGGCAUACAUUGAGCUAAAUUCAAGAAGACUAUCUAUUUACUCCCUUUGAGGUGAAUAGAUAAAAAAGAAAGAAGAGAAAUGGGAGAUUUGUCUUUCUUUAAAUCCAAACAAGAUGAUAAGUCCCAGUCAAAGAAUCAUGUACUACAACAAUUGAUUACAAGUAUUCUCUUUGGGUGAGAACAGACCACACAAAGAAAUUGGGUGAAAAAAAUUGUCAUAUCCUUUAUUGAUGUCCAUGAGCGAUUUUUAACAUAUGUCGCUAAAACUAAAGGUCUUUAACACCAUAAUAAAAUAACUUCAAAUAAUAAAAAAAAUAACAAUAGUGAAAGCAAAAAAUCAAUGCAAUAGCUUUUGUUCUUCUACCACUACUUAUGACUUGUUCCAGCACAUGGUUGUUAAUCCCUUCUAAUUCCUUGGCCAGAAGAGAAUAGCAGCUUGACUAUGAAAUGAUCCCACAACCACUUGAAUGCGUACGUGUCUUCACGCAUGAUAUUUUGGAUUUCUUUUGAUGGCACAUUGCAAACGUUGUAGCCCAUUCAAAGUCUUGUCAUUACUCCCCCCUCCAAGUGGAUGCUUGUCCUCAGGGUCCUAAUUUGGAAACCUCUGCAGAAGCUCUUCGGUACUCUCCCACGUAGCAUCCUCCACAGCCAGCAUACACCACUUGACUAAACUUUCUUCACGAAACUUAGCCCCGUGUUUCACCCAGCGAGUGUCUAGUAUGGCUUUGGGCUCAAUCACAAGUGUACCAUCAUCUGAAAGUGGCAGAAGUUCUGAACUGUUCACGGAACCAUCUUGAUUACUACUCAAAAAGUGCUAUUUCAUAGCUUGUAAUUAACUCUUUUAAACACUUUUGAGUAGUAGUUAUUACCUUUUAACCCAAUUAACAUAUUAAGGACCUUUGCAAUAAAUUCUAAUCAAAUACUGUUAAGUUUUGGUGUUUUGAUAGCUUUUUGAUCACCAAAGCAAUCCAAGAUUGAGGAGAGUUCUUUGGAAUCCAUGGAAAAGCAAUGGAAAGCUCAGAAACAUGAAGAACCGAAGCUUUGAAGUCCUUUGCCAUAAGCAAAUCUGGAAUGCAAGGAGGGGAAGCAAAGAGAAAUCUGCCAUGAAGCAUUCUAGAUGACAGUCAUGUAAGCCACUUUUGGAGUACUUCCUGGAGUCCAAUUUAUGUAUGCUAUAUGUCGUUUCGAAGCUUAAGAAGUCAACAAUCCAAUGCUUUAAACAGUACGCGAUUCGGAGUUGAAAUGAAGGAGUUACAACCAUUGGAAGCUGAUCACUCCAAGCUAAAGGAAAAUUUUGCACGGCUGCAAAAUCCCCCUUUUGCUGCGAAAAUGUUGUCCUUUUGUUGCGAAAAUUUCGCAGCCAUUUUGCACAAUGCAACAGAAUUUCUCCUGAAGCUUCCUGAUAUUUGCGACAUACAUUUUGAGAUUUUUUGCUUUAGAUAUUUGAUGUCUAAAUCCCCAAACUCUCCUUGUAACCCACCUAUCAUAGGAUUCCUUAAUCUUUAAGUAAGAACAAAGGGUGAAUAACCUCUUAUAUAUAGUUUGUAAUUUUCUUUAUACAAUGAUCAAUCUCUCGAGAGCCUGUUCUCAGAGAUGAAUCAUCAUGUAAUUGGCGAAAGGAAGAAAUAUAUUUUACAGAGCACUUGCUCUGUUUUUCCUUCAUAUUUUUGUUUUCUCAUUAUUUUUCUUUCUAGCCAAUCAAACUUUGAGGAUGUUUUCUCAGAGGAUGAGAGGCUAGGCUCUUCGUCUCUUGGAGUGAAGAAAGCCGGGUAAGUUUCCUCAUGCAUAAAUUGGAAGUUUUGUUGUUUUAGUUUUUAAUGAAGAGAAAGUGUGACCCGUUAAUGGUUUUUAUCUUUUUAGUUAACUUAAAAUGCCUUUAAAUCACCUGGGCCAACACUUGGUAAGGCAAGUGAUCUCCGUCCAUUGAGAUGCACUAGUUUACCUAUUGCGAGCCUUUGGGAGGUGGUUUAAAGGUAGGAUUUUCUAGAAUAGCCAACACUUGGUAAGCUUUUGGACUCCAAGGAGACAUCCAUUAGUUAUCUCUUGCGAGCUUUUGACGGGUAAUCCAAGGUUAAGGAUCACCUUGAAUGGCAAAUGCUAGGUGAGAGGCACGAGCCAUUGCAAGAUGCAUCAGUGAGAGAGAUUUAGUGUUUGAACCCAUUAAUGGGAAGCAUCUGUACCACACCGGUUAGAGAAUUAACUAUAUGUUAAUUCUCUAAUGCGAGAAAAAGAAACAAGUGACCGGAACUCCCUUUUUGUACAAGGAACCUGAGCCUAGUGAUUUGAAACUCCAAGAAACACUUUUCUUUGUAAGUAAAAUCAGUUGCUAUUUUUGGUUAGUUUAAAACCAAACCUUUUUCAUUCAAACAUCUUUAUGUUUUAUUUUAAAGCUAACCUUGAAAUGAAAAGACACCAAUUCAUCUUUGAAUUAAUAUCAAUUGUGGAGUGAAAAACCAUCCCAGUGAAUGACCCUAGAGCCACUAUGCUAUGCUAGCUAAGGCUAUCCUAGUACAUGGUGUAAUAGGUUAUAAAUUUUGUUGAUUACUCCUGAGGACCAAAAUCAAGGGACACCAGCUGGACACGAAUCAAAUGGCACCACUGUCAGGGACCAUUGAGAGGACAUGAAUCAACUGAGACACCAAUUGGGAACGCAUCACAUCUCCAAGCUUCUUCCUUAGCAUCAAUACAUGAAAAACAAGGUGCAAGCGCACAUUGUCGGGUAGCUUCAGUUUUUAUGCGACAGCUCCCACUCUCUCCUCGAUUAGAUAUGAUCUACAGUAUUUGCUUGCAAGGUUCUGAUGAGCGCGUUGAAAACGAAUUGUUGGCGAUAAGGCUGUAGUUUGAGGAAAACAAGAUUGCCUUCUUGAAAUGUAGCAUCCCAUCAGUCACGAUAUGCUAUUUGCUUCAUUCGAUUCCUUGUAAUUGCCAAGUUUUCCUUGAGAUGUUUCAAUAAUGCAUCUUGAGUUGCAAGGCUAUGAUCAACUUCAUCAACGGGCGAAGACCCCAUCGAAUACAAUGGAAUAACAGGGGAAAGUCACCCAUAAAGAGCCUGGAAUGGGGUCAUGCCUAUAGAAGAGUGAUAAGCAAUAUUAUACCAUAACUCAGCCCAAGGAAGAAAUGUACUCCAUUGGCGUGGUUGUUGAUAGAUGAAGCAAUGCAGAUAUUGUUCCACACAGCGGUUGACAACUUCAGACUGGGCAUCUGUUUGAGGAUGGUAGGUAAAACUCAUCUUGAGUUAUGUACCCAACAUUGUAAAAAAUUCCUACCAGAACUUACUGAUGAAAAUGGGGUCCCUAUCACUAACAAUAGACCGCGACAUUCCAUGUAGUUUCACAAUGCCCUCAACAAAUUUUUUUGCCACCACAUUUGCUGUAAAUGGAUGAGAUAAGGGCAGAAAAUGUGUGUAUUUGCUGAGACGAUCAACAAUCACCAGAAUGGUCUUUUGAUCAUGGGAGAAUGGUGUUUUGAGCAAAACUAAAUCUCAACCAUAACGUAUCUAGUUUGAUUUAAUGUGAUUUAGUGUAAGAAAUUUGAUGUGAUUUGGUGGACCAUCAUGUUUAUGAUAGCUAAAAACUAGUAGGCAAUGAAAAUAAAAUAAUUCAUUCUUGCAGAGAGAAAGGGCAAGAGACAAUAAAAUAAUAAUUAUAGCACUAGACUUCUUCCUUACUAUCUAGUUUUCCCAUCUUCUUUUGUUUGUGAUUCCACUUGGGCUUACCAUUCUAUUUUAUAGAAAUAUGAGGAAAUUAUUCUUAUAAUUAACGUAGAAAAGUGAGGCAUGUUGAUGUUGGAUAAUUGGAAGUAACAUGUCUCCCUGAUGUCGUCGCCCAAUCAACUGAGAGUGAGGCUUCCUUCUCCUCUCCUGCAAAAGACACACCCUCCGAAGCUCUAGUUAGAUUGACAAUUAGAGAGAAUACCCCAUAUUGGGAACUCAAGAAGUGGAUUUUCUUUGCCCUCCCCCUCCCCCUCUUUCUUUUUGAGCCAUGUGAAGACUUUUAUUGUGUUUGGAGCCUUGUCACAUCUAUGCUGGGAAGGUGCUUUGACUUUCACAAUCAUGAUGGCUGCACAGAGGGUGGCAAAGCAAUCAUUAUCCUUUAGGCGGUUGAUAGGGGUCGUCGAUGGGGUGACCUGGCGUCUUGCUUGUCACCUCAUUCUACAAGCGGUGCAGUGCAGAGCGCAGCAGGUUGCCUGAAAGGACAUGGGGAUGUCCCAUCGAGCGUGCUUUUGGUGAGGAGAAGAAUGAUUGCCCGCGAAAACCGGUCAGGGAUCCUGUUUGGAACGCAUCAUGCAUUCUUGGAGAAGCACGAGGCAGCCAACCAUUGACUAUUGGGGCCGAAUUAGGUGUUCCUAGCUAAUGGCACAUGUCUAGACAAAGAUGAAGGGAUGCCAUGUGUCCAACAAAAGGGUGUCUUGCGAGGUCAAGGCAAUCUGCCACAUGUCCGCCCAAAUGAGGUCCUUACAAUGCCCCCUUUUAACCCAAUUGUUUUGUCCGGACAGAAGAGGCGAGUUAGUGGAGGGAGAUCCAAUGUCCACAGAGAAGGCUGCACACAACGUCAUUUUCUUUAGCAAUGAGCAGUUCAACGCGGGGCCCCGUUUCCUCUUCCAUCCAUUUUCAUGUAGUUCUUGCACUAUACCCAGAUCCCUCCAGCCGUUUCCAUCCUAAUAUCGUUUGGGUGUUAAUGGGGUGAAGCAUCCUGAACAUGCUCUUCUAUCUGGACCUCUUCCUAUCAUAGGUCAUCUUCGUCUACACCAUCAAAAAGGGCAAAAAUGACAUCUUUAGCAUGUUCGCCCAUAUCCCGUCUCUCUAGUUGGUGAUGAGUCUUCUUGAAUUGAACAAAUGAGGGGCCAAGAGACAUGUGCUGGUCCGGGGACCAUGGGUCAGCUUGAUAGAGCAUCCAGAAAGGGAUUUCCACCCUAACUGUUCAUUAAAGAUUCCGAGUAAGAAUGGUUCUAAGUGCCUCUCCCCUUACUAUUUUCUGUUGAGUUAAUGUCACUUGGUCGCUAAUAUUUUAUGUUUUGGCUGGUGUAAGUAAGGAUAAGAGGGGUCGUCUGGUUGAGUGGGUGGAGAAGGCUUCAUUCGUUCGAAAUCAUUGCCAGCGAAAGGAACUACCAGACGCUUCUUUCUGCCCGAAACCUACUUGCAGUUAUCCGGGAGCCCCAACCGUACGUCCUCCUCAUCAUUCCUAGGCGGUUGCCUAAGGUUGUGGUGCCCCGGGAACACUUUGUCUUGAAGAAUCUUUCAUUUUACGAAGAGACGUGUGAGGCAGAUGCCAAGGCUCGUUAGGAGCGUCUUGAGUAGGGGGAUGAGAAAAUGUAGGAGGGGAAAUUAAGGAGAGCGUCGGGUGAGAAGGGUCAGGCCUUGUUGUCUGUGGCCUAUCCUCCAACUAAAAAGAAGAAGAAGAACAAGAAGAAGAAGAAGAAAAGACCCAACGUAAAAGUGACCAAGGCUUCGACUCUAGUUCCUGAAUCUCCGUCUACCUCUACUCUUUCCUCUUCCAAUUCGGCGGACAGCUCCAUCCAAGCUUCCAAGGGUGACUCCGAUUCCUUGAGGCUCGAUCUAAGCGAUCCGGGGACUUGUCAUUCUGAGCCUGAGUCAGUGCCUAUAGCCCUUAGAGUUAUAGACGAACCAGAAGCAGAGGAAGACAUGUCAACUGAUUUGAGAGUCGGUUUUAAGGAGAGGCACCGUAAACGUCUGCAUGAGGCUAUCCAUAUGGUCCCUCCUCCAACCAAAAGGGCUUGCCCGGAAGGGGCUCGGGAGGAGCCUAGGAGACAGGUCCUUCCAAUGCCAAUGCCCCCGUUGGAUACCGUGGGGCCUAGCAGCACGCUUGUUGUUGAGAAAGAGGUCGACCCGACUCUAGGUGGGGUCUCUGGUGGUGUUGCUCUUGUUGAGGAGGUUUUGGACCAAAAAGACACUCCUGCGUCCGCUCCUCCUCCAAGCUGGGAUGAAAUGAUGGAGAUGCUAAAGCACAUGUCAUGCUUCACUGAUGCUGAGCCACCUUUCACCAAGAUGUCAGAUUUAUUUCCUUUUACCAAGCGGAUAUCGAUGAAUUUAGGCGGUGACCCUCCCAUCUUCGUCUCAACCCGACUUCCUUUUGGCACGCCCGAGUCUACCACCUCCCGUAUUCAACAACUGCGGGAUUGCAUGGUGCAAGAGACUGCAAAAGUGGUAACUUCUUCUAUGUUGCCCCCUUUCCGGAUAAUGCACACCUCCCUAAUGGCGCUAACCCUAUUUCUAUUAUUUCUUUUAGUUGGUGGUUGGCAUCCGCAACAUGGUGCGUCAACGCACACUACUUUCAAAUCUGAAUUUUUCUUACUUGCUCUAUUGUUGCCCAAAUUUCUUAAUCAUUUUUCAUUCUCUAGUUAUUCUACCCAAGAAUUUGAAUAGAACCUCCAAAUAAUCAACCAAAAUUUCAACUCUUGACAAGCAACCACACUUGGACACUCAUAGUUCCACUCUCCUUACAGUAUAAGAUUCUAAACUUAAGGAAUUUUGAUUUCUUGUUCAGUUUUACUGUCUACUUUGCAUGUUCUUGGUAAGAUAAUGGUAGCUCCACACAAGCAGAAUGACAUGAGUAAGGUACAUGGUGCUACAAGGAUGAGAUGGAGACCAAAAAAAUUCUGUCAUGAUUUGAAUUGUUGCCCAAAUGAGGUUUUCUCAUUGCCAGGGUAUAACUCUCAAAUUAAGCUUAUUUGUAAUGUAUGGGAAAAUUAUAUGCUAAUAAUGUCCAAAAGCUUAUGGCUAGUGAGGUUUGUGUCUAUAUGAAUGUGCUUUUGAGCAUUGAACCUUAAUUUACAAUCUAGAGAUUUAAUAUGGAAUCUUGUUUUUUCUACAAAUGUUGGAGAUAUUACAACAUUAGAACUGUUGAUUUUCUAUGAUGUGUUGAUUGAUUACUACUCAAAAAGUGCUAUUUGAUAGCCUUUAAUUAAUCCUUUUAAACACUUUUGAGUAGUAGUUUAGGCCUUUUAACUCAAUUGGCAUGUUAAGGAUCCUUUAAAGCAAUUUUGAUCACUUUGUGUAAGUUUUGGUGUUUUUGUUAGUAUUUUGAUCACCAAAGCAAGUCAAGAAUGAGGAGAGCUAUGAGGAAUCUUGGGCAAAGCUUAGAAUUCAAUUGCCAAGAGUGAAUCCGGAUUGCAAGGAGAAAAAGCAAAGAGAAUCUGCCAUGAAGCCUAUUCUUGAUGACAGUCGUAGCAGCCACUUUUGGAGCACUUUCUGAAGUCCUAAUGAUGCAUGCUAUAUACCAUUUCAAAGAUUAGGAAGUCAACAAUCCAAUGCUUCAAACGGUGCGCGAUUCGGAGUUGAAACAAAGAAGUUGCAGCCAUUACAAGUCAAUCACUCUAAAGUGUUGCGGAAUCAGCCAUUUGUUGCGAGAAUUUCGCAGCACUUUUGUACAGUAAGGUGUUUCUCCUUCUGACGAUGCACGAACCAUGCCGCGAGAAGGGAGCUGGAAACCUCAAGGUGGAAGCCAACUUUGCAGCCUGGUGAAGAUAGCUUGGUGUUGCGAAAAUAUUUCGCAGCCCUCUCAGGUGUCUGCGAAAUUUCGCAGACACCACUUUUCUCCUGCGAAAUGGCUCCUGAAGCCUCCCGAAGCUUGCUACCGACAUUGGGAGAUAUUUUCCAUUAGAUUUUUGUUGUCUAAAUCCCAAAAUACUCCUUGUAAACCACCAAUUACAUGAUUCCUUAGUUUUUAAGUUAGUAAAAAGACCAAAUAUCUUUGUAAUAAUUAGUUUUAUAUUGUUUUGAUAUAAAUACCUCUCGGGAGCCUGUUCUCAGAGAGGAGUUCCUUCUGUAAACGUUUGGUAAGCUAGUAAAGUCUAUUUUCUUUCUACUGCCUUACCUUCUCACUUUGUAUUUUCAUUUUAUUUCUAAGUUAUGAAUUCUCUGAGGAGUUUUCCCCAGAGAAUGAGUAACUAAACCUCCAAUUCCUUGGAGCUAAGGUUGCCGGGGAAGGUUCCAAGUGCAAGAAUGCAAAGCUUUGUGGUUUUAGCUAUUAAUGAAGAGGAAGUGAAAUCCUUUAGUGAUUUCUAUGUUUUUAGUUAACUUAAAACACCUUGGAGUCACCUGGGCCAACACUUGGUAAGGCAAGUGAUUUCCAACCAUGGAAAUGCACUAGUUUACCCCUUGCGAGCCUCUGGUAGGUGACUUCAAGGUAGGAUUUUCUGGAAUUACCAACACUUGGUAAGCUUUUGGACUCCUAGGAGACAUCCAUUAGUUAUCUCUUGCGAGUUUGUGAAGGGGAAUCCAAGGUUAAAGAUCACCUUGAAUGGGUAAGUGCUCGUGAGAGGCAUGAACCAUUGCAAGUUGCAUCAGUGAGAGAAUUAAAGUGAAAUCUAAUUGAAGGAGUCUCUGUACAUCACCGGUUAGAGAAUUGACUCUAAGUUGAAUCUCUAAUGCGAGGAAAUGAACCAUCUGACCGGAGCUAUGUCUUUUGCAUGAGGAACCACCCCAGUGAACCUAAAUCUCCAAGGAAUGCUUUUCUUCCUAAAUUAUUCCAAACUUCUGUUAAGUUAGUUAGUUUAAGUCUAAACCUUUAUCAAUCAAAGUUUGUGUUUUACUUCUUAAGCUAACCGUGAAAUGAAACAAGACCAAUUCACUUGGAAUUGGUAUCAUUGAUUGCUUGCAAAUCAUUCCCAGUGAACGAUCCUAGAGCCACUAUACUAUAGUAGCUUUGUAUUUGCUACCCUAGUGUAUGGUGUUAUAGGUAUAAAUUUUGUUGAUCACUUCCUCAAUCAAGGAGCGCCAGCUGAACACAAAUCAGCUGAGACACCAAUUGGGCAUGAGUCAAAUGGCGCCGUUGCCGGGGAAUGAGUGUCAAGUUCAUUGUGAUACCAUUGUUGAGCACUUGUGAUUUUCAUCACAAGUUGGUAAAGUUUCUUUCAGUUUACUAAUUUUCAUUCUUUCUUUGUUAAUUCAUAAUCUAAGUUUAUCUUUUUAAAUUUUAGUCUAGUUUAAUUUUGUUGUUGUAGCCCUGUUUUUCUUUGUGUCUUCUGUUUUUAUUUAAGUUGCAGCUGAAUACUAGUUGUGUAUGCCCAACUGGAUACGAGACAUUGGAGGUAGGCUUGUUAAGUGUGAUACACCUCAGAAAGGAGAAUUUGAAGUAAUCUUGAACAUCAUGGAGGCUGCACCUGAAGAUCAGCAUAGUCACCAAGGUCGUCAAGACAAUCUCAAUGAAUUCAGAUCAAUGAGGGACCGUAUGCAUCCACCUCGUAUGAGUGCACCAUCAUGUAUAGUGCCCCCUACAGAGCAGCUAGUGAUCAGACCAUAUCUUGUUCCACUUCUACCAACUUUCCAUGGGAUGGAAAGUGAGAAUCCGUAUGCACACAUCAAGGAAUUUGAAGAUGUUUGUAAUACAUUCCAAGAGGGAGGAGCUUCAAUUGAUUUGAUGAGGCUUAAGUUAUUUCCUUUCACUUUAAAGGAUAAGGCCAAAAUUUGGCUUAAUUCUUUAAGGCCAAGGAGUAUCCGCUCUUGGACUGAUUUACAAGCUGAGUUCCUUAAGAAAUUUUUUCCUACUCAUAGAACAAAUGGCUUGAAAAGGCAAAUUUCAAAUUUCUCAGCUAAAGAGAAUGAGAAAUUCUAUGAGUGUUGGGAAAGAUACAUGGAAGCUAUAAAUGCUUGUCCUCACCAUGGCUUUGAUACUUGGCUAUUGGUGAGCUAUUUUUAUGAUGGUAUGUCAUCCUCAAUGAAGUAACUCCUCGAGACAAUGUGUGGAGGAGAUUUCAUGAGCAAAAAUCCAAAGGAAGCUAUGGAUUUCUUGAGCUAUGUAGUUGAUGUUUCAAGGGGAUGGGAUGAACCAACCAAAGGAGAAGUAGGAAAGAUGAAGUCUCAGUUGAAUGCUUACAAUGCAAAGGCUGGGAUGUAUAAUUUAAAAGAAGAUGAUGACAUGAAAGCAAAGUUGGCAGCUAUGACAAGAAGAUUGGAGGAGCUGGAGCUGAAAAAAAUACAUGAAGUGCAAUCUGUUGCUGAAGCACCAGUGCAAGUGAAGCUGUGUCCCAAUUGUCAAUCAUUUGAACAUUUGGUGGAGGAGUGCCCUGCAAUUUCAGUUGAAAGGGAAAUGUAUAGAGAUCAAGCAAAUGUUGUUGGACAAUUUAGGCCCAAUAACAAUGCUCCUUAUGGAAAUACCUACAAUUCAAGUUGGAGGAAUCAUCCAAAUUUCUCAUGGAAGGCCAGAGCAACUCAAUACCAACAGCCGGAUCCACCAUCUCAACAAUCUUCAAGUAUUGAACAAAUAAUAGCCAAUCUCAGCAAGGUAGUGGGAGAUUUUGUGGGAAAGCAAGAAGCCACCAAUGCUCGAGUUGAUCAAAGAAUGGACAGAAUGGAGAGUGUGUUGAACAAAAGAAUGGAUGGAAUGCAAAAUGACAUGAAUCAAAAGUUUGAUAACAUCCAAUAUUCAAUUUCAAGGCUUACAAAUUUGAAUACACUGCAAGAAAAAGGAAGAUUUCCUUCUCAACCUAACCAAAAUCCCAAAGGUGUCCAUGAAGUGGAAAGCCAUGAGGGAGAAUCAUCACAGGUGAAAGAUGUGAAAGCUUUGAUCACUCUAAGGAGUGGUAAGAAAAUUGAGCAGCCAACACCCAAGCCACAUGUUGAAAAAGAAGAAGAGAUAAAGAAAGGGAAGGAAAUGGAAGAUAAAGAGAAUGAGAUCAGUGAAGAGAAGAAGGACUCUGAUUCAACAAUGAAAGCAAUUCCAGAGAAGGAGCUUCUGAAGGAAGAAAUGCUAAAGAAAUCAACUUUUCCACCUUUUCCUCAAGCAUUACAGGGGAAAAAGGGGGUUAGAAAUGCAGCUGAAAUCCUUGAAGUCUUGAGACAAGUGAAAGUUAAUAUUCCACUGUUGGAUAUGAUCAAACAAGUUCCAACGUAUGUAAAAUUCUUAAAGGACUUGUGUACUAUCAAAAGAGGGUUGACUGUAAACAAGAAAGCCUUCUUGACUGAGCAAGUAAGUGCAAUCUUACAAUGCAAGUCUCCUUUGAAGUACAAAGACCCUGGAAGUCCUACCAUUUCAGUCAUGAUUGGAGGAAAGGUAGUGGAGAAAGCCUUGCUAGAUUUAGGAGCAAGUGUGAAUUUGCUUCCAUACUCUGUCUACAAGCAACUAGGGCUUGGAGAGUUGAAGCCAACAACAAUCACCUUAUCUCUGGCAGAUAGAUCAGUGAAAAUUCCAAGAGGAGUAAUUGAGGAUGUAUUGGUUCAAGUAGAUAAUUUCUACUAUCCUGUAGAUUUUGUUGUUCUUGAUACUGAUCCAACUGUAAAGGAAGCUAAUUUAGUUCCUAUCAUCCUUGGAAGGCCAUUUCUUGCAACUUCAAAUGCAAUCAUCAACUGUAGAAAUGGGCUUAUGCAACUCACUUUUGGUAACAUGACACUGGAUCUAAAUAUUUUCUAUAUGUCUAAAAAGCAAAUCACUCCGGAAGAAGAAGAAGGUCCAGAAGAGCUAUGUAUAAUUGAUACUUUGGUGGAGGAGCACUGCAAUCAACAUAUGCAAGAAAAGUUGAAUGAAAGUCUUGAGGAUAUUGAGGAAGGUUUUUCUGAAUCUCCUAUUGGGCUUGCUACUCUACAAAGUUGGAAAAAGAUAGAAGGAAUUCUACCUUUGUUCAAUGAAGAAGAGGAGGCAUCUAUUGAAAAAGAAAUUCCAAAACUCAAUCUGAAGCCUUUACCUGUGGAGCUGAAAUAUACAUAUCUUGAAGCAAAUAAUCAAUGUCCUGUUGUGAUAUCCUCAUCUCUGACCAGUCAUCAAGAGAAUUGUUUAAUGGAAGUUCUUAGGAGGUGUAGGAAGGCAAUAGGAUGGCAAAUAUCUGAUUUGAAAGGCAUUAGUCCUUUAGUUUGUGCUCAUCAUAUAUAUAUGGAGGAGAAAGCAAAGCCAAUUCGUCAAUUUCAAAGAAGGUUGAAUCCUCAUCUACAAGAGGUGGUGCGAGCUAAGGUGCUGAAGCUACUUCAAGCAGGAAUCAUUUACCCUAUAUCUGAUAGCCCUUGGGUGAGUCCUACUCAAGUGGUACCAAAGAAGUCAGGGAUCACAGUGAUUCAAAAUGAAAAAGGGGAAGAAAUUACUACACGCCUCACUUCAGGUUGGAGGGUGUGUAUUGAUUAUAGAAAGCUGAAUGCUGUCACCAGGAAGGAUCAUUUUCCAUUGCCAUUUAUUGACCAAGUGCUGGAGAGAGUCUCUGGACAUCCAUUCUAUUGUUUCUUGGAUGGGUAUUCAGGGUAUUUUCAGAUUGAAAUUGAUUUGGCAGAUCAGGAAAAGACCACUUUUACAUGUCCAUUUGGAACAUUUGCUUAUAGAAGAAUGUCUUUUGGUUUAUGCAAUGCACCUGCUACAUUUCAAAGAUGUAUGUUGAGUAUUUUCAGUGAUAUGGUGGAGAGAAUUAUGGAGGUUUUCAUGGAUGACAUCACUGUAUAUGGAGGUACAUUUGAGGAAUGCUUGGUUAAUUUGGAAGCAGUUCUUCAUAGAUGCAUUGAAAAAGAUCUGGUGCUGAAUUGGGAAAAAUGCCAUUUUAUGGUACGUCAAGGAAUUGUCCUUGGCCAUAUCAUCUCUGAAAAAGGCAUUGAAGUUGAUAAAGCAAAGGUGGAGCUUAUUGCCAAAUUACCAUCUCCAACAACUGUGAAAGGAGUAAGGCAGUUCCUUGGCCAUGCAGGGUUCUAUAGGAGGUUUAUAAAAGGUUUUUCAAGUCUUUCAAAACCUCUUUGUGAACUGUUAGCUAAGGAUGCUAAGUUUAUAUGGGAUGAAAGGUGUCAGCAUAGCUUUGAUCAACUGAAGAAAUUUUUAACAACAACUCCAAUAGUGAGAGCCCCUAACUGGCAGUUACCUUUUGAACUGAUGUGUGAUGCCAGUGACUUUGCUAUAGGAGCUGUGCUUGGCCAAAGAGAAGAUGGGAAGCCCCAUGUGAUUUACUAUGCAAGUAAAACACUAAAUGAAGCUCAAAGGAACUACACAACUACAGAGAAAGAAUUGUUAGCUGUGGUAUUUGCUUUGGACAAAUUUCGAGCUUAUUUAGUGGGGUCUUUCAUCAUUGUCUUUACUGACCAUUCAACCUUGAAGUAUUUAUUGACAAAGCAAGAUGCAAAAGCAAGGUUGAUUAGAUGGAUUCUAUUGUUACAAGAGUUCGAUCUUCAAAUCAAAGAUAAGAAAGGAGUGGAGAAUGUAGUAGCUGACCACUUGUCAAGGUUAGUUAUAGCACAUAAUUCCCAUCCCUUACCUAUCAAUGAUGAUUUUCCUGAAGAAUCACUCAUAUUCCUAGUAAAAACUCCUUGGUAUGCUCAUAUUGCUAAUUAUUUAGUAACUGGUGAAAUUCCAAGUGAGUGGAAUGCACAGGACAAGAAGCACUUCUUUGCCAAAAUUCAUUCUUAUUAUUGGGAAGAGCCCUUUCUCUUUAAGUAUUGUGCAGAUCAGAUUAUAAGGAAGUGUGUCCCUGAAGAUGAGCAGCAAGGGAUUCUAUCUCAUUAUCAUGAGAAUGCAUGUGGAGGCCACUUUGCCUCUCAGAAAACAGCUAUGAAGGUAUUGCAGUCAGGGUUUACUUGGCCAUCUCUUUUCAAAGAUGCCCACAUCAUGUGUAGGAGUUGUGAUAGAUGCCAAAGGCUUGGAAAGCUAACAAAAAGAAAUCAAAUGCCUAUGAACCCCAUUCUAAUAGUUGAGUUAUUUGAUGUAUGGGGCAUUGACUUCAUGGGACCUUUCCCAAUGUCUUUUGGUAAUUCUUACAUUUUGGUAGGGGUAGAUUAUGUUUCUAAAUGGGUUGAGGCAAUCCCCUGUAAACAAAAUGAUCAUAGGGUGGUUCUCAAGUUUCUUAAAGAGAACAUAUUCUCAAGAUUUGGGGUGCCCAAGGCCAUAAUCAGUGAUGGAGGUGCUCAUUUUUGCAACAAACCUUUUGAAGCUCUGUUAUCCAAGUAUGGAGUGAAGCAUAAGGUGGCCACACCUUAUCAUCCUCAGACUUCCGGGCAAGUUGAGCUAGCUAACAGGGAAAUAAAGAACAUCUUGAUGAAAGUGGUGAAUUCCAACAGAAAAGAUUGGUCUAUUAGGCUUCAUGAUUCAUUGUGGGCAUAUAGAACAGCUUAUAAGACUAUUCUAGGGAUGUCUCCCUAUCGUCUUGUCUAUGGCAAAGCAUGCCAUCUCCCUGUGGAAGUUGAAUACAAAGCUUGGUGGGCAAUAAAGAAGCUGAAUAUGGACUUGAUCAAGGCCGGAGAAAAGAGAUUUCUAGACCUUAAUGAGAUGGAGGAAUUAAGAAAUAAUACUUAUAUCAAUUCCAAAGUUGCAAAACAGAGGAUGAAGAAGUGGCAUGAUCAACUCAUCUCCAACAAGGAAUUUCAGGAAGGGCAAAAAGUUUUGAUGUAUGACACAAGACUCCAUAUCUUUCCUGGGAAGCUCAAAUCAAGGUGGAUUGGUCCAUUUGUUAUUCACCGAGUAUAUUCCAAUGGAGUGGUGGACUUAUUGAAUUCCAAUGGCAAUGACAGCUUUAGAGUCAAUGGAUAUCGUCUUAAGCCGUUCAUGGAGUCAUUCAAAUCAGAAAAGGAGGCAAUCAACCUCCUUGAACCUCAAAAAGCCUAAGUGAAAAGGGUUUGUUGGACGUGGUUUUACCACAGUCCAAAAUUUUUGUAAAUUUUGUAAAUUUUCAAGUUGUUUUUAUGCUUUUGAUCUUAGUUAUUGAUCUUAAAUCAUGUUUUUAGGUGUGUUUUAAUCGUUUUAUAUGAUCCCAGGUGGAAGAAAUUUCAAGGGGAGUGAAAAGAAAAAAAUCGGGUCGAAAUUGGAGCUGAAACAGAGCAAAAACAGGGGAAAAACAAAGCUCUGCGAAAUUUCGCAGGGUGAAGGAAACCUCUGCGAACUGGGCAUUUUGUUGCCAAACCAUUCCGCAGCACUGUAGAAGUCUCUGCGAGUGUAUUUCGCAAUUGCGAAAGUGGUUUUGGCACACGAGUGCCACUUCGUAGUACAGUAGCACCCAUUUCGCAGCUGCGAAACUCAUUGCGAAAUGGAAAAGCGUGAUUUCGCACCAAAAGUCCCAUUCCGCAGGGCAUUUCGCAAUUGCGAAAGUGGUUUUGGCACACGAGUGCCACUUCGCAGCACAGUGACAUCAAUUUCGCAGUUGCGAAACUCACUGCGAAGUUGCUGCGAAAAUGGCAAGUUGCUGCGAAAUUGGCGUUUUGUUGCGAAACUUAAACUGACCCCUGAGCUUCCGUUUUUCCUAUUUAUACCGGUCAAAAGUUCUGCGAAAAGGGUUUCAAAAAUCAGAGCACCAUUCUCGCAGCCCCUUCGUCUUCUUCGCCAAGCCACGCCGUCCGUUUCUCCGGUCGUCUUCUCCGUUUAGCAGCGCCGGCCAAAGAUCGAUAUUCCAAAAUGGCACGAACGCGAGGGGCAAAGUCUUCAUCCCCUUCGAACCGCAAAAGGAGUCUGCGAAAGGAGCCAAGUUCAGGUUCUGUUCCAGAACCUGCUCCAAAGCCUUCGCCGUCGAGACCAAAUCCUCCUUCAGUGAAGCCGGCACCACCAAAGCCGCCGGCAAGGCGAUAUUUAACAAGGUCAGGCGGUCAGCCAUUGAAGAAGAAAACCAGGGUUGAGAGCUCUGAACCAAUUGAUUUGACUGAGCAAUCCCCUGAGAAAUCCCCAAAGCUAACACCGGUUCAAUCUCCGGUAUCUUCACCAAAUCCUUCACCGGUACAAAUUCCAGUGCCGUCACCGGUUCCCUCGCCAAUUCCCUCACCAGAAGCAACUCCAAUUCCAUCGCCGGUACCAUCUCCGGCACCCCAAGAAAAAGCUUAGGAGCCUCAAGCGCCAAUUCCAGAGCCCCAAAUUGCAGCUGAAGCACCUCUGGAAGAAGUGAUUAGGAGGCCAAUGCUGCCUCAGCCCCCAAUCAAAGGAAACUUGGAUUGUCGAACUCGGGCAUUCCAUUCUGAGCUUUGCUUCGAUUUAACAGCAUUCAGAGUGAGGCCAGAGCUUGCCCAAUCCUUCCAGCUACUAAGGAGAUAUCAUAUGGAGCAUCUGCUCGCUCCAAGGGAUUUUUUCUAUCCCCGGGUAGUCACGGACUUCUACUAGACCAUGACAACCAAAGAAGUAAGAAAUCCAACUCUGAUCCAUUUCACAAUUGAUGGAAGACAUGGAAUUUUGGGAGCAAGACAUAUUGCUGAAGCCCUGCAAAUUCCUUUUGAGCCAACCCAAUUCGACAAUUUUAAAGCUUGGGCAAAUCCUACUGAGUUAGAGAUGGUUCACAUCCUAACCAGAGGAGCUGCAAAUCGAUCGCAUUUGCUGAGGGGGGAGCUACCUCCAGUUAUGUUUUUGAUUGAUGCCUUUUUGAGGCAUAAUAUCUAUCCCCUGCAGCAUUGGACCCAAAGAAGGGGAAUUCUCCUAGAAGCCCUGUAUAAGAUGUCAGAAGGAUUCUUCUUUGGGCCUCAUCAUCUUAUCAUGGCAGCCCUUCUAUACUUUGAGGAGAAGGUUCACAAGAAGAAGGUUCACAAGAAGAAGCUUCAAAGAGCAGAUUGCAUUCCACUCCUCUUCCCACGGCUGCUAUGCCAAGUUUUGGAGCAUCUCGGAUACCCCUCUGAGCCUCAGCAGGAAAGAAAGAGAAUAUGCCGUGAGCCAUUUACCCUUGAUAAAUGGAAUAAUAUGACGGCCUACAAAGUUGAUCAGCCAGGGCAACCUCAGCCAGCUGCAAGGAGAGCCUCCCCAAGACGUAUACCUGAAGGUAUAACACUUGCUACUCCUGCCAUCCCUCGAGCUCCACCAACUACCCCAGCUGCAUCACAGCCAUCCACAUCAGCUGAGCCGAGGAUGGCCAUCCCUAUAUCCGAAUAUUGAGAGCUGUGCCGAGCAUUGGAGACUCUUACAGCUUCCCAGACCAAUCUUGCUCAGGAGUUGGCAGCCAUCAAAGCAUGCCAGGAGCAGAUGUUAGCCUCUCAGGCUCAACAAGCUGCCAUCCUAAGGCAGCUUCAAGUCCAUUUCGAUCUGCCACAAGCUGUAGAGCCCUCCACUGAGACUCCACCAGAGCCACACUCUCAGCCUUCAGAGUCUCAUCCUCCAGAGCCCGAAGCCCCAGUUGAUCCUCCUACUGAGGAGGCAGAUCCUUCUGCCUAGCACCAUCACCCCACUCAUCAGACAUUAUAUAUAUUUGCUAUUUAUGUUUUUAUGCUUGUUUUGUUUUAGUUGAAAUGAAAUCCCAGUAUUUUGGUACUAUAUAUGGGAUUCCUUGUGUUACUUGUCUUUAGCAUUGUAAUCAAAUGAACUCAAAGUAAUACAAGUUGAAUUUUUUUUUUCUUGUUAAAAGUUAGCAUUAAGUUCUCCUUAUUUCCUUUUCUCACAUAUUCUAUUUUUUUUGAAACAUGUGGUUUUCCCCAAUCAAUAUUCGAAUUUGAUAUCAGCAUGGAGGUACCACUUCCUCCCUUUUAUUACAGUCACUCAAAUCACAUUGAGGACAAUGCUCAGUUCGGUUGGGGGGUAUGAGGAAGGAAGUAUGCUAAAUCUUUUUGGUAUUGCAAUUAUAUUGGUUAAUUAGUUGUAGAUUUUACGUUUUACUAGUGUUACUCUAUUCUCCAUGAAUUUUGAGGAAAAUUUUCAAAUUAAACCAAGAGAAAUUGAACUGUUGUUUUUCACUUGACUUAGAGUAUGGAUUAUGCUUACUAAAGUGGUUCAAUUGUUGAAACUUCUACUGUAAUUGAAUUGAGUUCUUCCACUUUAAGCUAUCCACACAUUGUGCACAUUAGUUUCCGAUUAUAAGAUGAAAAGCUAUUACCCUCUUGACUUAGGAUAAUUUUGAGACUUGGUAUAUUUGACCUCAUUUGAUAAAAAUUGAAACACCCUGCAAAAGGCCAAUGAGCCUUUGAAAUAAAGAAAGUUGUUUGCUUGCCUUGAAACCCGAGCAAGGUCUGAGGGGCAUAUGGUGAAAGCCUUUAAAGCCUGGUGCCCUAAACCUUAAUUGGUUGGGAGUCACUGACCUCAAUGCUCGUUACAAGGGUGAAUAGGUAGAGUUAGCAUAUGGUAGAUGUUUGGGUAUUAGAAAUUCAUUCUUAAAAGUCCGGGGAAAAAUCCGAGGAGUUAGUGGUUGAAAGAUCCUUAAAACUUGGUGCCCUAAACCUUAAUUGGUUGGGAGUCAUCGAUGGACCCCCAUUACAUGGACAAGUCAGAAAGAGUACCCCAUAAAGCUACCUUGAAAAAAAAAAAAAAAAAAAAAAGAUGAAAGUGUGUUAUUUUCUUAUUGAUUUUGGUCAGUUUGCUAAAGUGUUGAAAAGAGAUAGGUUGGGGGUGAGAUUAGUUUAGCAUAUUAUUCUCGGAAUCUAAGGAACUAAUACACAUAGAUUUUUGUGGAAGAUUGAAAUUUAGUUCUUAGAAAGUGAAAUGAUUUUAAAACUUCGGUUUGCAUAAUGCACUCCCUUGAUUGACAGUGCUUAGCAUAGUUUGUUAUGACUCUUGUUGAGAUUUGGGUUUGUAUUUCUUUAAUGAUUCAUGUGAGAAUUAGAUCAUCAUGCCACUUAAGAAUUAUUUUCUUUUAGCAUGAUGUUGUAAAUUUUAGAUUAGUUGCUAUUUAUUUUCAUUUUUCUCUCCUAUAUUGCUAAGGGACUAGCAAUAUGUCGGUUGGGGGGAGUGAUUACUACUCAAAAAGUGCUAUUUGAUAGCCUUUAAUUAAUCCUUUUAAACACUUUUGAGUAGUAGUUUAGGCCUUUUAACUCAAUUGGCAUGUUAAGGAUCCUUUAAAGCAAUUUUGAUCACUUUGUGUAAGUUUUGGUGUUUUUGUUAGUAUUUUGAUCACCAAAGCAAGUCAAGAAUGAGGAGAGCUAUGAGGAAUCUUGGGCAAAGCUUAGAAUUCAAUUGCCAAGAGUGAAUCCGGAUUGCAAGGAGAAAAAGCAAAGAGAAUCUGCCAUGAAGCCUAUUCUUGAUGACAGUCGUAGCAGCCACUUUUGGAGCACUUUCUGAAGUCCUAAUGAUGCAUUCUAUAUACCAUUUCAAAGCUUAGGAAGUCAACAAUCCAACGCUUCAAACGGUGCGCGAUUCGGAGUUGAAACAAAGAAGUUGCAGCCAUUACAAGUCAAUCACUCUAAAGUGUUGCGGAAUCAGCCAUUUGUUGCGAGAAUUUCGCAGCACUUUUUUACAGUAAGGUGUUUCUCCUUCUGACGAUGCACGAACCAUGCCGCGAGAAGGGAGCUGGAAACCUCAAGGUGGAAGCCAACUUUGCAGCCUGGUGAAGAUAGCUUGGUGUUGCGAAAAUAUUUCGCAGCCCUCUCAGGUGUCUACGAAAUUUCGCAGACACCACUUUUCUCCUGCGAAAUGGCUCCUGAAGCCUCCCGAAGCUUGCUACCGACAUUGGGAGAUAUUUUCCAUUAGAUUUUUGUUGUCUAAAUCCCAAAAUACUCCUUGUAAACCACCAAUUACAUGAUUCCUUAGUUUUUAAGUUAGUAAAAAGACCAAAUAUCUUUGUAAUAAUUAGUUUUAUAUUGUUUUGAUAUAAAUACCUCUCGGGAGCCUGUUCUCAGAGAGGAGUUCCUUCUGUAAACGUUUGGUAAGCUAGUAAAGUCUAUUUUCUUUCUACUGCCUUACCUCCUCACUUUGUAUUUUCAUUUUAUUUCUAAGUUAUGAAUUCUCUGAGGAGUUUUCCCCAGAGAAUGAGUAACUAAACCUCCAAUUCCUUGGAGCUAAGGUUGCCGGGGAAGGUUCCAAGUGCAAGAAUGCAAAGCUCUGUGGUUUUAGCUAUUAAUGAAGAGGAAGUGAAAUCCUUUAGUGAUUUCUAUGUUUUUAGUUAACUUAAAACACCUUGGAGUCACCUGGGCCAACACUUGGUAAGGCAAGUGAUUUCCAACCAUGGAAAUGCACUAGUUUACCCCUUGCGAGCCUCUGGUAGGUGACUUCAAGGUAGGAUUUUCUGGAAUUACCAACACUUGGUAAGCUUUUGGACUCCUAGGAGACAUCCAUUAGUUAUCUCUUGCGAGUUUGUGAAGGGGAAUCCAAGGUUAAAGAUCACCUUGAAUGGGUAAGUGCUCGUGAGAGGCAUGAACCAUUGCAAGUUGCAUCAGUGAGAGAAUUAAAGUGAAAUCUAAUUGAAGGAGUCUCUGUACAUCACCGGUUAGAGAAUUGACUCUAAGUUGAAUCUCUAAUGCGAGGAAAUGAACCAUCUGACCGGAGCUAUGUCUUUUGCAUGAGGAACCACCCCAGUGAACCUAAAUCUCCAAGGAAUGCUUUUCUUCCUAAAUUAUUCCAAACUUCUGUUAAGUUAGUUAGUUUAAGUCUAAACCUUUACCAAUCAAAGUUUGUGUUUUACUUCUUAAGCUAACCGUGAAAUGAAACAAGACCAAUUCACUUGGAAUUGGUAUCAUUGAUUGCUUGCAAAUCAUUCCCAGUGAACGAUCCUAGAGCCACUAUACUAUAGUAGCUUUGUAUUUGCUACCCUAGUGUAUGGUGUUAUAGGUAUAAAUUUUGUUGAUCACUUCCUCAAUCAAGGAGCACCAGCUGAACACAAAUCAGCUGAGACACCAAUUGGGCAUGAGUCAUUGAUGUCUUUUGAUAAACUUAGAAUGAAUUGUGGACUUGGGAAGGAAGUAUUUCAUCAAUAAGCAUGUAAAAAACACCAUAAGCACAUGUCAAUAUGAAAAUGACUAAAUUGGGGCAUAAAUACCAAAAAAUGAAAACCUUGUACCUAUAGUAAAAUAAUGGAAGUUCAAACUUUGGAAAUCAUGUAUUUUUCCUUUUUAAACUGAUCCAUGCAAUGAAAACAUGAAAAAGAUUGUUGAGGUUGUGGCCAUUAACAAUAUAUCCCUAGAAGGAUAAUACAAAUCAUAAAGAGAAAAUUUGUAAAAAGGACACCGUUGGGCUAACCUAGAACUACAAGCUAGGACAAGAAUUGGUCACAACCAUGUACCUACAAAAUCUACUUAUAAUUUCUAGGGAACUUCGAAGUGCAUAUGCAUGUGUGUGUGUGUACAUGUUUGGAUGUAUAUAUAUGUUUACAAGAUAAAAACAAAUCCUUGUACUAGAUGUAGGCAAAGGUAUUCACUAGAUAUAAAAAUUUCCUUGUGUCACUUGUUGAGACAAGAGAAAUACCUAUUUGGAUGUGGUGAUUAGAUUUCAACAUAGCCUUCUGGAUGGUUUUUGAAUUAUGAGGCGGUGGUGUUUGUUGUACCCUUAAAUUUUACUCCGUAUAAAGUAAUUACUAAUUUAUAGAGGCAAAAAUUCCUUGUAUCAUGAAAGGAAUAGCAGUUUCUUGUUCAUACUAUUUUGUUUGGAAGUUGGGUUCCUAUAUUGUUCAAAAUGCUAUUUUGAUUGCUUGAUUGUUGCAACUCACAUUUCGUUUGUUGUUUGUAUUUUGUGUGCAGGGUAAUAUGAUACUAUCAGAUAUUGGACUUGCUGAGAAGCGAAUAAAUCAUGCUACUCUCAAUGGUAAUAAUAGUCUACCUAGUGUUUUGCAUCAGAAACACAAUUAAUAAUAUCAUGGCCUUGCCUCUAGUCCCAAUUGGUUUCUUUAGUUUUUGUCCAUGAAUGACACUUUAUUCAAAUAAGCAUUGGUGUGUUGUUACUGGUAUAAUAUUUUUUCUUAUUCAUAGAAAAGUAACUAUUUAAAUAUGUUGUUCUAUGUCCUCAUGGAUUUCUGUUGACAAAACAUCAAAUCUCAGAGUUUCUUGGCCUUACUUUUUGAGUGUCAAGUCAUUUUCUCAAUAUGUUGAUCUAAAAAAUCUCUUUUGUGUUCCAGGUUUGUUUUGUCGAUGCUAAUUGGGACUCACCAUCUGUAUGUAUCCAUUGUAUGAUUCUAUUAUUAUUAUUAUUAUUUUAUUUUUUUGCUGAAAAAAAGGUUUAUAAUAGAUAUCAUGUUCAAGAGAAGCAUUUUUGUUGACUUAUGAGUUUUGUAUUUCUCCAAAUUUUGGAAUAUUACCAUGAAGCUUUGGUGCCAAUCUUGAAAGGGUUAGCCCUUUUCUUUUUUUGUUUACCCAAUCUACACUUGCUAUCGGCGUUGAAAAGGAUCCAGAACAAAUUGCCAUUCAGUUAUGAAGUGGUUGGGAUAAAGCCAAGCUGUUAUUGCAGCAUGAAAUUGAAUGUAAUAUCAUAAUAUCUAGAUUCAAAUUCUCAGAAGAAAAAUGUUUCUGAUUCACUCCAUUUUUAUGGUGUUUUGAAGGAUUAAAUGGGGAACCUCACAAAUGAGCCUCACAAAAAUUUAAUAAUAAUAACCUAUAACUGCGGCUAACUCCAAAAGGCAACUAUAUGUCAUUUAGUGGGGUCAAAAACAAGAUGCAGCUAUAGGAACCAUUUGUUGACCUUUACUAUGGCUGCUACUAUUGCUCUGACUUUUGCUGCACUUUACAUGUGGUUGACCUAUAGUUGGGGCCAACUCUAAAAUGCAACUAUAUGCCAUUUAGUGGGGGUAAAAAACAAGAUGCACCUAUAAGAACCAUUUUCUGACCUUUACUAUGGCUGCUACUAUUGCUUUGACUUUUGUUGCACUGUACAUGUGGUUGACCUAUAGCUGGGGCCGACUCUAAAAUGCAACUAUAUGCCAUUUAGUGGGGCUAAAAAACAAGAUGCAGCUGUAGGAACCAUUUGCUACACUUUACUAUGGCUACUACUAUUGCUUUGACUUUUGUAGCACUUUACCUAUGGUUGACCUAUAGCUUGGGCCAACUCCAAAAUGCAACUAUGUGUCAUUUAGUGGGGGUAAAAAACAAGAUGCAGUUGUAGGAGAGUUUGCAGCCAAAGUAGUGUUUACUUAAAAAAAAAAAAAAAAAACCAAACUAAUACAUCUUUCAAACUAUUUGUCAAACUAGUCUUUUGAAUCCACAUCAACAAUCCACAUCAGCAGACUUUUACUCUAAAGACCCUUUUUUUCAUCUGAAAUCAUUCAACAAAGAAACCCUAACUAUUAUUUUCUCUUCUCUACGGCUCCCACCAACAGCUUUACUAGCAACGUCUUGUAGUGGCUAGGUAAGUUUUUGAAGCAUUUUAACAAAGUGGUUCAUGAGUUUUUUUUUCCCUCAUUUUCCUUAGCUUUCUUACUAACCAAACAGAGGAAAACAAAAAAUUAAAAACAACUUUUGAAAAUUUUAAGAAUCUCAAGUUGUUUUUUGUGGUUUCUACUUGUGAACGGAAGAAAAAAAAACACAAAAAAAUCAUGGAGAAGAAAAAAAGAAAGAUUAACAGAGAGAGAUAAGAGCACUAAAGGAAAUUGGUUUCUGCACUUUGGGGGUUUGGGUAGAUUUCGAAUUUGGGCGAUGGUGGGUUAGGGUUCAAAGUGGACUAAUCCAAUUGGAUGAUUUGAUGGAGUAGUUCGGGUUCAAAGUGGAUUGAUCCAAUUGGAUGAUUUGAUAGAGCAAUGAAAGAAGAAGAGAGGAGUGUGGAACGAGAGGGAGAGAUUGUGAGAAGAGAGACGAAUGAAAGAUUUGAAGAGGAAGAAGAAGUGCAGGUUAAUGUGCAAAAAUAAUAAAAAUUUUACCCAAAUGCAAAUUCUUUGAUUUUGCCUAGUUUUCUUAGCAACCAAACGCAGGGUCUCAAGAAAAUUAUGAGUUCUGAUGAUAGAGAGAGGACAAGAAGGGGGGUAGAUACCGAAGGGCUGCCGAAAAGGAUGGUCGUAUGUGGAGAGCGCAAAAACCCUACCUGUGUUUAGCUCCUAAUAGAGUAGAUGCCUUUCUCAAGCAAAAACUCUAUUUGGGAAUUGAGAAUCCCAAAGAAGGACAAUUUUAGAAUUUCACAAGUCGGGCUUCAGCUUCAACUUUGAGGGAUAUUUGAUAAUCAUUUUUCAAUUAAUCUUUAUAAUUUUAAAAUUUUGAAAAUUGUAUGCAUUUUUUAAUAUAAAAAUUAUUUGUUUAAUCAUUUUUUAUUUUCCUUUUUUAAUAAAAAAUUAAAAAUUAAUCAUAAUCCACUUAUUUAAAAAUUAUCGUUAAUCCUUAUUUAGUAUGAUAUUUACUUGUUUAUUAUUUAAAUAUUUUGUCUUCUUAGUUAUUAUAAUUAAUAUAUAUAUAUAUAUGACCAAAAUUUAAAAUAAAAUAAAAACUAAAAAAUAUAAUUUUAUUUCCCAUUCAAAUCCAUCACCCUUUAUUAUUAUAUUUUGUUGAAUUUUUUUUAUUUAUAUCUUUUUUCUAUAAAGAGAGUAGAGUUAUGAAGAAAACAUUUAAUUUAAUUUCUUUUUUUAUAAAAAAAAAACCAACUUCUAAACAUGUUUUUUUUUUGUUUUAAUCAUUAUAAAAAAAACAUUUUUUAUUAACUCAACAAAACAUGUUUUAAAAAUGACCUUAUUGGGUAUAUUUUAAUUUAUUUUUUCAAGUAUUUUAAAUUUAUUAAAUUGGUAAUAAGUCUUAAAAAUGGACUUUGGAAUUAAAUUGUAUGAAAAUGUUAAAUAUUUGCAAAAAAAAAAUCUAAAAAACCACUUAGUCCUCCCUUUUAAGCAAAUCAAAAUUAUAUUUUAAAAAUGUUAUUAUUAAUAUUACAUUUUAUAAAACUUUCAUUAAUGACAUGUAAAACCAUUACCAAAAUGUUAAGAACUUUAUAAAAUUGGACCAAAUAAUCUUCCAAAUAUAACCAAAUUACUUCUCAAAUCCAACAAAAUCAUUCCAAAUAUGACAAUGUUAACCAUAAUACCUCCCAAUUCUUACCUCUCAAUAGUAAUAGCACAGUUGCAUUGAAAAUCAAAUUCUUCAAUGCUUGCUCUAUCAUCAUAUGAUUUGUUUUGAAGCUUUUAAUAAUGAACCGUGAACCCAUUGGAUUGUACUAGAGAGGACCCGCAUGAUAAAGGUUUAAAUUUGGGCAACACCCUUAUAACAUUAUUAUUAAUAAGUUGUGAGCCAUAAUGGGGCCAAGUCAUUACUCUUUGUUGGGAAAAUCUUCCAAAGGCAGGCUUAGGCUUUUUGUGGUUCUUGCACAAAAAGCCUUCCUUGGAUUUUGAGCAUUGUUUCUUGUACCAAAAGUCAACUAGAUUUACCGAGAAACCAUCAUUACAAAUGCUUAAGUUUUUCAAAUUAUUUUUAAACUUGUUUUCAUAAUUUAUUAACUUUAUAAAAUUGGAAGUGAUUAUUAAAUUUAUUUUUCUUUCUUUUUCUCCUCUAAAAAAAUAUAUACUUUUUAUUAUAUAUAUUAAAAAAAUUUAUUAGGAUCAAGGAGAUCUGAGUGUGUCAUUUUUCAAUCAUCAUUUUUCUAAAGCUAAUAUUAUUGCACAUAUAACAAUCCCUUCCCCAAUACAGGGCUCCUAGAACUCGAAUCAUGACCAAACUCUAGGGCUCCUAGAACUUAAAUCAUUUAAUGGCAUGUGGAACAUUUAAUAGCACCUCUAGAAAUGCUAAGAACUUUAUAAAAUUGUAAAAAGACAUGUAGAACCUAGGCUGGAUCUCCAAACCAUGAAAAUUGCUUGUAAUUAUUGGUUAGCUUGUGGAAUAAAAAAUCUAUAAGAUGGAGAUAGACUCCUAAAGAUUAUAAGAUAUUUUAAGAACUCAAUAGUUAUAAAAAAGAAAAAAGAAAUAACACUAAAAACAAAUUUAAUAUAUAGAAAAUAUUAGUUUUUACUUAAAAUUUAACUUAUUAAAUUAUAAAUUGUAAAAAUUUAAUUAAAUUAAAAAAAUUAAAUUUAACCAGAUAUAAGCAAAAGUGCAUUAAUAUGUCUAUUCCGCUUUCUCUUUUUUAAUUAUUUUAAUGGAAAAUAUUAAAAUAUUUAUAGUCGUAACUAUUAAAUAUGUUGAAUAUGUACACAUUACAUCCAUUUUUGAAACUUAUAUAAAAUCAAAUUUUGAACAAAUUUAAAAUUUUUUUUCACUUAAUUUGGGUAGAUUAAACAACGACAUUUUAAUUGUUAAUGGAAAAAUAACAACCUUUUAUUCAAUUUUAACGGUAAUAAAUAAUAAGAAAAUAUUAUUAAUAAAAAACAUUGAAUUAUUUGGAUAUUGAGGUGUUAUUUGUUAUUUGAUUAUUGUUAAUAACAUACCCUAUUAUUGUUAUUUGUUAUUUCAUUACAAAUUGAUGUUAUUACUAAUGUUUUCUAUUGUGUAAUUUUGUGGUUAAAAAUGAGAUUGAUUUGAUUUUUUUGGCUUCUUCUAUAGGUAAACUAUGUCUAAUUUAUCGGUGGCAAUAGUUUGUUUUUGUAAUGGGAAAAUGGUGAGAACACAAACCGAUGUUGAUUAUGUUGGAGAUAGAGUUGUGGUUGAACCUAUUGAUGUGCCUCUUGGGACAACAUAUGAACAACUGUUGGAAAUGAUAUACUCGGUCACUGACAUCAAUAAAGAACAUUUUUGAUUAAUUCUUAGUUGUAAGUAUCCUAUGAAAAAAGGGAAUAAAUUCCAACCUUGCCUUGUAAAGAAUGAUAGUGGUGUAGCUCGAAUGUUAGAAAUGCAUAACAGAUUUGGGAUGGAUGAAGUUGAAUUAUUUGUUGAACAAGUACCUAUUGACUUACAAAUGAAUUCACCAAUUGGUAAUUGCAUACCUUUGUUACUUGGUGAAAAUGAUGGUACUAGUAAUGUUCAAAAUCUAUUUACUUUUGAGCAUAGAUUAGAAGAGGAUGAGGAAGACGAAGAAGGAAGACGAAGAAGGAAGAUAAUGUGAUGAUGACAAUGUAGGAGCCGAGGAUGUUCAUAAUGAUGAUAAUCAAGAUAGGGAAGGUAGCUCGCCUUUUUUAGCUGUUUGUGAGGCAAUUGAAAGAGAACAAAUGAGAUAUGUGGCUGUGGAUGGGGAAUGAUGUAACUUGUCAAAUAAUCCAGAUACAGAGGAUUUAGAUGAACCAAUUGAAUUAUCUUCAAUGCAAUAUCAUUUGGCACCAUCACCAUAGUUUGAAAAUGUUGAAAACAUUGGUCAUGUUGUGUCAAGUGAAUGGACCCCAUGGGGAAACACUCUUAUGGGACAUCCAAUUGGAGAGUUCAUACUUUAUAAAUAAUAAUGAUAUUGUUAAAAUGAAUACAACUUUGAAAAUCGUAGUAAUUACCUUCUUAUUGUGCACCAAGAAUCAUGUUCUUGAAGUGGUGAGAGUCUGCUUUAUUGGGUGCAACACUCUCAUAUAUGAACAACUUACUGAUCAAACAUCCCAUGGUUUCCUUGAUGGGACCACAUUUGAAAAGAUGUUUCACAUAUUUUUGUCUUGCUGCUGAAGAUUUGUGAAAUGAGGAUGCAUUAGGCGGUGAUGGAUUCAAAUAUUGAACACUUUGCAAUCUUUGCAUAUGCCUUGUUAGAUUAGUUGGAUGUGAAAACUUACCUAUUAUAAUUAUUAAAAUUAAAAAUAUAUGUUAAUUUAAUAUUAUUGAUAAAGUUGAUAAGAAACAGUAAUAAUUCAAAUUGAUAAGUCAGUCUUCCAUUUUGCAUAUACCUGUUUUUCUUUUAUCUUUUACAAAAUGUUCUUCUUGUUGUCGAUUUCAUUCAAUAGCUUUUGAUGCUUGAACUACCGCUUUAUAAGCAUGUUGCUCAUCAAGGUGCAUGUCAGCCAUACAUAUACACAUCAUCAUCAUCAUCAUCAUCAUCAUCAUCAAGGUUUUUGUAGACCCCCAUAUGGGGCUCAUUUUUUUCUCCCACAUUUCUACAGGUUACAUUCUUUUUCUUACCAGGUGUUACUACCCCAGCGAGGCACGUGUCGCUUCCUUGGUGGCCAUAGGGGAAUCAACCUUGCUUUUUGAAGCUGCAGUGGGAAUAUGACACGUAGGGGGAAUAUUCUAGAGGGUCUGUAGGCCGUUAUGGAGGAGCGGAUGAGAGAGAGGAUAUCCUGCAGAGGGUGGUGUGGCUUUUGGUGGUUUUCUGGAGAUAUAAGAGGGGCAAAUCAGGUAGAGCAAAAGGCAAGGAGGAGGAUUCGGUAGGGGGGGGGGUUGCUUUUUGGGGAGGUUGGCCGUGAUAUUUUCAGCAAGAGUUUUCUUUAUUGAGAGAGAGGGGAGGGGGAAGUUUGAGCAACUGAAAAAAAAAAACAGAGGAGGAGGAGGAAGCUGCCGAGGAGGGUGACUUGGAGACUGGAGAGUGAGAUUUCUUUUUGGAGGGUAUUCUGGCUUGAGGAGCAAGUGAGAGAGGAUAUUCAUUCUGGAGAUCGACAGAGAAGGGAGAAAAGGGAGAAACAGAGGAAAAGAGCGUCUGUAGGUGAGUUUGAGGUGAGUUUCUCGCUUACUUUGAUUCAAAUAUUUUCUCAUCUCUUUCCCAUUUUGGUUUGCUCUUCAUUGCUCAUCAAUUUGGGGUUGAACAAUAUGGAUUAUGUGCCGAAUCUUGUUGAUUACUGAAUCAUUUUUAUACUCUGUUGCUGUUGAUUUUACCGUUGUUCUUGUGAUUUGGUUUGGAGCUAGUGGAACUUUGUUUCUCAUAUAUUGUGUAAACCUGGCUCAAGGUUCUCCCUCAUCCCUCCUGUUUUGAGCCCAUGAUCAUCACUUGAUAUGGGAUCAUGUACAUUCAUGAACUGCAUGCUCACCUGUUUGUUCUACCCUUAGUUUUCACUCUAGUUCAUGCCUUAGUGUUUAUUCCUCUGAUUUUGCCGGGGUUGGGGUGUUAAAUAUCUCGUCUGGGACUGGCUAUCGUGAUUGGGGAUGUUUUUGAGACCUGAAAAGCUAUGUGGACCUCACUGAGACGUCCGGAGAAAAGAACUUGAGCUAAAUCAUCGUGAGAAUGUGGGUACUGUGAACGUUUUGGUUGAUGUCUCUACCUUGCUCACAAACGCACCCUAUCUGCUGAAUCUGGAACGUACUCACCAUACCCAUGACAGCAAGGCCCUUGAAGAUAUCGUGUUACACAAUGGACUAGACAAGGAUAGAUAGCCCUCGCUGCAUGGUUCAAAAGGUUCAAACCAAAAUUGCAUGCGGAAAAACCUGUUCCUCAUGCCGACAUCUGUUCUGAGUGUGGCUCACCAUUAUUUCAUGGCUCAUGGAGUGGGCUCCUUCUACUGGGCCUAUGGACUCAAAUAUACCAAGCUUGUAACCUGGUUGCAAUGGAGGUUUAUUGGUGUUAGUUUGAAAAAGAAGCUUCUUAGGGACUUGCCCUCAUUGCUCCCUUGUGUGAAAAUCUAUUUGUUACUAUGUCUGGGCGCUUGCGAUGAAUCCAAAGGUAGAUAAUGCCCGACAAUAUUUGAGGAUUUCUCUUAGCUGUGCGUCCUGGAAUGACAUGAUGGAGGCUUGUGAUGCUCGGGAUCUUGAUAUUCUGCAAAAAGAGUUCCCUAUUUUAAACAAUUAUAUUCAUUUUGGAGAUGCAGAGAUGGCGCAGAAAUUGUAUCGUAUUAUCCGAGCUUGCAUGGGUGGCUAGAGGCAACUAAGCAAUGCUGCGGCGACUGUUCUGUAUAAUCACUCUGGCGGCGAGACUCUGCACAAUGCAAGUCCUGCGAGCGACGCUGGGGAUGCAGUCAUGGCGUGAUGGCUCCAGUCCGCCGGAUUGCAGCAUCUGACCUUUCCAUUGGCUUCCACCAGAGUUGAUCAUCACCUCCUCCCCGAUCUUCUAAUGCAGGGUUAUGGAGCGCAAUCUGCUGUGGGAAGGCUUUACCUGGAGGUCCAAGGGCUUGGGCAGACAUUCUUUUCAUAACUUACUAGGUUACUUUUCUCAUUGCUGAGAUAUGCCUGUUAGCGGGUUCAGUGAGGAAUGCCUACCCUAUCAAGUACGAGACAAUUUUCAGUGAGGAUCCCCCGUCAUGUGAGACCUUGAGAAAGGGUGUGUUUGGCACUAGGGCCGCUUUCCCAUUCUUCACUGCCAUACCCUCUGAACCUUACUAUGUUUGCUAUUCGUAAGUUAGAGGAAGUUCUCUAGCUUAUGGUGAUUGAAAAACUGGUUUUUGAGAUGGGAACCUACAGCUGGGCUUAGUUAAGAUGAUCAUAAUUGUUUUAAUUCUGAGAAGCAACCUCUACAUACCCAUCAAGCCACCCCACUAAACCCUUUCCCUCUCUCUAAGCCUAUUCAUACCCAUUUCUUACUCCCUAUAGUUUGCCACCCUCACUUUUCCACCUUGUACAUCAUGAAGCUCAUUCAUCAAGCCUACCUAUUUAACCCCCCCUCUUGAUACCUAUUCCAGCACAUGCAUGGCUGUCCCAAAGCUCCUUCCAAAACCCUUGUUAAUAUCCUAGAUUUAUCCACCCACGUGCAUGGGAACCAUGCUAACCUGGUUAUUCUUCAUAUGCCCAUUUCUCAUUUUCCAUACAUGCCACUUUCACCUUCCAUGCUCAUACCCAUCAUCUAUCAUCCAUUCCUUACCCCUACACUCAGAAAUUAUGCAUCCAUAAUCAUCUUCAUACCCACCAUGCUCAUUCAUACCCAUCUUUCUCUCUCUACCUCUUCAUACCUCCGCAUGCCUAUCUCUUCGCAUCAUGCACACCAAACCCAUACCUGUGGCCAUCUUUCUAUGUUCAUUAACCCCAUAUUACAAGUGUUCUUGUUAUUGAUGACAAUCCGAUGUGGGCAAUUACUGGUAAAGCCUGAAGAAGAACAUGAUGGUCCAGUAAAUGAAGAGAAGGCCCAAAUUGGUUAAGACACCUAUAUUAAGUGAAUGAAGAACUGGGGCAACUUAGAUCCAAACGUCCUCAUUAUACCUUUUCUGAGGAUGAGAGUGGCGGAGAGUUCAGUAUGACACGCCUUCACCAGAAUCUGAGUCCGGGCCUUCAUAUUCCUGCAGAGAAGGUUUUUGACUUGUUAUCAUCUCGGCCGCGACCAAGAUGUCACCAUACUCCAUCACCAGAAUUAGGAAAUAAACUAUCAGUUUCCGGUGACCUUGAUCCUUACUUUUCCUUCUCGUUGGCCUCGUCAGCAGACGUCAGCAAAUGUUAGAAAUGAGGAGCCCUGAUGAAGAAAAUGGCCACAGCCGCAGCCCUAGUCCCAUUCCUAGGAACGAUGCAAGUCUUGCUGAUGAGUAUGGUAUCAAGUUCUUUGAAACUAGUGCAAAAACACUAUAUUGAAGACAAUAGGAAUGCCAAAUGGUGUCCCGCUCCAGGCUGUGAUUAUGCAGUUGAUUUUUUAUUGUUAAUAGUGGAAGUUGUGACGUUUCCUGCCAGUGCUCAUAUAACUUUUAAUGGAAUUGUACAGAGGGAGCUCACCUUCCUGUUGAUUGCAGCACUGUGGCCAAUUGGAUUCUGAAAGAAUAGUGCAAGUGAGUGUGAAAAGCCCUCUCUGUCUUAGUCAUCAAGUAAGCCUUCAAUCUGGCAGAAAGUGAAGAGGUGACUCCCAUUUCCUAGGAUCCCACUACAUGAUUUGCCAGAAAGUCUAACAGAUAGAUUUCAGCAGUGCCCAGGCCAGCAGCUUUCCUUGUCGAGCAGCCAGAGUGGUGAACUCAUUAGCAGCCGCAUCAAGGCCGCAUGGUAUUGGCGAUUCAUACGUGGCCUCCCUGUAAGGCAUGAAAGCGUUUGGUGCACUCUUUGGAUCGAUGCUUCUUAGAGAUUCUGUAGCUAUGCAAUCAUGCCAGGGUGAAAACUACAUGUUGUUUCCCCUAGUACCAGUGAGAUUGAUGCAAACAAGCAUGAUGGUGAUAUGGAAAGAUAAAAUAAUCUAGGAUAAUUCUCCUGAAGUUGGUGAGAAUUCUGCAGAGAGUUGUGAAAUCUCUGGACCUGAUUCUGAAGUUGUGGUGGAUAAAGAAACAGAACUGGUAACCAAGGCUCAAAAUCAGAGGUCAAAGUUCCAAGUGGCAAUAGAUGACAAGUAUUGGAAUGACAGCCUCAGCGCGGUCCAUUCUGAUGAGAGGAAUCUAAAACAGACACUGAAUGGUCAGAUGUUAAUGGCUCAGCCAGAGACGAUGCAUCCUGGAUCUCAUGGUUUUACCAUAUGUGGGGAUAUUAUUCCUUCUGUGAAUUUGACGAUGAUUGCAUGCAAGAUGAUUUUGAUGACCUCUAUGGUUUGAGCAAUCAAGUCGCCCAUUAUGAUCAUGCGUUUGACUUGAUUUUGGAUGUUGAAUUCUCGCAUGGUGAUUCUCCCACAGAGAAGCAAAACGAGAUAGUGGAAUCUGUAGCAAAGGCUUUAUGGUCUGUUUCAUUUCUGUUACUUAUUGACUUAGCAAAGACUGACUGCCAUGCUAAGCGAGCACGUAGACUCUGACUUUGGUCGAUAUCCAAGAAUUUGUUGCUGCGGACAAACCUGCUUUCUAGUGACUUUGAUGGGGCCUGUAAUGCCUAUCUAGAAGGGUGAUAAGUGCCUAGCCUUGAGGUGCUUAAACUGACAAAGGAGUGUCUCAUGGAGAAGCUUGCUGCUGGUGUCCCCCAAUUUGUCCCGUCUUUCAUUGGUCAUCUCAUACCCAACUUUGGUGGUUGUACUCCGGGCCCUCAUGCACAAUCCUAAAAAUUGUAUGGCCAUCCUCUUGUGCCUUUUUUUCAAAAUCCAUGUUUCUUCAUUCAUUUUCAUGUCUGUCUUUAAAGAAAUAGGUUUUCAAUUAACUUCAAACUCUUCCAUAUUUCAUCCUUAGAGUUUUUAGGUUUCACAAGUCCUAUUUUCAAUAAAAUUGGUUGCCAUUUUCUCUUCGGCAAGCCAUCUUCCCAUCUUCCAUGUUUUUUUUAAAAUGUUUUAAAAUAAGUGUGAAUUUAUUUUCGUAAUUCCAAGUGAUGGAAUUUACAAAAUUGAUUCACUCACAAAUAAAUCGGGCUUUGGUGGGGGCCCAACAUUAUUGGAUGUUUCCUUUGAAAAUCCAUUUGAUUGAAUUGUGACAUGUGAUGAUUUAUUGCUCGGUUUAGCGACAUGGGUGCCACAUUUUAUGCUCAUCAAUUGUGCAUUAACCCCAUUUUGUGAUAGCGCGUUGCUGUUUAUGGAUCAAGUACGCAUCUUUUCUCACUCUGGCUAUCAUCCAUAUAUGUUUUGGCUUUCAGUAUGUGAUCAUGACGGUAUUCAUUGAUUUCCUUAUCGAUUGCUACAUUAGCUUCAUUUUAUUAGUAGAGACCUGACUUUAAGGACUUAAAGGGGUGCUACGGUCUUUACCGUACCUUCUUGAUAAGUAAACUGACCCCUGAGCCCGAUCCAGUUCUUCACAAACCACCUUUUCCAAAUAAAGAGUCACACUUAGAGUUUUCUUUCUUAUUUUGUUUACCCUUUAAAAAUAAAACAAAAAUAAGUGGCAACUCCAAGUCAUUUUCUAAUAAAUAAAAUAAAAUAAAAUCAUUUUUUUGAAAUAAAGAAUCGAGCACCCCAUCGAGUGGAAGCGCAUUGAGCCGAAAUGCGGGGUCCACAGUUUUCCUCAUCCUCCUCAUCAAUUACAUGUCUAUGUCUUCCUCCCAUUGUGUCUUGCAAUUCAGCUCGAAUCUCUUCUAUAUUUGUGGCUUUCUUCACUUUUGCCUUAUUUUUUUUCCUUUAGAAGUCGACUUAUUUCUUGUUUCACUUCUGGAGGCACAUUAGGACACUUUUUUGUAUUUGAAUGAGGGUUUGUAUGCGACAGGUGAAAUUUAAAAUGAGUAAUCUUACCACUCUUUAUUUUCAACCUAUAGUAAUUGCAUAUUGUUCCAUUUUUGUUCCCUUCCAUAAGUGUACAAUAUUUCCAACUAGGAUCUCAACCCAUGAUACCGCUUCCACUUCCACUAACCAUUUUCUAAACAUGUAUUUUAAAUUCUCAUACGAAACUAAUAUAUGUGAUGUGAUAUCAAAAGGAUUUGCAUUAUAAUUAAAUUUCUAUAUGAGUUAAGUACUAAGUUAUUAAAGAUAAAUAUCUAAGUUAAUUUAAUAUUAAUAUUAUUAAUGAAAUUAAUAAGAAUCAUUACUAAUAAAAUUGAAAUUAAAAUUGAAUUAUGCAUAUAUAUUAUGUGAUAUGAAAUAGAUAAAUAUUACAAUUAAAUUUCCAUAUGAAUUAAAUUUAAAUUUAAAUUUAUUAAAAAAUAAAACCAAAUAUGCAUAUAUGUCAAAUCAAUUUCCAUAUGAAAUUUAAUGUUAAUGGGACAAAUUUUAAAAUUAGAUAAUAUCAAUUAAACUAUAUAUAACAAAUAAAAUUGAAUUAUGCAUAAUAAAAAUAAAUUUUAUGAAAGGUAAAACAUACCUUAAUUAGCCUUGACUUUGAGUUGAUCCCCUUCACCACCAAAUUUUCAAGAUUUAAUUUUAUUUAUAGAAAUAAAAAAAAAUAAAAAUUUGGAGCAAUAGAACAAGAUCAAAAAUUUAUGUAUGAAAUGGAAUGAAUUGUGGGUAUUUAUAGGAUUUUUUUUGGCCAAACUAGCCAUUGGAUGGUCAAAUAGCAGUUAUAAAUUAAUUUUAACCAUUGGAUCAAAAUUUGGCCAUUAGAUCUUCAUAUAACCGUUGGAAACAUUUCUUAGCCAUUGGAUCAAGUCAUGAUUGAUUUUCCACUAUUGGAUCACAAAUAUGAUUGUUGGAUGCCUUUAUAAAAAACACGGGUGAAAUCUAGGCCAUCGGAUUGUCAAAAAUUCAAAUAUGACUGUUGGAUGCAGUAGGAGGAAAUUUCAAAAAAUUGCCCAAAAAAUCGUUGAUUUAUCGUCGAUAUUUUGAAAAAAAUUGGUGAUUUUUUUACAGUCUUCCUCCAUUGCUCCGUGCAUCUCUCCAUGGUUGAUUUUUUCAUUUCCAAACCGACAUAUUGCUAAUAUUCGACGAUAUUACCAAAAUUUUGCCAAAAUUCCCACCAAUCAAUAAUCGGUACCCAAUAUCGUGUCGGGAACCACCAAUAUUUGAUAUAUUGACAUAUUUCAUCGAAAAAACCAAAAAUCCUUAAUAGAAAAUAAUGCCUUAUUAACACACUUUUAUUCAAAGUGUUUGUCCUUAUUCUCGACAAAGAAAGCAUUUUAUUCAAAGUAGAACACUCCUAAAACUAUGACAUCAAUACAUAUUAUCCCCUUUCCAUUUCUGACAAUAUGGAAGAAGCUGGCAUUAGCUUUCAUUUGUUCAUACUGGCAUAGGGUCAAUGAGCAAGGAUGCAAUAUUAUCUUUCAUCACUUUCCCAACAUGAGUGUAUUCAUUGUUUUCCUUAUAAAUGAUGUCUACCACUCGUGUAAGAUUGAGAACUUUGAUAAGGAUUGGGAUCGACAUGGAAGUAGGUAUGAGGAAAACUUGGUUAAUUUCCUUCCAUGCAUUCACAAUUUGCUUGUUAAACUCGUCAUAAGCCUGUUGCUUAAGACACUAUAUUGCUUGAUAUAGCAUUCAAUGGCUAAGGCAACAUGCCCUCUCUCUUGUUCAAACUGCACACAUAUAUAUAGUAAUGCAAAAGAUGAGGAAAAACCUACCAUAAAAUCAUCACGAAUGAACUUAUAUGCAAUAUAUUCUACACAUAUUCCUUAUGUGUCAUCAUAUCGUUCAUGGGCCUGGCAAUUAAACAUGAAGCUAUUGUAAAAGGGUCAUUGUAAACCCAAUCAAAGGCCUCUUUUGUUAUCAUUUAUCCUAUUCCAAUGAAAGAGAGGGUUGUGGCUAAGGGAAGAGCUGAGCCUACUCGUGCAACUUGCAUGUAUUCCUCUAUGGAACCAUUGUACUUUGUCAAAGAGCCAACCUGAAUUUUCAACCAACAAACAUUUGUCAAUGUUACAUACUUGUACAUAUGCUUUAAUUUUUAAUUUGAUAUGAUUCGCCUAUUUAACUCGAGCCCAACACAUUUUGUCAAAAUAAUCUUAAAAUAAUCUCUCUCUCUCCUUCUCUGUGAUUGUUAAAUUUAAUGAAUAAGUAUAUUAUUCUAUCAUAUUGGUAUAUGUACAAAAUUAGCUCUCUCUGUCUCUCCCUCCUCUCUCAUUGUUAAAUUUAAUGAAUAAGUAUAUUAUUCUGUCAUAUUGGUAAUAAACAUUACCACCGUAUAUGUACAAAAUUAGCUAAGCUAAAUAAGAUAAAAUAGCAAGACUAAGUAAGAUAAAUUGUAAUUACAAGGAGAGAUUGACAUUCUACCGGAGGUAAUCUUGGUUGACACCUAAGAUUACCUUUAAUACUGAUCACCAAUUGCCAUGAAUUCAUGCACCUGACUAUGUACAAUGUAUUCACUUGGGCUGUCUCCUAUCAUCCCAGAUCAAGUAUAGGAUACUGAACAAACAUUUAAAUACAUGAAACGAUGUUCACAACAUCAAUGGAAUUAAUGUUUUUUGCAGAAAAAUGUGUGGAUGCAUGCAUGUAUACAAGAAUACUUAGAAUUUGGCUGUGCUGUUUGUUGUCACCUCGCGUAUCCGGUGGUCCACGUUCCUGCUAGAUGGAUGGACACGCGAUUCUCAACACACAAAGGGUUCUUGAUUCAGCGGUCGUACCUGCAAAAGGCAUCCGGACAGGGUGUCUGGACGCACCCUCCGAUGGUUUUGUUAGCCAUGGUAAGAGAGGAAGAUAUAUGAGGCAGUUGGCUUUUUACUAGGUAUCAGGAGGUUACCCAGAGAGAGAGCCCCAAUUCUUCUUCGCGUGAAGACUUAUAUAUAUAGCUUUAAGGGUACUGUUCCUCUCAUUAAUGGUGAGGAGAUGUUUUAUGUUGUCAUGAUGACAUUAAGUAGCAGUAGAGACAUCAUCACCCUACGAGCGGCUGUCAAGAACCAUGGUAGGUGACGCGAUUGUCAGAGAUCGUGAUAGGUGAUCAUGUAGAAUGAUCGUGGGAAGUGACUUGCUAUCACUUCAUCUUGUCUUCUCACUCUGCAGGUGACAAGAUGUGGGCCAUGGCUGCUUGUUGUGAUUGCGUGUAAGACUCGCUUUACUUUAAUUGACCAUCCAGACGAUUUAUAUCCGGAUGGCUCAUGCUGAUUAUCCGGAUGUGUUGUGGAGACUAUCCGGAUGUCUACGCUCUGCCAGCGUCGUUUGCUCUUCCUUGGAUAGGAGAAGCUGAAACGUCGUUUGCCUUUCCUUGAGGCGGUCUGGAUAGGAUAACUGCACCAUGCAUAUCCUUAGGAGAAUCCGGAUGAUGAUGGUCCGGCUAAUAACACGUGCCACGCGUCAUCAUGAGCUGCGUGCCACGUGUUUCCCAAUGGGAGGGGUCCCUACAUUGCCCCCCUUUUUAACUUGCCUAUUUUGCCCAAAAAAUGGGCGGGUUAAAAAUAACUGGCUUUUGAAAAUUGAAGAGGUCCCUUCGUCUGACUGGGCCACGUGGCGAGUGGGGGUGCGGAAGCUAAAAAAGGCAUUUAUGACGAGCCACCGACCCUGUGUAUCCCUAGGCAAUAUGUCGUUUCAAUGAUAACAUGGUUGUCCUGCUAUAAAUAGGGCACUGUACCUCUUUUUGCAUUUUUUCCUACUGCAUUCUCUUGAGAGCCUUUCUUCUUCUUGCUUUUUUCUACGCCCUUUGCUUCUCUGAGAAAAAACUUCGAAAGCUCUUUUGUACCAGUGUUUUUGUAUUGCGACUUCGUUUGUUUGCUGCUGGUGAUUUUGUACCGAGUCAGUAACCGUUCUUCUUCUUCAGAGCUUUAUUUGGUACGUACCUCUUUGCUACUGUCAUUCCUUUGGUUGCGUUUGCUGGUUCUUUAAACUUGGUUUCUGGCUUGCUUGGGCAUUGUUUUGGACAAGUCGCUUGCAAUUGUUGUUGAAUGUUGGUACUUUGUUGGUGUUGGGGGGGUGUUUUUUAGGGGUUUUUCUGACUGCUUUGGGUUAGGGUUUGUGUAUUUUCUGACUGCUUGGUUUGAACCGUUGUAUUGCUUUUGUAUGUAGAUUUUGGUUUGGCUUUGUGGUAAGAAAUGGCUCCAAAAAAGACUGUUUCAUCUGCCCGGGUUAGCGAGGCUGGCGAAAAGGCGAUAGACAAAUUAGAUGUGAAGGAAUUCCGGGAGCGGUUCUGCAUCCCAAAUGGCGUAUCUAUAGACUUGGUGAACGAGGAGGCAGCUAUGCCUACUGAGAAAGGUGAAGAAAACGUUAUCCUCUUCACAAAGGAACAAUUCAACGCGGGGCUCCGGUUCCCUCUGCCGGCGUUGUUCAAGGAAUUCCUCCACUUCUCUCAGAUUCCAUCCAUCUUCAUUCAUCCCAACCUUGUCCGGGUGUUGAUGGGAUGCAGCAUCAUCAACAUGCUGUACAACCUCGACCUUACGCUACUGGAAGUGCUCUUUUUCUAUUCCCUGAAGAAGGCAAAAAAUGAUAUCUUCAGUGUGUCCACGCACCUGCCCUCCCUUCAAAUGGUGACAGAGAUGCCAGAUUCGAUAAAGGGAGGGGCGAAGGGGCUGGUGGCGGUCCGGGGUGGAUGGGCGGGGCUAUCGGAGCAUGCGUCGAGGCCCUUUUCUCCAAAUUAUACCUUAAAAAUUUCGGGUAUUCUUGUUUUGCGAUUCUUUGUCCGGAUUUUACUUUGCUGAUUUUUUGCUGAUUUUUCCGGACGGAAUUCUCACCUUUUGUUGCUGUUAAUGCAGGUCUGGAAUUGAGGGGCCACCUUGUGGAUUGGGUGGAAAAGGCGUCCUUCGCCUGUGUCUGCAAAUUAUUUGAGAUAAAUCCCAAGAAGAGGGCCUGCAAGACAUUGCUUUCCGCGCGGAAUUUGAUGGCGGUCGUCCGGGAGUCCCAGGAAUAUGUUAUCAAUAUUCUCCCCAGGAAACUGCCAAAGGAUGAGGUAGUGCCUGGGGAGCAUUAUACUGUGAAGGAGCUCCCCCUCUAUCAGGAAGCUAAAGAGGCUGAUGCUGAAAGACGGCGAAAGCUCCUGGAGGAUCGAGAUCAGAGAAAAAAUGAAGGCACUAUCCGGAAGGCUCCCGGACAGAAGCGGGGUCCGGACUCUCCUCCAAAGAAAACUCCAGCAAAAAGGAGGAAGCUGGUGAAGAAGAAUGGGAAGGAUGUGAAGGAACCCACUCCUCCCAAGGAGUUUCCUCCUCCGCAAAUUACCUAUGAGGGGGAAGUAAUGAUAGAGGAGCCAGUAAACGCUGCUCCGCACUCUAUCUCAAGCAGCCCCGGACGCAUCUCGGGGUUGAACCAUUCUGGCACUUCCUUAGCCGCGGUUGCGCGUCUGGCUAACGUGGCUGAGGAAGCUGCAUCUAUCAACCGUCCGGGCAACCUUAAUCCGGAUGCUGAUGCAGCUGAAACGACCCCGUUGGAGGAAGCGGUGGUAGAAAGCCAAAGUUAGCCUUCCGACGACCCGGAUCGCUUGGCCAUAAUCCCGGUGAAAGGGCCUCCUUCAAAGAAGCCGCGUUCGACGCGCAAUCUAUGGUCCGGACUCCUUGGGCGGCUUCAAGAGCGGCAGCAAGAGAUUGAAGUUAGCUGCGCUUCUGCCCAUGACGCUCAUCCGGAUGGAGGCGAGGUGGAGAUGGCAACUGAGACUUCAGCCGCCCCGGCAAUAAUUCCGGCUGAAGAUGCAUCCGGACAGAUGCGUCCGGACGAAGAUGUGGGGGUCCCGAAUCCGGGACAAGAGUCACCUUCUGUUUCCUCAUCUGAGGAGGAACCUGCUGACGAUGCAGCUCCUGCUAGCCUUUUCAGCUACGCGGAGUUGGAAGCUAAGCUAAAACAGGUUACACCCGGCUGGACUGCCAUCAAGCCCUCUACUAAGAUGUUUGAUAUGAUAGAAACGGUAUACCGUUGUCUUGUGCUUUUGCUUUUUGAUUCUUUGUUGCGCUGAUGUGUUUGUUGUAGUAUGAUUUAUGUCUUUGCUUUUCUUGUUUGCGUGUCAGCUGGUGAGGAGCCUCCGCGACAUGGCUCAACAACACGAUCUUUUUACUCACCUGCUGCAGACUGCAGACUAUAUGAAGACCUUCUCCUCUCGACGCCGAGAGAUUGAAAAUCAGCUGCGUCUGAGAAUGGAGGAGGCUGAGGCUAGUCUAUCCACCAUGCGAGAGGAAAAUGAAGCCCUCCGAGUGGAGUUGGCUGAGGCGAAGAGUCGAGAAGAAUCGACUGUGGGCCGCCUACAUGAGGCGGAAGGUGAGGCAGCCCGGCUGAGGGAUGAAGUGAGUCAACUCCGGACAGAAGUUUCGAAUGAAAAGAAACAAAAGGAAGACUUGCAGCUGCGCCUGGAUGUGCAAAAAGAAGACCUUGAACAGGAGUUUGCUGUGGAAAGAGAGGAACUUGCAGCGGAUUACCAGCAACAAGUGGAUGAUAUGUUUAUCUUUGGGUAUCGCUGCUGCAUGAAGAAGAACGACAUCAAGCGAGAUACCCCUUCAAUUCCUCCGGGUGAAGAAAAGAAGCUCCAUGAGAAGCCCGCUCCCUGAUAGUUUAUCUUUUUUUGCAAUUUUUCUGCUGUAAUUUUUCCUUCUGUAUUUUUGUGGUCCGGAGAUCUCUUUGUAAUUACACUUAUUCAUAUCAAUAAAAACAUACUUCUUUCUCAUUUGCACUUGUGUAUACUUUUUAUUGAUAGUACUGCUUUAAAUUGGACACAUUCCAUGGUCUGAGUAACGGACUGCCAUCUAGCUUUUGUAAAUGAUAGGCUCCAUUUUCGUUUGCCUUAGACACUAUGUAGGGUCCUUCCCAAUUGGCUUGGAACUUUCCUGCGCCUACUUCAGCAGUAUUUUCAAAAACUUUUCUAAGUACUAGCGUACCAUUUUUGAAGUUUCUGGGCCUGACUUUUCGAUUGUAAUGCGCUGAUGCCAUUUGUUGAUAAUCUGCCAUCCGGAUGGCCGCGCUUUCUCUGACUUCGUCUGCCCAGUCUAAAUUUCUUCCUAGUUCCGUGUUGGCAUCUUCUUGUUUUGUUGCAUCGGUCCGGAUAGUAGGAAGACCUAUUUCAAUGGGAAUGACUGCAUCCAUUCCAUAUGUGAGGGCGAAAGGAGUGUUUCCUGUUGGUCGUCCGGGUGUGGUUCGAUAGGCCCACAGGACGCCGGGUAGCUCCUCCACCCACUUCCCUUUGGCUUGCUCAAGCCUUUUCUUUAAGGCAUUGAUUAGAGUUUUGUUUGUGGCUUCCGCUUGCCCAUUGCUUUGAGGAUAACGCGGCGUGGAGUAUGAAUUCCGGAUAUUCAGUUCCGAACAGAAAUUCCUGAAUGCAAUGCUGUCAAAUUGUGGACCAUUGUCAGCUAUGAUGAUUUGGGGAAUUCCAAAGCGGCAAACAAUGUUCUUCCAUACGAAUUUGGUGACAUCUUUAUCUUUGAUGCUUGCAUAUGCUUCAGCUUCUACCCAUUUACUGAAGUAAUCAGUGGCGACAAGGAGGAAUUUCUUCUGGGCAGGUGCUGCUGGGAGGGGUCCCACUAUGUCCAUGCCCCACUGCGCGAAAGGCCAUGGGCCUGAGACCGAUUUCAAUGUUGCCGAUGGCAUAUGUGGAAUGGGAGCGUAUCUUUGACAUUUAUCACAUUUUUGGACAUAUGCUACCGCGUCUUUCUUCAUUGUGAGCCAAUAGUAUCCUUGUGAAUGAGCUGUAUGUGCCAGGGAUCGUCCUCCCGUAUGAUUUCCGCAUAUUCCUUCAUGUAAUUCAGCUAGCACAUAUUGGGCCUCUGAAUGCCCAAGACAGCGAAGAUAAGGCCCUGUGAAGGAUCGCUUGUACAGGUGCCCCCCAAUCAGGGUGAAACGGGCAGCUUGCACCCGGAUUUUGUGCGCUUGUUUAGGAUCUUCGGGUAAAGUGCCUGUCCGGAGAUAUUCUGCAAUAUCAUGCGUCCAUUCUUGAUCAUCCGCUUGGUUUGCCUCAAUGGUGUUGCAAGUGGAACUUUCUGCGACAGAGGGAUUGACUUGUACAUGGAUAGGCAAUAGAAUGGCUUCUCUGAUGGGGAGGGAAGCAGCUAUACCGGCCAAGGCGUCAGCGUGCCCGUUGUCAACUCGCUUAAUUUUUUCGAUUGUCCACUCGGUGAAUUGCUGUAAGGUGCUUCUUACAUUGGCCAAGUAUCGCGCCAUGCAUGCAUCCUUAGCCUCAUAUUCUUUCUGGACAUGCCUUACCACUAGUUGCGAGUCGUUGUAGAUCCGGAGUUUGGAGACGGAUAGAGCAAGGGCGAGGUCCAAUCCGGACAGGAUGGCCUCGUAUUCUGCUUCAUUGUUAGACGCGGAGAAUCCCAGCCAGAUGGCUUGCUCCAGAUGUUCCCCAGUUGGGGACUGUAGUAAGAGCCCAACUCCAGAGCCUGAUGAGCGUGAGGCUCCGUCAACUCGUAGAGUCCACCACUCCUGUUCACUUGAUUCGUGGUGCUGGUUGGGUCUUCGUGAAUAUUUGAGCACAAAGUCGGCCAUUACUUGGCCUUUUUUGGAUAAUCUGGGUUGGAAUUCGAUUCCAAAUUCGCUCAAUUCGAUGGCCCAUUGUAGCAUUCGCCCAGUUAAUUCUGGUUUGUGCAGAAUGCUACGAAGGGGUUGGUCGGUCAGUACAAUCACUGGGUGGGCUUGAAAAUAGGGGCGGAGCUUUUGAGCAGCACUUCGAAGAGCUAAGGCUGUUAGCUCCAUUUUUGAAUACCUGGUUUCUACAUCUGCCAAUGCCCUGCUGACAUAGUAGACAAGUUUCUGCUCCUUUGGUGAAGGACAGCGGAAUAGAACGGCGCUGAUUGCCCAUUCUGAGACAGCCAGAUACAUGUAUAACUUCUCCUUUGGGAUGGGGCUGCUUAGGAUGGGUGGCUGCAUAAGACAAUGCUUAAUUUUUUCGAAAGCACUUUGACAACUGUCUGUCCAUCCUUGUGCUCCAGCUUCUCGUAUUGCCAAGAAGAAGGGUCGCAAUUCUUCAGUGAAGCGGGCUAUAAAGCGCCCUAAUGCGACGAGCUUGCCUGUGAGUCAUUGUAGCUCCUUCUUGUUCCUGGGAGGGGGUGUUUCCAUGACUGCCUUGACUUGAUCCGGACUGACUUCUAUGCCUCUCUGGCUGACCAUAAAUCCUAGGAACUUGCCAGCACUUACUCCAAAGGCGCAUUUAGAAGGGUUUAGCUUCAUGUCAUACCUUUGCAAGAGGUGAAAAACUUCUUGUAAGUGAAGAUCAUGCUGCUCUCGGGUUUUGCUUUUAACCACAAUGUCAUCAAUAUACACUUCUACCGUGUGGCCUAUUAGAGGUUUGAAGAUUUUAGUCAUUAAUCUCUGAUAAGUGGCGCCAGCAUUUUUGAGUCCGAAUGGCAUGACUUUAUAGCAGUAGAGGCCAUGUGGUGUUAUGAAUGCUGUCUUUUCUUCGUCAUCUGGAGACAUGGGAACCUGGUGAUAUCCGAAGAAGGCAUCCAAGAAAAAGAGCAUCCCUUGCCCGGAAGUGGAAUCUACAAUUUGACCUAUUCGUGGUAAGGGAAAACUGUCUUUUGGACAUGCGUUAUUGAGAUUGGUGUAAUCAACACAGACUCACCAUUUGCCCUCUUUCUUUGGUACCACCACUACAUUUGCCAACCAAUCCGGAUAAGAUACUUCUCUGAUGAAUCCGGCUUCCAGCAAUUUGUCAAUUUCAUUUCGGAUAACUUUUUGUCUAUCCGGAUGAAAGCGUCUAAUCUUCUGUCGAACGGGUCUGGCUGCUGGAAAGACGUUAAGCUUGUGAGAGGCAAUAGAGGGAUGAACUCCCUUCAUAUCCGAAUGUGUCCAUGCGAAGAUGUCAUGGUUGCUUCGAAGGAUAUUUUGUAUGCUCUGAGUUUCUUCUUGUGUCAUGAGGGAACUGAUGUUCAUGAGGUGAUCAUUCUCUUCUGAGAUUUGGAUUGUUUGUAAGGGAUCUGCUGCCAGGGGAUCCUUGUCCGCCGGACCCAAUAAUUGCUAUUGGUCAUGCGUAUGGCUGGGUUCAGGGGGAGAUGCAUCCUCCUGGCUAGUUCCCGCUUCUCGUGCUAUUUGAUAGCACUGUCGAGCGGCCAACUGGCUGCCAUACAAGUCAGUUUGCCCUUCGUUGGUGAGGAAACUCACCAUUUGAUGAUAUGUGGAAGGGAUGGCUUUCAUGUAGUGAAGCCAUGUGCAUCCCAAGAUGACAUUGAAGGGUGAUAACUCUUGUACCACCGAGAAUUGCACGUUGAGAGUGACUGGGCCAGCUUGGACCGGCAGUAUAAUGUCUCCUAAGGAUGUGGUUGAUGACCCGUUGAAUCCGGAUAAGAUUCGUCCGGGGUUUUCGAGACCCGCGAGACUAUGUCCCAUAUGGCCAACGACUGAUGUUUGCACUAGAUCGGCUGAACUGCCUGGGUCGACCAAGAUACGUCUUACAUCGAAAUCUCCUAUUUCUAGGGAGAGGAUGAGGGCGUCGCGAUGUGGCUGUAGCGUCCGGGUGGGAUCUACUGGAGGGAAAAUGAUUGUCCCAUCUAUGGGGCGAGGGCCCUCUCCAGUGAGACCCGACCGGAUGGAAUUAAUGUGUUCGCGUAUUGACGCGGCUCGCAGCAAUUUCUGCCUUUUCCGCCUGGAAUCGUAUUCCUCGUCAGAUGGGCCCCCGUUGAUAUAGUUUAUGACAGCCUUGGGGGCGACUGGGGCCCUCGGGGCCCCAGAGUUAUGAUGUUGAGAUGCGUCCCUUCCUCUAAUAUCUGAGCGGAGGUACUGUUUUAAAUGUCCUGCUUUGAUGAGCCUUUCAACUAGAUACUGGAGGGACCGACAUGUCUCUGUUGUAUGACCAUGGUCUUUGUGGAAGGCGCAUUUCUUGUUGCGGUCUCUCAUGGAUGGGUUCGUUUCGAGGGGUCUAGGCCACCUGAAGUCGGACAACCCUUGGAUCAUUGGGAGAAGUUUUUCGUAUGACACGGAUAGGGGUGUGAUGGGCGGCCUAUCCAGACGACUCGGCCCGUCCUGCCUCCGGUCAACUGGUUUUGGCCGGUUCGGAGGUUUGGCAUGUCUGUCCGCGUCAUCUCUAGAAGUUUGUCCGGCAACCAAAACUUGCUGAGUGGCUGCACGUACGUCAUCUUCGAGCAUUGAAUAUUUGUUAGCACGUCUGAACAAAUCGUCCAUCGUUGUAGGAGGCUUUUUGGCCAGCGAUUCGAAAAAUGGAGUGCCUGGACAGAUGCUUCUCUUGAAGAUCUGUAGGACAGCAUCCAUGCUGCAAGCCUCUAUUUGAAGUACGGCUUGGCCAAAUCGUUUCACAAAUUCCCUCAAGGAUUCGUUGUCUCUCAUUUUUAUGUUCUGGAGGGUGCUGAUAUUCUGCUUGUGUCGAGCAGAGCACAAGUACUGUCCCACGAAAGCUUCAGAGAGGUCCCUGAAAUUGUCAACAGAGUUAGGAGGUAGGCGAUGAAACCAUGAGAGGGCCUGCCCUUGAAGGCUGGCGGGGAAUACUUUGCAUAGCAAUGCAUCGUUGCCAAUAUCGAGCGUCAUAAGCUGUCGAUAGUGCAUGAUGUGAUCGAAGGGAUCGUUGGUCCCAUCGUAUGUGGAAAACUUUGGUACGAAGAAUCCCCUUGGGGGCUCGUAAUAGGUGAUAUGAGAGCAAAAGGGCGUGGAGAGCAUGUCAUCCAGCCUUUUACUGAUGGAGCCAAUGGGUGGCUCGUUUGGGAGGUUUCUCCCAUCUGGUCGUUCCGCUAGGUGUGAGUGAACGUUCCGCAUCGCUGGGGUGACCAUGGGGUCACGAUGCGGAGGUACGUUCUGCACCAUGGGAGCGAUCAUAGGAUCGGGGCGUGGUGCCCGGGUUGUGGCUACUGGUGGCCUUGAUCUCCCAGGCUCUUGUGGGCCUAGUCUUGCGCUCAUAGAACUUGACAACUGUGAUUUUCUAUCACGUUGUCUUUUUACUGAAAAAUGAGUGGAAUCUGAGCUUUCCUCACGGGGAGCUCGAGGCAUAGGUGUACGUGGCUCAUGGGGCCUUGCGUUGUAUGCUCCUGGGACAGCUCCUGUUGACCCAGGAUAUAUUGAUUCUGGCUCUGGCCUUAAGUUUGCCACCUGGCCUCUUGAACGCUGACGACGACGAGGACCUGACGUUGAGGCUUGAAUGCGUAACACAUCGUUUUCUUCCCUUAACCUCUCCGUCUCCUAGAGGAGAGCUCUUAGUUGUUUUUCGCUCGCCAACUGUCUUUUUUCGAUGGCCUGACGCCAUUCGAGAUUAUCUUCCUCCCCUCUACCAGAUGAUCGACUUUGGGAAGGUGUGGCCAUCUUUGCUAGUGACUGAAUCAAAAUAAAAAGUAAAGUUUCCCACAGACGGCGCCAAUGUUGUCACCUCGCGUAUCCGGUGGUCCACGUUGCUGCUAGAUGGAUGGACACGCGAUUCUCAACACACAAAGGGUUCUUGAUUCAGCGGUCGUACCUGCAAAAGGCAUCCGGACAGGGUGUCCGGACGCACCCUCCGAUGGUUUUGUUAGCCAUGGUAAGAGAGGAAGAUAUAUGAGGCAGUUGGCUUUUUACUAGGUAUCAGGAGGUUACCCAGAGAGAGAGCCCCAGUUCUUCUUCGCGUGAAGACUUAUAUAUAUAGCUUUAAGGGUACUGUUCCUCUCAUUAAUGGUGAGGAGAUGUUUUAUGUUGUCAUGAUGACAUUAAGUAGCAGCAGAGACAUCAUCACCCUACGAGCGGCUGUCAGGAACCAUGGUAGGUGACGCGACUGUCAGAGAUCGUGAUAGGUGAUCAUGUAGAAUGAUCGUGGGAAGUGACUUGCUAUCACUUCAUCUUGUCUUCUCACUCUGCAGGUGACAAGAUGUGGGCCAUGGCUGCUUGUUGUGAUUGCGUGUAAGACUCACUUUACUUUAAUUGACCAUCCAGACGAUUUAUAUCCGGAUGGCUCAUGCUGAUUAUCCGGAUGUGUUGUGGAGACUAUCCGGAUGUCUACGCUCUGCCAGCGUCAUUUGCUCUUCCUUGGAUAGGAGAAGCUGAAACGUCGUUUGCCUUUCCUUGAGGCUGUCCGGAUAGGAUAACUGCACCAUGCAUAUCCUUAGGGGAAUCCGGAUGAUGAUGGUCCGGCUGAUAACACGUGCCACGCGUCAUCAUGAGUUGCGUGCCACGUGUUUCCCAAGGGGAGGGGUCCCUACACAGUUGUGACUCAGCAACCACCGCUGAUAGUGACUAAACCUUGCAUGGACUCGAGCCCACGUAGCAUUUAGGCAUAAAACACAAUAACACGUCCCGAUCAUGCGCCGCAAGGCUUCGUUUACUAAAGAAAAAAGGAUACUUUUUCUCCAUAUAUUGCCUAAUUGGGAUGCAAUUUUAUAAUAAGAAUGGAGGAGAAAAAGAGAACAAGCCCCAGACAAGUGACCCAACAAUGACUUCCCACUUCGGAAACACUGUUCCAUUGCCCAUGUUUUUUACGACACCAGAGUGAAAUGGUGGUGAGAGGUCAUGAUCAGUAAGUAUAAUAUUAUUUAUAAGUUGUUUAACACAUAGAAUGUUUUGUUGUAUAGCUAGUCAAAAUCCGCCUAUAAAGUAGCACAAAGCUAAAGUGCAGAGCACACAAAUUUCUUCUUCGAUUGGCAACCUUUUGAAAUGCGAUGCCAGUACUGCUAAUUCAUGCGUACCAAACUGUAUAUAAUAAUAAACUCCAUACUGGGGAAAUCAUUAAUGGAACUUGGAAUAUUAUUCUGGCCCUUGGGCUGUCCACAAGAUUAAAGAUGUGAGACAAGACUCACUAAGUUCUAAGGUUGUGCAGUGUCUUCACACUUGGGGGCAUUCAACUCGAAUGGAAUGUCAAAACCCAGUUCUUGUUUGGUACUAGUUUCAGCACAUGGAGUAGUGCCACUUGUGAGAUGCCAGCAUUCAACCAUUUGACCAUUGGGCCAGACCACCGUCCACAUACAACUGAGUUCCAAAAUGCAAGAAACGUGGCCCCCGCAUAUCACGUGUCUACCCGCCCCAUUGUGAAAUAACUUCUACAAAAACGGCCGGCUAGUUCAUUUACGUUACGUGGGCACGUGAUCUUACAAAUAAACGCCCCUCAUGCACGUUCCAUUCACUAACACAUUUUGGGUUGGCUGUUUCGGGCCAAAUGCCAAGUAAUUUCAAUGCUUGAAGUUGUAGUUCAGUUUUUGGUUGACAGAUACGUGUACCUUACUAUUGUAUACCCUAAAAAAUCCAUGAACAUUUUGAAUAAUGUUGAACAUGUAGUAGGCACAAAAAUAGACACAUUUCAAUAGAUUUGGGUUAGACAUACUCAUGUUUGUGUUAUAAUCAUGUUAAGUUAUAUAUAUAACAUGUUUAAUAACUAGGUCAUAUUUAGUCUAUAUGACUUCUCGACCCAUUAAAGCUAUUUAAUUUGUUCACUUCAUGAAUUUUCCAUUGCACCCAGCUAAUUUCUACAUGAAUUUUUAAAAUAAUGUAGUUUAGGUGGUUGAAAGAAUUAGACUUUGGGAAGGUUAAUUCUGGAUGGUUGGGAUGCACUUCGAGUCUCAUACAUACAUGGAUAUAACUUGGAUGAAUGUUCUUCAGUUGUAUAAGUCAAGCUUACCUAUAAAUAUUAUGUAUAUUUUUUAUAAUGAAUUAGGACGAUAUUAAGUUGGUUUACUAAACAUCCAUAUAAUGUUAAAUAUAAAUAUUGAAGGAUAUGAAAUCCACAUAUCAAUAUAUCAAACUUUUACCAAACCCACCUCAUGACAACCUUCUUAUGGUUCUCACACGGAUUUCUAUUGUUAUCAAACAAAAAGUCUAUAAUAAAAUAUUUUUUAUUAUAAUUCAUAGAUACUCUGACAAUUAAAUAAAAGGAUAAACUUAUUUGUGGAAUAUAAUUAAAAAGAAAAAAGAAAAAAAGAGACGGGUUAGAGUUUUAAAUUAUUAUUAUUUUAUAUACUUUAAAUAAAAUAGUAAUAAUAUAAUUAAAAACAAUGUCCUCUUUCAACUUUCAUACCUUCAACCUAUACGAGCUGUGAUAUUUUCAAGUUGGUAUUCUUUAACACAAGUCCAUUCCUAACUUAUUCAACUUUUACGACUUCAACGUAAACCUCGUGAUGGUACAAAUUAGACUAUUCUGCCCUACCUAAGUUAAAGUCCUAAAAAUUUCAUAAGAAUUAUGGACUCACCUUAUUAUGAAUCUAGACAUUAUUUAUUCUGAUUUAUCUAUUCUUUAAUAUAUAUAUAUAUAUAUAUAUAUAUUGGUUUUAAUAGGCAGAAAUGUCCUUAAUGACCUUGUACAUAGAGUACAUAUAUGAGUGAUAAUAAUACGUGUUUAAGAAUAUGUUUGACAAUAAUUUAAAAAAAUAUUUUUAAUAUUUUUAACAUUUAAAUUAUACAAAUUUUAAAGUGUUAAAAAGUUUGAAAACACUUACUAAAAUCAUUGUCAAUUAAUAUUAUUAUAAGCUAAUUAUUAUUAUUAUUAUUAUUAUUAUUAUUAUUAUUAUAUCAAACAUGUUAAAAUUUUAUUAUAUACCUUAUAAAAAUAAAAGUUAUGCUCUUAUAUUAGGUUGCAAUUUGAAGUUCAAGUUCAUUAAACUAUGCAGAGUUAAGCUUUAUGUUAAAAAUAAUAAAUAAAAAAUUAUAGAGAAUCAAUUCAAUCAAUUCAUUAUUUUCCAAGCAAGGAUUAAGAUAUUGAAGUAUUGAUGGUUAUAUUUUACAAAACAUUGAAACAAAAUAAUAAUACAUUAAUAAUAUAUAUAAUGAUAAUAAUUCAUAAAUCUUGAAAAUAAAUUUAAUAUUAAAAUAUCAUUCCAAGUAAUUCUGAAGUAUUCAAAGAUGUAAAUUAAAGAAAUAAUAAUAUAGGUAUAAUUAUUUUUUAUUUAAAAGUAUUAAUAAUUUCAUUUACAACUUUAUGUUGUCAAAAAUAGACGUAUCAAAAGAAUUAUCAUAAGAAAGCUUUAUAUUUUUAAUAAUAAAUUAAAUUAAGGUGGUGUUUAUUUUUUUAUAUUUAAAUCUGAAUGAAAAUUAAUUUAACUUAAUAGAAUUAAAUAUUAAAUUAUUUGUUUCUUAUCAUUUUAUUUUUGUUAAGUAUUAAAUAUUAAUAGGGUGAAAGCCUUGUUGAGCUUGUGCAAAAAAAUUAUUUUUAAUAUUCAAUAAAAAGUUAAAUAUUUUGGUUUUUGCUAUUCAUAAAAAAUUCUUAAGAAUUAAUUUUUUAUUUUUAUUCAAAAUAGUCGUGUUUGGUCAAACACUUUAAAAUGCAUUAGCAUAUUUGUACUCAAACGUUUUUAUGAAAAUAAUUUUACACUAAAUCUCCUAUUUGUAAGCAUGAUUAAAAUUAUUUGAUCCAUGAAACUGUUUUAAUGAUCCUUAUUGGGCUUCGAGUUCAUGCCCAUUUGUUGAUAAUUUUUCAAGUAUUCUUAGUCCGAGCGAGGAGUGAUGGCUAGGCUAGGGAAUUUUUUCUUUGUUAGGAUUUUGAUUUAAACUUUAUUAUGGACAUUGUUUAGAAGUUAAAAUUUUAUUCAUGUUUGAAUUAUUUGAUUUUGGAGUUAUUUGGAUAAUAACACUUUGGUUGAUGUGUUAAUUUUUUUUAUUUUUUUUUAAGUUGAGAAUUGGGGAUUAUAAAAUUUAUUUAUUUUACUACUCUGAAUAUGAAUUUGGUAAUUGAUAAUUUCUAAUUACAAGAUAAAUGUUUGUAUUGUUUCCACUUUAAGCCUUCGGGCUUAAGGUGUGAAAUGAUCGUCAUGCCCAUGGAGUAGGUUUUGGGGCAUGACAUAAUUAGUACAUUUUCAUUAUAUAGUUAGUAUAACACCCUUGUACAAUGAUGCAAAUUUCAUCCACAUGCAUACAUUAUGUGUCCAUAUAGGAUGUGUGAAUCAUAUUUCCAAUGAUUUUGUUUAGAAAAUGGUGUAAGACAUAAAAACAAAUUUUUUUCCCCAAACAUCAUUAUUGGGAUAAGUAUUUGAAUUAUCAUAUGUAAGUUAAAUAAAGUGCAUGAAAUGAAGGAAUUUGAAAUAGAAGAGUGUGAAGUUAUUGGAUGAUAGGAAAAAAAAAAUAGUUGUUCAAAAUUGACUAAAAUCCUCCACAAAUGGCAACCUUGUAUAGUUAGUGUUUUUACCUUAUACAAUUAGUGUAACACUUUUUUAUAAUGGUAUAAAUUUCAUACAUAUGUAUAAAUUAUGUCCACGCGAGUGUAUAAACUAUGUUUCUAAUGGUUUAACAUUUAAAAUGACUAAAACAAAUAAAAUAUUAUUUUAUUUUAUUUUCAAUGGAAAAUGUUAUUAAAAAUAAGACAAAGAAAUGAUUUAAAAACUAUUAUUUAACUUAAAUUUAUUUAUUUAAUUCGUUCCCAUUCCUUAUUUUCAUAUGCCAAACAUGUUCUUAUUCCAAUCUCAUUACAAUGACAUUAAUACAUAUUAUUCCCUUUCUAUUGCAGACAAUAUGGAAGAAGUUGGAAUUAACUUUCAUUUAUUUACUUAUACCGGCACAGAGUCGAUGAAUACGGAUGCAAUAUUAUCCUUCAUCACUUUCCCAACACGAGUGUAUUCAUCCUUUUCCUUCUAAUUGAUGUCUACCACUUGUGUAAGAUUGAGAACUCCGGUAAGGAUUGGGACCGACAUGGAAGUAGGUAUAAGAAACCCUUGGUUAAUAUCCUUCCAUGGAUUCGCAAUUUGCUUGUUAAACUCAUCAUCAUAAGCCUGUUGUUCUAAGACACUAUAUUACUUCACAUAGCAUUCAAUGGAUGAGGCAACAUGCCCUCUCUCUUCUUUAGAAUUCCUAGCAUACCUUUCCUAUCUUCCCAAGGCCGCACAUAUUUUUUUUUCUCACUUAAAUUUGGAGCACCUUCCUUUCUUCUCACAUAAGCAGUGCACUUUAUUUUUUUUUUUCUUCAAUUGGUGCAUUUUUAUUUAAUUCUCAAGGUGGCCUAUCUUUCUUCACUUAAUGACGUACUUUCUAAAACUUCAUUGCUUCCUAUCUUCUUUUCUUCUUGUUAAAGUGGUGCACCUUUGUUACUUGACACAUCUUUUUACCUUAGGGACUUGGUGCACCCUUGGCUUGUGGGACCAUGAUUAAAUAAAGACUUUUAAUUUUUAUUUGGGAUUUUUUUUCUUCGAUUUGAGAAGUACACAAAAAUUAAAAAGGAAAUUUAGGAUUAGAAUUAGGGUGUAGAUUUUUUUUUCUCCUAUUUAAGGUUUGCAUGAUUUAGAAGGAGCAUAAAGAUUUAAAAUUAGAUUUUCUUUUUGUCCAUUUAAGGUUUCAUUUGGGCACUGCAUAAAGAUUUUGAAAGAAAUGUUAGUAUUUAGAAUUUUUUCCAUUUAGGAUUUGAUUUGGAAAUUUAGGUUUUAAUUUGGGAAAUAGAUUAAGAAGAUUAAAAAAAGAAGAAGAUGAUAUUUUAAUUUUUAUUUAAUAUCUUAAUUUUAAUUAUCUAAAAUUAUUUAAUUAUUCUAAUUAAUGAUAUUUUGAGGUUAAUUGCGAUUAGUAUAUUAAUUAAAAUUAAUUAUAUAUAAAAAUCUUAAAUUAGGAUCAAUGGUAUUUUAGAAAUUUUUAUUAAAUUUAGUUGGUAAUAAUUUGUAGAUUAUUUUGUAGAAAGCUUAAUUAGAAUUAAUUAAAUCUUUAUAUUAAAAAAAAAACUUAAGAAUAAUUAGAUAAUGAGAUAAUAUAUACUAAGAUAAAUAAAAGAUACUUUAGGCAUUUUCUUCGAUUCUUUAACAAUGAUAUCAUUAAUCAACUAACAAUCAAUCCUUAAGGAUAGUCAAUGCUUGAUUGAUGGUCAAGUUAUGUAAUGGUUGAUCAAGGGAGUGUUGGUAUAAUUUCAGAAUCCUGAAGAAUUAAAAUGUAGUUAUCAGAUACCCUUCUUUAAUUGAGAUAAGUUGCUUCAAUGAGUGAUUGUCGAUUGAAAUUUUACUCCUAAAAUAUGUUUGUGGCUUUAGCUUGUCAAAGAAUAUGCUGGGAAUCAGUUAUGCUUGGGUUACGAGUUCCAUAAGCUUACGGCAUUAGAUUUUCAAGAUUGUCUUUCUUUGGAUGAGACCGUUAUAGAGAAGAGGGCCUUGCCAAUCCACUUUCAUUCAAACUGUUUGUCCUUAUUCUCAAUGAAUGAAGCAUUUUAUUUAAAGCAGAACACUCUAAAACUGUGAGAAACUAGCCGCCAAAGCAUUUAUUCCAAUCUUAUUACAAUGCCAUCAAUGCAUAUUAUUCCCUUAAUUUCCAUUGCUGACAUAUGGAAGAAGCUGGAAUUAACUUUCAUUUGCUCAUACUGGCACAGGGUCAAUGAGCAAGGAUGCAAUAUUAUCUUUCAUCACUUUCCCAACAUGAGUGUAUUCAUCAUUUUCCUUGUAAAUGAUGUCUACCACUCGUGUAAGAUUGAGAACUCCGGUAAGGAUUGGGACUGGCAUGGAAGUAGGUCUGAGGAACCCUUGGUUAAUAUCCUUCCAUGCAUUUGCAAUUUGCUUGUUAAACUCGUCAUAAGCCUGUUGCUUUGAGACACUAUAUUGCUUCACGUAGCAUUCAAUUGCUGAGGCAACAUGCCCCCUCUCUUGUUCAAACUGCAUACACAUAUAGUAACGCAAAAGAUGAGGAAAAAAACUACCAUACAAAUUGUCACAAAUGAACUUAUAUGUAAUAUAUUCUACAUGCAUACCUUAUGUGAAGUCAUGUCAUUCAUGAGUCUAGCAAUUAAACAUGAAGCUAUUGUAAAAAGGGUCAUUGUAAACCCAUUCGAAGGCCUCUUUUGUUAUGAUCUCGUCCAUGCCAAUGAAAAAGAUGACUGUGGUCAGGGGGAACGAUGAGCUUACUCUUGCAACUUGCAUGUAUUUGUCUAUGGUAGGUACAUUUCCUUCAUGGAACCAUUGUGCUUCAUCAAAGUAAGCGACAAUCUGAAUUUUCAUCUGACAAAACAUUCCUCCAUAUUACAUACUUCUACUUAUACUUUAAUUUUUAGUAUAAACUUGUGGGAAGGUAAAACUUAAUAUGAUACCUAAACAGAAAUUGAACCCAACACAUUUAAUUUUCUUGGGUUUGGGUUGAGUACAAGCAAGUUUAGGUUAAGUUCAUAUCAAUCUAGCUAUAUAACCCAUUUAAUAAAUAAAUUAUUUUUUUAUCAAUUUGAAUGAUACUAAUCUGAUUUAAAUUGACCUAAUUUAAUAAUUCUAGCUUAUUUAAUCAAUAUUCGAUUCCUAUAAAGCUUGAUUUUGGAUAUACUUUAAUUAAAAUUCAGUCACAAGCCUGUUAGGUUGGGAGAUUAAUAAUAUAAACCAUAUAAAAUCUAAUUCAAUUUUAUUAUUAAAUAACACGUAAUUAUUAAAUAGGUUAUACGUUACAUGUUUAAUAAUUAGGUGAUAUUUUUGAGAAUAUUUUUAACUCAAUUGUUAUCAGUAUUAUAUUUGAGUUGACCUAUUUAUUCGAUCUAUGAUAUGACACAAAAAUUUCAUAUAAACUAAAAGCCCUACAGAAAUUUCAUGAUAAAUCAAAUGAGAGUGAAGAGAGGGUUGUGAAUUGCACUUGGGAUUUCUGCUGAUGAGAGGGAUUUGAUAGAAAAACAGAGCGAAUCGCACCUUGGUAUUGUGCUGGCAGACAGACUCGUUGUAAGCGUGUUGGAGGUUGAAGAUGUAUUGGAGGAAAAAUCACUGGGAAAACAUGGAGAGAUGUUUUUAUAUAUUUAUUUAUUUUUGUUCUCUGAAUAGUAGGAAAAACAAGGGAAACAACUUUUUAUUGUUAUCCGAAAAUGGAGAUUUGAAGGAACCAAGAGAACACCCACUUCCCAAAUGUGUUUUUUGUAUUUUUUUGUUCUCAAAAACAAAAAACAGUUAUCAGAAACACCAACCAAGUAGGCCUUUAUUUUAUUUUAUAUAUGUUUUGAAUAGAUUAACAUUGGUGAAUAAAAUCAAUUGAAAAUAAGAGAUAAGAAAAAAUAAUCUUUUACAUAUUAAAAUUAAUAUAGAAAUUAGGGUGUAAUUAAAAGAAGUUAAUUUGAGAUUAGGUUAUGAUUAUAAAAAGUAGGAAAAAACACUAUUAAACUAAGAUUUUAUUAAUCUCAAUUGUGAUGAUUAUAAAAUAGGGUUUGGAAUUAAUUGUUUUAUUUUAAGUACAAGAUUUUGAGAGGGAUAAUCAAGAAGAUAUAUCAAGGUUGUAAGGAAUCCUAGAUUUCUCUGUUCUUAAAUCCUAAAUCAUAUAGGUGCAUGAAGAUCUACCCUAAGCUUCUCUAAAAACUAUUCUAACGGAAACAACAAUAAUAAAAACCAUUUAGAAUAAUAAACUAAAGAAGAUAGUAGUCAUACUUGGAUCUGGAUGUUCGAAGAUCAGUUUUCUAUCAUGAAGGGGAAGCCUAAAGAGUCUGAAUGUCAUGUCCACCUAAGAUCUUCCGCUGGAUGACUCAAACCACAAUUUUAGCACUCAAAAGUGUGGGCUUUGGAAGGGUGACUACCUUGACUCUCUCUAUCUCUUUAGAAGUGGAAGAUGAUUAUCAAAAGUCUUGGAAAUCCUAACCUUUAAAGGGGUAUUUUUAAGAUUCUCCUAUUGGGUUUAAGUGACUUCAGCUCAUCAAGGCUUAGAUCACUUAGUCUAAUAUAAAUUGAGUUUUAAUUGAUUAAUUAACUACAAAAGGUAAUCUAAUUAAUCAAUUAGUCAAUUCUAAAAACCUUGUUCACUAUCCCUUUUGCAAUCUUGCGUGAUUACCAAGACGCAUUUAAGCACAAUAGUGAACUUAGAGUCAAUCCAAUUCUCAUAAAAUCAUGUUAUCAUGGAAUAUGAGUUUAAAGCAGGGACUACUUGAACCCGGAGGAUUAUUGGCUUCCUUAGAAUCUAAUUUUAAAAUUGAUUUAACACUACGUUAAAGAGAAUCAAUUGCACUCCAAUACCUUAUGUAAAUAACAAUGAGACGAAACUCAGGUUCAUGACCUACUAUCUAUUACAUGUAGACUUCCCAUGAAUUGUUGUCCAUAAUCUGACAAGAUACUACUACCUAUCAAGAUUACAUCUCCAAUCAUUGAGUUACAAAUCUUACUUAGUAUGUGAUCAAUUAACAUAUUCUAGCUCCAAGAAGCAGAUGUUAAAUUCUCACAAAAGGAAAUGCUAUGACCAUAGUUUUCUAGAUCACAUGUUCUUUGGAUCACCUAAGGGGACACACUAUCUCAAUUCUAUAAGAUAUCAAGUAUCUCUAUUGAGAAUCCCUAUUGUCACUAGCCUCCAUCAACAAUGACUUAAUCAAUAGGAAUAUAUGACCACCAUAGGAUCUCACCCAUAGGUCAAAGCCUGUUGUUGACUUUAAAACAAACUCAAUAUUAUUUCAAAGUUGAGAGUCCAUACAGUAUAGUAACUUGGUAAAUCAUGAUAAUUGAUAAACUUACAUCAUAAUUCACUAUAGGUCUUGUCUCGCGUACAUAACAUAUACUAGUGCACUCACCAACUUCCUCACAAUGCAGAGCUUGUGAGAGCUCGAAAAAACUGAGAGCUCAAGAAUUCAAGAGUGUUCCAAAAAAUCCUCUCUCCUACUUUUGUAAUUUUCUCUUUAAAAAAUGUAGUCCUUUGUAUUCAUCACUUUGAGUCAUCCCUCUGCUGUCAACAAGCUUGUAUCAACAACUCUCUGUAAUCAAGGUAUAUUUUCAAUAAAAAAUAUUUUUCAGAUUCAAAUAUCUGUGUUUUUAUGAUUAAAUUUCUACAAUAAAUUAGAAAGAAUUAGAAAGUAAUUAUUUCUGUUUUUAUGCUUGGAGUUCUUUAGAAAAAAUUAAUUAUUGCGUGUAUGAAAUUUCUAGCCCAUUUAUCUAACUUUUUUUAUUUUAAUAUUUUUUUAUUUAAGAUAAAACUAUUAAUUUUUACUUUUAAAUUUUAAUUUAUUUAAUACUAUUUUAAACACAACUUUCUUUCUUUCUUUUUCUUUAAACAGGACUGAACAUCAUACUAAUUUGGUCAAAGAAAUUAAAUAAAGAGUCAAACGUUUACCAUGCAUCAGUAUCCCUCAUCCAAAUGCAUUGCUCAUUGUAGAAUCAGAUGCAUCUAAUUUAGGUUAUGGAGGCAUAUUAAAACAAGAAUAUAACAAUCAAGUGCAUAUAGUUAGAUAUCAUUUAGGGAUCUGGUUGGAUGCUCAAAUAAAUUAUUCAAUUGUCAAAAAAGAAGUUUUAUCUAUAGUUUUGUGUAUUUCAAAAUUUCAAAGUGAUUUGAUAAAUAAAAAAUUUGUUUUGAAAAUUGAUUGUAAAGUUGCAAAAGAUAUUUUAGAAAAAGAUGUUAAAAAUUUAGUUUCAAAACAAAUUUUUGCAAGAUGACAAGCUUUACUUUCAAAUUUUGAUUUUGAAAUUGAAUUUAUCAAAGGAGAGUUGAAUUCCCUUCAUGACUUCCUUACUCGGGAGUUUUUGCAGGGUAAGGAUUCUCCUCCAUCCUAAUAGGUGCUCCCUUUAGGCCUCAACUUCCUUCAUCAUCCAAGAAAACCAAAGCUUCUUAUGCAAUGAUUUCAAAAUUUUCAUAUAUUCAUCCUACUUUUCCAUUACAAACAUCAAAUUCCUUUCAAGUUCUAGGUCCAGAUUUUCCUCAUCUUCAACCUUCAAAAAGUUGUAUUCAAGCUUCUAAAUCAACCCCUAAAAUUUUUUCUAUUUAGAGUCAAUCCAGCCCUAACACUAUUUCAUUAUUACCUUUUCCUUUAUUUUUAUUUUUUUCAUAUAGUCAAUAUGUCAAAAAGCCCAAAACCUUAGAAAUUGCUUUUAUUGAGCCAGAGUUCAAUUAUGAGAAGAUUCCUAAAAUUCUUCCUUAUAUAUUUCCUCAAUGAGUCACCUUGAAUUCCAAUGAUCCUUUGAAAACUAGGCAAUUUUAUGAGUUCAUCCUGGUGGACACGGAUUUAGUUGAAAUUACUCAUAACACUGAUAAAAAUAAUCCUCAGAGGAUUGCUUUUUCCAAAUGUCAAAUUUUCAGAGUCAUGACCAUUGCUAAUUGGAAUCAAAAGCCCUUCACUUGCAAGGCGUUUAGUCAACAUUUCCAUCCCAUGAGCGACAAUUACAUAAAUUAUAUGGAUGCUUGGUACAAUAUGUUUUAUUUGCAAAGCUACCAACAUUCCUGAUUCAUCAAAUUCUCAAGAAAUUGUAAUACCAAAUUUCUUACUUGGUUUCAAAAAUGGUGGACUUUCUUUGGUCUACUAGACUCCAUAUUUCCUUCUGAAAUUCAAGAAAAAUUCAACUUCUACAAGAGCAAGACUUCAUCUCUAUCUAUCACUCAACCAAGACUCUUGAUGUUCUGUUUGAGAUUAAGAAUUCCAUGGAUUCUCUCAUGGAAUAUUAUCAAGAAGCAAGAACAACCUCAUCCUUUUCCAUUAUCUCUCUCUAGAGAAUUCAACAUCAAAUGGUGGGAAAAAUUCAAUCAUGAUUUUGUAUGUCAAUAGAAGACUUUGCAAAUAAUUUUAACAAGGUCAGGAUCAUCAAAUUCAAAAUAUUCAAUAUUGAAGAAGGUAUCAUGAAUGUCGGGCCCCCACCAAAGCCCUAAUUAAUUUCUCAUGAGUUGAUUCCAUAAAUUCCAUGACUUGGAAUUAUGGAGUUUGUUCAUGCUUGAGAAAAUUGAGAAAAAUCAAGAAAAUCGAUUGAAAAUCAAAUAAAAUAGUGAAAAUGCAUGCCGGAAGGAAAAUGACAGCAAGAGUAUGUUAGAAUAUGGAUUUUAUACCUAGAAAGGAUCUAAGAUGAAUUUUUCAAAGCUAGGAAUGUUUAGUUGAACAAUGGUUCAAAAAUUCAAUUUAAAACAAUAAGUUCCCAAUCAAAGAAGCAAAUAGAGGAGAAGGUGUGUAUAGCAAGGUUGCCAUGAAGUGAAGCCGAGAAAUUCUGGAUAGAAGGGACCAAUUCACUGCAAGAGUGUUCAACUGUCAAAUGCUUCAACUUAAAAGACAUCUUGAUUCGUAAGCUCAAUUGGAUUCCCCUCAACAAAAAGUCAAAUACUGGAUUGAAGGUUCAGAAUUUCCAAUUUUCUGCAUUGUUGUAUUUCCUGCAUUUUGAGUUAUUUCCCACCACCGAGACUUGGUUCAGCAGUAUUGUCGGAGUUUGCUUUUUGAUUGUGGGUGGAAAUGGAUCUGGCGAAUCGUGAGUAUCUGACGAGCCAAGCUAUCCGGGUGGAGUGUGAAUCGUUGGCCACAGAUGCUAUCCGGAUAAGCGUUAUCGAAGGAUCCGGACAUGUCUGCCCGGGAAAGUUGAAUCGUCCUCCUCUCUCAUUUGGCGGCGGGCGCUGGGUGUGAAAUAUCCGGAGAAUGUGGAACGUCGGCCGGAUAGAAUUGUGGCUGUGAGAUAUCUGAAGAAAAGUGGCGUCAGCCGGACAGAAUUGCGGCUGUGAGACAUCCGGAGAAAGUGGGAUGUCGGCCGGAUAGAAUUGCUGCUGUGAGACAUCCGGAUAAGGUAAACGUUGGCCGGAUAGAAUUGCUACCCGGAUGGAAUUAGCGAUGAUCCCGUUCGGGUGGAAUGAGCGAUGAUUCCGUCCGGGUGGAAUGAGCUGUGAUUCCCAUCCGGGUGGAAUGAGGGUGGAAUGAGCUGGGAUUCCCGUUCGGGUGGAAUGAGCUGUGAUUCCCAUCCGGGUGGAAUGAGGGUGGAAUGAACUGUGAUUCCCGUUCGGGUGGAAUGAGGGUGGAAUGAGCUGUGAUUCCCAUCCGGGUGGAAUGAGCUAUGCCACACGUCGAAAGGGGGGCGGUCUGCGCGGCCAAGAGAGAGGGAGCCACGUGGCAAUUUUUGGGGAGGAUCCCACAUGUUUAACCCCAAGAAAACCCGUUUUACACAGCCUUAUCAGGUUCCCACCUUUCUCAGAAUGCUCAUGGUCUCCAUAUCUGAGAAUACCAAGGUAAAGAAAGGGAAGAAACGUAGAUACAGAAACACAUAAAAAGACCAAGAAAGAAAAGAAAAGAAAACAGGGGAAAAGAAGAUAGUCGGUGGGUAUUUUGAAGCCAGAUUGGGAUAUAAAUGGGGGCAAGACCCAUAACAUCAAAUUCAAAGGUAAACCUAUAUUCAGAUUGCUUUCACAUGGAACCAAAGACAUUAAAAGGAAUAUUAAAAUAGCAUAAACAUGCAAGCAAACCAGUCUCAACUAAUCAAAUUGUGGCCCUUGCAUCCACACCAAACGACAAGAAUGAAUCUUCAGAAAACUAAGAAGUCAAGAAAGAUUGAAACUAAAUGGUGAUAUAGCAAAAAUCUGGAAACAUACUUGCACGUUCUUCCCUCCAAUUGCUUGGUUCCAGGCUGCUGCACCUUUUCCCGACGGAGAAAUCUGCUCCCCAAUCCUUUUUCUGUCCACCAAUCUUCUCCCUCUCUAUACGUGUUCCAAGUCCCUAUUUUCUAUGCCUCUCUUCCAGACGAUCCUCUCAUGCGUGCUUUUUCUCAUUCUUUUUCUUUUCUCACAUAUAUAUAUAUAUAUAUAUUAGCCUCUCAAACUCAAUUUGAUCAAGAGAAACCACUUUCCUUUCUUCUAUUUCCCUUCCUUUUUUCAAAAAUCAGAAUGUUCCUCUCUUCUCAUGCAGGAUCUUCUCUUUCCAUAUGUAUGCAGCCACAUUAAUUCCUUUUUCCUCACAAAAUAUUUCUCUUACCUUUUUGAGUGCACAUACCUUAGUGAGAGUUGAAUAGCAGCCCCUAUUCUCUUAUCAAACAAUAAAAAAAAUGAAAAUAGAGAGAAUAAAAAAUAAAAAGAGUUAGCAAUCUUGCAACCUAUCAAAGAUUAAAAUAAAAUAAAAAUAAAUAAAGUAAAACAAAAUAAUUGAAUAAAAUAGUCAAUCCUAUGCGGGCCAUGCAAGUUGAUUACUACUCAAAAAGUGCUAUUUCAUAGCUUGUAAUUAACUCUUUUAAACACUUUUGAGUAGUAGUUAUUGCCUUUUAACCCAAUUAACAUGUUAAGGACCCUUGCAAUCAAUUCUAAUCAAAUUGUGUAAGUUUUGGUGUUUUUGUUAGUAAUUUGAUCACCAAAACAAUCCAAGAUUGAGGAGAGUUAUUUAGAAACCAUGGCAAAGCUAUGAAGAGCUCAAAUUCAUGAAGAACCAAGCUUUGGAGCUCCAUAGCCCUUUGCCAAAGUCGUUCAAAGUAUGCAAGGAAAGAGCACUGGAGAGAGGAAAAACAGAGUGAAGAAAACAGAGGAAAGCCAGCUGCAGUCUUAUUUUGCAAUUUUGGAGCACUUUCUGAAGUCCAUUUUCUACAUUCUAUAUACCAUUUCAAAGCUCAGGAAGUCAAGAAUCCAAUGCUUCAAACGGUGCGCGAUUCGGAGUUGAAACGAAGAAGUUACAGCCACUGCAAGUCAAUCACUCUAAAGUGUUGCGGAAUCAGCCUUUUGUUGCGAGAAUUUCGCAGCCUUUUUGUACAGUGUUGUGGAUUUCCUCCUGAAGUUGCCCGAUAUAUGCCGCAAGCUGGAAGCUGAGAACUUCAAGGUGGAAGCCAACUUCGCAGCCCUGUGAGAAUAGCUUUUUGUUGCGAAGUAAUUUGGCAGCCCUUCAUAAGUGUCUGCGAAAUCUCGCAGACACCAUUUUCUCCUGCGAAAUGGUCCUUAGUGCUUCCCGAUAUUUGCCACCGACUCUUUUGGAUAUUUUUCUUCAGAUAUUUUUGUCUAAAUUUCCAUUUUCUCCUUGUAUUCAGCCACUCAUGUAAUUCCUUAGCUAGGAAGUAUCCAAGGAAGGGUAAAUUACCUUCCUAUAUAAACUCUCUUGUAAACACUCUCAGGAGACGCUCGGGGAAGUAUGUAAAAUAUAGAUAUAUCAUAUAUAGAAUCAAGGAACAGAGCACUUGCUCUGUUUUUCAUAUAUAUUCUUGUCUUCUCUUUCAUUUUCAUUUUCUAGCCAACCAAUCUCUGAGGAUUUUUCCUUAGAAGAUGAGAGGCUAGGCUCUUUGUCUCUUGGAGUGAGGAAAGCCGGGUAAGUUUCCACAUGCAUAAAUUGGAAGUUUUGUUGUUUUAGUUUUUAAUGAAGAGAAAGUGUAACCCGUUAGUGAUUUCUAUGUUUUUAGUUAACUUAAAAUGCCUUUAAAUCACCUGGGCCAACACUUGGUAAGGCAAGUGAUCUCCGUCCAUGGAGAUGCACUAGUUUACCCCUUGCGAGCCUUUGGGAGGUGACUUGAAGGUAGGAUUUUCUAGAAUAGCCAACACUUGGUAAGCUUUUGGACUCCAAGGAGACAUCCAUUAGUUAUCUUUUGUGAGCUUUUGAUGGGUAAUCCAAGGUUAAAGAUCACCUUGAAUGGCAAGUGCUAGGUGAGAGGUAUGAGUCAUUGCAAGGUGCAUCAGUGAGAGGGAUUUAGUGUUUGAACCCAUUAAUGGGAAGCAUCUGUACAACACCGGUUGGAGAAGGAACUAUAUGUUAAUUCUCUAAUGCGAGGAAAAGAAACAAGUGACCGGAACUCCCAUUUUGUAUGAGGAACGAGCCUAGUGAUCUGAACUCCAAGAAACACUUUUCUUUGUAAGUAAAAUCAGUUACUAUUUUUGGUUAGUUUAAAUCUAAACCUUUUUCAUUCAAACAUCUUUAUGUUUUCUUUUAAAGCUAACCUUGAAAUGAAAAGACACCAAUUCAGCUUUGAAUUAAUAUCAUUUGCAAAGUGAAAACCCAUCCCAGUGAACGAUCCUAGAGCCACUAUGCUAUAGUAGCUUUGUCUUUGCUACCCUAGUAUAUGGUGUAAUAGGUUAUAAAUUUUGUUGAUUACUCCCUCAAUCAAAGAGCACCAGCUGGACACGAAUCAGCUCAGACACCAAUUGAGCACGAAUCAAAUGGCGCCGUUGCCGGGGAUCGAACCCCGAAUCAAAUGGUGUCAUUGCCACUGCCGCUGCUAGGGACGAAUCACAAGUCAUACAAAAAGUGAGUCUAAAAGUGCUUACUGGGCCAAGUGUGUCUAAAUGGGCCUAGAGCGGUGCCUAAUGGGCUAAGUGUACCUAAAAGCUAUCCUAAAAAUGAACGAAAAAGGCUAAGUAUAAAUUAGGGCUACCAAGAGUCACAAUAAGUGGUCAGAUAAUCCCUCAACCAAAAUCUCCGAGGUGUCUCAGAAAAAGGUAAGUUGUACGAGUAGUAAUAGGCCACCAAGGAACUACUGUGGAGCGCUGAAAAUGAACUUAAAGACAUGUGCUAAAGGGACAAAAUUGAGGGUCUACAUCGAUAUUUUGAAAGAAUUGGUGAUUUUUUUUUUACAAUCUUCCUCCAUUGCUUCGCGCAUCUCUCCACAACGAUAUAUGGAAGAAGUUGGAAUUAGCUUUCGUUUUCUCAUACAAGCACAAGGUCAAUGAGUAAGGAUGCAAUAUUAUCUUUCAUCACUUUCCCAACAUGAGUGUAUUCAUCAUUUUCCUUAUAAAUGAUGUCUACCACUCGUGUAAGAUUGAGAACUCUGAUAAGGAUCAGGAUCGGCAUGGAAGUAGGUACGAGGAACCCUUGGUUAAUUUCAUUCCAUGCAUUCACAAUUUGCUUGUUAAACUCAUCAUAAGCCUGUUGCUUUGAGACACUAUAUUGCUUGACAUAGCAUUCAAUGGUUGAGGCAACAUGCCCUCUCUCUUGUUCAAACUGCACACAUAUAUAUAGUAAUGCAAAAGAUGAAGAAAAAACUACCAUACGAAUUAUCACGAAUGAACUUAUAUGUAAUAUAUUCUACACAUAUACCUUAUGUGUAGUCAUAUCGUUCAUGAGCCUGGCAAUUAAACAUGAUGCUGCCGUAAAAGGGUCUUUGUAAACCCAAUCAAAGGCCUCUUUUGUUAUCAUUUCUCCUAUUUCAAUGAAAGAGAGGGUUGUGGCUAAGGGAAGAGCUGAGCUUACUCGUGCAACUUGUAUGUAAUUCCUCUAUGGAACCAUUGUACUUUGUCAAAGAGCCAACCUGAAUUUUCAACCGACAAACAUUUGUCAAUGUUACAUACUUGUAGAUAUGCUUUAAUUUUUAAUUUUAUGUGAUUCGCCUAUGUAACUCGAGCCCAACACAUUUUGUCAAGAGAUUGGGUUGAGUAUAAGCCUGUUUGAGUUAAAUUUGUAUUGACCAAUGUAAUAUAUUGAAUAAAUAUGUUGUUUUUUUUUAUCAAUUUGCAUGAAUUUGACCUUAAUUGAAGUUUUUAAUAAUUAUGUUGAUUUGUCUUAUUAUCACUUUAAUCUAUUUAACCUAUAUUUGACUUAUUUCAAUUUUGAUUUUGAUAAAUAAGUUAAAUUGAGUUAAGCAUAUUAGGUUGAGAGAUUAACACUUGAUUAUUAGAUGAGUUAAACAAGUCAUAUGAUGUAUUGCAUGUUUAAUACUUAGGUUAUGCUUGGGCUUAUGUUUGAGUUGACCUAUUUAGUCGAAUGUCUGACCCACUACAGAACACCAUCAAAUAAAAAAGGCUCUUACCACUUCUUUUACAUAGUAGAAGCAAUAUGUUUUUCCUUCUUUAUCCAUCUCUUCCCCAAUUUCUUUGUAGACAUCUGAGAGUGCCUGAUAGGUCACUUCCAUGUAUUCUGGCAGUUGAUUGAUGCUUUUGAUAUCCCACCUGAAAAUAAAAGAACAUCCACCUGAGAAUUUUGAUAUCUCCUCGUUCAUUCCUUCCAUGAGCUCUUUGACUAAGGAAGGCUUGAUUACGGUGUGGUUCAAUUUUCUCUUCUUCCUUUGCAGUAGCAAUCAUUUGUUCAUGGUUUUGUAAGGAUGAUAUAAAUUGGUUUAAAGUUGGGUAUGGAAGCUUGGAAAGCAUAGUAGUUUUUCAAAUUAUAAUAUCUAGGUGUAAGGGCUUUAGUUAGUUGGAAGAGUUUAUCAAUUUCAAGAACAAACUAAUUUAUAACAAAUGUUAUCACAAAUAAACUUGAACUUGUGAAUGUAUUCGUCAUGUUUUAACAACAAACCUUUUCUUAAUUGAUAGUGACUAUCCUUUAGAGAACCCCUUCUUUCUCUUUUGUUUCAGGCCGAAGCUGUUCUUCAACUGAGUGCCUGUCCCAUCGUGUAGUGUGUCCUUUGACUGUCAUGCCGAGUACCUCCUUAAUCAUCUUUUGUAUGAGCCAAGACAUCAACAAGCCAUCAUUUUUUAUCCAACUUGUAUAUUUGGGACUGAUAGUUUACCUACCAUCUUCUUCUUCGAUUUGUUGAUUUGGCUUCUCUGCAUCUCCUACGUGGUGUUCUAUACCUAGACUCGUUAUUAGAGAUAGAAUCUGUGAUUUCCAAAGGAUGUAAUUAAAGUUUGACACCUUGAUACAAACAAGGCUUGGAUAUUGAUGGAAAGCUUGGAUUGAUAUUUUUGGCUUCAUAUCUUUCUGCUUUGAUACCAUGAAAAAAUUUGUAGAAAAAUGUAAUUGAAGAAUGAUUCACGAAUAAUAGAAAAACUCGAAAGGAUUCCUUGGUUGAUUUAUUUCAGUUAUGGUAAUAUAUACAAGUAUAUCAAAUAGCCCUUGGAGUUGGUCAACAUCAAUUGGUUGUCUAAGGAAGGCUGCUUAAGAAGGAAUUCUACAUAUUACAUUGAUCGAACAACUAGGGAAGAUUGGUCAAUAAAAAAGAAAAGAAUUCUAGCAAUGCUGACAAUGAUCUUGCUGGCGGUGAUUAAAAGAAACGAAAUUCAAGCAAUUCAACAGUGGUUUUCCAUGAAGUAAUCAGAGGGAAUAAUUUUGGCUUGUUGAAAAUAAUCAACGGAAGCAAUUUUGUCAAUAAUUUUGGCAGUGAUGGCAAUAUUCAACUUUCUACUUGUCAUAAACUUUCAAUGCCACUACAAAACACCAUCAAUGCACUUGAGAAUAGAACACUGCAAAAGCCAAUACAAUCCUAAACUUGUUCAGCAUUAUUAAGGGGUGUUUUGUAUUAAUACAUCCCAUUUGUAAUUACCUUACAACAAACUAAAAAAUCUUACAAUUUUAGAAAUAAUAUUUGCAUCGAUCGGUACCACAAUCUGACCUCAACUUUAUUCCAUUGCACCCAACUAAUUUCUACAUGAAUUUGUUAUGACAAGUAUAUGAUUGAUAAGAAUAGGUGUUUAAGAGAAUGUUUGACAGUGAUUUUAGAAAACAUUUUUAACCUUUCUAACACUUAAACUAUACAAAUUUUAAAGUGUUAAAAAGUUUAAAAACACUUUUUAAAAUCAUUAUCAAACGGAUUUUAAUAUUAUUAUAAGCUAAUUAUUAUUAUUAUUAUUAUUAUUAUUAUUAUUAUUAUUAUUAUAUCAAACAUGUUAAAAUUUUAUUAUAUACCUUAUAAAAAUAAAAGUUAUGAUCUUAUAUAAGGUUGCAAUUUGAAGUUCAAGUUCAUUAUACUAUGCAGACUUAAGUUUUAAGUUAAAAAUAAAAAAUUGUAGAGAAUCAAUUCAAUCAAUUCAUUAUUUUCCAAGCAAGGAUUAAGAUAUUGAAGUAUUGAGAUGGUUAUAUUUUAGAAACAAAAUAAUAAUGCAUUAAUAAUAUAUAUCUAUAUAUAUAUAUAUAAUGAUAUUUGAUAAUAAUUCAUAAAUCUUGAAAGUACAUUUAAUAUUAAAAUAUCAUUCCAAGUAAUUCGGAAGUAUUCAAAGAUGUAAAUUAAAGAAAUAAUAAUAUAGGUAGAAUUAUUUUUUAUUUAAAAGUAUUAAUAAUUUCAUUUACAACUUUAUGUUGUCUAUCAAAAGAAUUAUAAUAAGAAAGCUUUAUAUUUUUAAUAAUAAAUUAAAUUAAGGUGGUGUUUAUUUUUUUAUUUAAAUCUAAAUGAAAAUUAAUUUAACUUAAUAGAAUUAAAUAUUAAAUUAUUUGUUUUUUGUCAUUUUAUUUUUGUUAAGUAUUAAAUAUUAAUAGGGUGAAAGCCUUGUUGAGGUUGUGCAAAAAAAUUAUUUUUAAUAUUAAAAAAAAGUUAAAUAUUUUGGUUUUUGCUAUUCAUAAAUAAUUUUUUAUUUGUAUUCAAAAUAGUUGAUGGAGUUUGAGUUGGAUUCUAAUGAUUACUUGAAAUAAUAAAAUUAAUUUUUAUUAAAAAAAAUAAGAUAUAUAGAUAAUUAUUUUAAUUUAAAUGAAAAAUAUUUUAAAAAAAAGGAAAACAAAAUAAGAAAAAAAGAAGAGAAAAACCUUAUAUAACUCCUUAUUUGAAAAAAAAAGAAGAAAAAAGACAAGUUCAUAAACCAAGAUUGAGUUAAAAGUCAAAUUACCUAUUGAGAAAAUACGGCGAUAAGUCAUACAAAACAACUUUCUAAGCUUAUGUACCUAUAGUCUUUACUAAGCAAAUGAAAUGAAUUAUGACGAUUAAAUAAUUGAUUAUGGAUACUCAAGAAAAGAAAAACACAAUUAUAAAACAAGUCAUGGUGUUUGUUAUGUUACAAAAAUGUAAAAAACAAAUGAUAAGAGAAUUUGCAUAAGUUGAUUUAUGAAACUAAUUAAAAACAUGGGUUUAAUUAUUUCUAAAUUCAAAGGAUUAAAAAAGUUAUUCCAAUUUGAUGAUUUCAAUCGAUUUUAAGUACAAAAGAAAGUUUUGAUUUCAUUUUUUUUUAAGAAAAAAAUGCUUCAAAUUAUUCUAUUUAUAAAGAAAUGGUUUUUAUUUACUUUUUCUUUAAAAAAAUAUAAUUUACACAAAUUCUAUUUACCUUAACAUUCCUUUUUUAUUUUUAUGCAGAAGAGAAUACUUUUAUAAUUUUUGCUACAACAUGAUUUUUAUAAUUUUAUUUUAAAAGAAAGUGUCCAAAUCUAAUCUUAUGUGCAAGAGAAUCUUUUUACAAAUUAUUUAAGAAAAGGAUUUUUAAAAAUUUAUUUACAAUUUUAUUUAAAAAAUAUUUACAAAUUACUUUAAAAAAGAUUUGUACAAAUUUAUUACAAAAAAGAAAUAUAUUCAGAUCCAAUUUUAUUUACAGAAAAAAAAUGAUUUUUUUUUUUUAGUUUUUAUUCAAAAUAAGACUUUUACAAUUUUAUUUAAUUAGUAUGAAAGUCCAAUGUCAUUUUAUUAAUACUAGAAAAAAUUUAUUAUUAUUUUUUAUUAAGACAUGAUUUUUAAAAUGUCAUUUAUAAAAUAAAAUAAAAAGUUUACAAUUUUAUUUACAGAAAAAAAGUUUACAAUUUUAUUUUAAAAAAUAUUUUGCAAUUUUUUUUUAUAAAAAUAAAAAAUGGUUUCAAUGUUUUAUUUAAAACAAAUUGCUUUUUAGAUUUUAUUUUAAAAAAUGCUUUUCACAAGUUAAAAAAAAUUAUAGUUUUAUUUUUUUACAAAAAAUAAUGAAUUUCCAAUUGUAUUUAAAAUUUAUUUAAAAAUGGAUUUUAUAGUUUUAUUUAGAAAAACACUUUAUAAAAAAAAAAGAAGUUCAAAUCUCUCUCUCUCUCUCUCUCUCUCUCUCUCUCUCUCUCUCUCUCUCUCUCUCUCUCCAUACGCUCAUUAAUUUUGAUGUUAAGGUAUCAGCCCAAUUGACAUGAUUUAUAUUGACCUAGUCUUUUGGUCUAAUAGGUAACUUGAUGUAAUAUAGGAGGUCAUGAAGGUGAACUGUGAACCUUACUGAUAUUACGCAAACCCUACCAUUUAUUUAUAAUAUUGUCGUCAUAAUAUUGAAAUAUGGGAAAUUUUAAUAGACCAGACAGACAUCAAUAGACCAAAGCCACCAAGCAGGAAUUGAAGAAACCAGAAAGCGUUUGUUCCAAACAUAGUAUACUGUAGAACAUGAAACAGAAGCUAGAGUAUACUAUCUUUAUUUGUGUCACAUAUAUCUCCACUCUCAUAUUGGCACAGGGUCUAUGAGCAGCAUUGAAAUAUUAUUUUUCGUCACUUCUCCAGGAUGUGUGAAUAUAUCUUUGUGGCUCUUGUACAUCACAUCUCCUGAUCGAGCAAAAUUGAGAAGACGACUAAGGAGAAGCAUUGGAACUGCAGUAGGUCUGAGGCACUCUUCAUUUAUAUCCUUCCAUGCAUUCUCGAUUUGCUUGUGAAACUCAUCAUAUGCUUGCUGCUCCGACACACCAUGUUGCUUCAUGUAAUAUUCGAUGUUUGAUGCAAUAUGCUCUCUCUCUUGCUCAAACUGCAGAAAUAGUAAUAUAAGGUGUUAAAAAGAAAUUGAUAUAUAAUAGAUUUUCUUUAUCUUUAUGGGAUUGAUAUCCAAGUAUCAGUAGGAAGUGUUGUUUCAUUGUACCUUGUGGGAAGCCAUGUCAUCCAUGAGCCUAAUGAUUAUGUAGGUAGCUCUAACAAUCUUAGGGUUUUGUAGCAGCCAAUCAAAGACUUCCUUGGUUGCAGUCUCUCUCAUGCCAAUAAAAGACAGGAUUGUUAACACGGGGCCAGCAAUAGUUACCAUUGCGAUACCAUUUGGCUUGGACCAAUUUAGCUUAGACCAAGCUUUUAAUUUAGGAUAAAAAUUCAGCCAAGUAAAUAUAUCAUGCAAGUGUUAUAUAUAGCAUUUUAUUUACAGUACAAUAUAGGAUAUCAUAAACACAAUAGAGUUCAGCGAAUCCUACUGCAUCUUUUGUAUGGUGGACACAGUAUGAUCUUUCUGUGUUUUCCAUCUCCUCAAUUUCUUUGUAGACAUCUAGGACUGCCUGAUAGCAUGGCUUCAUGUAUUCAGGAAGCUGAUGUAUGCUGUUAAUAUCCCACCUGAAAAUCAAGUACCAAGUUUCCUUUUAAAGUACAAAUAUGAAAUCAAUUCAUUGGUUGUGGGUAAUUUGAAUCUAGCAUAUAUCAAACCUCCCGAUUGCCUCUGUAAAGAGCUCCAGUUCUUCAAAUGUUCCAUAUGCAUCAAUUAUAUCACCCAUAGUUGUUACCAGAGCAACUACUUUGGUCUAUAUUCUUCUAGCAUAUGAAUUCUGGGGCUUAGAACAUGUUGAUGUCCAAAAGUAUGUUUCCACCACUCUUAUCUCUGGAAAAAGGUAGCUUUGAAGAGAAAUCUAGGUCUUUCCACCACCUGAGAAAAUACAUUAAUCCACAUAAAAGGCCUGGUAAACUGUUAAUUUAAAUUUAAGUGCAAGAAUGAUCUGAGAACUAACCUCGAGAUAUUGCUCAGCUCUCUCUUAUGCAGUGACUGCAGUAGGUUGAAGUGUAACUUUGCAAGCUUCAGUCAAGCUUUACUAUGUGAAGCUUCAUCCUGGUAGAUAGACAUGAAAGGCCUUGCCUCUAGUCUCUCCAAACCUUUCCUAAUGGGCCGGUAUAGGGCAUGAGUUACUUGUGCUGCAAGAGAGUAUUCUAAAUGUUCUACCAUAGACUUGAGGUAAGUGGUGGUGAAAGCAAGUGCUUCAUCUAGUAUAUCUUCUUCCCACACCCUGAGAUGUGCAGCUUCAUACAAGCCUAGUAGGCCAUAUGCAUCAUUGAUCAAAGACUCCUUGAACCUUCCCUUUUCAUCUGUGUACCUGUUGAAUAUAUCUGUAAUCAUCACCAAAACAUAGAAUUUUAUAUGUGAGCUUUGCUAGAUGAUAUUCAAGCACCUUAUAAUACAUGAUAUUCAUGAGGCUUACCACAUGAAACAUUGAAGCCUUGUUGUCUUAGUAGUCGAAAUCGAAGUGCAACAUCAUAGAGAUCAUCAUUUAUGUCAUCAAUGCAAUGAUAGUUAUCAUAGGUAUUUUGUAAUGCUUCUUCUAUCUCCUUUUCAAAGUGGUAUGCCACCCCAAGCCGUUGAACUGCAUCAUAGAGAUCAUCAUUUAUGUCAGCUGUUUUGAAGGGUUACUAGCUGCAGCCAUCAGCUCUCUUCUAACUUCCCCUUUUAGAUCUUCCAACUGCUGCUCUUUAUGGGCCAGAGUUAUCUGUAUCAAUAAAUUGCAAGAACAAAAAGUGAGAAAAUCUUUAGGUCUUGUUAUGCAAACUACAUACAUGAUCAGAAAAUCACCUCAUCCUCAGGAGUGUGGCUCACGAUGAAGGUAUUGCCCCAAAUGCUAGGCUGAUAAUUUGCAGUUCGGCGAUUAGUCUCUGGAUUAGCAACUGGGGCUGGAGAAGACCCGUUGCUGGUAGCGAGAAUUAAGGCCAUGUGUAACUCACUCGAGCACUCAAUAUAUGAAUCAGAUGGCUUGCAAUCUUCGGUAUUUAUAGGACGGGAAAUGGUUCAUUACAAUUAUUGAAUAUCAAUCCCAGAUUCCCAGAAGCAUGGAUACUAUUAAUUCAAGGUCACCUAUCAUAUUUAAACCAAGAUUCUUAAAAAUUAAAUAUUUAAAAUAUGGUUUUUGUUCUCUUAGAAAUACGAAGUGUAUCUUAUUCCCUUAAUAAUUCUCAAUAUUCAACCAGCCGCCAAACAGUGAUUAAGACUUUCUCACGCGAAGAUCAAACUUAUGAUUGAUCUUUUAUUGUCCAAUAAUAUCCUAAUAAUAAAAUAAUUUUGAUAUGACUAGGAAACUAAGUUCUUUUAUAUAAAAACCAAAAAUUAUUUUGGUACGAAGCCAUGAGAAACUAGCAGCCAAAUUAAAGCAAUUAGGCCAUGUUUGGUAUGAAGCCAAAGCAAUUAGGCCAUGUUUGGCACGAAGCCAAAACAUGACUAUAUUUGGUACGCAAAAAUGAAGAGUGAGAAUAGAUAUUUUAUCCAUUUUCUUAUUCAUUUUCAUAUUUGAAUGAUUUAAGUGUAGUAAGAAUAAAAUCAAGAAUAAUUUCAUAAAAAAUAAAAUCCCAAUUAUAAGUGGGAUUAUGAUUUAAAAGUUAAAAAUCAAAAACUUAUUUUGGAUAAGUUGUUUUAAAAAUAAUUUUUUAUUUUGAUUUUGUAAAAAAGAAAUUAUAAAUUCAAUUUAUAUAAUAUAAAAUAAAUUUAAUUCAAGUCUUAUAAAAAAAUAAAAAUAAUUUUGUUAAUUAUAAAUAAAUUUUAAAAAUAAAUAAUUUUUAAUAAAACAUGAAUAGGAUUUUAGGGAAAAAAAAAGUUAUCAAUUUCACUUUCAUAUUCAUGCAAUUCCAAAGUUUCGACAUUGAACUAGAAAUUUCUCUAUUCUUACAUGUAAAAAGGCAAAAAAGAAAAACCCUUAAUUAGUAAAAUGAUAAGUUAGUUGAAUUAUUUAAUUAUCCUAUAAAUGCAUCUAAUUUUUUACACAAUUAGUGGACCUAAGUAAAUUGUGUCAUACUUAAACGAACUUGAACUUCCAAUUUCAACCUAAUAAAAGAUCAUAACUUAUAAUUUUAUGAAGUAUAUAAUAAACAAGAAAGAAAAGAUGAAAAGGAAAAAACUAAAAUUAAUAGCUAAUAAUAAUAAUUAAAUAGUAAUAAUAAUAAUAAUUUUCAUAAUAAUGAAUUAAAUAAUAAUAACGCUAGCAACAACAAUAACAUUAAUAAUUCUCUAUAGAGUUAAAUAUUUAAUUAACUUUAAACACACUAGUUAGUGUCCAUUAUAAAGUGAAAAGAAAAUAUUUGGUGAGUAUUGUAGUACUCCAAAACACCAUUACACAUUAACAAGGAGAUCCAGAUUUGUUGUAGGCAUAUAUUCUACAUAUGUAUUUUAAGACUCAGUAUCAAUACUCCUCAUAUUGAAUGACAAUAAUAAAUAUGUAUUAAAGAAUAUAAUAUAAUAAAGUUUAUUAUAUAUAUAUAUAUAUAUAGAUAUAUAUUAGGUGAUUUAAGUAAUACAUAUUCUUAUUUAAAUAUUCAGGUAAUAUUCCAAAGUAAAACACUAUGAACCCAGAGAAACUAGGUGCUUCAUAUAAUGUGUCCCCUUGCCGUAUUACAAUGAUUUAUUUCAUAUUUCUACUCCUUCACCUUAUUAUAGUGAUUUAUUAGAUAUUACUGCUUCCACAAGGCAAUACACGGGAUGGUAAUCAACUACUACAUUUGGUUAUAUUACAGCGUUGAUGAAGACAGACGCAAUGUUAUCCCUCAUCACUUUCCCAACAUGUGUGUACGAAUCUUGCUCUUUGUAAAUGACAUCCAUGGUUCGUGUAAGAUUGAGAAGACGAGCAAGGAGAGGCAUUGAAACAGCAGUAGGUUUGAGGCAUUCCUGGUUAAUAUCCAGCCAUGCAUUCUCAAUUUGCUUUCGAAAUUCACUGUAUACUUGUUCCUCAGAGACACCAUAUUGCUUCAUGUAACAUUCAACAGCUGAGGCCACAUGCCCUCUCUUUUGCUCAAACUGCAUGUAUAAUACAAAAGUUGAGAAAAAACCAGUGUGUUAUAUUCUCCCCAUUUGAAUCAUAUAUUCUUCAUACCUUAUGUGAUUUGAUGUCAUCCAUGAGCCUCGUAAUGAAAUUUGAAGAUGACAUAAUCUUAGGAUCGCUGGUCACCCAAUCAAAGGCCUCCUUUGUUGCUAUUUCUCCCAUUCCCACAAAGGACGUGGUUGCAAGCAGGCAGUAUCCAGAGCUUGCUAGUGCAACACGCAUGUACUCUUCAAAUGCUGGUACGUGUUCUUCAUGUAACCAUUUGGCCUCGGCAAAGUAAGCUCGAACUUGAUUCUUCAUCUAAAGAACAUUCAUCCAAGUUAUAUCUAUGUAUAUAUGAGACCAUAUAAAAUAUCAUCAAUGAAAAAGGUGGGGAUCCAGAGUAAAAGAUGUCCUACUACUUCUUUGGCAUAGUGAACCCGAUAUUGGUUUCCUUCUUUCUCCAUCUCUUCCUCGAUUUCUUUGUACACAUCUAAGAGUGCCACAUAGCAGAGUUUCAUGUAUUCUGGAAGCUGAUUUAUGCUGUUAAUAUCCCAUCUGAAAAUAAAAUAAUGACCCUUGAUUUACGUAUAUAUAAAUACAUCUAUUAUACACAAUCAAGGUUGGUAAUGUGCAAGGAGCAAACCUCUCAAUGGCUUCUAUGAAGAGCUUGAGUUCUUCAGGUGUGCCAUAUGCAUCAUGGAUAUCAUCUAGAAUGGAUGUCAUGGCAAUUACUUUGGUUAGAAUUCGUCUACCCCGUAAGUAUUGGGGCUCAAAAUACACCCCAUGCAUCCAAAAGUAGCCUUCAACCAAUCUGUCUCGUGCAAAAGGUAACUUUGUAGCAAAGUCUAAUUCUUUCCACCACCUAAAAGACAUUAAUAUGAUCAGCAUACAGGAAAGUGAUAAGAAUGGCCAAGUACAUGUGGGGUGAUCUAAACACCAACCUUGCAAGAUUGCUUAGCUCUUCCUUGUGCAGUGACUGCACUAGAUUGAAAUCUAAUUUUCCUAGCUCUAGUAAAGUUUUAUCAUGGAAAGCUUCAUCUUGGUAGACAGAUAUAUACCAUCUUGCCUCUAGCCUCUCCAAACCUUUUCUAAUGGGCCGGUUCAGGGCAUGAGCAACUUGUUCUGCAAGAUGAUAUCCUAAACUUUCUACCAUGGCCUUGAGAUGAGUGGUGGUGAAAGCAAGUGCUUUUGCAAGUAUGUCCUCUCCAUGAACCCUCAGAUGUGCAGCUUCAUACAAGCCUAGCAUGCCUCUUACAUCGCUGAUCAAAGCUUCCUUGAAUCUACCUCGUUCAUCCGUAAACUUGUUGAAUAUAUCUACACAAACAUCACCACUUGAAAAUAAGACUUAAAUGAUAAGCGAUGAACCUGUGUACCUGUGGAAUAUAUCUGUAAUCAUCACCAAAACAAUGUUAUAUGUGAGCUUUGCUAGAUGAUAUUCAAGCACCUUAUAAUUCAUGAGGCUUACCACAUGAAAUAUUGAAGCCUUGUUGUCUUAGUCGAAAUCGAAGUGCAACAUCAUAGAGAUCAUCAUUUAUGUCAUCAAUGCAAUGAUAGUUAUCAUAGGUAUUUUGUAAUGCUUCUUCUAUCUCCUUUUCAAAGUGGUAUGCCACCCCAAGCCGUUGAACUGCAUCGAUAAACUUCAGCUGUUCUAAAGGGUGACUAGCUGCAGCUAUCAGCUCUCUUAUAACUACCUCCUUUAGAUCUUCCAACUGCUGCUCUUUAUGGGCCAGAGUUAUCUGUAUCAAUAAAUUGCAAGAACAAAAAGUGAGAAAAUCUUUAGGUCUUGUUAUGCAAACUACAUACAUGAUCAGAAAAUUACCUCAUCCUCAGGUGUGUUGCUCACGAUGAAGCUAUUGCCCCAAAUGCUAGGCUGAUAAUUUGCAGUUCGGCGAUUAGUCCCUGGAUUAGCAACUGGGGCUGAAGAAGACCCAUUGCUGGUAGCGAGAAUUAAGACCAUGUGUAACUCACUCGAGCACUCAAUAUAUGAAUCAGAUAGCUUGCAAUGUUCGGUAUUUAUAGGAUGGGAAAUGGUUCAUUACAAUUAUUGAAUAUCAAUCCCAGAUUCCCAGUAGCAUGGAUACAAUUAAUUCAAGAUCACCUAUCAUAUUUAAACCACGUUUAUUAAAAAUUAAAUAUUUAAAAUAUGUUUUUUGUUCUCUUAGAAAUACGAAAAGUGUAUCUUAUUCCCUCAAUAAUUCUCAAUAUUCAACCAGCCACCAAACAGUGAUUAAGACUUUUUCACGUGAAGAUAAAACUUAUGAUUGAUAUUAUUUUUAUAAAAACACUAAAAAACUAUUUUUUGCUUUUUAACUUUUUGGCAAAUAAAUGAAGAAGAAUACAAAAAAAAAUUGAAAAAAAAGUAAAUAAAUAAAGAAGAUGAUAUUUUAAUUUUUAUUUAAUAUCUUAAUUUUUAUUAUCUAAAAUUAUUUAAUUAUUAUAAUUAAUGAUAUUUUGAGUUUAAUUAUGAUUAAAUAUAUAAUUAAAUUAACUAUAUAUAAAAGUCUUAAAUUGAGAUAAGUUGAUAAAUGAUUGAUUGUGGAUUGAAAUUUUACUCCUAAAAUAUGCAUGUGGCUUUCGGUUGUCAAGGCAUAUGUUGGGAAGCAGUUAUGCUUGGUUACGAGUUAUAUAAGCUUACGGCUUUAGAUUUGCAUGAUUAUCUUUCUUUGAAUGAGACAGUUACGAAGAAGGGGGCUUGCCAUUCCACUUUUAUUCAAACUGUUUGUCCUUAUUCUCAACAAAGGAAGCAUUUUAUUCAAAACAGAACACUCUAAAAGUUUGAAAAUCUAGCAGCCAAAUUAAAGCAAUUAGGCCAUGUUUGGUACGAAGCCAAAGUAAUUAGGCCAUGUUUGGCAUGAAGCCAAAUCACGACCAUGUUUGGUACAUAGAAAUGAAGAGUGGAAAUAGAUAUUUUAUUCAUUUUCUCAUUCAUUUUUAUAUUUGGAUGAUUUAAGUAUGAUAAGAAUAAAAUCAAAAAUAAUUUCAAAAGAAAUGAAAUCCUACUUAUAAGUGGGAUUAUAAUUCAUCUCUAGAAGGAGUUAUUUUACUUCAUUAUUACAAGUUAAAAUUAUAAAUAAAUUAUAAAAAUAAAUAUUUUUUAAUAAAAUAUGAAUAGGAAUAUCAUAAUAUAAUCAUAAAUUUUAUUUUUAAUAAAUAUUAUAAAAAUAUGGAUAUUAACAUCUUAUAAAAGCAUAAUUGAUUUAUUUUGUUAAAAAUAAAUAAUAAUAAUUUAAAAUUUAUAAUUACUUAUACUAUUUUUUUAAAUUAUUAUACUUACUACUUUGUUUUAAAAAAUUAUUUCGAGAACAAUAACUGGCAGUGGUAUUAAUUUUUAAAAACAAUUUUAUUUUUAAAAGAAAAGCCUAAAUAGGUUUUUAUUAUUUAGCAAAAAAAAAAAACCUCUCAAAUAUUUUCUUUUUUAAAUGAAAAUAAAAAAAUUAAUUUAAAUGAUGUAUUCUGUAAGAGUUUUUUUUUUUUUUUUUUGAAAUAAAAAUAAAAGAUUAAAGACACUAUAAAUUAUGAUUAAAAUAAUGAAAAUUAAUAAAAAGAUAUUGGCUUUUUUCUUAAAUACGAAAUAUUAAAAAAAAAAAGAUAAAUAAAUAAUAUAACUAUGUAUUUUUUUUUUUCUUACAAGAAUUUUCAUAGCUUUAAAAAUAGUAACCUUUUAAUUUUUUUGCUCUUAUUUAUUAUUAACCGAGUUGUAUAAAUUGCAUUAUAAUAGUUUCCUUUAAAACCAAAAUAAAAAUCAAAACAUGUGCUUCAUGACACUAUUGGAUGAAAAAGAAUCACUUAAUUUUCAUCUACUAGAUCCCAGCUGCCACCUAAUAUUAAUGACUUGUUUGGAUAUGUUGAGUUAAUUUAACCAAAGAGACUCUAGAAGGCUAAUAUUUUUCUUGCCAUCAGUCUCUUCCGUGCACAACCCUUUCAAAUCAUGGGCCCCAAAACUAAACCAAAUUCCACAUACUUUUCAACUAAAUACAACCAAUGAAUGCCAGUGCUGCCCUAUAAAUAAUAUGGAGCUUGCCAAGCUAUUUCUCUCAUACUUACCAAUUCAUCAUUCAAGGUAUAAUACUGUUCUAUCAUUGUUCCAAGGAAUUAACAUGUCUACUCAAGUCUCAGCAUCUUCUCUAAAAACAAAUGUUGUGUGCUACAUUUCUACACUGACUUUUAUGUUUUAUGAUAGCGCUUGAAGAGCAGUUCAGGUACGCACCCUAACUCUCCUUUAUUGCAAUUUGAUCGUGUUUGGCAUGCCACUUUUUAAAAUCAUCUAGCCUAUUUAGGUAUCUAUAAUUAGCUGAUUAAUUGCCACACUUCCCUUAACUUUGUCAGUAGAGACCUUUAUAGGGCUUAGAGGGGUGCUACCUUUUAAAGGUACCUUCCCAAUAGGUAACCUGAUCCUCGGAUUUAGACUCGGGUUUUUCAAAGAUACGCUUUUCUAAAAUUUAUGGAGUCAUUUCUUAGGGUUUUAUUUCUUGUUUUAUUUUCCCUUUAAAAUAAAAAUAAAAUAAGUGGUGACUCCAACUUUUUUUCCAAAAAUCAAUUUUUCACCAAUAAAAAGCAAGUCUCACCGAUCGAGUGGGGGCGCACAUGAAAAAUGCGGGUCCACAAUCGACAAUAAAUCGACGAUUUUUUGGGCAAUUUUUUGAAAUUUCUUCCUACUGCAUCCAACGGUCAGAUUUGAAUUUUUGACGAUUCGAUGGCCCAGAUUUCACCUGUGUUUUUUAUAAAGGCAUCCAAUAGUCAGAAAUUGGUUUUCAACAAGAGUUUUAAAUUGGAAAAAAGUGGAGUAAACCUGAUCCUUAGUGAGGAGCAAAUAGAACCAUACAAACCUAGAGUAAUCAUCCAUGAGCAACAGAAAAUACCGGGCACCUGUGGAAGAAGGAACAGGUGCUGGUCCCCACAAGUCUGCAUGGAUGAGUUCAAGAGGAGAGGAGGCCCGGGAAAUGGACAAAGAAAAAGGAACUUUGUGACUUUUGGCACAACAACAAGCAUUGUAAACAUCAACUGUUUUAUUUGAGUUAUGUGAAAUAUUACAUGUAUGAAAAAUUUUCUGAAGAAUUACAGCAGAAGGGUGGCCAAAUUGUUGAUGCCACAGCAUAGUAGUGGGUUGAGUUUUUGUGAGAAAUACUUGAUGUUUAAGACUGGCAGUAGGUGAACUGAUAGAUGAGGUAGGAAACUUGUAGAGUCCACGUUCAAGUUGGCCUUGGAGGAGAGUCACUUUGGUGUCCUUAUCCUUGACAAAAAAUGAAGAAGGAUGAAAUUCCAUAAUGGUAUUAUUGUCAGUACAAAAUUUUGACACACUGAUGAGAUUUGAAGUGAGUUGUGGAACAUAGAGCACAUUGUGUAAGACAAAGGGUUUGGCAGAAGUGUGGAGAAAGGAAUGACCAACUUGGGUUAUGGGUAGAGACUUACCAUUGUCAACCAUCACAGAGUCAGUACCAUUGUAGGGAGUACCAUUGUGGAUAUUAGCAGCCGUGUGGGAGAGAUGGUGGGUGGCGCUUGAAUCCAAAAACCAAGAGUCCAUUAAUGUUGGGGAAGGUGCUGCCAUCAUAGCUUGAGCAAGAGGAAUGGGACCAAUUUGAGAGGUUGAUGAGGCUGGUGCACGUGGCCCUUGAUAAUUCACAUCAAAUCUGUGAUAACAAGAGAGGACCAUGUGCCCAAACUUGCCACAUAACUGACACUGCGGUCGGUUAUUUGUCCGGGAUCGAUUAUUGUUGAAUCGGUUAGGGCGAUAUCCUUGAGGAUAUUGCUGCCGUGAAUCCAGAAGAGUGUCAGGUCGUAUGGUUGGCAUGAACGACUGAGGUGGUUUCCCUUGAGAGGGUUUUUUGGACUGUGACCUUCGUGGUCUAUUAUGAGUUGCAAAGUUGGCAAUGAGGAGGUCUUCUUCAGUAGGCGUGGUUUGAAGAGGCAGCCUCUGUUCAUGAGUCAAAAGGAUGCUAUGUACUGCAUGAAGCUGAAUGUCAUCAUCUCUAGUAGUGAGAGAAGCUAUGAUGGGGUUGUAUUCAGCCCCUAAUCCACUCAGUAAUUGAAGGAUUUGAUCCUUUUCUGGCACUGGUUCUCCAAUAGCUGCCAGACUAUCAGAGAUGUGUUUGAGUUUUUGGAUGUAUUCCAUCAUGGUGAGAGAGCCUUUUUUGUUUGUUUGAAAAGCAAGUCUCAACUGCAUUGUUCUUGCUUUGGUGGAAGCAGAAAAGCUUCGUUGGAGGGCUGUCCAUGCUUCAUGGGAUGUUUGUAGCCCAACAAUUUGACCCAUAACAUCUGGGGUGAGAGAGGAGUAGAUCCAACUCAGGAUCAUACGGUCAUAUCUCCUCCAAACCAGAAAAUCUGGGUUCACUUCACCGGUGGAUAUUGUUUUUGGAGGACAUGGUCUCAGACCUUCAAUAUGGUCCUCAAAUCCAUUGGCAUAUAUCACAUUUUCCAUUUGUGUAUGCCAAAGGAUAUGAUUAUCUCUAUCUAGUUUGAUAGGAAGAGGAUGAUUCAGCAUGCUCAUGUUCAGGGUAGGGAUUACCUGAGAAGAGACAAUCUCCAGCGUGGUCUGUGUUGAUGAAGCCAUCGGAGUAGGUACAGUAUGUUCUUGAAGUGAGUAAGCAAAGAUCAAAAGAAAGUUGCAGCAGAAAAUGUUGCUGGAGAUUUCUUAAUUGUCUUGCUGGGAGAGAAAUCAGAAAAAAAAAUUCAGGAGCCUAUGGCUCUGAUACCAUGAAAGUGCUCAGGCACGGAUUUAGCAAGAAUAAGGAGUUUAUUCUAUUCACAACAUGAUUGUACAGUAUAUCAAUAGCUAUAUAUAUAUAUAUAUAUUACAGCAUCUAACUAAUCUAACCAUCUAACUAAUCUAACCACUUUCUAACUCGGCAUAACAGCAUCUGUUAGAGAAGACUCAGCAUAACAGCAUCUGUUAGGGAGGAGAAGAAUUAGCUACUAACAUGGGUGUUUGUCUAUCAAUACUUGAAAAAGCACUUGCUUUCACCACCACUCAUCUCGAGGCCAUGGUAGAAAGUUUAGGAUAUCAUCUUGCAGAACAAGUUGCUCAUGCCCUGAACCAACCCAUUAGAAAAGGUUUGGAGAGGCUAGAGGCAAGAUGGUAUAUAUCUGUCUACCAAGAUGAAGCUUUCCAUGAUAAAACUUUACUGGAGCUAGCAAAAUUAGAUUUCAAUCUAGUGCAGCCACUGCACAAGGAAGAGCUAAGCAAUCUUGCAAGGUUGGUUUUUAGAUCAUAUUAAUGUCUUUUAGGUGGUGGAAAGAAUUAGACUUUGCUACAAAGUUACCUUUUGCAUGAGACAGAUUGGUUGAAUGCUACUUUUGGAUACUUGGGGUGUAUUGUGAGCCUCAAUACUUACGGGGUAGAUGAAUUCUAACCAAAGUAAUUGCCAUGACAUCCAUUCUAGAUGAUAUCCAUGAUGCAUAUGGAACACCUGAAGAACUCAAGCUCUUCAUAGAAGCCAUUGAGAGGUUUGCUCCUUGCACAUUACCAACCUUGAUUGUGUAUAAUAGAUGUAUUUAUAUAUACGUAAAUCAAGGGUCAUUAUUUUAUUUUCAAGUGGGAUAUUAACAACAUAGAUCAGCUUCCAGAAUACAUGAAACUCUGCUAUGCGGCACUCUUAGAUGUGUACAAAGAAAUCGAGGAAGAGAUGGAGAAAGAAGGAAACCAAUA
rnacentral:lncRNA from 1 species